CGUGCGCCGCUUACCAAGAUCAUUUUUGGGCUUCCAUAAAAUCUGGGCGCCCAGAUUGCGCGCCGCCUGCUGUCAGAACUUUUUGGGCUGAUAUGUAACCUGUCAAGUCAAAUAGUCUCGGUGUUUCUGGAUCACCCGAACAGCAAACAGGCAGGAUCCAAAAGGUCUCAAAAUAUUCGGAUCCACUUUAGGGCGCCCAGAAUAGGGUCCAGAAAUUUUAAUUUGACAGAACACAGAAUUUGAGCAGUUUUUGAAUAUUUAAAAAUUCUAUUCACCUAAUCACAAGUUAGGAAUUUGUUUAAGUGAUCUAUAAGGUGAUAAAAUAAAUAGUUUAAACUUAGCUAAAAAUUUCUCACUCCAAUUAUAAGGCAAAAUAUUAAUUAAAUUAAGAAUGGAGAGAGUGAGUUUGUCUAUUUGACAAAGGAAGCAAAUACAGCUUCAAGUGGUGAAGCUUGGUGCUAGAAUAUUGCCCAUCUUGAAUCCUUUUUGAAUAUAGAGAGAUCUAAAACACAAAACUCAAGAUAAAAGAUUAGUCCAAUAAUUGUAAUUAUUUGUUAUCAUCAAAAUCUAAUAGAAGAUUAGGGCCACUUGGCCAACAAUCUCCUCCUUUUUGAUGAUGACAAAUAAUGUGAUAUCAUAUCCAAAAUAGUAGAAUACUCCCCCUAAAUAUAUGCAUAUAUUUAACAAGCAUAUAACACAAUCAUAGGCAUAGCAUAUAUUACAAUAAAAGAAGUAAGCAACCAUGUAGGCAAAAAUCAAAAUGUAAACAAGGCUAGCAUAGCAUAAUAAAACAUAAGCAGCAUAAUAAACCACAAUCAUAGCAUGGUAUAUCACAUAGCAAGUUCUCCCCUUUUGUCAUCACAAAAAAAAAGCAUAAAAGAAGACUAGCCAUAAGCUAAUCAUCAUCAUCAUCGUCCUCCUCUUCAUCGUCCUCAUGAUCCGUAGGUGAAACUGGUGGAGGCAUAGUGGAGGAGGAUGGUCGAUUAACGUGGGGUCCAUACGCGGCAUAAAAGGCACUAGAAGGUCCAAAGAGAAAGUCCAUGUAUGCCUUGAUGCCGGAAACAUCCGUCUGGAGAGCAUGCAUAUGGUCUUCCAUCCUAUCAAGUCGAUCAAAAACCUGGUUUUGAAAAUCCAUAGGUGGAGGAGCAUAGGGCGGAGGCACAGCAAGGGGUGGCUCAAAGGGUGGAGGAGAUGCUUGUGGCGGCGGCUCAACCGGUGGAGAAGGUGCUCGAUGUGGCGGCUCAUAAGGCAAAGGAUCAUCCUCGGCGUCGUCAAUGUCAUCGCCAUGCUCGCUGGGCGAAUCAACAACAUGCUUUCUUAUCCAAAUGCCAUGACGAUUUUUCUUGAAGCCUAGGGUGGAAAAAGUGGCGGUAGAAAUGGCGGAAGGGUACUUCAUCGGCCUCACGUCGGAAAGAUCAAACGACAUGAACUCGAGGAGAGCGGUGAGCAAAGAGCCAUAUGGAAGUGAGCGCGAGGGAUGAGAAAUUGCGACGGCCAUGUGGCGAAUGAUGAUAUACCCCAAAUUAACCCGGACGCCCGCAAAUAGAUGAUGAAGUAGAAAAAGAUCCAUUUUUUGAACAGCGGUGUGGUGACCGUCUCGAGGAAGAACUACUUUAGUAAGUAAAAAGUGGGCGAGGCGAUGAGGAAAGGAAAGAUGAGAGCAAUCUUCUCGUGAAGUAGAUUCUUCACAAAGAAAAUGAUUGCGGAGUUGCGCCUCAGAAAAUGCGGAAAAGUUUCAAGUGUUGGUUUGGUAGUAGCAAACACCGUCAUUAGGAAUGUUUAAAACUAUAUGAAGAAGGAUAGGAGUAAUGGCAAAAAUACGUCCCCGGUAGUAGGAAGUAAUAUUAGUAAAUUCGGGAUUAAAAGUGGCAUUUGCAUAAAAAGUCUUAAUUAGAUCCGGAUAAAAUGGUCGCGAAUUUUGAACAAAGAAAUCCCAUUCAACUUGUGUGAGAUUAUCCAAAAGUUCAUAACAAUCAAAAUUUAAAUAAUAAAUGUGAUGGCAAGGUUGAACGGGACGACCUGAAAGAAAUUUAUUUUGAGCUUCUCUAGAUACAAAGUUAAAAGCAUCAAAAUCUUCAUUUUGAUAAUCUCUAUGUGAAGAAGAGCCUCUAGAUGCAUUUUUAGUUCUAGGCAUUUUUUUUAUUUAUUUAUUUUAAUAAUAAAAAGCUAGGGUUUAUGCAAUAAAAAUGGAACAAGAUGCAAGAUCUAGGAUGAAAAGAUGUAAAUCUAGGUAGAGGACAAGAUUAUGGUGCAAAGCGUACAAGAAAUCUGCAAAAAAAAAGAUUUUAAAAAAUAAUAAUAAUAAUAAUGCAAGCUUAGGGUUAACAGCAGGAAGAAGAAGAAGAAAAAAAAAAUGAAAAAGGAGAGGAAAUACCACAGAUUGAGGAGAAGGAAGAAGAGAUCUGAGUGCUGGAGGAGAUUUGGGCGGUUCUGAUGAGGGCUGGGCGCAGGUACUGGGCGACCGGACAGCGAGGAGGAAGAAGAAGAGAAGAAAAAAAAAAUGAAAGGGAAAGGGUUGUCGGGCGGCUGGGACGAAGAGGGCCCGCUCGCGGGUUUCGGGCGCUCGUGCGAGUCGGCGUGGUCGCCCGGAUCCGCAACCCAGAACCCGCCAGGGUGGUCAAAGCGGCGCGGCGGUCAAAGAGGGUUUCGGGCGCAAGUGCGGCUCGGAUCGGUCGCCCAGAUCCGCAGCCCGGUAACCCGCCAGGGUGGUCAAAGCGGUGCGGCGUCAAAGCGUGUUUUCGGGCGCGAGUUGCGGGUCGGAUCGGUCGCCCGGAUCCGGAACCCGAUAACCCGUUUGGUCGGUCAGACGAGGCACCGCGGUCAACGCAUGUUUCAGGCGCCCGGAAAUUUUCGGACGACCGGAAAUUUUCGUCCGGAAUUUUUACAAAAUAAAAAGCAAGGCAAGCAUAACAGUCAAUCAAAAGGAGAAAAUCAAGCAGAUAAAUCAAUCAUUCCCAAUUCUCUUCUAAGUUGAGUGAACCUAUCCUCACUAAGUGGUUUAGUAAAAAUGUUCGCUAAUUAAUUAUGAGUGUCCACAAAUUCUAUAGUGACAUCUUCUUUUUGAAUAUGAUCUCUAAUAAAAUGAUAUCUAAUUUCAAUGUGUUUAGUUCAAGAGUGUUGAAUAGGAUUUCUAGAUAUGUUGAUGGCACUAGUAUUAUCACAUUUGAUUGGAACUUGUUUUUGAUGUACUCCAAAGUCCUCAAGGGUUUGUUUCAUCCAUAAAACUUGUGCACAACAACAACCCGCCGCGAUGUAUUCGGCUUCGGCAGUUGAAAGUGCAACUGAAUUUUGCUUUUUCGAAGACCAUGAGACUAAGGAGUAACCAAGAAAUUGAAAAGUCCCACUCAUACUUUUCCGAUCAACUUUGCAUCCGGCAAAGUCGGCAUCCGAAAAGCCAAUGAGAUUAAAAUUAGUGCCCUUGGGAUACCAUAAACCUAAGUUGAGAGUCCCUUUAACAUAUCUAAGAAUUCUCUUUACAGCCACUAAGUGUGACUCCUUAGGUUGAGCUUGAAACCGAGCACACAAGCAAAUACUAAACAUAAUAUCCGGCCUACUCGCGGUAAGAUAAAGUAAACUGCCAAUCAUACCUCGGUAGAGUUUGAUAUCAACAUCCUUGCCUUUUUCAUCCUUGUCAAGUCUAGUUGAAGCACUCAUUGGAGUGUUUAUCUCUUUCGAGCUUUCCAAGUCAAAUCUUUUGAUUAGGUCUUUUGCAUAUUUGGCUUGAUUAAUGAAUAUUUCAUCUUUUAUUUGUUUAACUUGGAGUCCAAGGAAGAAUGAGAGCUCACCCAUCAUGCUCAUUUCAAACUCAUUUUGCAUUAGCUUAGAGAAUUCUUUACAGAGAGAUUCAUUAGUAGCACCAAAUAUAAUAUCAUCCACAUAAAUUUGUACAAUGAGAAAAUCUUUAUCCUUAAUUUUGAUAAAUAAUGUGGUGUCAACUUUUCCUCUUGAAAAAUUAUUUGAAGUAAGAAAAGUGCUAAGUCUUUCAUACCAGACUCUAGGAGCUUGUUUUAAACCGUAAAGUGCUUUUGAAAGCUUAAAAACGUGAUCCGAAAAGUUAUGUUUUUCAAAACCGGGUGGUUGCUCAACAUAAACUUCUUUAGAAAUGAAACCAUUUAAGAAAGCACUUUUAACAUCCAUUUGAAACAAUUUGAAAUUCAUAUAAGAAGCAAAUGCUAGAAGAAUUCGAAUAGCUUCAAGUCUAGCAACCGGUGCAAAUGUUUCAUCAAAAUCAAUUCCUUCAAUUUGGUUGAAACCUUGGGCCACUAGUCUAGCCUUGUUUCGAACCACAACACCUGAUUCAUCUCGCUUGUUUCGGAAGACCCAUUUAGUGCCAAUAACGGUAUGAUCACUUGGCCUUUCCACAAGCGUCCAAACUUGGUUCCUCUCAAAUUGGUUAAGUUCUUCUUGCAUCGCAAUGAGCCAAUUUUCAUCAUUGCUAGCUUCAACAAAAUUUUUAGGUUCAAUUUGAGAUAUGAAAGCCAAGUGGUCACAAAGUAAUCUAAGAGAGGAUCUUGUUUUGACUUUUUGACUUGGAUCUCCAAUGAUGGAGUCCUUGGGAUGAUAAGUGGCGAAUUUCCACACUUUAGGUAAGGGAGUGGGUUCAAUCUCUUUAGAGAUUAACUCCUCACUUUUCUUAGAUGGUUCAACUUCUUGGGGUGUGGAGUUUAUAUUUAGCUUCUCAAAGUCAAGAAGAUCAUCUUCAUAAGAAAUAUCCUUUCCCUUAUAUUCUUCAAAGAGAAUGUGCAUACUUUCCUCUAUUAUUAAAGUUCGUCGAUUAUACACUCGAUAAGCUUUACUAGUAGAGGAAUAACCCAAGAAUAUAGUUUCAUCGGAUUUAGCAUCAAACUUUCCCAACUUGUCUUUUGUGUUUAAAAUGAAACAUUUACAACCAAAAAUUUUGAAGUAACCAAUAUUGGGAGUUCUAUUAUGCCAUAAUUCGAAAGGAGUUUUCUCAAGAAUUGGUCGAAUUAGAACACGAUUCAUAAUAUAGCACGCCGUGUUUACGGCUUCGGCCCAGAAGUAUUUAGGUAACUCCCCCUCAAUUAACAUAGAUUUAGCCAUUUCUUGGAGAGAUCUAUUUUUGCGUUCAACAACCCCAUUUUGUUGAGGUGUUCGAGGGGUAGCAAAUUGAUGUUCUAUUCCCAAUUCAUUGCAAAACUCUUCAAAGUUAUGAUUUUCGAAUUCACCUCCAUGAUCACUUCUAAUUUUGGAAAUUAUACAAUUCUUUUCAUUUUGAACACGAUAGACAAAGUCCUUGAAGGAUUUAAAAGUAUCAUACUUGUGUCUUAAAAAUAAUGUCCAAGUAAAUCUUGAGUAAUCAUCAACAAUUAUGAAAACAUAGUUGCUUCCACCAAGGCUAGAGACAUCAAUUGGUCCAAAGAGAUCCAUAUGAAUCAAUUCUAAAGGCCUAGUUGUUGAAACAACAUUUUUGGAUUUAAACGAUGAUUUUACUUGCUUAGCUUGAGCACAAGAAUUACAAACAUCACCUUUGGCAUAGUCUAUUUUAGGUAAACCUUUUACAAGUUUUUUUUUGGAAAGUUUAGAGAGAGAAUCCAUAUUAGCAUGUGCUAACCUUCUAUGCCAAAGCCAAGAUUCGUUAGUUUGAACUGAAAAAUAUUUUUCACCUUCAUGUGAGAGUUUGCCUAAAUCAACGGUAUAAACAUUCUUGGAUCUAAAACCCAUAAAAGCUACCUCAUUUGUAGAAGGAUCAAGAAUGCUACAAUGAGAUGCUUCAAACUUUACAAAAUAGCCUUUAUCACAUAAUUGACUAAUACUUAGUAAAUUAUGUUUAAGGCCAUCAACUAAAAGAACAUUGGAAAUGUUAACCUUUUCAUCACCGAUUGUGCCGAUUCCAAUGAUCUUUCCUCUAGUGUUGUCUCCAAAGGUGACAAAUCCUCCAUCUUUCAUUUCAAUUGAUUUAAACUUGGUUUGAUCCCAAGUCAUGUGUCUUGAGCAUCCGCUAUCUAAGUACCAUUUGUCACUUGCACCUUUUGAUUGGAGACACGCCUACAAAAACAAAUUAAGUUUUCAACUUAGGUACCCAAGUGAGAUUGGGUCCUUUUGAGUUAAAUAAACCUUUCACAACCCAAAUUUGGUUAAGUUUAGGAUUCUUCUUAUAUUUACAAGAGAAAAUAUGAUAUCCUUUAAUAUUACAAUAGGAACAAUGCAAAGUUAGGUUUUGGUUUGUACUUUUAAUAAAAACCUUUCUUUUACCUUCUGUCAACUUAACAUUGUUUGGAUUAGAAACAUAACCUAUCCCAAACUUUUUGAAGUUUACAACUUGAUUUUCAAGCAUCAUAUUUAGAUACUUGGUUCCUCCAACAAAUUUCUCAAGAGUUUUCUUAGUUUCACCUAAGCUAACUUUGAGUUGUUGGUUUUCAACUUGAAGUUUUUCAAGUUGUUUGUCAUAAUGAAGAAUUGGCUUAAAAUUUAGAUCUUCAAUUUUCUUCUUUAAUGCUUCAUUUUCACGAAUGAGACUACAACAUGUCUCAUUAGCUUGUUUAAGCUCUUUCGUGAGUAAAGAGUCCUCAUUUUCAAGUAUUAAAGAAGGAUUUGAAGUUGAAAAUUUUAAGUUGUUAACCUCCAUCUCUAAUAAGGCAUUUUGCUUUUUGAGAGAUGUAUACUUGGGACCCAAACUUUGUAGAUUAUCAUAUAAAGAAAAGAAAGCUUCUAAAAGUUCUUCAUAACUUAAAUUGUUUACCUCAUCUUCAAGAGCCAUAAGACAUAGGAUUGAGCUUUGCUCCUCGAGGCAAAUUUGGGCAACUUCGUUUUCCGAUUCAUCAUCGCUAGAUUCGUCGGGGGCGUCCCAAUUUAGUGCAUUGAAGGCUUUCUUUUUCUUGUCUUUCUUAAAGGUUUUGUUUGGAAGAGUGCAUUCAUUUUUCAAAUGUCCCGGUUUAUUACAAUUGUAGCAAAUGAUACCUUUCUUGAAUCCUUCACCUUUGAACCCGUCUCGUUUAGGUCUCCUCAAGUUGCGCUUCUUGAUUAGUCGAUCGAGCCUUUUUGAAAUCAUAGCGAUUUCUUCGCUCGAACCUUCUUCGCCAUCUUCACUCUCGGAAGCAAUGACUCCCUUAAGUGCAAGGCUUUUCUUUUUCUCAGGAGCCUCUUCGUUGUCAUAUUCUUUGAGGCGUUGUUCAUGCGCCAUGAGUGAUCCAACAAGUUCAUCAAUUUUUACUUUGUCCAAGUCAUGAGCUUCUUGGAUAGCCGUAACCUUAGGUAUCCAACUUCUUGGUAGUACACGAAGAAGUUUUCGUACCAAGUCCGAUUGAGGAAAAUCCUUACCUAAGGCUUUCAAGCUAUUUAUAAUGUUAGUAAAUCUUGUGAACAUAUUCGAAAUGGAUUCACUUUCCUCCAUUUUGAAUAGUUCAUAAUUUGACAUAAGCAUGCUUAUUUUAGAUUCCUUCACCCUAGAAGUACCUUCAUGAGUAACUUCUAAUUUAUCCCAAAUCUCUUUAGCCGUUGUACAUGUAGAGAUUCGGUGAAACUCUUCUCUACUAAGAGCGCAAAGGAAUGAAUUGAUAGCUUUAGCAUUCAAUUGAAAGCGAAAUUUUUCGGCUUCAUUCCAUUCCGCUCUUGAUUUUGAUGGAGCGAUAUAACCACUUUCGAUUAUAUCCCAAAUAUCAAAAUCUAGAGAUUGAAAGAAUAUCUUCAUUCUAAUCUUCCAAAAAGGAUAAUCGGUCCCAUCAAAAAAUGGUGGCCGAACAAUAGAUUGUCCUUCGAUAUUCUUUCCCGUGGAUGCCAUUCUCACUUAGAUUUUAAUCUAAAUAAUGUGAGACCUCGCUCUGAUACCAAUUGAGGAUCAAAAUGGCAACCUAAGAGGGGGGGUGAAUUAGGUUUCUAAAAUAAAAAUCCAAAUAAUCAAGCAAAUUAAAAACCCGAUGCAAAUAAAAGAAAUGCAAACUCGAAAAGCACACGAUCAAUUUGUUUCGAGGUUUGGCACUUUGCCUACGUCCCCGCCAACUUCUCAACACUCGUGAAUGUUGGAUCUCCACUAGAUGAUGCUUUUGCGGGCAAGCACCAAGCCUUCACUUCAGCUCCUUCUUAUUUCAAGCUUCAAAACUUUGCUUUUCUCUCUUUUUACAAGAUUAAAUCUCACUACAAGUUUCACUCAAGUUUAGAGAGAGAAUUAAGAGCUAAGAGUAUUAAGAUCACUGAAGUUUUUAAGCUCAAAUGAACUAUCAAGUUGCUGCUAAGAGAGGCCUCAAUACUAUCUAUUUAUAGCCUCGGGCAGCCUCUGUCGGUUGUACUUUCGGGCGCCCUAAACAUGUUUCCGGGCGCCCAGAAGUUGUGCACGCCAGCUGCCUGUCGGCCCACGUGCGCCGCUUUUCUUGACUUUGUAUGUUCGGGCCGUCAAAAAUUUGUGGGCGCCCAGAUCUCGAGGAACAGCUUUUCUGACACGCGUAGCUUUUCUUGACUUCGUAAGUUCUGGGCCGUCAAAAGUUGUGGGCGCACAGAAUACGAGGAACAUCUUUUCUGACAGGCGCCGCUUCCUCUGGAUUUGGGCCGUCAGAAAUUGUGGGCGCCCAGAUCUCGAGGGACAACUUUUUGACAUGCGCCGUUUUUCUAGAUUCGAGCCGUCAAAAGUUGUGGGAGCCCAGAAAAUCGUGCUUACUUUUCUUGCCAGACAGCCCAGAUUGCGUGCGCCGCUUACCAAGAUCAUUUUUGGGCUUCCAUAAAAUCUGGGCGCCCAGAUUGCGCGCCGCCUGCUGUCAGAACUUUUUGGGCUGAUAUGUAACCUGUCAAGUCAAAUAGUCUCGGUGUUUCUGGAUCACCCGAACAGCAAACAGGCAGGAUCCAAAAGGUCUCAAAAUAUUCGGAUCCACUUUAGGGCGCCCAGAACAGGGUCCAGAAAUUUUAAUUUGACAGAACACAGAAUUUGAGCAUUUUUUGAAUAUUUAAAAAUUCUAUUCACCUAAUCACAAGUUAGGAAUUUGUUUAAGUGAUCUAUAAGGUGAUAAAAUGAAUAGUUUAAACUUAGCUCAAAAUUUCUCACUCCAAUCAUAAGGCAAAAUAUUAAUUAAAUUAAGAAUGGAGAGAGUGAGUUUGUCUAUUUGACAAAGGAAGCAAAUACAGCUUCAAGUGGUGAAGCUUGGUGCUAGAAUAUUGCCCAUCUUGAAUCCUUUUUGAAUAUAGAGAGAUCUAAAACACAAAACUCAAGAUAAAAGAUUAGUCCAAUAAUUGUAAUUAUUUGUUAUCAUCAAAAUCUAAUAGAAGAUUAGGACCACUUGGCCAACAUACCAUGCCUUCAAUGAUAAGCAAUGCAUGCAAUGUCCAUUUUGCAAUAAUUUUACUAUUAUGCUAAUAUGAUGUCAUGAGUAUAUAUGCAAUAUAGUUAUGCAAUCUACCAACAAACACUAUGUCUUCUCAAGUAUGAAUGCAUAUCUACUAUGCCAUUCAUGUUCUUUGCCUAAUCUGCUUGGCUAACCCGAAGGUUAUGCUAUCGACUCACUCUCAAAUCUUAUAGGUGAGGAGAAUCUGCACUCGCACACCGAGACCGUCUGUCACGCCCCGCGACCGCCCACCUAUUUGGCCGGGUCGCGGCGCCGCCGACAGAUCGCCGAACGGACAGGGUUUCCCCUGUACUGCGGACAGAGUCUCCCCUGUACGUUCAAGGCAUAGCAAUCAAUACAAUGUGCGAAGUUCCAACCAGGAACACAUUUCAAUCAAGGAUUGCAUAAUGGAAGGUAUCAAACAACAUGAACACAUCCUAUAUUAUUACAUUCAUUCAUAUUCAUACAUUUUUACAUCCCAAAUACUUAUUACAUUUAACUUCCAAAUACAAUCCGAUUUAACAAUAUUAUUACAACUUGAUCCUUUUCAUUUUCUUGCAUCCCUAAGUAAGGCCGACUCAGGGUACCGCUAUCUCUGGUCUCGGUGGUAGGGCGCUAACUAUGGAGCUACGCCCUCGCCUCGCGCCGCCGCGCCGCUCACGUGCGAACCUGUAACACCCCAAAACCACGUGGGGUGAGAACCAACUCCAUGGUUCCCAGUGGGUACGGCCACCCAAGGGAAAAGCUCGACCAAUAGGUCCAAGGGAGGCAACUGCAAGUUAGUUCAAUAAACAGAUAGAUAUAUAUCUUGAUUAUGCAACGAAUAAAACCAUGCAUUGCCUCACGAAUGCAAUAAUGCAAUGCUAUAUGCAAAUCAUGCAAUAAUGCAACUAUGCAACCAACUAGUAGUUCAUUCGAUACUACUUUCAAUUCUGCUAACCAUAGCUCAUCCAUUUGAUAUCUAAGGUUUCCUCUAUCUUAGAUUCUUGUCAAUCACCGUUUUAAUCAUAAAGUUUCAUCUACCUUUACAAGGCUAACCACCCGACUCGGUCUUGAGUCAAUCGUCUGCGGAGUACCGCACUAGAACCAGGCUCGAGGCGAUGGACGUCUCACAUACACCUCAGCCCUAGAUCCUCUCGACUAGGAUACCAAAUCCAUAACUCAUAAUGCAUACUUGUUGUACACUCAUUUGGCUAUGACCCAAUCUUACCGGUUAACCAUGUUAACCCCAAUAACUCACUACCAAAAUCCCUUAAUAACGGGGGACUCGAACCUCCCUGGGGACCGUCAUCUGGGGGGACUUUACCACGCCCAGUGGUGACCAACUCCGGAGCGCACCGCCCGAGGGGGAGCUACCUCCCUCAAGCCAAGACGUAACGUGAGUAUCGAUCCAAUCCUCAACUUGAGGAUUCAUAGCCACUCGUCACAAUGCCAAUGUCAUGAUAGGUCUCUACCUAUUUAAUCAUGCCACUCUCUAUGUCAACUUGGACCAAUGUCAAUAUGGUUAAACUAUGUUUAACAAUCACUUUCUUGAUGCCAAUCAUGUCUCUAUUGUCAUUGUCACCCUUGUUUACUAAUGUUCAAGUCCAACUCUCACAUUUACACAAUAAUAGGGUCCUAACAUACAUGAAUGACACCAGAAUAUAUAUGAUCAAUCACCACAAGUGUUUGCUAGGUUCAAGAUGCUAGGUUUAAUGCCACUCGAUCUAAUAUAUAUAUAGAUUGUCCACUAUGUUCCACAACAUGGCAAUAUGUCAUCAAGUAUGUUUUUCUAUUUAACAUAAUCCACAAUAUGUAAAUUCAUAAUAUAUCAUCAUGCACAUAUACCACUAGCAUCACAUGAUUUGUCAACAUACAUAUAGUCAUUAUCCAAAAUAGUCCAUACUUAGCAUCUCAUGCAUUCUUUUAGCACUUAAUUCAUUAUGCAUUACAUUUAGCAUAUUCUACAACAUGUCAUCAUACAUUCCUUUUAUGAUGUUCUUAUAAUGCUAACAUUCAUACGCCCUUUAUAUUAUGCAUUCAAAGCAUUAAUCAUAUGCAUUUAUCUAGCAUUUCUAUAGUAUGUUAACAUGCAUUCUUUUCACAUUCUUAUAUUAUGUCAAUAUGCAUCAAUAUGAAAUCUCAUUUCUUAGACAUAAAGGGCGACCUAGUCGCUUCGGUAAGCACAACCCACCUCAUUUCGCAUUCCGAUUGCUUGUCGACACUUGCAAUCGGCCUCCCGCGGCACCCGGCACCCGGUUUGGCCCGAUCUCUCACGCGACCACCCGAACGGCCUCCAAUUCACGAUCCGAAAAUUAAAGGUCUUCGGUUAUGUGCCACGAUACUUCAAAUCCAUUUUCAUGAGUUUACGAUAUCGCCUCGGCCCUCCAGGCGAAAACGAAGCCUAAACGUCUAUUUCUUUAAUAACUUCGCAACGGCUCUACGAAUCGUCGAACCGUCUUCGCCAACGCGUUCGUUUACCUAGCAAUUUGGUUUACGGAGGGUCAAAUGAGAUCAAACCCAUAUAUUUUACAAAACCCCAUUCGGAGCCCUAACAUGCAAUUAACCUCUAAAUAAUCCAAAUUAAAUAGAGCAAACAUGUUUAGAAUGCUCAUUAGAGGCUAUUAGAACACUUAAAACUAAGGAUUAAGCCAAAUCCCAAAAGCUUACCUCAAUGUGAACGCCGCGACGAAAAUACGCCGCUCCAACGGGCGCACGAAAGCUCGAUCCGUCGCCUCCAAUGCGUUCGCAAGCAUCUUCUCCACCAACCCUCCAAUUUUUAGAGAGAGAUUUAGAGAGAUGAGGGAGAUAUCUAGAGAGAGGUAGAGGUGUUUCUCUCUCUAUCUCCAUGAGUGUGCGUGUGUGUGUGGCGUGUGUGCGGCUGAAGGAGGAGGAAGAAGCUUCAGCUUCUUUAUAACACACCCCAAGACACUAUUCACUCCCGGGCAGCUUGAAAUCUGAUAACUUUCGCCGGAGCUCCCUGAAUGUCCGUUUGAGCUCAAACUUGACAGUCAUGUUCGGUUUUACUUAACUUAACAAGCUGACGAUCGCUGGUUCAGUUUCGACCCCGUUUGGUCACUGAAAACUGUACCGAACUGUAAUCUUUAUCAGAUAACUGUCGGAUUUUAUUUCUCACUCUAUGGGUGUCAGAAAAAUAUGAAACCUUAAAUCUAGCCUCAUAAAAAUAUUUCUGACAUCUCUGCCAAUUUUCAUAAUUUUCUGAGACUAUGCAUUUUCUGCUAAUUUUUCUGUCCCGUUUCCAACAGAAAAUUCUAGAUCUUCUGUUUUCAUUCCGAUUUCUGUACAAGUCACUUCUGACUUAUGUUUUACUCCUACAAAUCCAAUAAAAAUAGUUUCUGACACUAUUUUUAUUUAUUUUUAUUUUUAUACCAAAAUCUGGUAUGUUACACCGUCUGUGGGACAACUACGUCUGCCCCUGUCGUGAAGUACUCCGGAGACCACUACUUGAGUGGAGCGACCAUCUCAAGUGUAAACAGCCUAGUGAGGAUAAUCCAAUCCUCACAAAAGGAUACCCUAUCUACAAGGGUCAUAGUGCCUCUGCUGCACAAUUCAUAAUGCAUAAUUCAUUACUCGGGAACUCUACUAUCCCUAGAAUCAUGUCAUUUUUACUACUCUAGAUUUGAUGCCACUCGUUCAAUCAUUGUAGUAAAUGUUUUCUACUAGUUAACAUGCCACUCGUUCAUGUUUAGUGUUUCUACUACACUAAUCCAAAUGCCACUCUUCUAGGCUAUUACUUGUCCAAGUUCAUCUUUUUAUGCCACUAUAGGAUUUCUUGUCACAAGACCCAAUCCUCAUGCAUUCCUAGUCCAUGUGUCAAGCCUACAAUGCUACACUACUAAGAAAGCAUGCAAGGAAUUAGAAUUGCAACUAUCUACUAAUCCUAUAAUGCAUAAUGUCAAUAUAUGAAUAUGAUCAACAUAUAGAACUUAGACAUAAAAGAAAACCCGGUUGCUUCGGGAUGGACAACCCCCACCUUCUUAUGCUACCAAGGGGCUAGAGUUCUUAUUUCGUGAUUUUUGGAAGCUUCCUCGGCGUUCCAGGUGAAAACGAAGCCAAAAACGCCUUUUUCCUCAAUAUCUCUUGCGUAGCCUCGACGAAUCGUCGAACCGAGGGCACGAACUUGUUCGUAGACCUCUACUAAGCUUCUUCUCCAAGCAAAGGAAGAAGACGGCAAUGGAGGUCCUCUCCUUGGUCUUUUUCUCCUUCCUUUUCCUUCUCUUCUUUUUCUCCUUCUUUUCCUUCUAGAGAGAGAAGGGGAGAGAGUGUGAGUAUGUGUUGGAGGGAAAUGAGAGAAGGAGAGAGAGGAAAUGCCCACUUAACCCUCUCAUUGCCUAAUUGCAAAAACACCCCUCCACUUUGCCUCUUUUAAACACCCCUCUACUUUGCCUCUUUUGCCAUGCCCAGACUGGGCAGAUUUCGGGUGCGGGGACCGGUGCCUCUACGGGAGGACCGGUCCCCGAGACUGCCUCACAUGCAGCGCCAUCAGGCUAGCCUUUUCACGUGUAUGAGAAUCGGUCCCCUGCUGAGAGAUUGGUCCUUGAGGGUUCGGUCCCCUGCCAAGAGACCGGUCCCCGAGAGCACAAUUCUGGCAGACAGCAGUCUGCCCACCUCCACGCGUACGGGGACCGGUCCCUCCCACCAGAGACUGGUCCGCGAGAGCAACAUUUGCACGCAGAGUCUCCCUGCCGCAUUCUCUGCUUACAGGGACCGGUCCCUCCCACCAGGGACCAGUCCCCGAGAGCAAAAUAUGAAAUUUGUGCAGAUUUGCACAACUUGCUCUCGAGACCAACUCUUAUGCACUUUUUUCCUUUUUGACACUUUCGGCCUUUUCGAAGCAUACCAACACGACCCUUGGUCGAUUUUAAACGAUGUCCAACUCUCGUAUUUUGAGAAUUCACUUUCUUACAUCAAGUCUAACGGAGCCGAUCGUCGAUUCGGAAGCUCUAUCAUCGAAAAUGGCUUCGGAGCACGGAGGCCUCUGUGCUCCUAAUAGCACACAAGACCUACUAUAUAUAUAUAUAUAUAUAUAUAUAUAUAUAUAUAUAUAGAGAGAGAGAGAGAGANAAGUAUUUUCUAUCAAAAUUUGAAGAAAUUUAGAUUUUUCUACACCGUUAAACUCCAAACUCGCCAUAAUAGCCAUUGAAAAUUGAUAAUUUUUAAAUGGUUUGAUCAUAAAGUAAACUAUGUCAAAAAAAUAUAAAAUUUUAUUUCUAAAAACUUUAAAUACCCUAAAUCAGUUUUAAUGGUGUGGAUCGUUGAUUUGAAUGCCCUAAGAUCGAAAAUGGGACUAUAGUACCGGAGCCCCGGUACAAUAAAUAGUAUAGGAGACUAGCUCUCUCUCUCUCUCUCUUUAUAUAUAUAUAUAUAUAUAUAUAUUAAUUACAUGUGCUAUACAUAAUUGGCUCAUCAUAUGCCAAUAGGGUAAGCAUAUGACUAAAGGGAGUAUCGAGAUUUUAUGUCUUUAGACAUGACGUAUGAGACCACGCUUGCUUACCAAUUAUGCUCAUUCGCAUAUACUUGGUAGGGUCGCGCUGUAUAAGCAAACACUCCAAAGAUUAGCCCUCGCGACAUCAUGCUUGUUUUUACGGGACGCCAUGGGGAAGGCUCAUAUAUAGGGUGGAUAUGUUAACAAGCACAAGACCAUGAGGUAUGGCAUAAGCCAAGACUUUACCUUAUGAAAGUUCCUGAGAGAUUGGGUAAAGAUUAAUUACACUUAACAUUUGAACAUCACACAUGAUUGAUGCUUACAUAGUAGUGGGACAUUCAUUAUAGUAGUAGAAUUACUUUUUUCCUAGUUGUCACAUAUAGAGUCAUUAUAGUAAUAGAGCUACUUUUCUUUCAGUUAUUUUAUUUAUGCUUUUACAUUUCAGCAAUUAUUAUAUCUAUACCUAAGAUGACUUAGUGGAGUAGUACGCCUUUCUCGCCAGCGUUACCCACUGGGAACUGUAUGUUUAUAGUUCUCACUCCCAUUAGUUAACGGUUUUUAUUUCAGAGCCAUCCACAACCGAAGAGAUCAGGGGUGGCAAGAACAUUGCCGAUAGUUAGAAUCAUCUCGACUGAGCUUUCUUAGAGGUGGACCCAAUAUGCUUUUCAUUUUGGGGUAUAGAUAUAUAAGAGGUCUACAUGUAUUACUACUAGGUAGACUUUGAUGAGGUUAAUUUAUGAGAUGUACCAUUUUGUGAUGUUGCAUGUAGUAUACCAUGCAUUCGGGAGUUGUAAUUGAGAUGAUAGUUACAUGAUGUACAUCUUUUUUAGUUUAGCUUAUAUUUACUUGCUCUUAUUAUCAUAUUUAGAAUAUGUAUGUCAUUUUGGUGGAUUAUAUGUUAUAGAUGCCUUGUGUACGUAUCGGGAGUUACCUUUUGUUAGGAUUUGAUUAUAUUUAUAUAUAGUUAAUUUUCUAGUUUGAUAAGAAUUAAUAUUUAAAUCUAUGAGAGAUAAAUUAAGAUUUAAAUAUUAAUUAGAGUAUAAAUUUAAUUAGAUUAGGAUAAAUAUUUAAAGCUAUUGGAGAAAAACUCAAUAUAAAUUUAAAUAUUAUUUGAAGUAGGAUUCCUGAUAUACUAAGAUUAAGGUACAUUUUAGAGGAUGCAUUAUAUAAGCAUUUAAUUUAUAUAAGCAUCCUUGUGGGUAGUAGCCUGUAGAGAGAGAGAGGAGAGUACAACCAGGUUAAAAAGUUCUUGACAAUAGUAUUGAAUGUAUCUAGUGCACGGGUGCAUAUAGAGAGUUGUCUUCUGAGAUUAUAGAAGACGAGAGAAGGAUAGGAGAGAUUUAAAAGAGGGCUCGGAUUGUAGCUAAUCUAUAUAGAAGACGAGUCAGGUGUAAUAUUUUUUUAUUUAAUAAAUUUUAUUUUAUCCGUAUAUUUUUUAUUUUGAAUUUUCUCUUUUUAAUAAUUAUACCAAUUUUUACUGAAGAGAAGAAUUUAUGAUAAAAAUCCGAUUCGAUAUUUCUAUUGCGAAAUUCUAACAAUCGGUACCGGAUCAACAACAGUCGGUAUUGGAGCGAGUUGUGAAUUUUUAAAAUUUGGUAUUAAAGCGAGUAUCAGCUUCCUAAUACCUUAUACAUUCGGCCGAUCUAUGUACGAAUUGGAUAGGAUUCUGCUAGCGUUUAGGAUGUGACAAUUUAGUUCCUCUUUAGGGGACGAAAAUUCUAAAAAUCAGGAAAAAAACAAAAAAACAAACGAAAAAGAAUAAAAAAGUUCUAAUUUCCACCGCGUGCGGUUGUCAUCCCUACUCGAAGUGUCCCUUUCUUCCUAUUGAACCGUAGCAUUCUGAUUCAAGAAAUUCUAAAGAGGUAUUUGUGCGUCAGCAGUGCCUACCUGCAACCAGAAAAAAAAAAGGCAGCAGGAUCUUCUGACAAAAAAUGAAAGUAUUUAAAUACAAUGAAAGCAAUAAUCCCUGCCCUCUAAUUAAAAGGAGCGGGAUAAGGACAACAGCCAAAAACCAUGCCACUCGCGUUACUCUUCCUCUUCAGUUCCCUGCCACCCAAGCAAAAUAUUAGCGCAAGAACCCGGUGCACCACCGUACAGGAAGAACUCUACAACAAUUUAAAGAUCAAAUUUACAAACACAUACCAAUUGUGACAUAAAAAAAUUGUUUAUAUUUAAGAAAGAAUUUAAUAAUUUUGAAAUUUUACAAUCUAAGACCUUGUUUGGAAAAAUUUUUUUAUUGUUAUUAUUGAUUAAUUUGAAACUCAUUAAACUUAAUAAUAAAUGAUAACAUAUUUUGUAAAGAAAUUAAAAUUAAAGAAUUUAUUUAAAAUUUCUAUUUUUUUGUUUUCAAAUAAGUUACAUUCAAAAUAAAAAUUAAUUCUUUCUUAUACUAUUUUAUAUAAAUACUCUAUGUAUAAAAGGGGAAAAACAGAGAGAUAACAAUACCAAUGGAGCCUAUAAAUGUUAACAUGUGAUUCAAUGUCUAAAAACAUGUGAUGUUCUUGAAUCGUCCAUACAGAUGGUGCAAGCAAAAACAAUUGCGUCCCCCACGCGGGAAGCGUGUUCUCCAAGUUGAUCCACCUCCCCGCCCCGAUAUCCCGUUUGAAAUUUCCUUUACAUCACCCCUUCCUUACACACUCCCUCUUUCAUUUACUUCCCCUUUCCUUCCCGCGCUUUCUCUUUUCUUACACACUACCCAAUCCUCGAUCAGAUCGCUGCCAGUGGUCUCUACGGCCACCUCGCCUGCCUGCCUGCCUUUCGGACAAAUAUUACCUGUCCACCGCAACCAAUUCCGGCCGAAUCCCACGCAAUCUGUGCCGCCUCUCCGUUUCGCUCUUGCUCCUAUAUAUAUAUGUAUAUGAAGUACCGAAGGUACCUAGUUAAUUAUAAGCACCCGCUCCGGCCAUACAUACAAUACAACACCUGCUCAUAACUAACUGAAAAUUGAGCACCAAGUAAUACCGACAGAAAUCACAGCAGAUAUACUUCUUGUACAUAACAUUACGUACUGGAUUCAUUAGGAUUUGACGUAGCAUAGGUUAGACCGAGUAAUUCGAUUCCCAAGAUCUAGCUAGAUAGCCGGCCGGCCAGUAUUCGCAGCAGCUAGCAGUUCGAUUAUAUAGAAUGGAAGGCGAAUUAGGCGACGGGAGCGUUCGUCUGCAAAUUAUGGAGCAGCCGAGUGAGGCGAGCAUCUACAUGUCCACCUUAUUUGAGCCGCAGCGCGAGACGCCACCCUCGUGCGACGGCGACGACGGUCAUCCUCGCGGCGGCAGCUGCCCGUCGAUGUACUCGUGCCACGACACCUAUGAGGCCCCCGAGAAGAAGCUGACGCUUUUCGCUCUGCGGCUGGCCAUCCUGGAGAAGGCUGCGAGCGGCCUGGGCGCGCUGGGCUUCAUCUGGGCCACCGUCGUGCUGCUCGGAGGGUUUGCCAUCACGCUGGAGAAGAAGGACUUCUGGUUCAUCACCGUCAUCCUACUCAUCGAAGGGACGAGAAUCUUCAGCCGCAGCCACGAGCUGGAGUGGCAGCAACAGGCUACGUGGUCCCUCGCCGACGCCGGCCGCUCCAGCUUCCGCGCCCUCAAAUCCAGCUUCCGGUCCCUCAGGCUCGCCUUCCGGCCCUUCUCCAUCGACAGCGCCAGGAUCGCGAGCGACGUAUGCAAGACCGGCGAGCCGCCGAGGGGUGUGCUGGGGAGGCGGCGGCGGACGUGGCAGAGCGCCGACGUGCCGCUCCUGCCGUACGCCGGAUGGGUCUUCCUCUCGCGGAACAUCAGCCGCGUCUUCUACUGGCUGCAGCUGCUCUCGGCCUCGGCCUGCGUCUCCCUCUCGCUGAUGCGGCUCAUCGAGCAGGACUUCGGGGCGGUGCGUGCCGGCGACACGGACAAGACCAACCGCAAGUCGGCGCUGAAUAUCUUCUACGGGCUGGCGCUGGCCGAGGCGCUCAUGUUCCUGGCCGAGAAGGCCUUCUGGGAGUACAAGGCCAGCCACCAGCGGCUGCUCGAGCGCGUCAAUGCCGAGUGCCAGCUGGGCCCCUCCGGCAUGGUGUCGAUCAAGCGGUUCUUCUACGACGCCUACUCCAGGUGCGUCAACGGCAGCAUCUUCGACGGGCUCAAGAUGGACCUCGUCGCCUUCGCGGAGCAGCUCCUCGUGUCCAGCUCCCGCGACGAGCAGCUGAUCGGCGCCCGGAUCCUCAUCAGCUUCGCCACCAGCCGCCCCUUCGCCGACAGCACCCUCCGUAAGAUCGGCACGUCCACGGCGGUCAUCGAGCGGCUGAUCGACAUGCUGAACUGGAAGAACGCCAACCCGGCGGAGGAGGAGAUCCGGCGGUCCGCGGCCACGAUCGUCUCGAAGCUGGCGGGCAAGAAGCAGAACGCGCUCCGCCUCGCGGGGAUUCCGGGCGCGAUGGAAUCCAUCUCCUCGCUGCUGUACACCGGACGGAGCGUUCCAAGGCCGGGGGAGAUAUGCGGUGCUGCAGUACACGCCGCCGCUGCCGCCGAAGACCGAGCGAGCUGCUACGACUUGUCGGCCUUCAAUCUGCUCGGCCUGCUGAUCCUCAAGAAGCUCGCGCACGACCACGACAACGGCGACAAGAUGGGGAACGCGCGGGGCCUGCUGGACCGGAUCAUCGACUUCACGAGCAUGGGCAAUAAUGGCUUGCGGACCGAGUCGCAGAUCAAGGCGGUGAAGCGGUCGCUGCAGGUGGUGAAGAUGCUGGCGAGCACGACGGGGCACACGGGGAGGGCGCUCCGGCAGGAGAUAUCGGAGAUCGUCUUCACGGUCAGCAACAUACGAGAGAUUCUGCGGUGCGGGGAGCAGCACAUGGAGCUUCAGAAGCUGGGGAUCGGGAUCCUGACGAGCCUGGCGAUGGACGACGAGGGGAGAGAGAGGAUCGGGAGCACGGGAGGGAUGAUCAGGGAGCUGCUGAGGAUAUUCUUCUUCCGUCCGACCACUCCUGCCCCUGCCCCUGCCCCUGCCCCUGACAAGGAGGAGAACGCGGUGACGACGGAAGCAGGGGAGGCGCUCUCCAUGCUGGCGCUGGAGAGCAGGCGCAACUGCGAGAGGAUCCUCAAGCAGACGGACGUCGUGGAGAGGCUUGUGGCGGCGUUGGACGAGCCGGCGCUCCGCAUCGAUGCUUCUAGGAUUCUGCACAAUUUGUGCGCCUACGCGGGCUCCCAAUGCUACCUUCGACUGAGGCCGGUCACCCACGGCAUUACCACGGUAAUUAAGCAGGAAUAAUGGUAUAUCACAAUAUAUAUAUUUUUUUUAUAUCUUUGAUCAAAUUUUCCUAUUCUUAUUAUUUCCGGAUGUUUGGAAUAAACUGUUCCAUUCGUUUGCCCUUUUGGUUUGAACUUUUAAGUUUAAGUUUUAUUAAUAUUUUAAAUUUUAAAUUUAAUUAAUGUAGAUUGUAUAGGCACGAUAUCUUACUAAUUAUUAUAAUAAAUUAUUAAUUAUAUUAUAUUAACACAUAUUAUUUGUAUUUUAAUAAAGCAUAUUUAAAUAAAUUAUUUUUAUUAAAUUUAAGUACAAGUAAAAUUUGAAAAAAAUAUUUUUUCUAAUAAAUUAUUAUUAUAAAAAAUUAUUUUUAUUAAAUUAUAUUUUAUAUCAAAUUCAACCACUGCUUUCUUUCCGAUCUCCUCUACUAUUCUAUAAAAUUAAUAAUUACUUAUUCUUGAAAAUAGCAAUAUUGUAAACCAAACACAAUUUUAAUUUUAUUUCUUACUAUUCCGUAAUAGUAAGUUAUUUAAAAAAUAAAAAAAUUAUUCCAAUGUUCAUUAUUUUUGAACCAAAAGGUGUCUGAAAAAAAAAAAAGAAAGAAAAAUAACUGCAAUAAUCGAUACAAAUUUUGGGGCAUGCACUGUGGAAUUAUAGCUAUAUAUAAAAAUAUAUAUAGCUGGGCGCUGAUUGAUUAUGUCCCUCGUUCUUUCAGCAAUUCAAUUUCUAGCAACAAAGAAAGCGUUUAGCAUACAAGUAAAACUUUAAAGGUGCAUAUCAAAGCAGAGUAGUGCAUUCAAUCUCCAUAAUUAUUAUUUUUUUUUUUUUCAAAGAGAAAGAUAGCAUGCUAUCAGUUUCAUUUAUUUUUUUUUUAGAAAUAAAACUUAGUUGAAAAUAUGAAUCAAAUAGAAUUCGAAUUUGAAAUCUUGAAUACCAAUCACAAAACUCUUUACUACUUGCGGUAGGAACGGUACAUCAAUCUCCAUAAUCUCCAUAAUUGUUAGCUCAGCUAUUUGGAGCCUCCUGGGAACGGGAAGGAAUAUACGAAGAUUGUGCGAGUACAUUUGAAAAACAUCAAAUGCGUAUUACUUGUAUCUUCAUAAUCAUUUUGUCCUUGGGGUGAUUAGAAGAGCUAAAAUCAUUGUUAGAACAUUUCUACGGUCGUCGAGCAACCCAUAAAUCGAUCUGCAGCUAACGCGGCAACUCCGUUUCAAAUUUUGACAUAAAUCCCAUAAUUUCCUAGUAUACCAUUUAUGCUUACCUGAUUUUGGUUUUCCUUAUUUUACCCUCUUCCUAGCUAAUCCGAGCAAUGAUCACUCCCACUUGUAAUCUCAAGUAAAACAUUAAUUGAACUCCCAAACUGGUCGACGCGUAGCUGAAUGCGUGUAUCUCUGCAGGUGCUUAAUGCAAUCAUGGUGGAGAAGUCGAAACUACUCGAGGUCUCUCUCGGUCUCACCUCUCAAAUGUGCAAAUUCAUGAGCGCCGAAGAAUUCAGCGGGCGAUUGUACAAAUCCGGCAUUUCAGAAUCCGACUUUGUGAUCAACCUGAUCCGCAUUCUAAACAAGUAUAACCAUCCAUCCGUAAAGGUUCCCAGGAUAAGGAGGUUUGUGAUUGAGCUGGCGAUUUGGAUGAUGAGAGCAGAUUCAAACAAGAUCAAGCUAUUCAUCAGUUCUGGGAUGGAGAAGGAGCUACGAUCUGUAUCGGAGACAACUUCGGAGCUCGAGUGUUUCAAUGUUUUCUCCGGUAGCGUGGGACUCAGUCCGCAUGAUGUUAGUCUUUGUUCUUUAGUAGACACGGCACUGCUACUGAUGGGAAAAAGCUAGCUAAAUGGAGAUAUUCGUUACGUACAGAAUAAAUGUAAUAUCAAUUGUUAAGCAAUUCUUUCAUUCAUCCUAUGUAUAAAUUUACUCAUUUUGGACACCGUUCGGCUUCGGCUUUAUCUAGCUAAUUUGGUGGCGCGAUAAAAGAGUCUUAUUUGGUAUCAUUUUCUAUCUAUUUUUCCAACCAUUUCAAUCGCCUAAGGUGUGUUUCCCCAGUUUAUGCAUAAUAGAUGUGUAGACAUGCAUUAAUGGACAAUCAAUCAUCCACUUAUGCAAUCUAUCACACAGAUUUGUCGUUUAAGAAAACAAAAAAUGACAAAAUAUUGAACGCGUUAAUGUUUGAUCAAUUUGGCCCUGCUAAUCAUAGUUAAAUUCAUAAUAAACCUCAACGUACUUUCCCUCUAUAUUUUAGCAUUUUUUUUUUAUUUUACCAUUCUGUGAUUUUAUUUUCAUGAAAAACAUUUGCCGUCAAAUAGAAUUGUAAAGUAAUUUUCCUUUGUUUGAAAGGAAUGUAUUGUUAGAAAUUAACCAGCACAAAAAAAAAAAAAAAAAAAAGAAANUAAUUUUGAAUUUUUAAAAUUUUUCGGAAGCCAAAUAUAUAUCACAUAUGAAAAUCAAAAAAUAAGAAAUCAAUUCAGUGCCGGAAAAUCACUCUUAUGUUACUAAGCAAAAAAUUUAAUUUAAACAAAAAUUCUUUAUAUUUAGAGAUUUUACCGUGGACCAAUUAAGGUCUCUUAAUCUACUGUACGGUUGGUUGGUAGUAUAUGCUUCGAUCAUUGAUCUGAAAUUUUGACAUAGCCGCACACGUGCCCGUCCUCUACGCGUAAUCCACACCGAAUCGGCGCAUACCCGAUUGUUUUCCUGGAAAAUGAACAACAAAAAAAUGAAAAGAUUUAAAUAAAUCAAAAGAAAAUGAUAUGCAUGGGAAUUUAUUAGGGGUGCAAUUUUCUUAAUUUUUUUUUCUUAUCUUGUACUUUUUGGACUUUAUUAGAGGUGCAAUUUUCUUAUUGUAUUUUUUGGACUAUAUAUUCUUAAAUAGCGAGAAAAGAAAUAUAUAUAGUACAACAGAUAAUAAUUUUUAAAGAUAAAAGAGUUCAUACUUUUCGGAUACCCGUAGGUACCCGGUUAACCACGUCCUCUCUAGUACAUUUAGACCACCACCGAUUAGGCUGGUUGUGAUUAAAAUAUCUCUCUUCCAAUUAGUUAAAAAAAAAAGAGGAAGAGUAAAGCAGUUAAUUACGGAAACAUAUAUAAAAUCCGAACUUAAAGCAACAUAACUAAGGCGGAGCGGGUGCAUGAUAUUUGCGGUUAAAACUUUUGUAAAUUAUUUAGGUAGGUUGAACUUUAAAGCUGAAAUUAAUCAUUUUUUUAAUUAGAAUAGAAAGUGAAAUAAAAAAAAUAAAAAAUAAAAAAAAAUGAAAAAGCUAGAAAUGCAUCAUCUGUAUGUGAAUAAGGUGCAAGACUUAGCAGUAGGAAGUGUUUGGGGGCCCACUUCAAUGUAGUGUAACUUGUGAAAGAUUAAUCGAGAUAAUAAUAUAGGCAUAUAUACCCAAAUCGUUAAUAAGUGCUUCUUAAUUUCUCAAAGAUGAAAAUUUAUAUUAAAAAAAAAAAAAACUUUCAAAUACUACUAGAAAUAAAGGGGAUCACAAAUUCUCUCUGUAUUGGAUUGAUAUUGCAUAUGCCCAAUAAAACCCAACAAACCAUGAAUGCAAAAUGAGAUUCAACAAAAAUGGCAUAACAUAACACUCAUUUUUUUUUUUUUUUUGAGAAAGAGGUAGCAAGCUAUCUGCUUCAUUCAUUAAGAAAAAUGAACUUAGCGUACAAAAUGAAGGCAACUAAGGCCUCCUACAAUACCGGGUAACAGAGUAAGAAAAACCAACAAAACGAAAAAAAACCACACCAACGUAUCGUUCUGCGAAUUAAACAAUUAAGUCGAGGUAUAAAGUAAAUACGACUAAAGGAGAGAUCGCGAAGGAUUGAACAGUCACGGCUCAAGAGCUUCAGUCCAGUCUUUCCUCAGCGAAUCGACUCGUUCAACAGCUCGGGUAGCAUUCAGACUCACCUCGCGGAAGAUGUUGUUGUUACGCUCCGUCCAGACGACCCACCAGAUCGCCGCCAAACGUGUGAGCCUAUUUGUUCUCAGCCGGACAUUGGGGUAAUUAGCAGUCUCUGACCAUAGACGCCUAACGUCACCUGUGUCAGGUUCCCUUGUAUCCGAACUCCCAGCAAAAAGAAGGAGGUAUCUGACGAAGACACAUCCUCGGAAAAGGUGAUCACAGUCCUCCAGUGCGACCGCGCAGAAAAUGCAAUACGGGUUCGCCGGGCACCCUCGUCGAAUCAAUCUAUCCGCCGUAAGUAAUCUCUUACGAAGUAGAAUCCAGAUGAAGACUUUAAUUUUGGCAGGAAUAUUUAAUUUCCAAAUGUGUACGCUACUUAAGUCUCUCAGGCCUGCAUCAGUGAUGAAAUCGUACAGGGAUUUAACUAUAAACAUUUGAUCGGUGGUCCAACGCCACUCAACUAUAUCCGUAGUGUCCGUAGGAGAGUAACUGGAGAGCAGGUUUUUUAGCAAGCCGAACUGAUGACGUGCAACAAUGUCUAUAGUUGUUGCGAGACCCUUGCCUAUGAAACGCCAUCUCUACCCUUUAUCGUUCCAACAUUGUGCUACCGUAACCCCGUUGUUCACAAUUCUGGAGUAAAUUCCUGAAAACCGAGUGAUCAGAGGGGUUUCUUCAAUCCAAAUGUCUGACCACAUCCUUAUAUUUUUUCCGUCCCCCAGCCUGUAGACGACCCCACAUUUGAACACAUCCCGACAUUUUAUCACACUUCUCCACCACUGGGAAUAAGGUCUGAAGGUUCUACCCUCGUGUAACGGCCUUCUUCUGGUGUAAUAUAAUGCCUUAAUCAAUCUCCCCCAUAGCGAUUGCGGCUCUUUGAAGAGGCGCCACCACCAUUUGGAUAAUAGUGCCAUAUUCAUAGCUUCCAUAUCUUUAAUCCCCAACCCCCCUUCUUUUUUGCUUUUGCAUAUCGACCUCCAACCAAUAAGACAUGAACCCCCUGAAAUUUUGGAACACCCUUUCCAAAAGAAGGAUCUUCUUAGUGCUUCAAUACGAUUCAGAACCCAUUGUGGCGCUUUGAAGAUUGCAAAGUAAAAUAAAGGUAAAUUUGAGAGCACCAAGUUGACCAGGGUGAGACGUGUAAGGAAGUGAAUUCUCGAAAUGUGAGGAUUGUACUUCAUCCAGGAUCGACUAAUUGUCGAGAGUAUACCCUUUGUGGGAGUUGGGAAUACCCAAAGCACAAAAAGUUCCUUGGAGUUGAGUCCGCGAGAGCAAAUGAGGCAAUUACAUCAUUGGGCUGAUGUUGCUCUCGGGGACCGGUCUCUACAGGUGAGAGACCGGUUCCCCUGGCUGGGUGUAGCGGGGUUGCGUGAUGCAACCGGUCCCUGGCAGGGAGGGACCGGUUCCCGAACGUGGUCCCAGUGAGAGAUGCCAAAAAUUGGCUAAGUCCUGAAAAUCGAGCUCUCGGGGACCGGUCUCCCAGGUGAGGACCGGUCUCCCGGGGAGAGACCGGUUCCCAAACGCGUGCGCUCGAGGGGAGGCCCUCGGGGACCGGUCCCAAGUCGGGGAGACCGGGCCCUCCGCGCGAAAACUGCCCAGUGAGAGCAGUGCGCAGGAGUGAAAGUUGAGGGGCCUUUAUGCAAAAUGGCUUAUAUUUGAGUGGGCUGAGCCCUCUCUCUCCCUCACACUCUCUCAUUUCACUCUCUCUCACUCUCUUGCUCUCUUGCUCUCUCUCUCUCUAGAGAUAACAAAGAAGGAGAAGAAGAAAGAGAAGAAGAAGAAGAAGAAGGAGGAGAAGAAGAAGAAGAAGGAGGAGAAGAAGAAGGAGGCUAGGAGCAUCUUCCUCUCCCUCUCCUCUUCCCAUUGGUGUAGCUCAAGAGGUAAGCUACAACCCUAGCUUCUAGAACUUAGGGUUUUUGGGUUUUAUACCUUGGAAUGGGUCAAAUGGACCCUAAGCAAGCUUCUAAAUAGAUCAAUCCCAAGAAUCUAGGGAUUUAUUGGGUGGUUUGCUAUAGGUGCAAAUCUAGGGCUCCAAAAUGGGGUUUUUGUAAAAGUACGAGAUUGAUCUCAUAUGAAGCCUUGGAAACCCUAUUGAUAGGUCUCAAAAUGUGGGGGUGAAGUCGAUUUUGGCAUUCGGCGAACCGACGUGAAGUUCUCGGCAAAAUCGGGCCGGGCUAGUGUUGAUUCGGGCGAGGAAGGCUAAAGCCUUUUCGUAGAGCUCGCCGAGAAGGAUUUUUCCAAGCCUCUACAUCGAUUAAAGGUAGGGGGUGUCAUCCGAAACUUUCGAACUCCUUUCUAUGUCUUAGCUUGCAUUUAAUCUCAUCUCUUCAUGUUGCAUUGUAGGAUUGCAUAGUAGCUCCAUUCCUUAUGCUUUCUAAUUGAUAACCUAGUGUACUUGGAACGCUUGGUAACUAGAUAGGUGAGGAUUGGGUCGGAACGUGGAUCCUAUGAUGCUAGAGAUAGAGAUGAACCCGAUGGGGGUAUUGAUGACAUAGAAAGUAGUGUUAUGGUUAAAGAACAAACGAGUGGCAUUAAUGUAGUGUAAUGACACUAGAGGUCGAUGGACCUAGGGAUAGGUGGAUCCCUUAGAAAAUGCCUUGUGAACAAUGAAUUUAGAAAACUAAAUAGCAUUGCAUGAAUGUCGGGAACCGAUGAUUCCGCGAUAGUCGUUGACCCUAGUGUAGGGCGUCCUCACUUGGAGAGGAUUCGAUUGGGUUAUUGACUCUAGUUGUAGAGCCUCCUCACUUGGAGAGGAUUGGAUUGGGUGUUGACCCUAGUUACAGUGUAUCCUCACUUGGAGAGGAUAGAUCUAGCUCACAGUCUGCGUUUAGGAUGGUAUAGCCAUCCAAUCCCCACAUGGAGGGGAUUGUCGUCGAGUACUCCGGAGUGUCGCGCGACUAGGACCACUUGGAGGUCCGGACCACAUGGAGGUCCGCAGACGGUCCCGGGCUUGGGUGCACUUGGAGCUCCCUCCCCACUUUGGGAUUUGAAGGUGAGUCAUGGGCGAGCCCUAGGGCCUCGCCACAGAUUGGGUAAAUGAAAAAGGUUAAAGGUUUAUAAAUGUCAUUGAACAUUACUAUUCGAACAUGGAUCGAAUUUGUUAGCAUGGUAGCAAACCUUUAUUAUAUGAUGCAUGCAUUCAUAUUCAUGAUUAUGGGCAUAGUAGCAUAGUUUUCCUACUACUGCAUUUACAGCUUUCAGAUACAUAUCUAUCUAUCUAUCUGUUGUUACUUGUGCCCACUUGGACCUAGUGGGGAGAUCGGCAGAGUCGGCGGCCGAGCCCACUGGGAACUAUGGAAGAUAGUUCUCACCCCACUCUAUUUCCAGUGGUAGGUUCAGGGCUGCAGAGAGAGGACCGCGGCAAGGGCAUCGCGCCCGAUCAGUGAGGCCGUGGUAGUGUAGUAGCUUUCCCUUUUGCAUUAGUACACCUAUGUAUUGAGAGUGAUUCAUGUAGGUGAGAUUGGAGAGCUAUGUAUUUUGAGGAUCAAAUGUAUUCAUUUUGGAAAAUGAUGUAAAGGUAAAGAAUGUAACUAUUGUAAUAGUUAGUAAGUACUCUCUUUAUUUCACUCGUAUAUCUUGUGGAUUGCUUGCUCUUCUUGUUGUUUGCACUGUUUGUGCCCUCGUUGAAUGUGUAUGUUUAGAAUUUAAAGUCCUGGGUAAAUUCUUGUACACAUUCCUGUCGUUGAGCCUUGGGCGGACAAGGGAGGUGUUGUCCGUUCGGCGGUUCGCCGCCGCGGCCGAGCCGUGCCAAAUUGGUAGUGGUUUCGGGGCGGGGCGUGACAAGACGACCCCCAUAUGAAAGAAGUUUAGCCUUCCAACCUUCAAUGCGCACCUCGAUUUGGCUUACAAUCGAAAUCCAAUCUUCCCUUCGAAGGGAUUUGAUGUGAAGCGGCAGCCCCAAGUAGCGGAAUGGAAGAUUGCCUACUCUACAACCCAAAAUAUCUGCGAGUCUAUUGGCUCUGCUUGUAUUGGAGCCCAGGUAAUAAAGUUCCGUCUUGUUCAUAUUUAUCUUAAGACCCGAGGCCCACUCAAACAUUUUCCAUAUGAACAGCAGGUUUCGCAUCGCCGAUUUCUUUGGUUCCGAAAAGAAUAAAGUGUCAUCCGCAUAUUGGAGAAUUACAGUUUGGCAGUCUACGGUUGGACCAAUUCCUUUAAGCAAGUUAUUACUCAUGGCUGCUUCCGUAAUCCUAGCAAGACAAUCGGCCACUAAAAUGAAAAGGUAGGGGGAAAGCGGGUCCCCCUGUCUAAGCCCUUUCCUUGUUUCAGCCAUGUCGUCGGCUCGUCAUUAACUAAGAUGGCGAUUUUAGCAUUACAGAUGCAUUGUUCGAUCCAGGACCACCAUUUGUUGCUGAACCCAAGCCACCUCAAUAUGCAUUUUAGAAAGGUCCAUCUGACAUUGUCGUAAGCUUUCUCGAAGUCCACCUUAAUGCUGACACACUCCUUUUCUGAUUUUGCGCACCAGUUGAGAAGUUCAUUUGUCGUAACAAACGAAUCGGCUAGGAGACGAUCCUUCAAAAAAGCCGCUUGUGCUGGAGAAAUGAUCGUCGGUAAAAUGAUCGCAAGUCUAUUUGCUAGUACUUUUGAGAUGAUCUUCUGAAUUCCAUUCAUGAGGCUUAUCGGUCGAAAGUCGUUAGCACUACACGCACCAUCCUUUUUCGGAAUAAGACAGACGUAUGCGUAGUCUGUUGGGGCCGUGUUGAGAGUGUUAUCCUGGAGAUCGAUGAAUAUGCUGAAUAUACUCUCCUUCACCGUCUCCCAGAAGUGCUGAAAAAAGAUAAGAGGGAAACCGUCCGGUCCAGGCGCUUUAUCGCUGCCUAGUUGGAAGGUAGCUUUCUUAACUUCUUCGAGAGUAAAAGGGCUAGUAAUGGAAUCCAGGUCGGAGAGCGAGUCCGCGCGAUACAAGUCGCUCCAAUCUCCAAUCGAUGAGGGACCCUCCUCCGCCUGCCCAAAAAGACGUUUGAAGGAGUGGAAAAAAUAAGUUCUCUUUUGUUCCUCGUUGUGGAUAAGUCUUCCAGAGUCAUCUUCAAUAGAUUCUAUCGCAUUGAUGCGCUUUCUCCCAUUGGCCACGGCAUGAAAAAAUUUUGUGUUGCUAUCACCUUCCUUGAGCCAGUGUUGUUUCGCUCUCGUUUUUCAGAGAAUUUCUUCCUCCUUAAGGAUUAGUUGAAGUUGUGACUUAAGGUCCACCCUCUUAUCCCGCACUUCCUGUGACAGAAUAGUGUGUUCCUCUAAUAGGUCGAUACCUCGGAUUUCGUACUGAAUGCACCUUAUGGCGUUAGAAAUGCUGUGAAAGUUCGUCUUACACCACUCCUUCAUUCUUCCUCUGCAGUGUUUGAGUUUUGCCGUUAGAGUAAGUAAAGCCGACUUCUUGUUGGAGACUUCAUUCCACCAGAUCGGAACCUUGUCGCAGAAGUCGUCCUUUGUGAGCCAGACCUUCUCGAACCUAAAUCUCCGCCGAUUGUGGCCGGUCCCCAAAUUAAGGACAAUCGGGGUAUGAUCUGAUGUAAUCCUAGGUAGCGCUGAUACCCUACAGUGCGGGAAGGUUUGGUCCCAUUCCGUUGAGACAAGAAAUCUGUCCAGCUUGGCUAGAGUUGGUGUUCGUUGCAUGUUUGACCAAGUAUAUUUUUGAUUCGAAAUAGGCAGAUCGAUGACUUCGAGAUUCGAGAUAAGGUCGGAGAACAGGGACAUUGCUCUAGUCGACCAAGGAUUUCCGAAUCGUUCAGCUUGAUUUCUGGUGAGGUUAAAGUCUCCGCAGAUCACCCAGUUGCUGUUUGUACAGCACCCGCUCAGGGAGAGGAGUUUCGAACAGAAUUCUUCCUUCCCAUCCCAAGUUGGUGGCCCAUACACAUUUGAAAGGAAAAAGGUCUUCCCGCUUGCAACAUGUUUCAAAUUAAUAGUGAGCGAGCGGUCGCGAACUAAAGCCUCCGUGCAUAAGAAGAUUUUGGAAUUCCAACAAGUAAUUAAACCACCCGAAGCCCCACUAGCAGGGAUAAAGUGACAUUUAUCGAAAUUUGCUCCGCAACAAGAGCGAAGAAAAGAUCUCGACACCGACUCUACUUUAGAUUCUUGGAAACAAACGACAGACCAAAAGUGCUUAGACACGACAGACUUGACAGCACGACGCUUGACUGGGUCAUUAAGACUGCGGACAUUCCAAGAAAUUAUGUUAAACAUGAGAGACAACAACACACACAAAAGGCACCACCACUAGGAAUCCAGCAGACUACUGAUCACUCGCGCAAAAGGAACUUUCGAAGCUUCUGAGCGUCGGCCACACUGAGUUUCACCCCGCAACCGGCACUCUUCGAAAGAACCUUCUUGAUGUUCCACUUACGAGCAGGGGACCUCGAGCUGGAGGUCUCACCCUCCAGUAGGAGCGCUUUCCUGCGCUUAGCCCAUUCCAUAACCGACAGUUUCGCCGAAACCAGCAAACGCGGGCUGGAUCUGCUUGACCCCCUCAUCUCGGUCAUAACGGAACCAACACCUCCACCCAAAUCAGAUCCGCUAGGCAAGAUACGAGAGGUUUCGGUUGCGAUUGCGUUGUCGGGAAAAGUUGCAAGGGGCCCAACUCUGUCGCCUCCGACCAUCGGCCCCGCCGAAGUGAGAGCUGGAGGAUUUGUCGAGAGGAGAGUGGGUUCCAACCGGAGAUGGGUACUGGAGGAGGUGACGACGUGCGUUGCGUCGAUCCCAGGGGCCUCGCCUCGAACAGUCGGCCCACAAGGAUAAUGAGCUCCAGGGGUUCUAGAGCUAAGAAGCAAACCACCCAGAAAUCCACUGGGGCCCGAGCCUUCUGAAGAAAUGAACUUGAAGUCACCAUAUGGCCCCUGCGAAACAGAGCACCACGGGGGCCCGCACUAACAAGAGAUCCACCAAGAAAUCCACUGGGGCCCAAACUUUCUGAAGAAUUAAACUUGAAUUCACCAAGUAGAUUGGGGCCCACAGUAGUAAGAUACUCACCAAAUCCCUGAUAAGAAAGAGCCGCAGGGGAGCCCGAAAUAAUAAGUGGUCCACUGGGGCCCAAGCGAGGUCUCUGCUUGUAGGUGAUAUGCCCGAGUGGGCCCCAGUUGACUAAAUAAAAGAGCCUACCAGGCUGUCGGGUGUAGCACAAAAGCGGCCCGGAUCCACCUGGACCCAGCAGGCCCAUUCCUCCAAAACAUUCACUAACCAGCGGAUCUCUUCCCAACCCCACUUAUAAAGAAGGAGGGUGUUGUAUGACAGAGAAAGUCCCCGGCCCAAGACUCAAGGAGGAUAAGCCGAUCUCCGCAUUAAAGCCGUCUAAAAAUUCCCCAGGCUUGUAAUGAAUGGCAUGCCCACUUUUAGCCAUCAACUUAAUUGGGAGCACCGUCCAAUACCCCAGCCAUAGACUUUCCAACCCUGGUUGUAGGGACAUCAUGAUCACAGGAGGACGAUAUAUCACCGUCGAAAAUCCGAAAAGGGGGGCGCCGCCUGACAAAAUAACACUACGUACCCCACCCUCGAGGAAAAGCACAGCAAAUGCAACGUCAGCAGCAGUGUAAUUCAAAAAUUGAUCCGUUUCUUCGCGCUUUCCGAUGAUCACCGGCGCACUCCUACGAUCCUUCUCCUUGAAUCCUUCUCCUUGAAUCGCCAGGUAGGGAGAGUCGUGAUGUUUGGAGACUUUCGACACGGGGAUCCGUCUUUUGAGGCCACCAACCUUCUCCUAUCCCGGAUUUCCGACGAAUUCCAUGACGCGUCAGAGCUCGAAGAUCCUCCGGCCGACGACCGUCGCCCCCGGACAGACCCCGCUGAACGGCGCUGUACAUCAAUAGGCCUGUGCUGAGGGUCAUGUUGGUCAGUCCGUUCGUUGGGGGGAAUGCCAGGCGCGGCUACGUCGCGCCGACCCCAUCGCUCUAAUUGGAUCAGCACCGACAACGACGAGUCACCCACAACGAUUUCCAGAUUCUCCGGUAUGUCGGAGAGGUGAUUGACGGAAAUGAGACAACGGUAUCCAGUAAAGUCGACCAUGCGGACCGAGAAGUCGUCGGCUCGAAUGAACCGGCCGAAGCCUCCGACGAGCGCCGCCACCGUACGGGAGGACCAGCACUCAUAAGGUAAACUUACGAGCCGAUCCACACAUUAUAUGUUAGCAGCGCCCUGCGAGCCCCGAGAAAAGGGUUCCAAGGAAAACAACGAAGACGAAGGCCAUCCAGAGAGAGGAUCUCCCUGCGGAUAAGUUGGUCGCACGACACCCACUCCGGUAGAAAGAUUAUGAAGUCUCGUUCGCUAUAUCGGGCGACGUGGAAAUCUGAGGGAAAACCACCAAAACGGCUCGCCAACUUAUUCGCUAUCGUUUCCUGUGGGAAGUGGCCGAGGGUCCUGGGGGGGAGCACAUCAACCAGCAUCGCGUUACGCCUCCUAUUCUGUCGCGUGAAGAAGUCGUCUGUCAGGGGGACAAAGGCACUAAGAUAGGAGGGCCGGGAGCGCAUUGCUCGAUACACUUCCAUAGGCAGGCGAUCCAUACAAUAUCGUGCAAUAUGGCCCGUCUUGCGACACCUUACGCACCGGAUGGGAGCUCGGCACUUGGCCGCCCUGUGGGAAGUGUCCAAACACCUGUAACACUUCCCACUGAAGGAGACACUGCUCGGGUAGGUGGAGUGGUGGAAGGUGUUGAAAAUGUGAGAGCGACUAUGUUGUCGAGGUGGUAAAGAGGUGGGAGUAAGAAGAGCUUCCUUAUAGGUCUUCUUCAAACCAGAAUCAACAGAAUGGGUGAACUUCUCCUGUCUUCUGUCACUCCUCCAGCUUUCAGGCUUCGACGUGUCGAUGAGGCGAGAGUUGGGCGUCGUCUCCUGAGGGUUGAAAUGAGCCGUCCGAGUUAAUGCGCGUCCCACCGUAUCAGCCCACCGCACCUUCUUUGACGAAAGGCCAUCAAAGCAAGCUUUUCCAAAGUAGGUGACUACAUUAACUCGAGCCUCAUUUACUCUAGCCUCCUUCAACGGGGUUGACCUCUGGAAACUCUUCUGUAGGCUGAAUCCCACUUCAUCUACGGCCGGGACGCACGUCGAAGUGGAUGCGUCGGAGAACCCACGAGCAGAUGCCUCCUUCUGUUGACAAGAAAGAUCACCUGUCUUCUUCCUUGACUUCUUCACUACAGCACUCUCGUAUACUUUCUCCCUUACUAUCUCCUUACUUUUACUCUCUCCUUUCCCUUUAUCCUUUCCCUUCUCCUUUCCCUUCUCCAUGGUUUUUUGUUGUUGUUGUUCCAUAACAUAACACUCAUUAAAAGUAUAGUUUGGGCUGCACCAAUACGUGCUUAAAGAGAAAAGAAAAAAGAAAAAUAAAAAAAUAAAAAAAAAAUAAAAUGCUUCACUGGGAUCGUUUUUGGCCUUCGCUACGGAGAUGGCUGCGGCUUCUGCCUUGUGCGAUGUCGCCGGCGUUGUUAUCCACGGCAACGGCAGAGUCUAGCACCCUAUGAUGAGCAAGGUUGAUCUCUUUCUCUCUCUCUUACAACUUCUUCUCUUCCUCUUUUUCUUCUUCUUCUUCACCCUCUAUUUCUUACUUCUCUCUCUCUCUCUCUCUCUCUCUCUCUCUCUCUCUCUCUCUCUCUCUUUUUUGCUCUGAGUGUGCGUGGGCUGCCCCUUCCCGCUCGUCCCACUCGUCUCUCCCCGACGCCAGUUUAUAGGGGCUCCGGAGAACUAUAUCCCCAGAUCUCCGCUGGUGAUCGACGGCGACAAGACAGCUUGAUGGAUCUCAUUGCUCGCAUCACGUUGCUGAGCAGUAUGCAGAAUGAUCUCUUGUGCGAGUGUGAGCAGUAUCCGAUUGCAUAUGACAUGUGGGAGGCUCUCAAAGCAAAAUUUGGUGCAACUUCGGCUACAAGGUUGCGCGGUCUGACUAUGCGGUUUGACAGUUAUAAGAAGCGUGCCGAUCAGACUAUGAAACAGCACGUUAGAACAAUGUCAAACAUGAUUCGCGAGUUAAAGUCGGCUGGCGGCACCUUAACUGAUGAGCAGCAAAUCCAAGCUAUGAUUCGUUUCCUUCCCAAUUCGUGGGAACAUAUGCAAGUAAAUUUAACCCAUAAUGACAAUAUCAAAACUUUUAAGGAUGUUGCGCGGCAUUUGGAGUUGGAGGAGGAGCGCCUUGAGGCUGUUAAAACUCCAACUGCCAAUGCUGCUGAGUCAAACUUUCGCAGGACAUCUGGGUUCAAGCGAAAGAGGACUACUGGGGCUCAAAAUCGUAGCGGAUCCGCGCCUAAGAAUGCGAAGAACACUAAAAGAAAGAGAAGCAAACGAGGUGGCAAGAAAGACAAGUCAAAGAUGACUUGUUUCAACUGUAAUCAGCUGGGACACUUCGCUCGUGAUUGCACUGAGCCGAAGAAGGUACAACUCUAUCCCGAUUCUCGCUCUUUUGUUUCUUCUAACACGUUUGUUGCUGAAUCUCUCCCUGUGUGGAUUGUAGACUCAGGAGCAACAGACCACGUAGCGAGGGAUCGGAUGGGAUUCGUCGAGUACCGUCGCGUGCCUGCUGGGAGCAGAAGAGUAUACAUGGGGAAUGAUUCAAGUGUCGAUGUGUUAGGCGUUGGCACAUACAAGUUGAUCAUGCAAGGUGGUCGAACUUUAUAUCUACAUGAUGUACUUUAUGCUCCAGGAAUUCGGCGGAACUUGUUUUCUAUUCUUGCUAUGCUACAGUUAGGCUUUUCUUUUCGUUUUGAGAGUGAUGUAGUUAAGAUUCAUCUUGGAACUAUUUAUUAUGGAAGAGGUUUUAUGUCGAAUGGUUUUAUGGUUUUGGACAUUGAUUAUAAUAUUAAUAAUAGUGAUUCUUUUUCCCUGCUAUCUUCUGUUGAGAAUGAUCACAAUGUUUCAAUUAAAUGGCAUGCACGUCUUGGUCAUAUUGGGCAGGAUAGAAUGACUAGAUUAGUUAGAGACGGGUUAUUGAGCUCGCUCACUAAAGUCGACCUACCCACUUGUGAACAUUGUUUAGCGGGAAAAGCGACCCGAAAACCAUUUAAUAAAGCUUCAAGGGCAGAAUUUCCUUUACAAUUAAUCCAUUCCGACAUUUGUGGCCCAAUGAGUGUGAGGGCAAGACAUGGUGCUUUUUACUUCAUCACAUUUAUAGAUGACCAUACGCGCUUCGGUCAUGUUUAUCUGAUCUCCCAUAAGUCUGAAGUAUUGGAUUGCUUUAGACGUUAUAUAAAUGAGGUUGAGAAUCAGUUAAAUAUGAAAAUUAAAUGCUUAAGAACUGAUCGAGGCCGCGAGUAUCUAUCUGAACAAUUCAAGAAAUUGUGUGAUGAAAAGGGAAUAAUCAGACAGCUGACAAUUCCUGGCACUCCGCAGCAAAAUGGUGUACCGGAGAGAAGAAAUCGCACCUUGCUUGACAUGGUUAGGUCAAUGAUGGCGCAAGUAAAUUUGCCUGUCUCCUUUUGGGGAGACGCAUUGUUAACUGCUGCCUACAUUCUUAAUCGUGUACCCUCUAAAACAGUAUCUUCCACCUCUUAUGAAUUAUGGACAGGCAGGAAACCAAAUUUGGAGCACCUGCGUCCUUGGGGUUCGGCAGGUUAUGUACACAACACUUCUCACAAGCAUGGAAAGUUGGGUCCUAGAGGAAGGAAGUAUAUCUUUAUAAGAUAUCCUGAACACUCUAAGGGAUAUAUGUUCAUCGGACAGCAGCCAGAUGGAAGUUUGACUGAGAUUGAGUCACGAGAUGUUGAAUUCCUCGAGGAGGAUUUUCCUUAUAGAAGUGAGGUUCGAAAUGAAACUGAGUUCCAUGAGAUGGAUGACUCUAGUAUUGGCGCUUCUAUUCGCUCAAUUGAGGCAGAGGAGGCAACUCCGAUACCUCCUAGGGAUAGUGGGAGCGACUUGCCUUUAGAUAAGGAGCCUCAACUUCGUAGGAGCGCACGUGUAGGCGUUCCCCGUCGUCGUUUUGAGAUUGAGGGGGAGGCCUUCAUGGUUGCUGCACAUGAUGAUGAUGAGCCUAGAUCUUUCCAAGAGGCUCUCUCAUUACCUACUCAUAAGGAAUGGUUGGAUGCAAUGAUAGAGGAAAUAGAAUCGACGAAGUUAAAUCAUGUCUGGGACUUGGUUGACUUGCCACCAGGGCGCAAAAUAAUCGGGAAUAAAUGGGUUCUCAAGAUUAAGUGCAAGACAGACGGUUCUAUCGAUAGGUACAAGGCUCGCCUGGUAGCAAAGGAUUUUACCCAACGAGAAGGCGUUGAUUACGAAGAAACUUUUUCUCCUGUUGUAAAAUUUGCUUCGAUCCGUCUGAUCUUGGCCAUUGUCGCAUACUUGGAUUUGGAACUUUACCAAAUGGACGUUAAAACUGCAUUUCUCAAUGAAUAACUGGAUGAGGAGAUCUAUAUGGAUCAGCCUGCUGGCUUCUCUGUAAAGGGUGAGGAGCACAAAGUUUGUAAGCUCCGACGAUCUAUUUAUGGAUUGAAGCAGUCCUCCAGACAGUGGUAUAUUCGAUUUCAUCGAGCCAUCACUGAAGAUGGGUUUACGAUGAUUGAAGAAGAUCACUGUGUGUAUGUUAAACGGUCCAAAAGAUUUUUUCUAAUUCUUUCCUUAUAUGUUGAUGACAUCCUAUUGGCCGGGAAUAAUAAGGAGAUGAUUGUCGCCACUCAGACGUGGUUGUCCUCUAUUUUUUGAAAUGAAGGACAUGAGUGAAGCGAAUUAUGUGCUCGGAGUUAAGAUCCUACGAGAUCGUUCUAAGAAACUUUUAGGUCUGUCUCAAGAGACUUACCUAAGAAAAGUUUUAGAACGAUUUCAGAUGCACAAUUGCAAACCCAUUGACACUCCUAUUGCUAAAGGUGAGAGUUUGAACCUUAAACAGUGCCCUAAAACUUCUGAAGAGAGGAUAAGAUGAAUCGGAUCCCAUAUGCUAAUGCGGUCGUAAGCCUGAUGUAUGCUAUGAUGUGUACUCGGCCUGAUAUAUGCUAUGCCGUGGGCCUGGUUAGCCAUUUUCCGUCCAAUCUAGGAUUGGACCACUCGAAGGCAGUGGCGCAGAAGAAAAUAAUCCUGGAACACAUAUCUACGAGUCGCGUGGUUGCAGAUUCUCUAACUAAGCCUGUUGUUAGAGAAUUAUUUUUUGGCCUAUGUUAAAGUCUUGGACUUCGUAGGAUUUGAUUGUGUAGACAGUCGAUUAUUUUUGAUUAUUUAAUUACAAAUUAUUAUUUUGAAAAAGAUAUUUGGUAAAAUUAGUACACGUGCAUUGUUAUUAAACUGAUUGAUAGUAUGUCACAGGCCGAUUGGCCCUCUCACACGGGCAAUCAUUCUUUUCGACGCUGUAGAGAGUGAGCAAAAAUUGAGGCAUUAAUGGAAGCCGCCUUGGUUGGCACCAAGAUGAGGUCAUUAAUGAGACUGUAUACAAAUAGUCCCACGAUUCGUAUGGCCUGUAUAGUAAGAGCCGGAUGUGAGCUCACCGUUUGACGCUUGAGAUAGCGAGCAAAUGGAGAACUUAGGCUAGACACUCCGGGAGUGACUGAGUUAAGAUCCGUAUGACAUUGAGAAAGACAUACGUUUAUUGGGAUUCUCUGUCAUAGCAUGUAUUUCAUACUACAUGUGCUGGGCGACUAAAUAGAGAAGAUGAGUGAAUGGAUCCCUGCUUCCUCAUCGUGUGAGUUCUUACGGACAUUAUUUUGAGACGAUGUCCUACAUAUGUUAGAUGCCCUUAGUGACUUUUGACUAUGUCAUUUAGUGAAAUAAUUGAUGUUGCUACUUUGGCAUGUUUCCUACGGCCAUGAGUGAUGCGGCUUUACGGGGCAUUGCUGGGAAAGCAAUCAGUUCUCAACUCGGUGGCAUGAGUGCUCAAGGAAGACUAGCUGAAUUACAUUCAGACACUUUGACUCAUUGUCGACAGAUUGUGUCGCUUCAGCAUAGCGAAACAAUCAUGAGUAUAGUGUCAUAAUGUGCGCAAUUGCGGUUAGCAUGGCUCUUUGAGGGGUUAGAGAUGCUGAACCUGAUGUAAUUCAAUGGUCUAGUGCGUCACGAGUCUAAUAUUUUUUCCUUUUGAGGGUUGAUGUUUCUAUGCUGGCCGGAUGCGGUUUCUAGUAUAAAGCUCCCAAAAUGCAGGUUGACUCAGCGGUCGCACUGUUCAUUUUUCUGUAUGAAUAGAAUUAAUAGUGGUGUGAUGUUGAGGAAGUGGUUACGAUGGCAUCGAUCCCGUCAUGUGCGAGUGGGAGAUGUUGGCAUUCGGUUAAAUCGAAUCGGGUACGCCCAUAAGCGGGUUCGAUCCGACGGAUGUUAUGUUAUCUAAUUGGAUUGGAAUUAAUCUCGCUUUCAAAUUGGAAAGUUAGUUAGAGCUAAAUCCUAGUCAUAUUAGGAUAACAAUUAAUAACCGAUUUGGCCUUAUCUCUAAUGCCAUAAGGAUUUUGGAAUCCCUUAUAAAUAUGCGGGCGAUCCCACAUAACGUAACAUACGAAACAAGAACGGAUAAAGAAAAGAGAAUAAGAAAAGGAAAGAGAGAAACCACAUCCUCCAUCAACCUAUUAUUCUAAGAGGGACUUGAACGGUGGAUUUGCGAUCGUGCUCGUUUGUAGUUCGAUCCAUCGCGAGUUUGGAACGUGAGAAGAUUUAAUCAAGGACGAUCAAAGGACACGUGAAUCAACCUCGACGAUCCGGGCUCAUCGAGUUGUAACGCGAAUCCGUCGUACCUUUUUGCGGAUCGAACCACUGGGAUCGGCAAUUCGUUCAUACCUUUUUGCGACAAUUCGUUCGUACCUUUUUACCGAUAGCUUUCCACCCGCUCAACGAAUCGAAAAUCUGAUUUCGGCCCCGCGUUUAGACACCUAUCAAUUAGGUUUACAAGCUAUCAAAUGAGAUCAAUCUCAUGAUUCAUCAAAAACCCCAUUUGGGUGCCAUAGGGUUCACAUUUUGCAAUUUGCACUAUAGAACCCUGGCUCCUAGCUCUAUUCCACCAUUAACGGUGCUAGAGGUCUAUUUGACCUCAUUUCAAAACCCAAAAACCCAAAAACCCUAAGUUCUACCAUUAGGGCUCAAGAGCUUACCUCUAGGUUAGCUCCAAGGGAGAAGAGAGGAAGAGGAAGAUGCUCCAAGCCUUCUCUAGCUUGAUCUCCUCCUUCUUCUUCUUCUCCUCCUUCUUCUUCUUCUCUUCCUUCUUUUUCCUCUCUUCUUUCUUCUCUUUCUCUUUUCUUUCUUUGAGAGAGAGAGAGAGAGCUGAGGGAGAGAGUGAGGGUGAGGGUGAGAGAGAGGAGAGGGCUCAGCCCCUCUAUACCCCUCUAACUAAUGGCAUUUUUGCAUAAAAGUCCCUCCACUUUAACCCUCUCAACUUACUCUGCCUGGGCAGAUUUCGCGCGAAGGGACUGGUCCCUGGUCGGGAGGACCGGUCCCCUAGGACCCUCCCAAUUUUUAUGCGUACGGGAACCGGUCCCUGCCCGAGAGACCGGACUCUAGGAGACCAGUCCUUGCCUAAGAGACCGAUUCCCGAAAGUAGGAUUCUCAGGACUUAGCCAAUUUUUCACUUCUCCCGCGGGUUUCACCUACGGGACCGGUCCCUCAGCCCCGGGGACCGGUUGCAUCAAGAAACCAUGCAACCACCAUCUACGGGGACCGGUCCUUCCCUGCCAGGGAUCGAUCCCCGAGAGCAGAAUCUGGCAAAUGCAUUUUUUGCAUCUUUUGCUCUCACGGACUCGACUCCAAAGCACUUUUUGUGUUUUGGACAUCUUUAGCUUUUCCGAAGCCUACUCGCUCGACAAUUAGUCGAUCCUGGACGAAGUAUAACUCUCGGAUUUCGAGAAUUCACUUCCUUACGGUAUAUCCCAUUGAUGCACGCUACAUGAGUUGAUUAAACUCUCGAAUAUAUGUGGGAAAGAUUGGGUCAAUGUAUUUGUAGCAUGGCAUCUAGUGCUGUGAUGUUUUUGAGCAUGUGAGGGAUUGAAAUAGAUUCUCUAGACCAUGCUAGGGAUUGGUAGAUCCCCUGUUGUUGCUACCCUGGCCAGUAGAGUGUCCUCGACAGGAGAGGAUUGGAUCAUACUCACAUAUAGUUUGAUUAGCUUGAGGGUGGUCACUCCACCUCAAGCAGUGAGCUCCAGAAUUGUCACAUCUGGGCGGUAACGGAAUUCUCCCCAGCAGACGGUCUCAGCGGGUUGUAGUGGAAUUCUCCCCGACAAAAAGGGAUUUGGUUUGGUGAGUUUGGCUUGACUUCGCGUGAGCCAUUAUGAUUAGGUCAAAAAGAAAAGAGAUCGGUUGAUUGACCAUAUUGUAUCCUGUGCUAGUUUGCAUUGUUGCAUCUUAUGUAGAGAGUGAGCAUAGUGAGAUCACAUGUUGAGUGAUGGGUCGAUCAUGAUGUCCUCGUGAGUAGUCUAUGGUGGAUGACAGAGCGGUAGCUAGUCUCCACGAGGCUGAGAGGGGUGAGUUGGGCUUGGUCUUGUGAGAAGCCCUAAUUGGGUCAUAAAUGAAUUUGGUCAAAUGUGUGUGAGGGACACUGUUGAACAUAUCGGACCAUGACAUUCAUUCCAUAUUGUAAGGCAUAGUAGUAGACAUUGUUGCAUGUUGUAUGAUUAGUAGUGGUAGACUACAUAUUCAGUUAUUUAUAUAUUACAUUGCUAUCUCCUUUUGUAUUACUAUGCCUUUAAUCAUGAUAAUGAAACCUACUUAUGCGACGUAAACUACAUUUACUCACUAGGUUUGUCACGCCCCGGGACCGAUACCAAUUUGGGUCGGCCCGAGCACGUCAAACAGACGCCGAACGGACAGAGUUUCUCCUAUCCGCCCAAGGCUCAUCACCUGUACAAUUUCAACCAAGAAGUGCACUAGCGGAAACAUACACAAACGGCUUAUACGAGGGUAAGCAAUAGCCAUGAGUGAAAGAUAGGAAACUAAACAUCCUGAAUACUAUGAUUCACUUUAGAUCACAUACAUUGCAUUUAACCUCAUAUUCAUAAUUCUUUACAUUGCUUGCAUCAUUUCUUUUACAUCACAUUUGCCCAAAAUAAAACUGUGCACUCUUUUUCUUUACUUUAAACAUCUUCAAAUACAAAAGAUGACUAUAGGGUAGCUACUAACAAAAUGUGAAAUAACCCAACUUUGGUGGCCUCUAACUAAGGUGCGAUACCUUUCCCGCGGUCGCUCGCCAGCUCGCUCGGUCCCGGCUCUAUGGAAUAGUGGGGUGAGAACUACAACAAAGUUUCCAGUGGGUUCGGCCCCAAUCUCACCGACUUUACCACUAGGACUAACUCAGGCAUAAUAGAAAGGAUAAGCAGAAUAGUAACCAAACUAUAGUCAUGAUGCUAAUAUGCCUAAACAAUAAAGUAAGAAAAAUGCUCAACGUAAAUCAUGCAAAUAUGCAAGUUCUUUGUUCUUUAAGCUUUGUUCUUUGUUCUUGUUCUUUAAUCUCACGGCUAACCCGGGGGUUUCGCCACAUUAACUUGCACACAUUAAGUCCAUCAUCGCGGGCCCUCAGCUGCCUCCCGCUAAGACCGUCCUCGGAUUUACUCCAACUCGUGAUGCAAAACUCCGGAGCGCAUCACCCGAGGGGGGAGCGACCGCCCUCGAGCACGGAACUCAUAGCAAGUAUGAUCGAUCCUUAACUCUAAGGAUAUAUAGUUCAAUCAUUGUCUUUACACUUACUCUAGUUGUGACGCACUGGACCUUUGCAAAUUUACAGUGUUUGGGUGUAUUUCGAGCUUUUCCACACUUGGUGGAGGGUUGUAGAAUGUUUUUCGACCUAAAAAGUUCGAAAACCUGAGUUUUGGUUUGGUCCUGAGAGUUUUCACUCUCGGGGACCGGUCCCUGGAAGGAGAGACCGGUCCCCCAAUGAGCAGUGUUGCGGCAGCCCUGAGGCAACCGGUCCCUGGCAGGCGAGACCGGUCCCCGAGCGCGUCUACGCAGUGAGAGACCGGUCCCGCACAGGGAGAGACCGGUUCCCGAACGAUGGUUUUUCGGGUUCGCAGCGAGAGACCGGUCCCUGCUGGGGAGAGACCGGUCCCUCUGGGCGAAAACUGCCCAGUUCGGGCUGAUGUAAAUUUGAAUUUUUGAGGGGCCUCUCCGGAUUUUGUUACACUAGAUGGGCUUAUUAGCCAUUUCCUCCUCUUCCCUCUCUCAUUUUCUCAUUCUCACCCUCUCCCUACACUUUCUAGAGAGAGAAGAUAGGAAGAGAAGAAAACGAAAGAGGGAAAAAAGACGAAUUGAGAGCACCUAUGGAUCUUGGAGACAUCUUCCUCACCCUAAUCUUCUUCCCUGUGCUUGGUGCUGGACUUGAGCUUACCAGAUGGAUCUCAUCCUUGAGGCUGAUUGGAGCUUCUUAAGGUUGUUGCUUUUCCCAGUCCUCAUUAAGAACCUGAUUUGAGGAUUUGGUAGAUGGAUACCAUAAUUAGAUUAGGUUGAUUUGGGCAUUUGAACCUAGGGCUUUUUGUUCUGGCUAGAUGAUUGGUUAGAACCUCCUUGCUUAGGUUGGAAGGUUCUACUCUCUUUGGAGCUUGAGGAAGAGAUUUCUUCUCUGAGGUAGUUUUGACCGCUUUUGCUUCUACGUUAAUAUCUGUUUAUAAGAUGGUCUAAUGCCCUCGAUCUCCGCUGAAUCACUUUUCAGGGUAUCUAGACUGUUACAACUCCGUUCGCGAAUGAAGGAAGCAGCACCGGUUCGUGUUUGACGUAGACUAUAUAUGGGAAAUACUCAUAUGCAAUAUAUUUCUGAAACAAGAAAUUCAUCGCAUUUUCAUUUAAAUGUAUUUAAAGAAUUAUUAAAUGUUAACAGCAUAUAUUAGUUAUAGGUAAUUAGACUCCUAUGCUGUAAAGAAGUGCAUGCAUUAACUAUAGCAACUAGUAUAUUGGGAACCAUGAUCCUAUAUAAAAACAGAUCUUGCCCUCUGCAUUUAACAAUAUAUCCCAAAUUGGGACAUUAGAAUUUUAGAAGGCCUAGAGAGGGCUUGAGAACUUGACUUUUGAGAAUUGGCCAGAUGUCAUAAAGAGGCAUGGCCCGGCAUAAUAGUCAUAGAAUUAAUUUUUAAAUAGAAAACAUAGAACAAAAUUAACUGAUCAGUGUGAUGCUUAAGUGCAUAAAGAGGCACUAACAAGUGAUUGUUGGACAUCCACUUAAGACAUGGCCAGAUCUGGGAUGCACUAGGACCUAGCAUGUAGAAGACAUGCGGAUAGAGUAUUGAGACAUUGACCUUGCUUGUUCCAUUUGGCUCAUUCGCACAUGCCUUGUAGGUCGCCCCUACAGCCGUACUCCGAGUUAGCCCUACCGACUUGUGUUCGUCGUGCGUAUUGAGAAGCCAUACGGGUCAGUGUGAACAGUACACAUUACAAGAGAGGAAUGUCGCUACACAGCACUUAGGCGCAUCAUACUGGAACUACCUAUGUAGGUCUUAAUUGGAAAUGGAUCAAUGACACGUUGAGUUUAUAGAUCACACUAGUCAAGAGUAUAUAGAAUACUUACUUACUUCUAGGCAUAGUUGGACAUUUGGUAUUCAUACAUACAUGUUAAUCUAGAGUGUGUUAUUGCAUUCCUUAAUCAUUAUAUCAUGACAAAGUAUUACUUUUAUAUCCAUAUAAAGUAAAAGCAUGAAUACUUGAAAUAUAACCAUGAUAAGAUAAAGUCCCAUUAGGAAAUCCAUGUCUAAUGCAGUAGCUUAGCACCUAAUAUUAUGCUUUCUAAUAAUGCAAUACCGUUACUCUAUUUAACUUACCCUUCUCUUGGGCCUAUGCACUGAGCUAGUCAGUAUUUCCCACUGGAACUAUAAAUACAUAAGUUCUCACGCCCCCCCUGUUUGUUUUCUUUCAGAGCUUCAGCGGGUGAGGCCAUGGACCGAGAAGUCAUUGCUUCCACUAGCUCUCAGCGAGGAAUCGAGUUGUUAGACACAUGUCCACCUCUCGACGUAUUCUUUUGCGAAAGUUGAAAGUUACCCGUUACUAAACCACCAGAUUUGUACCUGGAGACAAUAGGUCUACUUAAUGGAAUCUAUCUUGUUUACUACCUUAAAUUUCUUCUUUGGAAUGUAACAUAUCAAACUUUACUUAGCUCUGAUAUCAGUAAUGCAUUAUUUCCAUACUUUAUUUGUUCUAUCCCUGCUUACUCCGCUUUAUGUAGAACCCUAUAAUAUAGGUAGACAUAUGGCGGGUCUGACACGCUACCGGAGGCUUCUCCGCCCGUCCAACGGGCGUGACACUAGUGUUCUUUUCAUCACUUUAUUUUGCUAACUCUAGCAAUUAUUGUUCUUUAACUUUACUAGUUCUUUAUGCCACUUUCAUUUUCUUUACUUGUCUCUAAUCAUUAUCAUUGUUCUUUGCGUCACAUUUCUCUUUGAUGCCACACACUAACUCUAGUGUCACAUUACUUUACAUUGUCGGAUGCCACUCGAUCUAUGUUUUAUUAUGUCACUUUGUUCUUUCAUCUCAUUGGGUGCUCACAUUAUAUCUCAUGCAUACAUAUAGGGUGUUAUAGGUUCUCAACCAACUAGAAAUGCACGUGUACUCACAUCAUGCAACAUUUACAUAAUUAUCAUCACAUUUUACCCUACAAUGCAUGCAACAACAUAUACAUAAAUGCUCAAUUAAAUGACACAUUAGGCAUAGAGGGAAUUCCAACAAGUUUGGAUAGCACCACCCACCUCGUAGGUGUAGUAGGAUGCUACAAUGAUUUUCUUAUGAUAUUUAGACUCCUAGUUCGUCACCUGCGGCAAAACGAAGCCCUAUAAGGCCAUUUUUGCUCAUAUCUUUACAUUGGCUUUUCGUAACGUCAAUCCGAGCACACCAACGCGUCGGGAAUACCCCCAAUUAGGUUUCUAGAGGGUCAAUUUUAUUUUAGAACCUUUACAAGCAAAAGCCCCAAUUUGGGUGCCCUAGCUCAUAACAUAUAUCAAACCUAGGGUUUGAUCUCUAAGAGAAGCAAAAGAAAGCUUCAAAUCAUGUAAAGGUUCCAUUUGAACCACCCUUAGCUUAAUCAAAUCCCAUUUUAGGGUUUCACCAUGAGAGGGAUUGAAACUUACCUUCAAGCUUCACCACCUCCACCAAUCCAUGGUUUGAUCUCUAAAAGAAGCAAAAGAUAGCUCCAAAUACUCAAUAGGUUCCACUAAAAUCAUUUCUAGGUCACUUUGUCAGGUACUGAACUUCUGAAAUUAUGAAGUUACGGUUGGAUGUAAUAUACCGACUUUUUAAUAUAAAAUAAGUAUAAAUAAAAAUAGUGUGAGAUACUAUUUUUAUUGGACUUAAGGGUGUAAGGUAUAAAUUGAAAAUGACAUGUGCAAAAAUUGGAGCGAAAACAAAAGAUUUAGAAUUUUCUGUGAAAAGCAGGGCUGAUAAAUUAGCAGAAAAUGCACAGUGUCAGAAAAUUAUGAAAACUGAAGGAUAUGUCAGAAUUAUUUUUAUGAGGCUAGAUUUAAAGUUUCAUACCAUUCUGACGCCCGAAAAGUGGAAAAUAAAAUCCGACUGCUAUCUGAUAAAGAUUACAGUUCGGUACAGCUUUCGGUGACCAAACAUGGUCGAAACUGAAUGAUUAAAAUUUCUUUGGACUUAUUAAGUAAAACCGAGCCUGCCUGUCAAAUUUGAGCGCAAACGGACGUUCAGAAGGGCUCCGACGAAAUAUGUCAGUUUUAAACUGCUGAAGUGAAUAGUGUUUUGGGGGAGUUUACUUGGAGGUGAAGUUUCCUCCUAUAUAUAUAUAUAAGGGUGUUAUGUCAUUUCCCUCAUUCCUCUCUACUUGAGCCAACAUAAGAGAAAUCUCUCUCUCUCUCUCUCUCUCUCUCUCUAGGAUUGGCUCCAAAGUGUGGAGUUUGGUAGAGAAAAGCUUACUUAGAGGUGAAGCUUUCUUUUUCUUUACCAUUGGCUUGAAGAGAGCUUGGGUUUGAGAGGUAAGCUUUGAUAGCAACAAUGGUAGAUUGCUAAGUAAUGAUUUGUAUGCCUUAGAAAUGGGUUUAGUGAAACUCCUAGAUGCUAAAUAGAUGGUUGAUGCUUGAAUUUAGAGAUCUAAUGAUGAAUUCUUGCAUAGUUGCAUCUUAGGGCAUCAAAAGAGGGGUUUUGCUUGUGAGGGAUUUUGAUCUAAAUUGAUCAUGUAUAAACCUAAUUGCUAGGUAUUCUGACGCAUUGGCGAAGUCGGUUCGGCGAUACGACGAGGCUACGCGAAGAUAUUGAAGAAAAGACUUGUUUCGGUACAAAUUGUCGCAGCUUGCGGCGAAAGUUUCCAAAAAUCACGAAAUCGAAACCCUAGCCUCUUGGUAGCAUUAAAAGGUGGGGGGUUUCCAUCCGAAGCAAUCGAGCUUCCUUCUAUGUCCGAGUUAGAUUUUUGGUCAUAUUGCACAUAUUGUUCUUAUGCAUUAUAGGAUGUAUGUAUAGUUGCAUUUCUAUUUUCUUGCAUGCAUGUCUAGUUGUGUAGCAUUAUAGACUUGACACUUAAAUCUAGAAUGCAUGAGGAUUAGGGUUUGUGACAGGAGAUCCUAUAAUGAUAAGAAAACGGUGAACUCGGACUUGAUAAUGAAAACUAGUGACAUGCUAACUAGUGUAUAGAAAAUACUAUGACUUGGACGAGUGGCAUGUAAACAAUGUUAACAACAUGACGAGUGGCAUUGGAACUUAGUGUAAUAGAAACACUUGUGGCAUUGAGCAUAGGGAAUAGGUGAGUUUCCCUAGUCAUGGCAUAUUGCAUGAGAAUUAGUGUAAUUGAGACACUAUGGCAUCAAACAUAGGGAUAGUUCAAUUCCCUAGUGUGAGUUGAUUAGUGUGGUUGAGACACUUGACAUGGACCUAGGGAUAGGUGGAUUUUCGAGUGUUUGUUAACCUAGUUGACAGGGUAUCCUCAGUUGGCGAGGAUUGGAUCAUACUCACAAGUCUGUUUUGAGCUUGUGGUGGUCGCUCCACACAAGCAGUGCACUCCGGAGUUGUCACACGAGCUGGGUAGCUCACGAGCGGGGUAGCUCACUGGGUGGGAUACGAGCGGGGUAGCUCCUCACCCAUUGCCGGAGUUGUCACACGAGCGGGGUAGCUCACGAGCGGGGUAGCUCAUCGGGUGGGAUACGAGCGGGGUAGCUCCUCACCCAUUGGACUGGGACGUGAGUUGGGGCGAAGGGCGGGGUAGCCUUUCCCCUAUGAGAUUGAGCGGGGCAGCUCAUUAUCUAUGAGAUUAGAGCGGGGUAGCUCUUCAUCUAUGACCUUUGAGAUGUGAGACGGGUGAGAUAAGAGCGGGGUAGCUCCUCACCUAUGAGAUUUGAGAUAUCAGUCAGGGCGAAGAGCGGGGUAGCUCUUCACCUCUUCACCUACUAGAAUUGUGGUGUGAGUACCUAUGAGAUUUGAGAUCUUAGGCGGGGUAGCCUAGUGGAUGGGGUAAUGACAUGAAUAGCAUAAGUGGAUUUCUAUUCAUCCCAUGAUUAAAUAUAGUAUAUGAUAAUGGAUUGCAUAACUAUGUUGUAUUCGUAUUCAUUACAUUGUUGAAGCAUACUAGCAUGAUAGUAGGCUUAUUGCUAGAUGAUAUUUCAUGCAUUGCUUGCAUUUGAUGGCACAAUAGAUCAUAGUUGCAGUUCAAUAUCUAUCUAUCUCUCUAUCUAUCUAUUUGUGCCAGCUUAGACCUAGUGGGAAGAUCGGCGGAGUCGGCGGCCGAACCCACUGGGAACUAUAUUUAUAUAGUUCUCACCCCGUGUGGUUUUGGGGUACAGGUACACACGAGAGCGGACCGGCAGGGGAUCGCGGUAAGGGCGUAGCGCCCUAGCUAGCUAGUUGUGGCUUUCCUUUUGUACUAGAGUACCCUCGUGUACAUAGGUGACAUGGUUGUAUUUUGGAGAGUACAUUGUACCUAGAUGCAUGUGAGUGGAAUAUGUAUUCAUUUUGGUGAUGAUGAAAAUGUAAAUGUAAUCAAAGAUGUAAAAGUGGAAUGUGAUGUAAUAGCUAGAUGUAUCUCUCUUUAUGCACUUGUAUGUAUACUUGUGUUACUUGCUCUUGUUGUAUUGCACUCUUUGUGCUUCUCUCUUUGUUGGAUCGUGUAUGUAUUGAAUUAUCCCUGGGCAAAUUCUUUGUACAUGAUCCUGUGUUGAGCCUUGGGCGGACAGGGGAGGUGCUGUCCGUUCGGCGUCCGUCCGGCGCGCCCGAACCGGACCAAAUUGGUAGCGGUCUCGGGGCGGGGCGUGACACACUUAGUUCUCAUUCUAGGAUUUUACCAUGAUUAGGGUUCAAGCUUACCUCAAAGCUUUCCCCUCUUCAAGCUAGAGAUGAGGGAGAGGGAGUUUCUUCACUGCUUCUUCUUUUCCUCCACUUUUUUCUUCUUCUUUUCCUUUCCUUUCUUUGUCUUCUUCUUCUCCUUCUUGUCUUCUAGAGAGAGAAAGAGAGAGGAGAGGGAGUGUGCGAGGGAGAGGGAAUGAGAAAUAAAGCCCUCAAAGCCCUCCACUUAACCAUUGGGUUGCAUAAAUGCAAAUAGGCCCCUCAACUUUCAUUUUAUUGAACUGCUCAAACUGGGCAGAUUUCGGGUCCGGGGACCGGUCUCCCCGACUUGGAACCGGUCCCAGAGAGCUGCUCCCCGCAGCUGCGCAGGGCUCCCCGCGAUGCAACCGGUCUCUCCCAGGGGGACCGGUCUCUCGGGGACCGGUCUCUCCCCGCAGGGACCGGUUCCCGAGAGCUGAUUUUCUGGGACUUAGCCGAUUUUCCACCUUUCUCAUUUCUCACGCGUUCGGGGACCGGUCUCUCCCACCAGGGACCGGUCCCCGAGAACUCAAAAGUUGCAAUUUGCAGAUUUUUGAUUCUUUAGCUCUCAAAAACCUCUCACAAGGCACUUUUGAUUAUUUUAACACCUUUGGACUUUCCAGAGUGUACCAUCCUCGCACUUUGGUCAAUUUGACUAAAGUUCGAUAUUUAUUUUUCGAAUUCUCGGUAUAUUACAAGGUUCAUCGUUCUAGUCGUGCCACUUGACUCACUCUUGAGUCAAUCACAUGCGAAAUCGCCGCCCUCAUCUUGGCACUAGGGCGCGGAAUCGCCAUACUACUUAGCCAUAAGUCCACAACUCGUGGAAUUGCCACUUUCAUGGUCACAUCAAGGGUCCAUAUGUUCCACCCUAUGCUUUAACCUCUCUAGGUUUAAAGUCACUCAUGUCUAAGUGGUCAUCCUACCACUAUAUUCUCCACCUAUGUUCAAUGAUAGGUUCUCCAUGUUCACAUGUUGAGUUCUCUACCAACCCUAGAGAAUGUCUACCUAAAUUUUUAUCCAUAUCAUAGGAAUGCAAGAAGCCAUGCAUGCAUUUAUAUAAUGAAUGAAAAUAGCAUUUGAAUAUACAUUUAUCGCAUGCAUACAUUUUUACUCAUGCCACAUACAUAGGUAGUAAAAUUUAUCAUUUCAAGUAGCAUAUACCUCUAACAUGCAUAUCUAACUUUUAAACUAUCAUCCAACAAUAAAUCACUUGUUUUAACUAUUACUCUCUAGACAUGAGAGGUAACCAAGUCACUUCGAUGCAAUACAACCCACCUCAAAAUUAACCUAAUUGCUUGUAGUCACUUGCAAUUAGGCCUUCCCUUGGAAUACAAUCUUUUACUCCAAGCUUCCUUGCCCUAACACAAGAAAAAUGGUUCGUUAUCAUUUUUGAACUCUAAAACAAUUUUAUUUCUUAAAAUCUAGUUGUCCCACAUGAUCCUACCCUCUAAUUAGGGUUUUAAAGAGACAAAUAAUUUUUGAACUCAUCCAAAAUAAAAAUUCUCCUCUAAUCUAGGGUUUUCAAAGUAAUGGCAAAACCUCCAAAUCUCAUAGCCCUCACCAUUUGUGGUCUAGAUCUGUUUAGGGUUUGCUAAAACCCCAAAUCCAAGAUUAAAACCCAAAACCCUAACUCAAAAUAUUAAGAACUCACCUCUAACCUAUGCUUCCCAACCUACUUUUUGCUCCAAAAAGCUUGCUUUUCACUUCCAAAGCCUUCUCCAAGAUCAAUCCCUCACUUCUCCAAGUGUUGGUGGAGUUUUUAGAGAGAGAAAAAGAAAAAGAGAGUGAGAGAGAGGUGUUCUUGUGUCUUCACAAAUGGGGAAGGAGAGGGUCUGAGGUCCCCUUUGUGGGGUUCAGCUAAAAUUACAAAAAUACCCCCAAAACACACAUUCUGUGAGUGUAGGGUUUGGAUCCUGAAGCAAGGUCCAGACCUAGAAAGCAAUUUUAAAAUUUUCGCUGGGAGGGUCCGGAUCCUCCAUCAAGGUCUGGACUUUGAUACUCUUGUAUCAAAGUCUAGAUCAUCAAGUCAAGUUUUGGAUCCUGAGAGUCCAGCAGGUCAAAAAUAAAAUUUUUGAAAAUUUCCAUUUUCGCUCCUUGAAACUCUAAUUCACUUCUAAUCGUUCCGAAACCCUCGGAACUCAUUUUCAAAUAUGUCUAAAUCAUCUCUCAACUGUAUUUCACCCAAUUUGGCCAAAGAUAAGUAUAGUAUGCCAAAAUUUGGUACACCACAUACCUUCCUUCUUUAAAGGAGUUUGGUUUGAGAAACUAAAACAAUACCUCAACUCGAAGUAGUGAAGAGGUGAGGGAAACGAUCCUUCAUUGAGCUUUCCAAUUCCUAAGUGGCUUCACGCUCAUCGUAAUUGGUCCAUUGCACUUUAACUUAAAGAAUUGUGCAAUUCAGUAGUUUUUUCACCCCGUGAGCAAGAAUGCACACCGGGAACUCCUCAUACGAAUGUCCUCUUGAAGCUCUCAAGCAGCUCAUAUUGAUGGACAUAAGUCGAAUCAUGUAUAUAUUUGCAGAGUGUGGAAACGCGCAACACACUGUAGACUCCCACAAGCUUUGAUGGCGGUGCUAGUCGAUAUGCCAAAAGCCCCACGCACUCCAAAAUCUCAUACGAUCCGAUAUAUCGGGGACUUAGCUUAACCCCGAAUUCCAAAUUGCUUUACCCUUCUUAUGGGUGACACUUCAAGAAGAUGUGGUCGCCCACCGCAAAUUCUAAAUCUCGCCGACAGUUGUCUACAUAGCUUUUCUAUUGGGCUUGCGCCGUCAAUAACCGUUGACGUGCCAAACGAACCUUUUCUUCUGCAUCUUGCAAGACAUCGGGUCCCAAGGCCAAUUCCUCGCUGACCUCACUCCAAUGUAUUGGAGACCGGCAUUUCCUUCCAUACAAUGCCUCAAAUGGUGCCAUACCAAUACUUACCCGAUAGCUAUUGUUAUAAGUAAACCCCGCCAUAGGCAAGUAGGUGUGCCAUACACCCUUGAAAUUUAUAACACACGCUCAGAGUAUAUCCUCCAAAAUUUGGUUUGUCCUCUCCGACUGACCAUCCGUUUGAGGAUGGAAUGCUGUGCUAAAAUCGAGUCGUGUGCCCAAAGCCUCAUGCAAGCUCUUCCAAAAUUGAGAUUCAAAACGGGGAUCCCGAUCCGACACGAUCGAUGCUGGAACCUCGUGUUAACGCAUAAUCUUAUCCAGAUAGACUUGUGCCAACUUAUUCCUCGACCAAGUAGAGUGGAUCGGCAAAAAAUGAGCCGACUUCGUCAAACGAUCCACAAUCACACAAAUUGCAUCGUGACCUCCUUGAGAUCGAGGCAAUCCUACGAUAAAAUCCAUCGCUAUGAUCUACCACUUCCAUACCAAAAUCGGUAGAUUUUGCAAUUUUCGUGUUGGGAGCUAAUGUUCAGCUUUCACUUGUUGAGAAGAAAAAUUAUAGUUCAUAAAAUUUAUAAAAAAAUAAACUAAUUAUCAACUGAGAUAAAUUUUUAAAACAAGAAUAGAUAAAAUUAUAUGUCAGAUAUAUGUUAUAAAAAGAAAUAGUAGUUCAAAAUCUAAAUUGUAGAUCAAAAUUGUUUUAAUUAUGAAAAAUAUUAAUCGUCUUUUCAUAUAUAUUAUAUAAAUAUAGAUAGAUAUAGAUGGAUAUUGAUUGGUUCCUGUAAAAUGAAAAUGCCCAGAGGGACCACUAAGAAUAGAAAAAAACAAAAACAACAACAGUGAGAAAAGGAGAUUGUCCAAGUCAUUUAUUUUAAUUAGAAACUAAAACACAUCAUGAGAACCAAGGAUUUAAGUGUCGUGGGGUCGUGCUUGAAAUUUGCUGACAUAGUACGGCACGGUGCAUGCCGGACCGUAUCGAUGCGUGCUGAUAAUAAAAAAUAUAUAUACCGACACGUAAUAGCAUGAAAUAUUUAUUUUUUUUAGCAACAAAAUAUAUCAAUUAUUUAUUAUGUAUUUUUAUCAAAUCUUUUGAACUACAUUAAGAACAUUACUUACUAAUUUCAAGAAUAGAGGAUUUUGAGUUGUACCAUCAACACGGAGGUUGUAUCGUGCCGAUAUCUUACUGGCACGAUACGGCACGGUAAACACGGCUCGUGCCAAUGGGCACUUUAAUCUUUGAUGAGUACACUUCACAAUCACCUAAUCUCAAAACUAGCAAACUUGAUUGCUGGACAUGUGUUUGAAUAAGAAUUUAGAAGAAUCCCAAUUAAUUAAGCUAUUUAUCCUAAAAUAUUUUCAAAUGUUCUUGUCAAACUCAAUAGCUCUUAGUUUUAUUUGGAAACUCUAGGCUAACAAAAUUUACACAAUUCAUACCUAUAUAGAUAGAAGUUUGCCUGUUCAAUAAAGUCCAACUCCAAAGUUCCAAAAGAAUUGAAAUCCUCGCAAAGAAAAUGAACUUAAACAUCAAGAAAUUCUGAUACUACAGUAGUACAUAUUUGUUUAGUUGCUUAAUAACACUUUUAAAUACUCUUCUGCCCAUCUGAGGCUAAUAGAAUACAAUAAUGUGCCGGCUUAUCGGCUGGAUCAAGAUAAUUAACAUAACCCUUUUGGGAUUAUGUAAAGCUGAUGGUUUUCAGCUGCAACGUGAAAACCAUCCACAGCAAAGAGGAAGAACAAACAAAACUUACGAUGGAUUAGCUUUCGUGGAUUCGAAUUCCAAGUUGAACCUCUCCAGUCUAGACUGAAACAGAUCAUAUACUCCAUGCAAAAAAUGAGGUGAUACAACCAAAUGUGAAACCAGUGGUAGUACGUAGUUCCAUACACCAUCUGGACCAUUCGGGAUCGCUUCAUAGCCUCUUGGUGCAUCGGUAGGCUUUGGUUCAACUGGUAUGCAUUUCAAGAUAGCACCAGCAAUCAAACUGACAGCCCCAAGGCCGACACUGAUCAACCAUUGUUCUCAAGUAAGCGGUACCGUGCUUGCGAAUGCACCAAGGAAUUCUACUAUUAUCACUUGGAAUACGACAGUGGGAGUUAUAAUGGCAGCGAAGAUCCAGUUGCUGAAAAUUCUGCGAAAAAUGUUGAUCUUAUCCAUCUCCCUGCUAUUUAUUUCGUUGAACACCUGAUGAAACAAAAGUUUAGUAUCAUUAUUCGUUCUACGCUAUAUUGUUUGACACUCCGGAGAAAAUCAAAAGGAAUAAAAUCAGAAUUAAUAUCUGUCAUAUUAUGCAAACGAAAGGAAUUAACUGAUGCAUCUGAUGAUGUGUGGUCAGAGAAGUAUUCGGAUGCCCAUACUUUCUAAGUUAAAAUCAAUGUUAGGACAUCUUAUACCAAAGACCUAGAUGUGAUCAGGGCCAUUUAGAACAUUUAGAAACUAAUAUUCUAAUUUGUGGAACUCCCUAACCUAUGCAUCAAGUGGAGACAAAAGUGAGUACGCUUAUUAAACGGAGUAUCGGAUUCCCCAAUUCAACCAUUAUCCUUGGGUAUUAUACGACGAAAAUAAUAUCCACAUACAAAAGUCGAUGGCAACCAAAACACUACAAUGGGCCAUAAAUAAAACCUAAAGACAGCUAUCUGAAAGUUUCAUUUAACUGAAAUUCUGGGAUAUGUGCCUACCUCUGUAGCAGAGAAAAUUUUGGUACAUUUUUUUGCUGCUUCAGCAAAACAAAGAUGAAACCUAAAAGAGAUAGAACAAAGGAGAAAAGGAAGAAAAGGAAAUACAUGGGAGCUUAUCUCACCUAGAAGUAGAUUUCAUCAGAACAUCUCCUAAAUCCAAAAUAUUCUUACCAGACAUUCAGCUACUGAUAGAGGUUUCAGCCAGAUUCUCUUCCUUUGCAUAAUUCAAUUCAGCAAGAGCUGAACUGUCCGCCAAGACAGGAUUGUAAUGGUAGAUUAGGUACGAAUAACACCAAUAUAGCUCCUUGCUAAACUCCAGUAUAAGAUCAUGAUCGAUUUGUCGUCAAUAUCACUUUGACUACCAUUUUCUCAAUCUUUUCAAUAAUUAGAUUAUUACCCUGAAUCUAAAUAUUUGUAACCUCCAGAGCAUAAAAGAUCUUCCUUCCAUUUAUUGUCAAAAUGAUUGUCCUCUUGGCUAUGAAUUCAAUGCUCACUCUCCUCCAUUACUCGAUGAAAUGUUCUAACUAACCAAGUUUUACAACUUCCAUUAAUUAAAACGUAGAACAGAAAUAAUGCCAAACAUGUUUAGGUGUCAAUCUCGACAGCAUGACCACUUUUUCAAUAAAAAAUAAAGCAAGUUUGAUCCCAGUAGCCGCAAAACUAACCAAUGGGAUUUUUCAACACAAUACUAAACUAACGACACUACAAGGAAGCUUCAUUUGCACAAUGUUCGACAAUAAAAGAGGCGUCCUAUCUAUGCUUACCUGGCAAAACACAAAGGAGUUGAAUAUGAGUGUAUUGACAACAGAAUCAGCAUCAGGACCCCUCAAAUUCAGAAGCCUUUUACUAGCGAACAUGAGAGUACCAAGUAUAAGCAGCUGAUACAAGCUCUAACCAAUGAUAUUUCUCCACACGGUCCUUGUUAUAAAGUUCUCACCCCAUCUCACAGGUGGCCUUUUGCAUCAUCUCAUCAUUCAGAGGUUCUGUAGCCAAGGCUAAAGCACCAAGAGUAUCCAUAAUCAUGUUCACCCAAAGCAGCUGUACAGCAGUGAGAGGAGCAGUUCCUACAAGAUGCAUAAAUGAUGAUAAAUGUAUUAUGCCAGAGAGGAAACAAAAUUUCCUGCUAAAAGAGUACUCUGAUACAUGAUGAGAAAUAACAAAAAAAUGAGGGUCAGUUCCUACAAGAUGCAUAAAAAGUGAGAAAUACACUAUGCUGAAAAGGAAAAAGAAACAAAAUUUUCUGUUAAAAUAGUCCUCUGAUACAGGGUGAGAAGUAAUAACCAGAUGAGGGUCUCACGUACCUAUGAUGCGUGCCGAAACAAAAUUGACGAUCAAAGCAACAACGUUAACGGUCAACUGGAGCUGCACAAACUUUUGGAUGUUGAUGUAAACUGCACUACCCCAUCGAGCAACAUUUAUUAUAGUAGUGAAAUUAUCAUCCAACACAAUAAUAUAAGCACUCUCUUUUGCACCCUGUGUACAGAUACAAGUUCUUGUUAUGGCUGUUACAGCAGUGACACUUUAAAUAACAAUCUAAUGGAACAUUGCCUGUUCAACAGUUAUUCAGCAUUAACAGGUGGUCUCACAUCAGAAAGAGUCCAUCAUGAUGAAAUUGCAAAGAAGAAAAAGUAGACAUUGUAAUUCGUGGAUUCCCACUUUAAUUGGUAGCAUGUUGUAAGGAAGUGAAUUCUCGAAAUCAGAGAGUUGGACUUCGCUCAGAAUCGACUAAUUGUCGAGUGGGUGUCCCUCGGAGAAGCUAAAGAUGUCCCAGACAAAAAAGUGCUUUGGAGUCGAGUCCACUAGAGCAAAUAGUGCAAAAUCUGCACUUGACAGAUUCUGCUCUCGGGGACCGGUCCAUGACAGGGAAGGACCGGUCCCCGUAGCUGGUGGUUGUGGGGAUGCUUAAUGCAACCGGUCCCCAGGGCUGAGGGACCGGUCCCCGUAGGUGAAAUCAGCGAGCAGAGGAAAAUUUGGCUAAGUCCUGAGAAUCCCACUUUCGGGAACCGGUCUCUUAGGCAAGGACCGGUCUCCCGCGAAAAGCUAGCAGAGAGCUCUCUGCCCGCAUGGAUUGCUCUCGGGGACCGGUCCUCCCGACCAGGGACCGGUUCCCGUACGCGAAAAGCUGGCAGAGAGCUCUCUGCCCGCAUGGAUUGCUCUCGGGGACCGGUCCUCCCGACCAGGGACCGGUUCCCGUACGCGAAAAGCUGGCAGAGAGCUCUCUGCCCGCAUGGAUUGCUCUCGGGGACCGGUCCUCCCGACCAGGGACCGAUCCCUCCGCGCGAAAUCUGCCCAGGGAGGGCAUGUUGAGAGAAGCAAAGUGGAGGGGUUUGGCUGCAAUUGUUACAUUAGUUGAGGGGUAUAGAGGGGCUGAGCCCUCUCCUCUCUCAUUCUAAUCUCUCUCUCUCUCUCAGCUCUUUCUCUCCCUCUCUUGAAGCAAAGAAGAAGGAAAGGAAGGAGAAGUAAAGGAGAAGAAGAAGAAGAAGGAGGGGAACUUGAGGGAGAUCACCACCACCAUCUUCUCCUCUUCCUCUUCCUCUCCAUUGGAGCUAACCUAGAGGUAGGCUUCUCGACUGUCACGCCCCGGGACCGGCGAGGGCCCUCCCGGUAGCGCGCCCAGACCCGCCAUAUGUCUACACAUAUAAGGCGUCUACAACAAAAGCGGAAGUAAAGCAGGAGAUAGAACAAAUAAAAGUAGUGAAAUAACUAGCAACUAAUGAUAUCAGAGCAAGUAAAGUUCUAUCAUCUACACCAAAGUAAAAAAAUAAAGCUAGUUGAACAAAGGUAACCAUAAGUAGUACAAUAACCGUCUCUAGUACAAAAAUGGUGGUCUCAUACAUAUACGGGUACAACUCUCAACCUCUCACAAAAAAAAAACACGAGAGGUAGACCACCUAUCGAACGAUCCCUCGGUAAGAACGCUAGCCCGAGGCGAUACCCUUUCCGCGAUCCCUGGCCUCUCCCUGCGUGGAAGGCUCUGAAAAACAUCGAGAAAAAGAGGGCGUGAGAACUAUAAUUUAUAGUUCCCAGUGGGCAAUUACUGACCUCAGCUCCUGCUCCACUAGGCCCCAAAAAUAAGGGUAAGUAACGUUAAUAGCAAUAAGCAAUAAAAAGGAGCAUGUAAAUAAACUGCUGAAAGAGAGAGCAUAAAUAAAAUGCUAUACUACUAUAUCUCACAUAAGCACGAUGUCAAAGUGUUGUACAUCUAUUCUAUCAUAAGAAAAAGUGACCAAUGGCAAUAGUUUACUGUUACAAACCUUUAUUCAUACAUGAUGUAUAAGCUCUAUCAUGGCAACCAAGUAUACUGUGAUGAAAUAGGUAACUGUCAAGUAUACUACAUGUCUCAACCCUAUGCUAUAAGCAUGUAAAUGUAAUCCAACUACUAAACCUAUCUAGUAGUGAUUGUUCAUAUACAACUCCGUGUCGAUUUUCAUUUCCAAUUAAGGACCUACCCAAGGUAGUCCAGCUUGUGCCGCCUAAGUACCUGUGGUAGCCCAACAUCCCUACUCUUGGAAUGUGUCUGUCCCACUCGACCCCGUAGGCUUCUCAAUACCGCACGAGCAAACAAAAGUCGCGUAGGCUAACUCCGGAGUGCCGGCUUGUAGGGAGCGACCCUCACAAGCAUGUGCGAAUGAGCACAAAUGGCAAGCAAGCAUAGUCCAAGUCUCAAGUAUCCAACCCUCAUGUCUCUAACAUGGUAUAGUCACUAGCAUCCCGAAGAUCUAGUUUAAGUCGCAAUGUGAAGUUUCAACAUUUGCUACGCCUAGUGCCCCUUGAUGACACUUAGGCAAUUUGAUGUUCAACAUGUUUUUCAAAUCCCUCAAUGGCCCUAUCCACUAGGUUCACACAUGUCCUGAGCUCAAUGCCGCUUGAUGACAUUAGCUCUCUAAUUCACAUGAUAUCAAAUUCGAUGCCUAUAUAUAUAGCAAUUGUCAUCUUUCAUGUCUCAAUUAAACUUAUAUUUAAACGCAUGAAUCAUAGCUCAUUUACUCUAUAGAAACAUGAAACCAAAUCUCAUAUAGAAUGCUAUAAAUGCAACCAACUCUCUCUCAAGCAACUCUCUACUACAUAGAGGUCCAAAAUUUCAUUACAUACAACAUGGGCAUUUUAAGCACUCUAAAAUUCAUAAUAAAUACAUUUAAUAUGAAAAUGUAUGAGUUAUUAGUACACGAAGCACUUAUCACCAAAUAUGAGAUUUUCUCAUAUCAAAGGCUAGGUCAAACCCACCAAAAUCGAAACUUUCGUUUCGCCGAACGGAGAUUUCCACAAGCUUUCUAGCACCCUAGGAACAUAAAAAAUGGUGUCAUCCAAUCGAUACGAAGAGCAAUAAGCUCAAUCUUUAACCUAGAAGCAAAAUGGCCAAAACUCACCUCAAGAGUAGAAAUCUUCUCCUAAGCUCCAAAAGAGAGCAAGAACCCUUCCAAUCCAAGCCCUAGGAAGGUUCUAAACCAACCAAUCAAGCCUCAAAAGCCCUAGGUUCAAAAAGCCCAAAAUGAACCCUAAGUCCCAAAACUAGGGUUUCAUCUCAAAGAAAGCUCUAAAAUCCAAAACUAGAGGAAAGGAUCUUGCCACUUACCUCUUAGAAGCCUCAAAACCAGCUCAAGUCCUCAAACUUCAAGUAUCUUCCCUCAAUCAAACUCCAAAUCCAAGUUCCAAGCUCCAACAAUGGUGGAAAUAGCUCNNNNNNNNNNNNNNNNNNNNNNNNUAAACCCUAAGUCCCAAAACUAGGGUUUCAUCUCAAAGAAAGCUCUAAAAUCCAAAACUAGAGGAAAGGAUCUUGCCACUUACCUCUUAGAAGCCUCAAAACCAGCUCAAGUCCUCAAACUUCAAGUAUCUUCCCUCAAUCAAACUCCAAAUCCAAGUUCCAAGCUCCAACAAUGGUGGAAAUAGCUCCAAUAGGGAAAAAUAGAGGGAAAUCCAUCAAAAUCCAAGAAAUUGGAGAUCAAAUCCAAAUAGGGGAAAAGAGGGGCUCCUUAUCUUGCUCCUCCUCAGGUUCCAGCACAAGGGAGGCCCUAUGGGGCGUGGGUGCUGUUAUAAGGGUGCCACAAUCGCAAAUAAGCCCCUGCAGAACAAACUGCACGAAAUCAGCCUCCUUGUACCGGUACACGGGAUCUUGUACCGGUACAAGAGCUGCGAAAAUCCAAAUCCGAGGCUCGGGUGCGCAGUUCUGCGGCACUGUACCGAUAUAGGCCCGAUGGCUGUACCGGUACAACCAUCAACAUUGUACCGGUACAAGACCUGCGAAAAUGCAAACCCGAGGCUCGGGUUUGCGAGUUCUCGGCUCUGUACCGGUACAAGCACAACCUUGUACCGGUACAAGCCCGCCAGACAGCCAAUCCGAGAGCUGACCAAAAUCCAAAUUUUGGGUUUUGGUGCAAGGCUUCGUACCACACUCCUCGGGACAUGUGCCAUAGGUCGGAACACAGUCAACGACCUACCAGUAAUCUGAAAAAGCUCAAAACACGACCAAUCACUCGAACCUCGCAAUUUGCAAAGGUCCAGUGUGUUACAUUCACCCCUCCUAAAAAGGAGUUUCGUCCGCGAAACUCGAAACAAACAAGGUACCUCAAGCCUCCAUCUGAAAAAGAUGGGGAUAGCGCUCCCGCAAUGCGCUCUCUAGCUCCCAAGUGGCCUCGCGUUCGUCGUGGUUGCUCCAAAGCACCUUCACGUAGGGAAUUUCUCGGUUCCGCAAUCUUUUUACCUCGCGAGCCAAAAUCCUCAAGGGUUGUUCCUCAAAGCUCAAAUCCUCCCGUAGCUCCAUAGGUGUAACGUCCAACACAUGAGCCGGGUCGUGGAUGUACUUCCGAAGGACCGAUACAUGGAAUACAUUGUGUACACCCGAUAGGUUUGGCGGUAGAGCNUCCUUACUGUUGUUACGGUUAUCCUUAUUGUUGUUUAUUAUACUCACUCCUUUUCCUUUGGGGCCUAGUGGUGCGAUGAGCUGAGGUCAGUAAUUGCCCACUGGGAACUAUAAAUUAUAGUUCUCACGCCCUCUGUUUGGUGUUUUCUUUCAGAGCCUUCCACGCCGGGAGAGGCUAGGGACCGCGGGAAGGGAGUUGCUUCGAGCUAGCUUCCUUCGAGGACGAUUCGCUAGGUGGUCUACCUCUCGUUGUACUUUAUUUUGAGAGGUUGAGAGUUUUACCAGUGUACUAGUGACCACCACUUUUGUAUUAGAGGCUGAUACUGUAUAACUUAUGUUUACUUUUAUGUUCUAUUACUAUUAGUAUAGAUGUUAGAACUUUACUCGCUCUGAUAUCAUUAGUUGCUUGUUAUUUCACUUCUUUUAUUUGUUCCAUCUCUUGCUUUUACUUCCGCUUUUCUUGUAGAUGCCUUAUAUGUGUAGACAUAUGGCGGGUCUGGGCACGCUACCGGGAGGGCCUCCGCCGGUCCCGGGGCGUGACAUGCUGCGACCAUCCUCCCUGGAAGUCGAUCACGCAGGCUCGAAGCAUGCCCUCGAGAAUCUGUAUAGUACGCUCCGACUGCCCAUCACUCUGGGGGUGGAAAGCCGUACUGAAGUCCAAACGCGUACCUAGAGCGUCCUGUAAACUCCUCCAAAAGUGGGAUACAAAAUGGGGGUCUCGAUCUGAUACUAUGGAAGUAGGUACCCCGUGUAAUCGCACAAUCUCAUCCAAAUAAACCUGUGCGAGCCUCUCACCAGUCCAAGUAGUGUGGAUAGGUAUGAAAUGUGCCGACUUCGUCAAUCUAUCCACGAUCACCCAAAUAGCGUCAUGCCCGGCCUGAGAGUGCGGCAAUCCCAUCACAAAAUCCAUGGUGAUCUUUUCCCACUUCCACACUGGAAUCGGUAGGCUCUGCAACUUCCCCGCAGGAACUCGGUGCUCAGCCUUCACUUGUUGGCAAGUUAAGCAUCUGGCAACAAACUCACCCACAUCCUUUUUCAUCCCGGGCCACCAAUAAAGUAGUUUCAAAUCCUUGUACAUCUUGGUGCCUCCCGGAUGUAUAGCAUACGGUGCUCGGUGUGCUUCUUGAAGAAUGUCCUCUUUAAUGCCCAAGUCCGCCGGUACACAAAGUCGUCCGCGGAAACGCAUCAAUCCAUCACCGUCUGAAGUGAAGUCACCUGUGCAACCAUCAACCAUCCUAGCUCGAAUCCUUUGCAACUCCGAGUCGGAAGCUUGCUGUUCUUUAAUCCUUUCCAAAAGUGUAGGUUGCACCACCAAAGUCAUCAGCCUCAAGGGUGUAUCAGGAGCCACCACCUCCAACUCCAACCGCUUCAUCUGCUCGAUCAACGGCGGUUGAGUAACCAAAAGCAUCGCUAAGUUCUCCGUCGAUUUCCUACUUAGCGCAUCCGCCACCACGUUAGCCUUGCCCGGGUGGUAAAGAAUCGUCAAAUCAUAAUCCUUGAGUAGCUCCAACCAUCUGCGCUGCCUCAAGUUCAACUCCUUCUGAGUGAAAAGGUACUUUAAACUCUUGUGAUCCGUAUAUACUUCGCACCGCUCGCCAUAUAAGUAGUGGCGCCAUAGCUUCAAUGCGAAGACUACGGCCGCCAACUCCAAGUCAUGGGUAGGAUAGUUCCUUUCAUAGUCCUUCAAUUGGCGAGAUGCAUACGCGAUCACUCUCCCGUCCUGCAUCAAAACACAGCCCAAUCCAUUAAAGGAAGCAUCACUAUAAAUCACAUACCCUGCUCCAGCAGUCGGCAAGGUAAGGAUUGGGGCGGUCGUCAAUCGCUGCUUCAACUCUUGAAAGUUUCUUUCACACGCAUCAUUCCAAAUGAAUUUAGUUCCUUUAUGCGUGAGCCUCGUGAGGGGAGUAGAUAACUUUGCAAAUCCCUCAACAAACCGUCGGUAGUAGCCGGCCAAACCAAUGAAGCUCCGAAUCUUGGUCACGCUCAUCGGCCUCGGCCAAUUCUUGAUAGCUUCAAUUUUUCUCGAGUCCACGGCUAUGCCUGAUCCUGAAAUCACGUGGCCCAAAAACGCCAACUCUCUGAGCCAAAAUUCACACUUUUUCAACUUGGCGUGGAGCUUCUUUUCCCGAAGCACUUGAAGUACAAGUCUCAAGUGUUCCUCGUGAUCCACGUCACUCCGGGAAUACACUAAGAUGUCGUCGAUAAACACCACGACGAACCUGUCUAGGUAAGGUUUAAAAACACGGUUCAUUAAAUCCAUAAAAGCUGUCGGGGCAUUAGUAAGCCCAAAUGGCAUAACGGUAAACUCAUAAUGUCCAUACCGUGUUCUAAAAGCCGUCUUCGACACAUCCUCAGGACUGAUCCUCAACUGGUGAUAUCCUGACCGCAAGUCGAUCUUGGAAUAUACACAAGAUCCCUGGAGCUGAUCAAAUAGAUCAUCAAUCCUCGGCAAUGGAUACUUGUUCUUAAUCGUGACUUUAUUGAGUUCACGAUAGUCCACACAUAAGCGAAGUGAUCCAUCCUUCUUCUUCACAAACAAAACCGAUGCCCCCCAAGGUGACACACUCGGUCGCACAAAACCCUUCUCCAGAAGAUCCUGCAACUGUGCCUUCAAUUCCUUCAACUCCGCUGGUGCCAUCCUAUAGGGUGCAUUUGAGAUUGGAGUAGUCCCGGGGACGAGAUUUACAACAAACUCAAUCUCCCUAUCAGGAGGCAUGCCUGGAAGCUCCGCUGGAAACACAUCUCCAAACUCCAGCACUACGGGGAUAUCCCUAAUCCUAGGGGCGUCAUCCACACCCCGCAACACAACAGUAGCCAAGUAGGCUACGCAGCCUCUACUAAUCAACUGCCGAGCUCGAGAAGAGCUAAUCGUCAUCGCAAAAAGCGAACUCUGGCAUCCUCGGUACACAACCUCCGCCCGCCCUGGCUCUCUAAAAGUGACCGUUCGAUCCUUGCAAUCGAUAGUGGCGUAGUACCUAGUCAACCAAUCCAUGCCCAACACAACGUCAAACUCCCCGAGUUUAUGCAAAGCUAGCAAGUCCACGGGCAUGAUCCAAUCUCCAACUCGAACAGGGCAACUGGGGCAAAUCUCCCGAAUGUCCAAAGAAUGAUCGGGCACAACAACUCGUCCCGGAAGCAACAAGGAUGCAAGUGGAAUGCCAUGCAACUCGGCAAACAGCCGGUCUAUGAAUGAAUGAGAUGCACCGGUAUCAAACAAAGCUCUAGCUCGAAUACCAUAAAGUAAAAUGAUACCUGCGACCACAUUCUCGGCUGCCGCCGCCUCCUCAGUCUGGGCCGCGUACAUGCGCCCGCUCGGGGCCUGUCGUGACCCCUCCGUCUGCCGCUGGACAGGUGGCCGACCGGCCUGGUGAUGCGCAGAAGAUGUCCCCUGGCUGGGACCUGGUGAUGCUAAUGCAGAUGCCGCAGAUGGCGCUGGCAAUGGACUCCUCGGGCAGUCCGACUGGAAGUGUCCCUCCUGGCCACACAAGAAGCACCUACCCCGGCUGCGUGAACACUGCCGCAGAUAAUGAGAACCGCCAUAGAUCAGGCAAUGAGGGGCCUGGCGGCGAUCGGAUCCUCCUCGCUGAGUAGACUGGCCAUGUCCUCGCGACUGGCUCCGGCUCCUGGGGUGCCUCGGCGACCUCCGUGAGUGCGUCUGGCUCGCACCCUCAGCCGCUGGCCUCUUGCCCUUGCCCUUAUCUAGGGCCUCGCGUCGCUCCUGAAGAUCUGCCGCUCCUGCCUCCACUAUCAAAGCUCGAUCCACAACCUCCCGAUAAGUCUGGAGGUUGAAAGACUGCACCAACCAGAAGAUAGAGGGCCGCAAACCGCGCUCAAAGAUGCGGGCCUUGUCCUCGUCGUCCCUCGCAACAAACGGUACACAGUGUAGUAUCCGGAAAACUCCCUCUCGUACUCAGCCACUGACCGCUCAUCCUGGCGCAAGCUGCGCAAAUCCUGCUCCAUCUUUCUCUUGACGCUGGUAGGAAAGUGGUGCGCCAGUAGAAGCUCCUUGAAUCGUGUCCAAGUAAUCGCUGCCAAGUCGGUGUUGUGGUUGUCCUGGAUAUCCAACCGCCAACGAUAGGCCUCGCCGUCCCGGAAGUGAGUGGCGAGCCAAACUCUAUCCCGCUCCUCCACGAAGGUGUCCCUUAAGAGCUUCUCCAUGUGCAUCAACCACUUUUCGGCGAUCCAGUGGUCGACGUUCUCGCCAUCAAAUGUCCUCGGGCUACACCUCCUGAACUCACUGAGGCGAUCCAUAAGCCGAUCUCGCUCGGCUCCCUCGGCCAUCACGGGAAAAGCUGCCCCCGUGGCCGGUUUCUGAACUGGUAAUGCCGCAACCACCUCCUCCGGAGGUGCGGUCGCCGGUGCCGCACGCGAAGAACUGGGUGCUGGGGAGGGCGCUCUCGGCGCAACGUCCACAACUGGUGCAGGUGGUGUAGGGGCCUGAGUCUCCCUCGAAGCUGCCGCGUGCUGAAAUAGGAGGUCCUCGAGAUGCUUCAUCCGUGCCUCCUGCCGCUGGGCCACCUCGGCCUGUCGCUGCGCCGCUGCCGUCAGCUGCGCCAACAGAUCAGUGAGAACCGCAAGCUGGGCCCUCAAGUCACGGACCUCGCUAGAUUCGGAAAUAGCGGAGGUCUCGACCUCCUCGGGGUGUGCCGCAUCAUCCGCCCCGGCAGAUUGGGAGCGUGUAAUCGGCAUCGUCACUACAAAGUAUAAAAGCGCAAGUUAGUAACCCACGCUGUCGCAUCCCCGCUCGAAUAGAUAAAACCCCAAAUCAUGCGAAAGUAAGGAAGUGUCAUUCACUACUAACUCCCGAUGUUACGUUGUCGGCCGCCAACGUAACCCUCCGCGAAGUUAGUAGCCAUACACUCCGAUCCAACUCUAACUUUUUAGAGUUAUCAAGACACCCAAUCAGGAUACUUUCGCUCACAAGUCAAUUAGACCCCGUCUCUCACGAGCCUAAUUCCUAUAGUCCAACCGGCCUAAGGUUCGCUAGGUCCACUAAUACUCAACUCUAGGCUCUGAUACCAAAUUAAUCUGUCACGCCCCGGGACCGGCGAGGGCCCUCCCGGUAGCACGCCCAGACCCGCCAUACGUCUACACAUAUAAGGCGUCUACAACAAAAGCGGAAGUAAAGCAGGAGAUAGAACAAAUAAAAGUAGUGAAAUAACUAGCAACUAAUGAUAUCAGAGCCAGUAAAGUUCUAUCAUCUACACCAAAGUUAAAAAAUAAAGCUAGUCGAACAAAGGUAACCAUAAGUAAUACAAUAACCGUCUCUAGUACAAAAAUGGUGGUCUCUAUACAUAUACGGGUACAACUCUCAACCUCUCACAAAAAGAAAAUACGAGAGGUAGACCACCUAUCGAAUGAUCCCUCGGUAAGCACGCUAGCCCAAGGCGAUACCCUUUCCGCGAUCCCUGGCCUCUCCCUGCGUGGAAGGCUCUGAAAAACAUCGAGAAAAAGAGGGCGUGAGAACUAUAAUUUAUAGUUACCAGUGGGCAAUUAUUGACCUCAGCUCCUGCUCCACUAGGCCCCAAAAAUAAGGGUAAGUAACGUUAAUAGCAAUAAGCAAUAAAAAGGAGCAUGUAAAUAAACUGCUGAAAGAGAGAACAUAAAUAAAAUGCUAUACUACUAUAUCUCAUAUAAGCACGAUGUCAAAGUGUUGUACAUCUAUUCUAUCAUAAGAAAAAGUGACCAAUGGCAAUAGUUUACUGUUACAAACCUUUAUUCAUACAUGAUGUAUAAGCUCUAUCAUGACAACCAAGUAUACUGUGAUGAAAUAGGUAACUGUCAAGUAUACUACAUGUCUCAACCCUAUGCUAUAAGCAUGUAAAUGUAAUCCAACUACUAAACCUAUCUAGUAGUGAUUGUUCAUAUACAAUUCCGUGUCGAUUUUCAUUUCCAAUUAAGGAUCUACCCAAGGUAGUCCAGCUUGUGCCGCCUAAGUGCCUGUGGUAGCCCAACAUCCCUACUCUUGGAAUGUGUCUAUCCCACUCGACCCCGUAGGCUUCUCAAUACCGCACGAGCGAACAAAAGUCACGUAGGCUAACUCCGGAGUGCCGGCUUGUAGGGAGCGACCCUCACAAGCAUGUGCGAAUGAGCACAAAUGGCAAGUAAGCAUAGUCCAAGUCUCAAGUAUCCAACCCUCAUGUCUCUAACAUGGUAUAGUCACUAGCAUCCCGAAGAUCUAGUUUAAGUCGCAAUGUGAAGUUUCAACAUUUGCUACGCCUAGUGCCCCUUGAUAACACUUAGGCAAUUUGAUGUUCAACAUGUUUUCCAAAUCCCUCAAUGGCCCUAUCCACUAGGUUCACACAUGUCCUGAGCUCAAUGCGGCUUGAUGACAUUAGCUCUCUAAUUCACAUGAUAUCAAGUUCGAUGCCUAUAUAUAUAGCAAUUGUCAUCUUUCAUGUCUCAAUUAAACUUAUGUUUAAACGCAUGAAUCAUAGAUCAUUUACUAUAUAGAAACAUGAAACCAAAUCUCAUAUAGAAUGCUAAAUGCAACCAACUCUCUCUCAAGCAACUCUCUACUACAUAGAGGUCCAAAAUUUCAUUACAUAUAAUAUGAGCAUUUUAAGCACUCUAAAAUUCAUAAUAAAUACAUUUAAUAUGAAAAUGCAUGAGUUAUUAGUACACGAAGCACUUAUCACCAAAUAUGAGAUUUUCUCAUAUCAAAGGCUAGGUCAAACCCACCAAAAUCGAAACUUUCGUUUCGCCGAACGGAGAUUUCCACAAGCUUUCUAGCACCCUAGGAACAUCAAAAAUGGUGUCAUCCAAUCGAUACGAAGAGCAAUAAGCUCAAUCUUUAACCUAAAAGCAAAAGGGCCAAAACUCACCUCAAGAGUAGAAAUUUUUUCCUAAGCUCCAAAAGAGAGCUAGAUCCCUUCCAAUCCAAGCCCUAGGAAGGUUCUAAACCAACCAAUCAAGCCUCAAAAGUCCUAGGUUCAAAAAGCCCAAAAUAAACCCUAAGUCCCAAAACUAGGGUUUCUCUCAAAGAAAGCUCUAAAAUCCAAAACUAGAGGAAAGGAUCUUGCCACUUACCUCUUAGAAGCCUCAAAACCAGCUCAAGUCCUCAAACUUCAAGUAUCUUCCCUCAAUCAAACUCCAAAUCCAAGUUCCAAGCUCCAACAAUGGUGGAAAUAGCUCCAAUAGGAAAAAAGAGAGGGAAAUCCAUCAAAAUCCAAGAAAUUGGAGAUCAAAUCCAAAUAGGGGAAAAGAGGGGCUCCUUACCUUGCUCCUUCUCAGGUUCCAGCACAAGGGAGGCCCUAUGGGGCGUGGGUGCUGUUAUAAGGGUGCCACAAUCGCAAAUAAGCCCCUGCAGAACAAACUGCACGAAAUCAGCCUCCUUGUACCGAUACACGGGAUUUUGUACCGGUACAAGAGCUGCGAAAAUCCAAAUCCGAGGCUCGGGUGCGUGGUUCUGCGGCACUGUACCGGUACAGGCCCGAUGGCUGUACCGGUACAACCAUCAACAUUGUACCGGUACAAGACCAUCCUUGUACCGGUACAAGACCUGCGAAAAUGCAAACCCGAGGCUCGGGUUUGCGAGUUCUCGGCUCUGUACCCGUACAAGCACAACCUUGUACCGGUACAAGCCCUCCAUACAGCCAAUCCGAGAGCUGACCAAAAUUCAAAUUUUUGGGUUUUGGUGCAAGGCUUCGUACCACACUCCUCGGGACACGUGUCAUAGGUCGGAACACAGUCAACGACCUACCAGAAAAUCUGGAAAAGCUCAGAGCACAGCUAAUCACUCAAACCUCGCAAUUUGCAAAGGUCCAGUGUGUUACAUCGACCCUAAUGGUAGAACCUAGGGUUUGGGUUUUGAGCUUUGGAAAUGAGGUCAAAUGGACCUCUAGCACCAUUAAUGGUGGAUCAAAGCUAGAGGCUAAGGUUUUAUGGUGCUUUACAUAAUGCUAACCCUAGGGCUCCAAAUGGGGGCUUUUUGGAAAUUUAUGAGAUUGAUCUCAUGUGAGGGCAUCUAAACCUAAUUGCUAGGUGUCUAAACGCGGGGGCGAAGGCGGAUUGAGCAUUCGUCGAGCCGGUGAAAAGUUAUCGGCUAACAAGGCUGACCAAGCUUAGUUUCGACCUAGGAGGCCGAGACAUCAUCGUAACGUUCAUUGGGAGGCGUUUCUAGAACCUCUACAUCGACAAAGGUGGGGGGUGUCCAUCCCGAAGCAACUGGGCUUCUCCCUAUGUCUAAGUAUCUUUAUGUGAUUACAUUCCAUAUAUAGCAUCAUGCAUGGUAGGGUGUUUAGAUGUUACCUUCCUACUCUUGCAUAUUCCUUGGUAAUGCGACAUAGUGGGCUUGGCAUGUUAACUUAGGAAUGCAUGAGAUUGAGCUUUGUGGCAUAGAACCCUAUAGAGAUAAGUUAAACCAUAACUUAAUCUUGCAUGGAUGCGUAUAGUGAUAUAUGACUAGCAUAGUCGGGAUAAUUGCAUUAUGGUAAAUGACAUGUAUACCAAGUAUAUAACUUGAUGAGUGGCAUAUGUAUACCAAGUAAACAACUUGACGAGUGGCAUUAGAAUUUAGUGUCAAAGAACACUUGUGGCAUGGUAGUCCUAGUGACUGAAUCUCCUCAUUCGAUGAGGAAUGGAUUUGGAUUAUACUCACAUGUCUGUUCAGCACUUGUGGCGGUCGCUCCGCACAAGUAGUGCGCUCCGGAGUUUGGCACGUGAAUCGAUUGGGAUAGCCUAGAUGGGGUCCCAAGGGAUAGCCUAUGUGGGGUCCCGCAGACAACCCUCAAGUGGUUCGAGUCCCCCUUCAUAGACGGAUUUGAGAUGUGAGUUGAGGGCGCGCCUAUGAGCCAGCCAGAUAAUUGGGUAAUAAACUCGAGAGAGUUAUGCAAAUUGGGCAUAUUGUGCAUAUUGAGCAUGGUAGAAUUGUAUUCAUACUCGAUGUUGGUAUUAUCGCAUGUUAGCGAAUGCAUAGCUAUUUUGUUCAUUCUUGAAUCUCAAGGCAUAGUAGAAUAUUGCAUUUCUUUCAAUAUGCAUUAUUUACAGUUUUGAAUAUCUAUCUAUCUAUCUGCUUAUGCCUGCAUAGACCUAGUGGGAAGGUCGGCGAAGUCGGCGGCCGAACCCACUGGGAACUAUGGAAGAUAGUUCUCACCCCACUUCAUUUCCGGGCUAAGUGCGGGCACGCUGGGCGAGGAUCGUGGCAAAAGCAUUGCGCCCGAGCAGUAGCUUAGCAGCUUCCAUUUUGCAUUAGAGUAUCCUCGAGUACCUAGAGUUAUGAUGUAUUUAUACCUUGGGAGUUGCUUAUGUAUUUUGAAGAAACAUGUGUAUAUUCAUUUUGCAAGUUACAAAAUGUAAACUUGAUGUAAAAGAAUGGUUGAAUGGAUGUAAUAGAUGGACAUAUCUCUCUUUAUUUACUUGUAUGGCAUACUUGUAUCUUGCUCUUACUUGUUAGCACUAGUUGUGCUCCGUGCUUAUCAUGUAUGUAAUUGAAUUAUUCCUGGGCAAUUCUAUGUACAUGAUUCUAUUGUCGAGCCUUGGGCGAGCAGGGGAGGUGUUGUCCGUCCGGCGUCUGUUCGACGCGCCCGAACCGGACCAAAUUGGUAACGGGCUCGAGGUGUGACACAUGUGCUCUACUUUCCUUUUCAAAUAAACAACUUAAAUAAACUAAUAGCAAGCUAAAAGCCUUCUUAGAAACCCAUGGAAUUAAUAGAGUAAUUUGAGUAGUUUCAGCAGAAAAGGCUGGACUUGUAACUAAAUGCAUCGCUCUAACUGGUGCUGGGUAAUAUGUCCCUAGCUUUAAAGUGUGAAUGUUUUGGACCACAGCUUUCUCGGGCUAUGCUGGCCCUUAGCAAAGAUUUGGGGCUAAAAGAAGUACAAAGAUAAAUGGAAGUACACGUAUGUAACAUAGUAUUGAGUUGGGAAAAUUACUAAGAGAGUAAUAAAGCAUCAGAAAACAGAUAAAAAAAGGCAGGACAAACAGAUUUUGACAGGGGAGAUCCGAGAUUGAAUUGAACUUGGCGAUGAGAAGGGAUAGGUAGAUGAUACCCUGAGAAGGGCAAGCACGGAAGGGGUGUCGGUUAAGAACUUGACGGCCAAGGUCAUGAUGGUGGAGGUGGUCUCAUAGCCGACCACCAGCAGAGCCAACAGGAAGUCCACCAUCUCCUCCUCUGACAGGCUCCCACCUUCCGCCUCUAGCAGCUCCACCAUAUCCUUCUUAUACAUAUGCCUCCUCCCUGAGGCCACCGUCGGUAGGCCCUGCUUUUCUGCCGCUGCUGCUUCUUGGUCCUCUAGCCCUUUCUCAUCGCAUGUUGUCCUCUUCUUUUUCUUCGCUUCCUUCCUCUUCCUUAUCACCUCCCUCAGCGCCUCAGCCACCUUCUUCCAUGCCUGAGCGAGCGAAAAAUGAAACAGAGGCGCAUCGAGAGCCAAUCAGUUAGCUGACAAAGAAAGAAAGACAGACGCGUGCACGAGGCAACUUUUGAGGGACUUUUGAGGAUCGAUCGAACCUUGAGGGCACGACCGUAGGUGGUGAAGAAAAGGAAGGAAGGGAAGGGGAUAGAGAAGAAGCCGACGAUAAGGAGGACGUACUCGCGGCGAAGGGACUCAGUCCACUCCCCCGGGUCGAAGCUCAUCAGGUGCUUCACGGUGAGCUCGAAGGUGAUCUUCUUGGCCUGGUCCAGCAGGCGCACAGAGGCAGGGGUAGGGGUGGGGGUGGGGCCGCUCUCCUCCCCCUAGGAGCGGAGCGUGGAGCAGACCAGGGCGUCGAUGUGAGCGAGCAAAGGCCCGUCCCGGAUGGCGGCGGGGGAGGCGAGGUGGGUGAGGGUGAGGGAGUGCAGGCACUUGUGGAGCGGACCCCGCAUCAGCAACAGCGAGUGGGGGCCAGGCAGUGUGGAGAUGGAGGAGGGGUAGCUGCACUUCACCGCCCCGCGCCCCUCGCCCCUUGCCCGCCAGCACCAACCGAUUAAACUCUGGGUCCACCGAGAACACCGUGCGCUCCCCGAACACGUGCAUCGUGAAAAGCCGCCCAUGCCGCUGCACACACUAGUCGAUGAAGGGCUCCGAGUUCUCCGUCUUGUACGCCGCGAUCAACUUCAGCGUCUCCCCGACCAGCGGAAGCCCCAUGCGCCCCUGCGGCAGCCUACGCCUCCUGCUACGGCCGCCUCCCCCCACCUCGCGCUUCCUUCUGGCGCCCUUCCUCCUAAUCGCGAUAGCCAGGAGGCUUAGGAGGAUGAGGAUGACGAGGACGAGGAACAGAUGGGUCUCCGCUAGCACACCGAACUCAUUCCAUUAUUGGACCCAUACUAUGUCGAGAAGAAGCAUCAAUGUCCAACAAAGCCUUUGUGCAAGGAAAUCGAAAGAUCCCCUUCUUAAACCCACUUUUUGCUCGAGAAUGAAGGACGUAUCCCGAUUGAUCAGAGCUUUGGUUUGUUUCUCCCAAUGACUGAUGACAAUACAUAAAAAACGGCAUUGAUAGGCCACCCUUCUGAUUGCCAAAAUCGACAUAGGAUAGAAGGCCAGCUUUGCAAUCUAGCGAGUCUAAGUUAAGAGGGUGAAAAGAGUGGAAGCAGUAUUUUGAGGCAUCCAUCUCCAUGUGUGCUCAGUUCUUCAUUGAUUGCCAAUAUGCAGUACCAACAGACCCAUCAGCUAAUCCGCAAAUGCCUUUUUGCCUCCUCCGCCAAUAGAUUAACGAUUUGUUGCAUACUCUCCGUUCAUUCACCUUUAGCAUUCUUAAAACAGAAGAAGAAGAAGAAGAAGAAGAAGAAGAAGAAAACUGAAAGAAGCAUUGUGCAAGUACGAGUAAAAUUGAGAAGGGCGUCCAAUUUGUAAUUGACCUGCAAUCCAUGGGUGUCGCUUUCUUUCAUCAGGAUGAUGUUGAUGUAACACAGCAUACCUCAGGAGAAUCUUGCAUCCCACCACAAGAAGAAAAACAAAGUAUUUCAAGCUAUUCAUUUAUAUUAUAAUGCUAGGUGAUUAUAAUAAGAGUUUCUAAAUUGUAUAAAUUUAUUAAAUUCAGUUAUUAUUAUUAUUAUUAUUUUGAGAAAAAAAUUAAUUAUUAUUCAUUAACUGAAUUUGACUAUAUUUAAUGAAUUUGAUCACAUGUUAAUAUCACUAACCACAAAUCUGGCCUAUACUUAUCUUCAAGAUUAAAUUCUUAUAAACAAGCCGCUCCAGGUAGGUGCCUUCGAAGUUGGAAAUGAGGCUCUCCAUGAGUCUAUAACUCGGCUUAGGACAGCAAGUAACUCUUGAGUCAAUGAUGGCUUGUAGUCAACCAGACUACCACCAAACUCAAAACUGAUAAACAUCAUCAACUGCUAAUGAAAAAUGGCAGCGUGAACAACAGAGUUGUUAUCUUUGUAACCAUGGUCCAUGUGUAAGCGCAGAAAAUUCAAAAAUUCAAAGCAAAUCUCAAGCAUACCUUCACAAUUUUGAAUUAAGACCUGACUACAUAAUUCAGGGUGUACCUAUAGUUGCCCUCGACAAGACUCCAUCAGCGAGCAAGUUCCCCACUUCCCAAGUCUGCCUCUUAAUUACGAAUGUUUGGAAGGAGCAAGAGCAUUUAGGCCAAAGCAUACAUAAUCCCCUUCUGUUACAGUCCAUUAAUCCCCUCUCAGCCUCUCCCUUUAUGCUCCCUUGCACCAUGUACUCUCCAUUUCAUCAUCUACUUCAAAAAAAGGAAAGAAUAGAUAUGGUAAAGCGAACUGAACUUACAGGCAAGAUUGGCCGUCCGGUGGUUUCCAUGCCUUAGUGAUCCUCUCGAUUUCAUGAGGAAGCAGAACUGUUUAGUUGAGUAGGUUAAGCAUAAGGGAUUCAAUGAUUCGAAGCAAGAACUGAAAUUAUCUUCAAACCUCAAUGAGACACAAAAUUUGAGGUCUCCUAUCCAAUAAGCAUAUGAUGCAAAAUAUGCAGCGACUACAAAGAAGAAAUCAAGAAACACUUAUAACACUCCAUUCUUGAGACAGCAGAGCUGACUGGAUUAAUGUCACUCCUGCCAUUCCUUGCAAGGAAAUUAAGACCACUAAGAAACCCUACAAAAGAACGUCACACUAUUCGAGGCCCAACAUACAAAUAUGGAGUUUCUGACAUUCCAUGCACAUUCACUGAAAAUUAUGUAGGGGCACAAAAGGAAAGCAUCCUACCAUUCUAGAGAAAUAUGACAUAAUAUAUUUAAACUAUCCAAUGACACUUAGGGUCUGUUCAUGUCACCACUUUGUAACAUAUCAGAAACAUCAUAUAUUUUAUAUUUGAAAUGGUACAUUUGUUACCAACUUACUAUACUACUUGGGUUGGGAGGUUAUUAGGGACUUGUAUAUUGUUGUUGAUAGAUUACUCAUAAUUCUCGUCAAGAAUGGAAAUGACGAAACCUCCAAAUCCAUAGCAUUAUAUAAUAUGCCAAAUAAUUGGGAAUCAAUGAUGAUUCCACAACUUCACCAACACCUUUUAAAACAUUCCCAACUUGAGUUGCAUGGCAACAAUUUGAAUGUCUUGAAUAGAAAAUAUAAAUAUUUUCUAAAUAUUACAAAUCAUAAAACAAACCGCCAGUGAUUGUUGUUGUUGUUGUGGUGGUGGUGGCGGCGGUGCUAUUCUUAGAGUUUAUUACAUCGUAGGAAGAAUCCACCAUCCGCAAGAAUAACUCUACGGAAGCCUCACACUAGUUCCUUGUCAAGGAAAAAAAAAGAAGCUAACACAACUGCAAUUUAAACAAGAAAUAACAGUGUGGAUGCAUUUAGACAUGUACAUCACUAAAAUAGAAAAAGACACUUACGUGCACUUAUAUUUGCCAGUUGAAAAGAUACUGGAACAAUUGAGUUUGAUCAAGAGACGAAACGACUAAAAUUCUGAAGCAGCCGCAUAGAAAAACAAAGAGAAUAAAUACACAAUGAUGGCCCCACCAACAUUAUUUUGGGGAGAUGAAAAACACAAUGAAUUGCUACAGCGCUGCUACCUAGAUAGAAAAUUCUGCCACUAACAAUUAUAUGAGAAAAUGUUUGAAUCUAAUUCCCAAACUAUGCAUAAAUGCAAAUAGUUCAAAUUAAUAAAGUAAACAGCAUUAAUGCCCGGUCGGGUGAUAGACAAAUUGGUAUGCAUGUUCUUCAUCCUUAAAAAAUUAUUGAAGAGACCCUAUUGUCAAUAAGAACAAUGUGGAAAAAUCCAAGUUUGAGACCUGCGGAAUAAGUUGUGCAGCAAAUGGAAGCUGUUCAUGAACGAUUCUCCAGCAUCAUUGUCACUGCAGGACUUAGUAUCCAACAAAUCUAGAAUAUGCAGACUUAAGAGAAAACUUUAAGAAAUAAGGACACAAUGAUACAAGCAAUCAAACCUGAAAAUGGUAACGGAUUCCAAUGUAAUAUGGAGAGUUGUUUUGCACUGUUCAUCAAAACAUGACCAGAAAGAUUUAACUGUUUACUGAAGAGAGGAAGUUCUCUUAUUUCAAGCUAAAAAUGUCAGGUAAAAGUCAUAAUAUUAAGAUAGCAAGUAAACAAUACUGCAAUUUCAUAUAUUGCAUAUAGUUAUAACGCUCAUGUCUCAAAUCUUGUUUUAAUGCUAAAUAACAACUGUAUUUCAUUAGUGUCUUUUCGACCUUUUUUUUUUCCCAUUUGUUCAAGAAUAUAAGAGUUCUACUGCACAAUGAUAUUUCAAUAUUAGUUUUGAGCAACAAUAUUCACUAUUUGAACAAGCAAAACUUCUAUACAAUAAUUGAUGUGUAUCAUUGACAAACAUGUUCUCAAAGACGAAUGUCGAACCAAUUUCUCCACUACUGCCACAACCACCCCAAGACCUUCAAAACCAAAAUUAUUUACCAGUUAGAUGAAUUCAAAGUUGAGCAGAGAGGAUUCUUCGAAGAACCUUUCCAUGCUUGAUGCUCAGAUAUCGCAUCAAUACAGGUCUCCAUGAACAAGCAAAACUCAAACCAAGUUAGAUGUUGGGGUGACAGGUUGGAUCAGAGUAGCGAAUCGCAUUAACAAAUUUUACGGAGCCACCAGCCUUGAGAAGACACCAAAAUCACACCAACAAAUGCGCAUCUGCUCCUUAAUAAUUGUUCUGAACAAUUGAUACUUCAAAAUUAUUUCCCAACCUAAAAUAUUCAAACAGAAAAAAAGGUGGUGACAGUUUCAUUAUGACAUUGAAAAGCAACAACGUAGUUAGCAAGGAAAGCUUAAAAAUGUAGCAAAGCAGCUACUUACUUUGAUUAUCUAUCAUAUACUGGCAGAAUUUGCCACAUCAACGCCUCCUAGCUAUGUGGAUCUAUAAUUUUUAUACAACCCAACUAUUAAAUAGAUAAGAAGAGAAUAUGCCUUCAACAUCACAAGACCCAUAUGUAUAGCUAUCCAAUAGCUUGCAUUUGAUCAAAAUAGGAGCAAAAAAUGUUGAUAUCGAAAAAUCAUUAUGCAUAAUCUCACACAUCUCGUUGACCAAACCGCCUCUCCCUGUUCUGGAAAGAGCAUAAAGCCUCAAGAUAGUCAAUCUCCCCAAAGUCAGGCCACUGUGUCCUUGUAAAAAAAAGCUCUGUGUAUGCUGACUGCCAUAAUAAGAAGUUGCUCAACCUCAGCUCACCACUAGUUCUUAUAAGUAAAUCUGGGUACGGAUAAUCAGUAGUGCAGUUUGUUUCUAGCUCUUGUGCAAAUAACAAUUCUGUAAUGUCUUCUGGGUCAACCAACUUAUUUUUUACCUUGUCAGCAAUCCUUUGACAUGCUCGCACUAUGUCCCUUCGUCCGCUGUAGCUAACAGCCACAAUUAAGUCAAGUUGUGAGUUGUUUCUUGUUGCCUCCUCUACCUCUCUGGCCAACUUUUGUAGAGAAUUUGGGAGCUUUGAGGAGUCACCAAUUACACAAAUGCGAAUACCCUCCCUGCUUGGAACCAGCAAAGGAGAUUCUGUUUAAUGUCAUUCUUUACAGCAAAACAUCUUUCUUUUGAUACAUGUUAAUUUGCAAACAUUAAUCCGAGUCCAUAGAUCACAUGCUCGAUAGAAUACUAGUAACAGUUCUACGAAACGAAAGAUUUCCAUCAACUCAUGUAACAAGGAAAAAAAAAAAUUAUGCCACCAAUAUUGAUUCUCAUGCAGUUCUGCUUCAACAGAUACAGGAAAGCUGCCAUAUGAUCAUUUAUGACACAGACAUAUAACAGACUCACGCAUGCUAAAUGUACAAAAAGAGCAAAACACUGUUGUAUCCAAGUGGUAAUCAUAGCUGAGGCGUUCCAAGAAAAAUGACACUGCUAACACAAAAUUCUUAUUAGUAUAGAUAGUUGGAUCAUUGAUUCUUUAGAGAAAUAGCCUUAGAGAACAAGCGGACAACAAAGAGAAGAAGAUACUACAUUUAGCAUUCAGCGGCCACGAAGGCACUUAUAUGAUUACAUCCAUUCUGAGAUUAUGAGUAAGAUGAUAAAUAUACAUAAAUGCAUACAAUAGAAUUCUGCCGAAAGCAAUCUCUAAACGCUGGUAUAUAGAUCUGUUUCAACCUCAUUAUUUCAGGGUUUCAAAGCAAACUCUCCAAGACAAUCCUAAGAAAAAUCACACUGUAAUACCUACAAUGAAACCUAUCUACCCACCCAGCCAACCUUUCUAACACAGACAUCAUACAUGACAGGGAUUGCUCUAGAGUGCAAUUAUGUUCUUCCUUAUGUUAAUCACUCAAAACACUAUACUAAUGCACACUCCAAAAUCAAGGAACACCACCUCCAUCUCAAUAAAGAGUACCAGGGAAAUUUCAGUGAUGUUUCAUGCAUGCCGUCUACUCUAUUGCAUCCUCAUGUCUAACCUACUUGGUCUUGUUACACUGAAAUCAGAAUUCCUGCAUUAUGGUCAAAUUGGUGCUCCGCUUUCAUCUUCAACUAGAAACUCUUUUCGACGGACAUAUUAUAGAGAAGGCAGGCUUCAUUUUGAUCAAAGUUUCUGACAGAAUAUUGCAACAAGAUCAUGUUAUAUUUAGUUAUUAAAUUGAAAAUCUUCAACCUCAUUAUAAAUUUAAAUGCUACUUAGAUCAGAUUGAAAAUUUUCAACCUCAUUAUAAAUUUAAAUGUUACUUAAAUCAGCUUGUUCCUGUCUAUGUAUUUGAAAACUUUGGCACAUGUGCUGAGGAAAGAAUGUGUCAUUCCUAGAUGCAAUUAACUGUUUUAAGAUAAAAUUUCAUUUGCAGCAACCUUCAUCAAUACCAAUCUCUCAGCAUUAAGGAAACCAGCGACCGGUAUUCACAAUGAUUCAUCUCCCAUGUAGAACACCUUACAAGUAGUAAGUAUGGUUCAAGUCUUAUAUGGACACACCUGAAAAGGAUUAUUAGUUUGCGCGUUAGUAUGGUAAUGUGGUGGCUAAAAGCAUCAAUUUUUAUACUAUAGAUUGCCCAAAAAAAAUCUAAAGGCGUUUUCAAUCUUUUCUUCUUUUUAUUAUAAAUUGCAAUUGCAAUUGCAACCGCCGCUGGAGAAACAUGCAAGCGGUUGUAACCGCAAUUUUAUAGUAUAAAAAAAGGAAAAGUUGUAAGCACUUUUGAAUUUUUUCUUUUUUUCUUUUUUUUUUUGGUCUUCCACAGUAUAAGAAUAGUGCUUUUAACCACCACAUUACCAAACUAGGUCGAAGAGGAAUGAAAUCCAUGAAUCCGACCGCAACAGAUAGAGACACAUAGAUUCAAGAAGCUCUCGGCGCCACUCUUCCUGGAAAUCUGACUACUUGGGCUAUUUUUGUUUAAUCUAGAGUAUAAUAAGGGUCAAGCUUCUGGAAGUUCCUUAGUGGUUUCAUCAAUGUUAUCAAAGUGAAAUCUGCAUCUGCAUAGUACACUAAAACUGGUACCUCAAGAAAUCCCCAAUAUUCUCCCUGAGGACGCCCUCGAAAAGCAUCAUGAGAAAAUCCACCUCUGCCUGCAAAGCGAUGAUGGACCAUCAGUUAGUCAUAAAAGAGGGCUAUUAUGCGGAUGAUGUCGGGAAAGAAAAAAAGAAAGAAAAAAAGGGUGGGGGGCGGGGAGAAUGCGGCGACAAAGAAACCUUGGGGCGGAGCCAAUUCUCGGAAGAGAAGGCGAAGACGGUGAGCACUCGGAUGCCCCAACGGCGGGAGAGCUUGACCAUCUGCUUGAGGGAGCGAUAGCCCGCCUCGUGGCCUGCCGACACGGGAAGCCCCCUGGCGCGCGCCCACCGCGCGUUGCCGUCCAUGAUCACAGCCACGUGCCUAGGAAGCGCCUCCGGAGACAGCCCAUCCGGCAGCAGCAGCGCCGCGGCCUCUGCUGAUCCCACGCGCUUCUCUUGGAGCUCGCCGGACGCCGAACCCGAACCCGAACCCGCCGCCGCGUCGGCUGAGACGAGACGAGACGUUCGGUACGCGACGCAGGGAGAAGCGGUGAGUUCCGGUAAACCAUUGUGUAAACUAUUACUGUUGUUGUUAUUGCCACCGACAUGCAGCCGCUUACUACUCCUCACCCUACUGGCCGCCCCAGGGUAGCAGGGAAACAAUAGAUUCUGUUGCUGUUGGGGACGACGACUUGGGCUUACCACCAGAGUCCCGUUUGCAGGCCCGGGGAGAGGAGGAAGAGACUGCAUUGCAUGACUUAGCUGCUGUCUCUGUAAUCCCUGCCCUCUUUCUAAACCCAGUCUCAUCUCUUUCCUAAUCCCCCCAGAUCCCAGAUGUGUUCAACGUGCGCGAGCGUGCGCCAGCAAUCCAGUCCCCAGUCCUCGGUGUAACGGCUCAAUACAUACGGUCACCAGCGCCAAAUGAGGGACCAAAUGGACCCCAGGGUUGAAGUGGACUUUGAUAUUCGUUGCUACUAGAUUGGACCUUUGGUCUGCACAAAAUUUAUUGCAUCGGCCGAUGAUGGGAGGUACAUCAAUCCUCUUUAAGACUGAUUCUGGAGUGUGAUGGUGACUAUGAGCCUUAGGAUAUAUAUAAAUAGAUAUUUAAUUCACAUUAGUAUUUCGGACCAGGCAGUUCUGGACCGUCGGACAGAAUACGUCGGGCCGGGCCAUACUGGACCACGAGGCACAGCCCGAUACUUUGGGCCAGACCAGGCCGGCACAAAUGCUAUAGCACCCAUGUCGUGCUGCAGCCCGGCCCCUUCACCCCACCUCACCGCCUACCCUUUCAAAAUUCAAACCAUACUCUCUCUCUCUCUCUCUCUCUCUCAUAAUGUGCAAUAUUUAUAGAGCGAUCAGAAGGAAAGAGGGAUUCGUUCUGGGGUUUCUCGAUUAGAGGAGCCGAGAGAAGAGCGAUCAGAAGGAAAGAGAGAUUCGUUCUGGGGUUUCUCGAUUGGAGGAGCCGAGAGAAGAGCGAUCGGAAGGAAAGAGGGAUUCAUUCUGGGGUUUCUCGAUUGGAGGAGCCGAGAGAUCGGACAGGAAAGAAGUGGAUCGAAAGGGAAAGGAAGGGAUCGGUGUAAGGUCUGUGGACCGAAGGAAUUGGCAAUCGAAUGAAAGAGAAGGGGAUCGCUCUAGGGGAAUCGGAAAAUCUAAAGGUAAAGAUUCGAAAGAGAUGAGACGAAAGUGUUUGGCGGGGGGGAGAAAGAAAGGGAGAUCGUGAGCGAGGGAUUGUGGUUGGCUUGGCUGGAAGGUGUAGGUGGGCUACGGCCACUAGGACAAUAAGUUUGUGCAGCCCAACCCAAGAAGCCGAGAACGUAAUUCAUUAGCCGUCUCACAAUUUUUUAUUUUGCUUACAUGUCAUAAUUAUUUUUCAACAUGUACACAGUAUAUAUUCUCAACGAAGUAAUCGAAAAUAUAUGUAUUGGAGAGCACCCAAAAAAGGCCAACAUAUCACAUAGAAAAUAGAAUCAUGAAAUCAUAUAAUUUGUCACUCAAAAAAGGACCAUAAAAAAAAUUGGCCACUCAAAAAGGCAUAUAUAUCGUAAAAUUAGUAGGCUCACCGGAUAAUGCAUCAAUUAGGUUUGUCCGAGGUUGAAUUCUGAUUCUGCUAAGAUACUAAGAUUGACCAACCAAAAAAGGAAAAUGUGCGCACUAGAAGACCAAGAUUUUCACAAAUCCUAAUUUUCUCGAAAAUAAAGAAAGAUCUAUAGGGUAUCUAACAAAGGGAGGCCAACAUCAACGGAGAACUAAUUGAAGAGUAUACUAAAGAUAUUAAAUUUGAAUAUCAUGGUAAAUUGGAAAGGGCCAAUUUGUAAGGAUCAAGCUUUGCGUUUGACAAACGUAGGUGCAAGUAAGAUGUAACGGCCAUAGUUGGCACAUAAAGACACUACAUAUCUUGUAGAUAAGUUUUUUAUUCAAGUCGAACUUGGAAUUUUAAAAAAUUUUAACAAACAGGUAGUUGGCAGAUUGUUUUUAAGAUAUGUUGUUUAAGCGGCGAAUGGUAAAAAUAGGCAUCCAAGUAAUUAAGAUGUGGUUGGUAGAUAGUUUCUUUACUCAAAUCGAACUUGAAACUUUUUAAUUAUAAAUAGGCAUUCAAAAUUUUUAUUUGUAAAAUUAGAUUUCAGCAGUGAAUGAUUUACCGUUUUUAGAAACUGCUUUCACGUAACUUACAUAUUUUCCACAUCCGAACUCCAAAAAAUUCAAUUUCAAAUUGAAUAUGAAUUUGAAUUAUCAAUUAAAAUUCAAUUUCAAAUCAAUGACUCACAUUUGCCUUUAGAUUUUAGCUCAAACUGUAAUUUCAAAAUUAAACUGAAAUUUUAUUUUCUAUAUUCCAAUUGAUCUUAAAUUGUGAAUAUAAAUAUCAAGUGAAUUUAACUUUUCAACAUUUAAUUAAAAAUUUAAAAUUUAUAUUUUUAAUUGUCAUUUAAAGUUUUGAAUUUAAUGUUAAUUUUGAAUUCAAAUUGUAAGAAAAAUCCAUAUCACAAAAACCCAUCAUGGCUAUUUGUAAUGUACAAUACCCAACCCUCACAUAUAAUCAGAUCUGAAUACUUGUACAAUACAACAUUCCUACAAUAGAGGAACCAAGACACCUCUAAGAAUUUAUUAGUUGGCCCCAUCUAUUAGAUCCACACCUUCAUGACAAAGUGCAUCUUAGAGUGCAAGGGAUGAUCCACUGGACUUUGCGAUGUUUUGUCUAGACCCAAUUUGAAUUACUCGGUAUUCCGCACAAAAUCUCAUUUGGCAAGAAAUUAGUUGCACUCAAAUCUUUAGAUACAUUAGUUUAAUUUAGGUUUUUUUCAUAUGAACUUGAGGAGGGUGUCAGGAUCCUCUAACUACACAUUAUAUUUUCUUUUUUGCAAACGUGUAUUUUCUAAUUUAAUUUUUUUUCAACAAAAUUUUCUAGCCACACAAUUACCUUAGAAUACUUCUGACCUAAAUCGUAGCACCAUGAGAAUGCAGAUUGUUUCAUAUAUAUUUUUUUCCCUUCUAUUUCUCUCCCGCUUCCUUUAGUCAUCCCCAUUUUCUCACCCAAUCCAAAAACUAAGCUGCCAUAUGAAAGAAACCCUAAAUUAUACACAUGUUUGGAAUCCAAUAUGAAACUAAUAUACUUAAUAGAGCUACACAAUGUCUCACGCAUGUAUGGCAGAUGCAGGAAACAGAGGAUGAGCCACCCAUCUCAUCAUACUAGCAAAAUGAACUGACCGGGCGCAUUACAAUGCAUAUAUUCAUUAAACUUACUGAAAGCUUGACUUUUAGAAGCCUUUUAGAACAGCAAAAUGAAUACACAGAUAGUGAAUUAUAAUUAAUAACAUAGCCAGUAGAUAUUUUCAUCAUACUGACUGAAAAAUAGAUGUUUAAGAGAGCAAACUAAGCUGAAUAGCGAAAUACGAUUCAGCAAUCAAUAUACAUCGUAUUCUUCCAUCAAAAAGUAUUGGAGGUUUACGAGAACAAACAGACCUUAACGGCAAGAUAUGAUUCAGCACAUAUGCUGAAUAUAUUUCAUCAAACAAACUGAAAAUUUGAGGUUUAUUGAGAGCAGUAUGAGCUAAUUGGGCGAGAAGGUACAAUUCAUCACACAACUAGUCAACAAACUAAAUCAUAAUUCAGAGUCCACCAGAGAAAACAGAACAAUUUAUAGAGCAAAAUAUGAUUCAACACGACCAGCAUAUAUAUAUUAAUCAAAACCCGCAUUGAAAGUAAACCUAUAAAUGUAAUAAAAGAGAAAAAAAAAAAAAAAAAAAUUUCUUUUAAGCAACCGUAAGUAUAAUUUACAGCCCCAUUUCCUACUAUCCAAACAAGAAACUGAUUCUUCUUUGAUAAACCAAGCACUAAGGAUCGUCUAAACUUUUCCUUCAAUCGAAUACUCUUUUCCUCGAAAAAAAUAUAUUAUGACAUUUUUAUGUGAAACCAAACAGGGUUCGAAAUUUGGCAGUUGGGUCAAAACAAACGAUGGAACAGAUGGGAGAUCAGUUACGGCGCAGGCUAGUUUCAGUUUAAAUAAACAAGUGUAAAAAUCAAGUUCGGAAAAAAUUCAAAAUACAUUGAACUUGGAUGUAUGACUUGUUAGACAAACAAACAAGCAAAUACAAGUCGCUUCACUUCCCACUUUUGUUUCAUGUCAAAUUUCAUAGCAAACAGCUUACGAAUGAGCAGAGUGAAGAUAAAUCAUACAACAAAGUCGAAAGCUAACUCAACAGCCUAAUUCUUAUUUGAAAUACAUUAAGGAGUUCUAUUGUUAAAAAAAAAAAAAAGAAGAAGAAAUUAUUGAUAAAGUGUCAAUCAGAUCAACUAAGAACACUUCAAUCUUUCACUGGUGGUAUCAUAGAAUUAUGGCGAAAUACUUACUGCCUUUAGAAAAUUAAGGCACUUUUCAAACAUUUGAUGCAGUCCCCUGUGUUGAUUUGAAGAAGUUUCGAUACGUUAAAUAAAUUGCGCAACAGUUAAACUGACAAGACAGCAUAACAUAAAUGAUCUCACGUAAUCAAGAAUUUUUGGGCAAUGCAGAAGCGGGACAUCUUCCCAAAGUAUUCCAGAGUAUGUAGUCUCCAGAGGAAACCUGGCAAAUGCAACAUUUAUAGUGAAUUAAAAGGUUAUCAACUUCAAAACAUAGAGAAGCUGAAAAAUAAAAGUCCUCCAAUUCUACGAUAGGACAAAUUGACAAGAUGCUGACACAAUAAAAUAACCAUAUUGAGAAAAUCAAAGACGGUCAUCACAAAAGAGGGUCAGAUGAGAUUUCAUUGUCAGUACAGCAUAAAUAGCUGUCUACAAGGGAAAAGAGGAUUUUUUUCUGUAAAGUACCGGACUUCUAAAAUCAUGAGGUUACGGUGUCCAUUUGGUUGGAGAGCCAUUUGAAUGGUUCCGGUAAGGUUGCGGUGUAAUGUAAUAUACCGGAUUUAAAUAUAAAAAUAGAAAUAAAUAAAAAUAGUAUGAGAUACUAUUUUUAUUGAAUUUAGAGAAGUGAAAUAUAAGUUGGGAAUGACCUGUGCUGAAAUCGGAAUUAAAACAGAAGAUUUAGAAUUUUCUGUUGGAAACGGGGCAGAUAAAUUAGCAGAAAAUACAGUCUCAGAAAAUUAUGAAAAUUGGCAGAGAUGUCAGAAAUAUUUUUAUGAGGCUAGAUUUAAGGUUUCAUAUUUUUCUGACACCCGUAGAGUGAGAAAUAAAAUCCGAAAGCUAUCUGAUAAAGAUUGCAGUUCGGUACAGUUUUCAGUGACCAAACGGGGUCGAAACUGAACCAGUGAUCGUCAGCUUGUUAAGUUAAGUAAAACCGAACAUGACUGUCAAGUUUGAGCUCAAACGGACAUUCAGGGAGCUCCGGCGAAAGUUAUCAGAUUUUAAGUUGCCUGGAUGAAUAGUGUUUGAGGGGUAUUAUGAAGAAGCUGAUGCUUCUUCUUCUCCUUCGGCCGCACACCACACACGCACACGCCACACACACACACGCAUGGAAAGAGGGAGAAAGAGAAGCCUUCCAUUUUCUCUCUCUAAAUCUCUCCCAAAAUGGAUGGAUUUGGUGGAGAAGUAAGCUUGGAAGUUGAUCUUCAUCAACUUCAUCUUCUUCCUCUCCAUUGGAGCAUGCUUUGAAGGUAAGCUUUAAGAGCUUUAAUGGCAUUUCUCUAUUGCUUGGGUUUUAAGCUCUAGAAACGAAUUAGUAGCUUUCCUAGAUGCUAAGUAGAUGAUUUAUGCUUAGAUCCUAAGUUCUAAUGGUGGAUUUUUACCUAUUGCAACAUAGAGCUCCAAAAUGAGGGCUUUAAUGGUAGAUCUCUAAAGAUAGGUCUAAAUGCUUUGGAAAUGGUUUUAGUGGAACCCAUUGAUGCCUAAUAGAUGAUUAUUGCAUGAAUCUAAGGUUGUAGUAGAGUAUUCUUGCAAUAGUUGAAACCUAGGGCUCAAAAUGGGAUUUUUAUAAAUUGUUGGGUUUGAUCUCUUUUAACCCUCUGUUUACCUAAUUGCUAGGUCUACGAACGCGUUGGAAGCGACGGUUCGGCGAUUCGUCGAGCCGGUGCAAAGUUAUUAAAGAAACGGACGUUUAGGCUUCGUUUCCGCCUGGAGGGCCGAGGCGACGUCGUAAAAUCCUGAAAACGGAUUUGAAGCAUCGUGACAAGAAACCGAAGACCUUUAAUUUUCGGAUCGCGAAUCGGAGGUCGUUUGGUGGUCGCGCACGGAUUGGGUCAAGCCGAGCGGCGUGCGCCGCGGGAGGCCGAUUGCGAGUGACGACGAGCAAUCGGAACGCGAUAAAAGGUGGGGGGUGUCAUCCCGAAGCAAUCGGGCUUCUCCCUAUAUCUUAGUACUUUAUCAAUUAUAUAAGCAUAUUAUAUGUUGCUAUGCAUUAUAGGAUGACAAUACAUGCAUUCCUAAUCCUUGUAUGAUGUUUAUGAUCAAUAUAGUAUUAUGAUAUGGAUAUAUGAUGUAAUGGACAUAAGGAUUAUGAGAUGACAUUGGUAAACCUAUGAUGCUAAAUGAAAGAAGAACCUAGUAUUGUAUUUAAAGACAUAGUUUACAAGUGGCAUUGAACUCAUUGUGCUAAAAACACAUAUGACUUGAACUUAGUAAUGGAUUGGUUGUUGUACUAGAAACUCUAGUUAACAUUGAUCAAGUUGCAUAUUGGAAUAUUGCAUUAUAGGGUACUAGUUGGCAAUUGUUACAUGUCAUGGCAUGCUAGUGGGAGUGUAGUGUUACUUGAUUAAUACUUGUACCUAGUAUGCAUGAGAUUGGGACUUAGUGUGGUGAAACCCUAUAAAGGCAUGAUUAAUGUGGAUUAAACUGUAGUUGAAUACAUUAAUCGAUCAAGUUGCAUAUUGUAUUUAUUGUAUAUAGGUGCUAGAUGAUUAUGGUUAUUGCUUAUAUAUGCAUGCUAGUAGCUAUACAUCUUGAUGAUUGAUCCAUGAUCUAGUAUGCAUGAUGAUUAUAUGAUGAAAACUCUAUAAUAAAGACCUAGACCCUAUAUGAGAUGAUUAAUGCUUAUGUUGCUAAAGAACUAGUAUGAUGUAACUAGUGUUGAUAAUGAGUCAAAAUUGACGAGUGGCAUCUAGUUAGAAAACUAUGAUGAGUAGCAUAUGAUUGUUUAUGAUCUUGAUAUGAGAACAUUAGUGUAGUUGAGACACUAUGAGAUUGGGUAUAAGAACACCUUGAUUCCAUGAUGAGAUUACCCUUAGAGGGUAGGUUGUUGUUGCUCGUGAGUCGAUCAUGCUCACAUUGCCUGUCUGCGCUUGGUGGGGUCGCUCCCCUCAAGUUCUGCGCUCUGGAGUUGGUCACUAGAGAGGCAGCCCGCUUGCUGCUCGGAUAGCCGCUUGUUAUCCGCAGGCGUACUCGGGGAUAGUCCAGCUAGGCAUCCCUCGGAGGUUUUCAUGUGAGCCUUGCUUGUGAACCUUGUGUUCACUUGGAGAUUGGGUUACCUAUUGAGUCAUACUCAUUAUUAUUGUUCAUGAUAGCUUGCUUCCAUAGUUGUUGUUGUUCAUAGUAGCUUACUAGUGUUCAUAGUAGCUUACUUAUUGCUCAUGCAUUCAUGAUAUACUAUUCCUUCACCUAUGAGAUUUGAGUGGAGUAGCCCUGUACCUAGUAGGUCGAGAUGUGAGUCGGGCAAAGUGCGGGGUAGCCUUUGCCUAGGACCUUGAGAUGUGAGUCGGGCAAAGUGCGGGGUAGCCUUUGCCUAGGACCUUGAGAUGUGAGUCGGGCGAGGGGCAGGGUAGCUCUUUGCCUGGGACUCACGAGAUUGGGUCAGACCUUUGAGAUAUGAGUCGAGUGAGACAAGAGUGAGGUAGCUCUUCACCUACUAGAUUUGAGAUCUUAGGCAAGUUAGCCUAGCGGAUUGGGUAAUAACAUAAAUAGUAUAAGAGUAUUGCAUUCAUACCUUGAUUAGACAUAGUGCAUUGCAUAACUAUGUUGUUGUUGUAUUUAUUUCACUGUUGAGGCAUACUAGCAUGAUGGUAGGUUAUUGCUAGAUGAUGUUCCAUGCAUACUUUGCAUUUGAUGGCAUAGUAGAUAUAGUAGUAGUAUUUCCAUAUAUCUUUCUAUCUAUCUAUCUGUGCCAGCUUGGACCUAGUGGGAAGAUCGGCGGAGUCGGCGGCCGAACCCACUGGGAACUAUAUUUAUAUAGUUCUCACCCCGUGUGGUUUUGGGGUACAGGUACACACGAGAGCGGAUCGGCAGAGGAUCGCGUUAUGGGCUUAGCGCCCUAGUGCUAGUUGGUAGUUUACUUUCCUAUUUUGCAUUAGAGUUACCCUAUACAUGUAUUGAGAGUAGAUGAUGUAUAGGAUGUGAGGUAUUUUGAGAUAAAUGUAAACUAAUGUUUAUCUUUUGAAGAAUGUAAGCUUAUAUUCAUAGUUUGGAAAAGAAUGCAAGUUGUAAUUAAAUGUAUCGAGUUGAAUGGUUGUAAUAGAAUAGUUAAGUAUCUCUCUUUUGUUUCACUUGUAUGUCUUCUACUUGUGAUGCUUGCUCUUGUAAUAUUCAGCACUGUUUGUGCUCUCGCUGUUGUUGUAUGAUUGUGUAUGUAUUCAAGUGUUUUCCUGGGAACUUGUUGUACACAAUCUCGUCAUUUGAGCCUUGGGCGGACAGGGGAGACUCUGUCCGUUCGGCGUCCGUUCGCCGCGCCCGAACCGUGCCAAAUCGGUAGCGGCCUCGGGGCGGGGGCGUGACAUUUUCUCUCCUCUUCCUAGUGCAGUAGAGGUUGUGGAGUAAUUAGGAGGCGUGCAUUUUCGAAGCAAGGGUUUCUCUGCCCAUAUAUCUUUUUCAUGUACUAGAAAGGCCCGUGAUAAUUUUCAAUUAAUUGAGAGAUGAACAGACGUCAAGAAUGGCAUAAUAUGUAUGGCCUCUAACUCAUUGUUUUUGGGGUGCCAUAAGCUAGCUUGCAGGUGGAAUCUAUUAUUUCGAAAUGCUGGAAUUUCUUAACAUUUCAGAAAUAGUAAAGCAUCAAAUUGGUACCUAAACUUCAAUAGUUUUGACUGUAUAACCCAACCUUACAGAAAUUUUUUAUAUACGAAAUCCAAACUUUAGUAUUUCUUGUUCUACUUGAAGAGAAAAGUAUAACUGGCUCCAACCCGAGCACACCCUUUCCUCCCAUGUGUAGAAACCGAAAAUUCAAGUUUCCUACACGCCUAAGAUCGUACAACCACCGUAAAAGACAAAAACGAAGAAAUAGAAAGCUCACAAUAACAAUCUCAAACAACUCUACAUAUGAAUUUAAUCAACUUCACCAAGAAUAUUCAAAACACCAUACAAUCAAAACUGAAAAAUAUCAAAUAAACCUUCAACCAAAAAUACCUUAGAAGGAACGUUCACAACAGAGGACAAGAGGCAGAUUAAAGGUCACCCACCUCAAAUGUAGCAAAAUCUCACAACCUUUGGACUCUCUUUUACACUUCUCUUGCCCUUGAGAGAAACACCACAAAAGAGAAUAAAGAACAAAAGAGAAGAAGCUAGUUUUCUCGCUCAACCUAUUUUCUUUUGACCCCUAGCUAACCCCAUGUGGACCAACUUGACUCACUUAACCCAAAAUAAGCCACAAAUCAACUUGACUCAAAAGGAACAAAAAAGACCUAUUUAAACAAUAGAUCAUUUGGCUCCUAGAAAUACACUUUAUUAAUCUAGUAGACCAAAAAGAAAUUAAAAAAACAAGUUUAGCACUAAUUUUUAACACUCCCCUUAGCGCAAACUUGUGAGAAACCAAACAGAGCCUUUCGUGAAGUUCUACAAACUUCGCCUUUGGAAUAGCUUUGGUGAAGAUAUCCACCAAGUUUUGUUGCAACCGCACUUCCAUUAACUCAAUUUCUUCAUGAAGCACUUUCUCCCGAAUGAAGUGGUGCUCCACUUCAAUAUGUCUGGUGCUAGCAUGAAACCCCGGAUUCGCCGCCAACUUGAUUGCACUUUGGUUGUCACAAUAAACCUUUACCGGAAAGCAACCAAAGUCCGCAUCCCUACAUAUUCUUGUGCCGCAAGGGUUGCCGCUUUGUACUCCGACUCCAUGCUACAGAGAGCCACAAUGUCUUCCUUCUUUCCACAUCAUGAUACAAAACCAAAACCCAAUCCCAACACAUAGCCCGUUGUAGAUUUCCUCUCAUCAAGAUCACCUGCCCAAUCAGCAUCGGUAAAACCUACAAGUUUACAUCUUAUACUCUAAUUAUAAAGAAGACCAAGAUCAAGAGGAAUUGACGAACUUGACAAUUCUCUUAGCAGCACUCAAAUGAGGCUUUCUUGGUGCUUGCAUAAACUGGCUAACUGCCACCACCGAAUAUGCAACAUCCGUCCCAGUAAUAACAAGGUAUAACAAGUUACAAAUAAGUGUUCGGUAAAGGCUUGGAUCCUCAAGAGCCUUACAAUCGCCCUUUCGCAACCUCAUAUUUGCAUCCAUAGGAGAAAAGCACGACUUGCUCUUCUUCAAACCAAACUUUUCAACAAGCUUUGAGGCAUAAUAGUGUUUUUGAGAGACAAAUACUAUCAAUACCCUUCUCAACCUCCAAUCCAAGAAAGUGGCUAAACUCACCUAAAAUCUUUCAUUUCAAAGCGAAUAGCAAGUUCAUCCCUAAGCUUACUAAUCUCCUCGGCAUUGUCUCCGGUAACAAUCAUGUCAUCCACAUAGAGAAACACAAUGGCAUGCCUACCAUUAUACAUCUUCACAAACAUACUUGGAUUGGAAUUGGAAACAUGAAAACCACAAAAGAGAAGGUAUUGAGCAAUUUUACCAUACCAAGCUCGUGGCGUUUGCUUGAGCCCAUAAAUCGCCCUUUUCAACCGGCAUACAUGAUCUGGAGAAAUCUUUGAAAUAAAGCCCGGCAGUUGGCACAUAUAAGUCUUUCAGUCCACCUCCCGAUACAAGAAGGUAUUUUUGACAUCAAGUUGCCACAUCUUCUAUCCCAUUGAAGCUGCCAAUGAAAUGAGAACCUGAACAAAUGUCAUUUUGGCCACCGGACUAAAUGUCUCUUUAUAGUCCAAUCCAUAUUAUUGAGUGAAGCCACGAGCUACCAACCGUGCUUUGUAUCUAUCCACGGAUCCAUCGACCUUUCUUUUAUUCUUGUAUACCCACUUAUAUGAAACCGGUUUUAUGUCCUUCAGUUUUGGCACCGACUCCCAAGUUUCAUUUUUAUCAAGUGCACUAAUUUUCUCUUCCAUUGCCUUCUCCCAUUCAUGAACCCCUGUAGCUUCAUCAUAACAAGAAGGCUCAUCACCCCACAAAGAAACAUGAAGCAACAUCCACUAAAUUUGCACCGGAAUUCUACUCUGGUCCAAAAUAAUGUGGAUUCUUCUUGAAUUCUUGUGUAGACCUUCUCAUCGGUUGUUCUUGAACCUCACUUCUAGAAUAUGAAUUUUCUACUCGGGUACCUAUGCUUCCCCUCUAUUCGACUCUCCUCGAAGAAGAAAUCAAUGUAUUUAAAGCAUUAGAAGGAAACAACAUAGAAGAAGGCCUCUCCAAUAUUGUUUCAACAUGGGAACUUGUAGGAGCUUCAUUUGGUACAACAUCGGUUGAUCAUAAUAGGAUGACAUUUCAUUGAACACCACGUCUCUAGAGGUGACGAACUUGUGAGUUUUCGAAUCCAUACACUUCCAACCUUUCUUUUGUGUUUCAUAACCAAUGAAGACACACUUCUCUGACUUAGCAUUAAAUUUGGUCCGAUUUGCAUUCGGUACAUGAACAUAACAAAUGGAAUCAAAUAAAUGAAAGGGUUAAUUUCAUACAGGUCCCUGCAAACAUGGUGAAUAGCAAAUAUAUCCCUGCAAAACUCAACUUUCAUAAGUUGUCCCUACAAAAGUCCUAAUGUAUGCAGAUGUCCCUCUGGUUAAAAUCUGUUAGGAAACUGUUAAUUUUUUAACAGUAUGCUUGUGAAAUGACAAUUUGCCCUCACAAAUAUGUCCCUCCAAAAAUACUCCGUCUUCCUCUUCUUCCUCUUCGGGCCACCGGAGCGGACGGCAACGGUGGCAGAUCAUCGACGACGACGACAAAGAAGAAGAAGGAGGAGAAGAGGAGGAUACGAAGAAGAAGAAGGCGGAAGCGGCGCAGGCCGGAGGAGCUUGGAGGCGAGGGGGUUUGCAGCCAGGUCGAGGUCGGGGUCGGGUUCGCCGGCGACGAAGAAGAGGGAAGAGGAAGAAGAAGGGGGAAGAGGAAGAGGAAAAGGGAAGAGAAAGAGGAAGAGGGAGAGGUUCGCCGCCGCGGCGAGGUUGAGGUCGGCGAGGUCGGGGUCAGGUUCGCCGGCGACGAAGAAGAGGGAAGAGGAAGAAGGAAAGGAACAAGAAGGGGUAAGAGGAAGAGGGAAAAGGAAGAGGAAGAGGAAGAGGGAGAGGGAGAGGGUUCACCGCUGCGGCGAGGUCUGGGUCGGGUUCGCCGGCGACGAAGAAGAGGGAAAAGAAAAAAGGAGGAGAAGAAAAAAGGGGUAAAAUUAUAAAUUCACCUUAUUAAUUAACCAUAAUAAAGUAUUUUAACUGUGGUUAACGAAAAUUUUCUAACGGAAACUAACGGCAGGGACAUAUUUGCAUAUAUUAGGACUUUUGCAGAGACAAUUUAUGAAAGUUGAGUUUUGCAGGGAUAUAUCUGCAAUUCACCAUGUUUGCAGGGACGUGUAUGCAAUUAACCCUAAAUGAAAAUAGCCAAUAGAUGGUUUCAUUCUAUAUAACAUUUCAAAAGGAUUUUUCAUGGGUUUUUUAGUGCAAUAGUCUUCUCCUAAAAUUUUAUUCUAAAAAUAGACAUAUUAAAUAUUUAUUUAUAAAUAUGAUCCUAUAAAAGCGGUGAAUGGUUCACCGCUUUUAAAAGCGGUGAACCAUUCACCGCUUUCUUUCUUUUUCUCACUUCUUUCUAUAUUUCUACGGUGGUAAAAGCGGUGAACCAUUCACCGCUUUUAUUCUUUUUCUACUCCUAAUGAGUUAUGAAUGCGAUGAAUCAUUCACCGCAUUUAGAGGUCUAUUUUUAUAAUUAUUUUUUAAAAAAAUUUAUUUUUACAAUUAUAAAAAUCGAUAGGAUUAUUUAUAAAAAAAAAUUCAUAUUUCAUACUGCAAGAGCUCAACAGCAUCCAGUUGAUGACAUGACAUGCCCAUGCCAUCGUUUCAACGCACAACUCCUUAGGCAAAUUCUUAGAGUAGAGCCAACACCAACAUGCUUUCGAAAGAUGUCGUAGCUUGCGCUCCGCCAACCUACUUUGUAGUGGAGUGUGAGCACAAGAUAAAUGCCUCCGAAUUCCAUGCUCUCUACAAAAUUCUUGAAACCCCUUUGAUAUAAAUUUACGAUCUCCUUCACUUCCCAAGCACUUGAUUCCUCUCAAAUGCUCCCCUCCACCAUAGCUUUGAAAAGUUUACAUUUAGAGAAAGCAUCAAACAUCUCUUUAAGGAAAUAUACCUAUGAAAAUCUUGUGCAGUCAUCCACAAAUAGAAGCAUAUAUCUGCAUCCGAAAUAACUUGCCUCACUAUCUAAUACCAAGAUAUCAAUGUGAAUGAGAUCCGGUGGCUUCUUACUUCUCAACUUGGAGUCUUCAAAUGGAAGUCGUUGAAAUUUUCUAAGUUGGCCUCCUUCACAUACACCACCAACUUUGACUUCACCAAUAUUAGGCACACCAUCUGCUAGAUUCUUGGAGAAUAUUGCUUCAUUUUAUCAAGAGCCACAUGUGCCGGUCUUGCAUGCCAUAAACUAGCAUUAACAUUUUUUGCUAGUUUUCUAUAUAUACGAGUCACCGGCGGAAAACACAUAAAGUGGUUUUACUCGCUUUCCAUGAUGCACAACAUCGACAAACUCCGAAAGCAAUUAAAUUCCAUUUUGUUUUUGCCAUUCUCUCUAUGUUGACGAAGGGAAGAGAGUCUCGAACCUGGCCGGUGAAAUGUGAACAGUCUUUUUAUAUAAAGGCAAUGUCUUAGUCGAAGAGUCUCUAUCUGCCGUGGAUCAAUGUAAAAUAGUGAAAUGGCCACAUUCCCGAUCCAAUGCUACUCUACUGAUCCAGGAUAGUUUACCGGGUAAUAGGGCAACUGAGGUAGUUUCAGUUCCAGAUCAACCACUGAAAUUGCUGAGUCGACGAAGCCAACUAGCCCAGGUACUGGCUUAGACACUGCUACCUCUGCAUCUGUCUUUGACAAUAGGGCUUGAGGUCGAUCAGUCCACUACUAAGGAUCUAUGGUAGGUCAAAGAGCGCAAAGAAGAUUGCCCACCAAAAGUCCUUGUACGUGCUAUAAGAUAUAGGCUUUCAAUGAAAGCUCGUAGGAUCAGCUGACAAAACAGAGAGGGAUUUAUACUCACCUGGUUCAUGUCUACGGAAGAGGGAUCUCAAAUUGUGUUUGACCGCAGACUCGUAGCAUGGGUGAUAAUUCUUCAUCUUAGGUAAUAAAGGUGGACAGCUCGUCAUCUUCAAAAAAGAAAUGAUUCUUGCGCUAUUAUCUCCUAUCAAAUAAAUUCCCAAUUCUCCUUUUGGGGCUUCCGCUCUCACAUAAAGUGCUUCGGGGAGUUGAAAAUAAGCAUAGAUCCGAAGAUUCCCAAAUAGGUCAACCUUUCGAAUUGCUGCUGAAUCCAUGGGUAGGUAAGAGGCAACCUAUCGAACUGAAACAUCUGUGCUCGAAAGAUAGUUGUCCAAACACUGAUAAGGGAUGUAUGGUUUCUCGAGAAGAGAGGAGCCGUGGUGGUCCCCCCCGGACCGCCCAGAUCCCACGAGUGAAUAGAAAGUUAGAUCUACAUUGGAUCUCACCUGAAUCGCCCUACCUAUCCUCCUGAGGAGAAGUUUGGUUUCAAACUCUGAUUCAAACAGAAAGAGCCUGUUGAAGAAUAAGCUGGCGACUCAUAGGCAGUGGCUUGGUUAAGGGAACCCACCGGAGCCGUAGCGAAAGCGAGUCUUCAUAGGGCGAUUGUCACUGCUUAUGGACCCAAACCUGCGUGAUCUAUCCAUGACCGGGAUGAAGCUUGGGUAAAACUAAGUGGAGGUUCGAACCGACUGAUGUUGAAGAAUCAACGAACAAGUUGUGGUUAGGGGUGAAAUGCCACUCGAACCCAGAGCUAGCUGGUUCUCCCUAAAAUGUGUUGUGGUGCAGCAGUUGACUAGACAUCUAAGGGCAAUUCAAGAAAGUCGAAAACUACAUCGGCACAAGAGGCUGGGCUCAGCCCCUAUGGUUAGUAUCACAGGCAAGCAAGGCAGGAUCUUUCCAAAAUUGAAUCAAGAUGCUUAAGACAGGCCUUUGGUUUAAUUAAUUGGUUUCGCCAAACACUAAACUGAACGAGCCCUUUGUGUGCCCUACGCACGAUAGAGAACGAGCUCUUUGCACCCUAUGGCUGCAUAGGUUCUUAAUCUUUCCCCUAAUAUCCUCUCAACCGCCCCUGCUAUCCUAUCAACUGGUCAGUCAAUAUCAGUAGUGGAGGAAGGAAGAAGAGUAGUCCCUUGGUCAUCAGUUAGUAGUUGAAUAAUCCCAGUAGUAGUCCUCUUGCCUAGUGGAGUCAGCCCUUAAUGGGCAAUGAUAGGCAAACCAAAGAUUGCACAUCGCAGUCAAAGCGUGCUUGCUUUGCACACAGGCACAGCAGAAUGAGAAGCUGCUCGGCGCACUAGCGCUGCUUGACAUCUCUGUAUUGCUUCGUAUGAGCAAAAUCUUUGAUGAUCUUAUCGGGAAGAUCUCUACCCCGGAUUAUUGGAACCCCCGAGGAUCUCCCCUAGCACAGCACGAUGAAAGUUGUAAGCUGUGUUCGGGGGGAGUUAUUGUUUAUCGUUGGCCUCUACGGUAGAAUUAGUCGGAGAGGCCUGAGAGAAGGUGGUGUACCCUACGGCGGAUGUCAGUGGUUCGAGUCCGCUUAUCUCUAGCCCGUGAACCUAAAUACAAAAUUUUUUCAUACUUCUACCCUUAUCCGGCAUGAGGAAAAAACCUCCUAUACAUUUCUAAGGGGGGCAUUGUUUAUUUACAUCUAUCCCAAUGAGCCGUCUAUCGAAUCGUUGCAAUUGAUGUUCGAUCCCGAAGAGAAGGAAAAGAUCUUCGAAAAGUAGGUUGGAACUCAACCUACCUCAAAUCGGUGAUUGAGAUCUUGGCCCGAGGCCGUCUGGCUCGUCAAGCUCGGAAAAGUAUCUUAGCCGAUGGCGCAGAGAGGGAGAGUUGGAUACCCUUACCUACUGUAGUAUACUGAAUCCCCAGUACACUGAACUUCAGUCAAAUUGACCGAAGUGUGGUAAUGGACAAUUUGGAGAGAUCCAUGAGAUGUUCCGAGUGCUUCGGAAUAGUUUAAAUAAGUGUAUGGGACCUUGGAGAGCAAGUUGGAAAAUUCCAAGCUUAUUGCGCUGGAAAUGCUCUCGGGGUCCUAACCCUGGCUGUAGGAUCCAGACCCGACCCCGAACACGCGAAAUUUUGGGUUGAGCAAAAUGUUAGUUGUGUGAGGGGCCAUGGUGCAAUUGUGUUAGGGGAAGCCUUAAGUGAGGGUUCUCAACCCUUUUCCCUCGUUCCCUUCACACCAAACCAAAAGAGAAGUUUCUCUUUCCCUCUCUCAACCUCUCUCUCUCUCUCUCUAGGGUUUGCUCCAAGAAGUGUAGACUAGUGGAGAAGAGCAUGCUUGGUGGUGAAGCAGCCUCUUGUACAAGCUUGGCUUGGAGGAGAGCUUUGGUUUGAGGUGAGCUUUGUGGAAUUUAGAAGUUUUGAGUUAGGGUUUUGUGCAGAAACCUUAGAAAUGUGAUAAAUGGGAACCCCAUGUGAUUCUAACCUAAGCUAUUGCAUGAGUCACCAAGAGAUUUGGAUAUUAUGCCAUGAAUGGGUUUCUAGGGUUUCUAAAUAGGGCUUUUUAAUUGUAUGGGUUUUGAUGUUAAUUGGUCCCACAUUUCCACAAUUGAAGGUAAACCGAUGCGGUGGAUUGCUUAGAUUGAAGUUUCGUUAAGCCUACGAUGGUCAAUAUGGGGAAAUCACCAUUUUCUCUUCGUUUGCCGCAGUCGAGUGAAAUCGACGAAGAUAAAUUGCGCAGCUUGGCUUUCCCACUUCAUGAUGUCGACUCGAGGUGGGGGGUGCUAUCCGAAUUAGCCGAAUUUCAUUCUAUGUCUAAGUUCUACAGCCAUGUAGCAUCAUGCAUUGAGAUUAUGUGAGAACCCUAUGAGUUCUUGAUAAAUUAAUGCUUUAGUGUGAGGAAUGAUGAUCCAUGUUGCAUGAUACUUGUAGGUGUAUUUAUUUUUAUGAUGUUGGGAUAGAUGUAUAUAUGUAUGUGCAUGAGAUGCUAAAGGACAUAUGCAUGUUGACAUGUUAUGAGAAUAUGCUAGAUUCAUGAGAACUAGAUGUGUAAGCCUAUGACAUUGAUGAGAAUUGGAAACUAUUGCAUAUGUGGCCGACUUUGAGCAUUACAUGCCUUGCGAUUAUUUGGGAUAUGGGAUUCCCGAGGUCCUCGGGCGGGAGGACUUGAUCAUACUCGUAUGUUCGUCUGUUGUGGCUUGUGGAGGUCACGACUCCCAAGCCGUGGGCUCCGGAGUUUCACAGUGAGAUAGAGACGGGGGUUCAGGCACCACGGUGCGCCCCCGGCAGACGGUCACAAGAGGUGACAGUGUGUGUGGCGAAUUGUGGUUCGACCUUUGGGCGAACCGAUUGGAUUUGAAUCAAGGCAUGGUCAUGGCAUUUCAUAUAUGUUGCAUACAUGGUAGAACUUUCACUUGUUGAUAUCGGUAAAGGCAUAGUAGAUAUCUUUGAAGCAUGAUAUAUAUAUAUAUGUUGGACAAGUUAGGCUUAUGAUUGUUACUUGUUACUUCCUUGUCAUAUUGACCUAUUCUUGUCUCUACGCCUUCUUAAACCUAGUGAGAAAAUCGGCAAGGUCGGCGGCCGAACCCACUAGGAACUUUGUUUAGUUCUCACACCCUGUUUUGUAGAGCCAAGCACGAGCGCAUUCGUCGAGGAUUGCGGCAAGGGCAUCGAGCCCUAGAUAGUGUGGACCACCAGGACUAGAUCACCUACCCUCGUGUAUAGCAAGCAAGAAAAGAAAAAGACAUGUAAAGCUUUUGAGAAAGAAAUGUGAGGUAAUCAUUUUGUAUGUAAAGAGAAGUUGUAACAAGUUAAAGAAUGUAAAUGGUUAAUACACUGUGGAAGUGUUGUAAUAGAUAGUUUAAAUUCUCUUGCAUCUGUGAUACGCCUCUCGCAAAUGUUUGAUGCUAAUAUCUCUUGCUUGGAUAUGUAUGCAUAGACUUUGUUACGCCUUGGGCGGGCAGGGGAAACUCUGUCCGUUCGACGGGUCUGUUUCGGGCCCGAGCUGUCCGGCGGCGGGUCGUGACACCUACAGUUCAACUGGAAACUAGUUACUUGUUCAAAUACCUAGCGACAAACUCCUGUGUUCCUUUCAUUACGGAAUUUCCGAACAAGUUCCCCCAAAUCGAUCAAUAAUAUCACAAGCUGAUAAAUCGGUCUAGAUCGGCUUACUAAUUGCUUUCAGAGUGUGGGCCCCGCCUUCCCGGUAAGGAAGAGGAUAAAAAGGUGCUGUCAUCUAUCUCGACCAGUUUCCCGAGGCCUUGGAAAUCAAGACCGGCUUAGAGAAUCAUUGGCGUGCUUUCUCUCCCCAUUGUUUCGAUAUUCUCCACUUCUCAUUUUGGAUGAAAGAAAGGAUGUAGAGGAUGAAAAUAGAGGAGCUCAUGGUGGUUAUAUAUAGGUAACAGAGGAGGAUGAGAAAGAUGGAACGAGUAGAAUGAUUGAGAGGUAGGCUAAGUUGGAGGAUGUAUUUGAGGAGGAUGGUCAUGAAGAGGUAGCAACCAUGGUUGCGACGGCUGUGACGACAGUGAUGUCUGCGAUGAUGGAGGCAGAGGUGGUGAAGAAGGUUUUAAGAAAAAAUGGAAGAGAGUAUAUAAAAGGGUAUUUUGGUCAUUUCACUAUUUUUUUAAAAAAACACCAUGACUAUCUAAAAAUUUCUUAUCUAUCGAUAGUGGUUAAGUGCAUUUUUUUUGUGCAAGGGGAUUAUAUGCAUUUUAGACAAUUUUCCCAUUUGUACAUUUGCUUUCAAAUAGAAGUAUAAAGACGAAAAGGGAAAAAUAAGGUACCUGCAUUGAGAACUCAAUUGGAGCUUUUACAGAAGGAUAAAUGCUUACCUGCAUGAGAAAGUAAGUUAUUACUCACAAAUAAAUAGUAAUAUUUUUGUUGAACCAUAGCAUAGCACAAAUAAGGCAUAAUAUUGAAUACAUGCAAUUAACUUUCCUAAAAAGAGCUGGGCAAUGGUAAAAAGGCCACGAUCCACAGAAAGUUAUUUGCAAAUGCAACAAAAAAGAAAAAAAAAAAGGGAAACGAAACAAACAAGGAAGAUAGCAUGCCCUAAGUAAAGGCUUCAGGCCCUGUAUGGAUGCAUAAAUAUUUUGUUCAGAACAUCUUUGUCAUUUCUUCAACUAGCUUAUAGUAUUUGAUAGAUAAGGAGAAUGAUCAAACGUUUAGAAAGUCAUGCUAUGCUCGCCCUUCAAGUGAUUUUCCUCUAAUAAGAUAAAACAACUCCUGGCUGAUAUACAAUCUAUCCUACCAAAUCAUGGCUGCUGAGGGCUUCAAUCGAGCUAAAAUCACUUACAGUCAUAAAGAAAAUACUCAUACCAAACUAAGUUAUCACUGAAUAAUUUGUUCUAAUAUCCAUGCAGAGUAUUAGAAAGCUCUUUAGAAGGCAACUACUAUUAGAGAUGUCAACGGGUCGGAUUCGGGGCGGAUUUUUAAAAACCCGAACCCGAACCCGACUCCAAACCCGAGACCCGAACCCGAACCCGAACCCGACGGAUUUUAAAAAUCCAUAUCCAAACCCGAACCCGACCAAAAAUCCGAAACCCAAACCUGAACCCGAAAAUUUGAACCCGAAACAAUUAUUUCUUUUUUCAAUAUUUCAAAAUAUAUUAUAUUAAACCUAAAUUUUUAAAAUACAAAUUCAAAUAUAACAUCAAAUUUAUAUAUAUAUAUUAUAUAUAAUACAAAAUAAAUUCGGAUUCGGGUCGGGUUCGGGUUCGGGUCGGGUACAAUCAAAAUCCAUAUCCGAAUCCAUAUCCGUCGGGUUUCUACUUUUGAUAUCCAUAUCCGAAUCCAUAUCCAUAUCCAUCGGAUAUAUCCGUUUCAUUCGGGUUUGGGUUCGGAUAAAAUUUCGGGUAUCCAUACCCAUUGACAUCCCUAACUACUAUCUAGGUGCUUACGCUGGGAAAUGAAAUUAUGCUUUAGCAGAAAUAUGGUGCUCGCACUAAUAGUUUAAAUAUACGUGGAAGCAUUAUCAAUAUUAAGUACUAACCAAUUCAUAGCUAAGAUAAUUGAAAAGGUACAUUCACCAAGAGUCCGACUACUAUGCUAUCAAUAGCACCGAGCGCUUGGUGCUAUCAAGCUUUUCGCCGUUAGAUCUAUCCCUUUAAUCAUUUCCACCCGUUAGAACAUACUAUUCAACCAACCACCCACUCAACUCUAGGGGACCAUUAUCAUCCUAACUGCACAUCCCUUCAUCCAAGGACCGAAAACCUGACUUGGUGCUAUUAGUAGUAUUCUAGCCUAGUUCCAUUCACCAAAUAGAUAUCAUGCUGAAACAUACCAAUUAGUAUUAUCCUACAAAUUAUAAAGCAGAACUCAAAGAGUAACAAAGAAAGCGACUUCACUAGAGUAGGGGUCAUACCUCAUACAGUCUUAAAGUUGUAAUGAAAGGAAAAAAGCACCUACUCAUAAUAAUGAUCAUUAUAGCAGUGAGGAGGACAAUGAUUGGAAUGAUCCAGACAUUGAUGAUGAUCACGAUGGUAGGUUGAAUUGUCUUGUGAAUUGCCAUUUACAGUGAGAACAAGGACCCACAUGUAAACAACGAAUAUAUAGAUAAUCCUAAUGAGGACUUGAAUUUAUUGACCAUCCGGAACACUUUCCUACAUAUAACAAUUAGGUAAAUCAGUAUGUCGUGGAUUCGACUGAAUUCAAUGUUAGACAAAUCAAUACUGACCUAUCUAGCAUUGACAGGACUUGGGUUGGUCAAAUCUUUUGUGAGAAGGCAUCUUUAUUAGACACUUUAGAUCGAUGACAUAUUGCUCAUAAUGUUCAGAUGAAAAUUUUGAAAUCCACAAAAAUGACUUCUACAGUAAAAUGCACGGUAGAGGGAUGUCCUCGGAGAUUACACACUUCAGUUUCCAAAGAUGCGGCGGACUGCAGAGUUAAGACAUAUGCUGGUCAAUGCUAAAAGAGUCGCACCGUAAUUGUAUUUCAAGUCUUAUAUGUCAAAUGAUUCUCCCGACAAUAAAAGCAAGACUUAAUAGCGCCAAAAUAAAUACAAGAAACGGUAUAAUCCACUUUGUGUGUUAACAUAACCUAUUGGAAGGCCUAGUUAGCAAGAAGUAAAGCAUUACAGAUUAUUUACGAGAGCUGGGAGCAAUCAUACAUAAACUUGUCUUGUUAUCUUACUAUGGUGCAGAAAAUUAAUCAUGUUACUUUAUGGCGUCUUGAUCAUAGAUAGCCAUCAGAUAGGAAUUGUUUGUUUGGUCGUGUUUUUUAGUCAUUUGGACCUUCUAUUCGUGGAUUCGCACACUAUCGAUUGGUAGUGAGCAUUAAUGGCACUCACCUAUAUAGCAAAUACGAAGACCGUGCAUUGAUAGCGAAGACUACAGACGCAAAUAAUGGCAUACAUCCUUUAGCACUUGCAAUUUGCGAAGGAGAGAAUGGUGGGAGUUAGCGUUGGUUUUUGCAUAACUUGCGUCAAUAUGUUACACGCAAUCGAAAAGUUUGCUUUAUGUAUGAUCGAUUUAGUGAAUUUCAAAAAAUAGUGGCUGAGAUACAUCCUCCACGCUAGGGUCAUGCACAUCGGUGGUGUCUUCGACACAUAAAAGCAAAUAUAAAUAAGUGUUUUAAAAAUGAAUCUUUAUUGUACAAAUUCUAUGCUACCGGAAGUGCUUCAACAUCGACAGAAGAAUAUAAGCUUAAGGAAGAAUUAGAUGCAUUGGACCAUGAUGCCUGGAAGUGGGCGGAUGGUCUUGAGAAACACAGAGUAUUAGACAUGGACAUUUGAUGGAGGAUGACUCUUCAGGUUCAUGACCACAAGUAUGUCAGAAAGCUUAAAUAGGGUAGGUUCUUAAGGGAGUUCGUGCUCUACCUAUCACGGCUUUUAUUCGCGGUGAUAUUUUAUAAACUUAAUAAUUAUUUCUUACAGCGUCGUGAAGAUGGUGAAAGUAUGACGAGCAUGUUAGCUCCUAAAAUGCGAAGUGAGAUUACAGCAGACAUGGAGACAGCGUGGGGACACAUUGUCCAUCAAUUUGGGCUCGUAAAAUUUGAGGUCAAUACUAGAGAUUUCUCAUACAAUAUUAUGAAUGGAACAUAUGUAGAAUGUGAUUGUAGUGAAUUUCAACUAACUGGAAUACAUUGCUCGUAUCUUUUAGCAGUUUAUAUUACUUCACAGAGAAGAAUAGACUCAUAUUUUUUUGUUCCCGUUAGUACAGUGUUGAAUGUUAUCGCGAGACAUAUGCACCACAUUUCCAUCCUGUUCCCGAUAGACGACAAUAGUCACGACCCCAGGGCCCGCCAAUCGUACCACCUUCUGUUAGAAGGAAGAAAGGUUGCCCACAAUCUACACGUACUCACAAUAUAAUAAACGAAAGAAUAGAGCGACGAACAAAAUGUAGCAUUUGUAAAUGGCGCGUCCACGUCGGACAUAAGUCUAACACAGACAUGCAAUGCUAAUAGCUAUGUCCAUGAUAUAUGUGCCCAAGCACUUUCAUUGCGCAACAUGAAUCAGGUGCUAUUGCCGUUCAUUGGGAAGUUAGUUGGGGUAUGCUUCGACGAUAUCCUGAUCUAUAGCAUGAGUCUUGAAGCCCAUUUGAGCCAUCUACAGAGAGAAUCAGCUUUAUCUAAACCUUAAGAAGUGUAGCUUUUUCACCGUCAACCUCAUCUUCCUAGGUUAUAACGUGUUUGCGAGGUGAGCAAGGUUGAUCCAGCUAAAAUACAGGUGAUUCGAAACUGGCCAACCCCGAAAACCCUAACUGAGAUACGAAGCUUUCGUGGGUGUGCAUCAUUCUACCAAUGCUUCAUUCGAAAUUCCAGUUCCUUGGUUGCCCCAAUAACUGACUGUUUGGAAAGAGGAAAACGCCUAGCUGUCCUUAACCUUCCACUUGCUUAAACCACCACUAGAAACUAUCCAAUCUUCUUUUUAAUAAUUAAGCUUGGAAAGAAUCGACUCCUAGAUGUUUCAUUUUAGGACUAUUAUGUGUACUUGGUGUUGGUGAUCGAUCUCAGCUUUUUGUCUUCAUUAUUAGUUCUUAUGGUUGCUAUUGAUCAAAGUCUUGAUUAUACUGCUGCUGAAAUUUGCUUUAUUUCCUACAUUGGAUUCUAUAGUUCAUUUUAAAAGGUCUUAUAAAAAUUGGAUUCAGAACCUUAUUGCCAAGGAUUUAAGUGCCGCGGCACGGGAUCGUGCCGGAAACUUGCUAGCACGGUACGGCACGGUGCAUGCCGGGCCGUACCGAUGAGUUGGUAAUAAAAAAUAUAUGUGCACUGACACGUAAUGGCAUGAAAUAUUUAUUUUCUUUAGCAACAAAAUAUGUCAAUUAUUUAUUAUAUAUUUUUAUCAAAUAUUUUGAACUUUAUUGAGAAAAUUACUUACUAAUUUCAAGAAUAGAGGAUUUUGAGUUGUGCUAUUGACAAGGGGGCUGUAUCAUGCCGAUAUCUUGCUAGCACGAUACGGCACGGUGGAUACGGCCCGUGCCGAUGAACACUUUAAUCCUUGCUUAUUGCAUCAUAUUUCAAUUUCCCCUUCCCACUACACUGCUACAGUACUUUUGGGUUUCUUCACGAACACAUACAGAUAUGCAUAGCAAUGCUUGGAGGUACACAUAUAGUUGCAUAUAAAUAAGCUUCACUACUACAAAUCUAGUCAUGACACAAAAGGCUAAGAUUUUGCAAAGGCAAAGAGCACUAGCAUUAGAAAAACCAGGCCAACACAUUUUGACAAUGUAAGAAGUUAAAAUACCAAGGAAAUCAUUGAACCUUUCCAAAUCUAUGGCACAUUAGUCACAUCAGAUGACUACAACCCCACUAUCCAAUAUAUCGAGUAUAGAAUUAAUGGAAUUAAUAUAGUUUCACAGAGGAAAUGCUAAGACACAAAUUUAAUAUGCACCUAAUUAUCAAAUUAAUUGAACUUCAAUGAAAUCAAUUGUGGCACUGCCUUAAUUAUCAAAUAGGCAAAAUAACCAGAACAAACUUACAGAUUUUGGAUCAAUUGUCAUUCUGGAUAGUGAACCUCCAACAAUCUUAAAAGACACCUGCAGAAGUGUUCAUUGUCAAGGAAAUUGGCGAAGAAGAGAACCACACUAGAGCCAGAAAAGAACAUCAAAACUAUAUUGACAAAACAAAAGAUCCAGUAACAAAGGAAUAUUUAAUGUACAAAUGCCCAAAGCAAAAAAGCAACUAGUAUGGGAUAGCACAUUACAAACGCAUCUGAUAAAGGUCAAACUAGUAGGCAAUCUGUAUCAAAAAUAUCGGUGAAUUAGAACAUGUUAACAAGUUUACCAUACAUAUUCCUAUAUUUAGAAAUCAAGAAGUACAAGGCUAGCAUGUAAAAAAACUUUAGACUUAACAAAUGAAGAAUCACGGUCAACAAAGUGUAUAUUCUAUUAUGACUAGAUGUUUAUCAUGUCUGGAGCAACAUUUUGUAGGGUUCGUCCUCCCAGCCAUGAUCAUAAACAAGUAGGAUGGUAGAUAAUCCUAGGAAGUGUUUCUUCAGGUUUUCACAGCAACCCCCUUUCUUGAUGUAUCACAAAAUUUAGAGAGGGUUAAGGCCAAUGAUAAAUAAUUUGCUUAGAGCCUUCUUCAUGCCAAUUUAUGCUCUAGCAAAGCCCAUACAAUUGCAAAAUAAUCUAAUGCUAUACACACACACACACACACACACACACACACACACACAUGCAUAUAUGUAUUUAUGUGUAUAUGUUGUUUCAAAAAUUAAGAUAGCACGUACCAAUAAGAAGUUACUUUACGAGUGUUGCUUAGAUGAAUAACAACGAAGACGGGCACUAGGGGGAAAAAAGUGGUACUAUCCAAGAAUGGGAAGAUCUUUUAGCAAUUCAGCCAAAAGACAGGAAAAAAAAAAAAAAAAAAAAACAAAAAAAACAAAAAAAAAAACUAGCAUCUCUCUACCAUGAACUAAAAUCUGUCAUUUACCAACGUGUUAGGAAUACAACUACAAUAAUAAGGAUCCAGUAGUUGCUAUUUCUUAUUGAUAACCUCGCAAUUUAUAUGAUUAUUUGUUAACAUUUAUGCAUAAAAUUGCAUCCAUAAGACCAUAACCUACGACCAAUCAACCAUGCAAUCCCAGAGUCUUUGUCCCAAAGUCACCAAAUACAUGAUAUCCGUCAGAGAAAUUGAUACCAACUAUACUCGCUUCAAUGCCUAGAUGACUAACCACACAGCAAUGAAAGGAGGGAACAAAUAGACAAAGGACAACAGAAGAGGAAUGUGAAAAUGUUCUUCACUAGCUCAACAAGCAAGAAAGGUUCUCGAUCCUCAUGUUGUUGUAGAUUUCAGAAUUUCUAACUUGAUUUUGUACUGUUACACUGAUGGCGGUAUAAUGAAAACUCUGAACAGAAAAAUAUGUUAAUUAAUGAUCAUGACGAACCUAUUUGCAUGUCAUAACAAAUUAUCCAAUGAUAACUUUUGUAACACAAAAAUUUUAUUUUUGUAAUUGCAACAUAGGAGUGUGAUAUUGCUCCAUUGCAAGGCCCUCAUAAUCAUGAUAGUUCACGAUUGUGCAUUCGAUCUAAGAGAUGAUGUAUCAAAUUACAAGAAAAUAAUUCAGAUUCCGUGUAUAAUAUGUAGCUGUAAACAUGUUUUCAUAACACUGGAGAUUCAUCCGACUUCAAUACCCUAAAGGCAAGUGUGUAAGCUAUAGAAUCCCAAAUGGAGCUCCUUCCGCUCUAAACAGCUACUGUGCCCUCUGACAUAGGAGCUUAAGCCUUAGUCCAUCACGACAUCCCUAUAGUCAGAUGCUCUGGGAUAUUGCAGUCCACCUAUGAGGUGAUCUACUCUUCCUGAGGAAAAAAAAAAUUAGAGGCCACACAUAAUAUGUGACUGUAGACGUGUCUCACGCUCCCCUCAACCACAUAACACAGGCCUAUACAGUAAAUAAAAGAGAGAUGGACACCGAAAUAAAUAUUCAUAGCAACCGAAAGGCCCAUAAAGACCUCAUGACGGUCCUAGUCAACUUAAUCUAGCUUUCAAUACAAUAAAAGCAAGUGAUCGAGUAACUAACUAUUACUCACUAGUCACUAUGCUAUGCAGCAAAAAGAAGUAGCACAAGAUUAACCAAUAAAAUGAGUAAUAGUAGGGGUGCUACAUAUACCAGUCAUGAAUAUCUAAACAAGAAGACGUCUCAUAAGAGACUACAUAACAAGGAUCAUAUAUGAAAUAUUAUGAUUACAUGAUCAGACGGGUACGAUGUGUAUCUGAAAUUAUAAUAUAUCGUAAUAUGAAAGAAAAACUACACAUAACGCUUGAAAGAGAUGCACAAAGCGCAGUGAUAUGUUUGAGAAACUACAGAAGCCUACCUUUGCAUAGUUGUAUGCUUGCCAACAAAAUGGUUCUUCCAGCUCCACUGCUUGCAGGUCGUUAUUCAUUUUCUCCAUCAGGUAUUCCUCUAUGUUCAUGACAUUAUUAGAACUAUCUUGCUCACCAUCACUAUCAUCUUCAGCUCUAACUGCAGAAACUGACCUAGACAAAGAAAGGACUCUUUGGCUUGCUCUUGGAAGAAAUUUCACAUUUCCAGAGAAAGUAGCCUCGAUGCUUUUCCCACUUAUACUGCGUCCACUUAUAACAAUUUUCCACUCAACAGAAUGUUUUGUCAUUGAAACUGUCCCGAUUGAAGGAUUCCCGUCAAAGGAUGCAACUCUUCUCCGAGGAAAUGGCAUAGUAACAGAACAAUAUUCCAUCGAAAGAGGAGACUUGUAACCUUCCAUUAACCGCAACCUGAAUAAAAAAGCACCUUCAUCUUCCGAGACCAUUGACAGCUGGUAGAACCCUUUGACAGGAGGAUCAAGACCGCGUAAAGCUUGAUAAUGCAUCAAACAAAAAUUCCCUAAUGGUGGCGAGAACAUUAGACCUUGCUUAUCAUCACCAUGCUCUGAUACCUGAGAAGAUUGAUGGAAAGAUAAAACCUCCACAUGAGCAUCUUUCAACCCACUCAGAGUUAAUGAAACGUCAGGUAAUCCUUCUAACUCAGCCCUGCAGUUCACUUGGCCUGAUAUUGAAAGAGAAUCUGGUAUUUCAUCACGAUCAUACAUCGCUGCAUUGAAAAUCUCAUGAAUGGAAAAUAGUAUCCGUUGCCUUCCUUUGUAUAGGUACGGCUUCCACGCUGGUUGCUUGAGGUCUGCAGUUGGUAUAUCUGCUGAUGAAAAGCCAUUUGCCCUAAUUGCAGAAAUAUUGGUAUAACUGAGGUCUAUAGGAGUCCCUGGUUCAAGAUUUGUCAAACUUGCUUUAACUUUAUUAACGUAACGAUCUAUGAAGAAACUAAUGUUAAAGAAAAAUAUGAUGAGAAACAUUGCAGUAGAAGUACCAACCAAAUGGCAUUGAACUGCUGAUAAAAGCGCGAAGUGCAUCUUUGUCAAUGGGUUUUGAAGUACUUUUUGGGGCAUCCAGAGUAGCGCCGCCAAUGACAAAAGCACCUGAGGUGCUCGAAGUUGAAACAGGUGCUACGGCAGGUUUUGCUCGGGCCGAAAUGCCUGAUAUGCCUAUGCUACCUGUAAGCGAAUCCAAUAGGCCCCCUACAGAGGAACCACCUACAAUAACCUCAGGAUCAAGAACAUCGCCAGAAAUUAUGUCACCUAGGACAUGAGCCACCAUAAAUGCCCUACAACAUACAAGUUGGUGUCGGUGCAAAAAUUAUUACAUUGUUAAGUCUAAUUUGACACAACGAUGCCACUGUGCCAGAGUCUUUAGCUUAAUUACAUAUUUAAAAUUCAAACUUAAUAACAAAAAAUUGUUCUCCAGUGAACAAGUAGGAUCACACCAAAUCCCCUCAUCCUAUAAAGGACAAUGAUUCUCAAUAUAUAUAUAUAUAUAUAUAUAUAUAUAGAGAGAGAGAGAGAGAGAGAGAGAGAGAGAAACUAGAAUAGUAGAAGAGUAGUGUUUGCUAUCUACUUAUUAUCCCUUGGAUGCAUAAGGUUUACUAUUUGGUGGUGGUGCUAUUAUGGAUCCAAGGGCUAAAAAGUAGAAAGCAAACACUAUGAAUAUAUAUAUAUGGAUCUAGAAUAGUUUCAAAAGAACAUGAAUAGUGCUUGUUAGAACGUUUUUAAUUUUUAACCCAUGGACACCUAGGGUUUACUAUUUGGUGAUAAUAUUAUUAUGGAUCCAAGGACUAAAAAGUUGAGCAGGCACUAUUCAUGUGCUUUUGAAAGCAAUAUAGAGAGAGAGAGAGAAAGAGAAAGUAGAACCACUAUACUCUUAUGAGUAUGGAGGCCUUCAUACUCAUAAGUUAUUUUCGAUUAUAUAGCUUUCAAAUCGACGAUCCAUACAAUUAAACAUGACUUAGAGCAUGAAGUAACUAGAAACCGAAUUUAGUAAGUUUCUAAGAUUAUAAUAAAGUCCGUCAAGUGGGCAUAAAAUAACCGAUCAAAAUCAAAUGACCUCCUAAAUAUAAAGAAUAGUGUUCUUUAAUUCAAGAUCUCGGUUUCUAGAACAUUUAAAUGCUCUAAUUUACAAUUAACGGUAAGGAUCGUUGAUUCAAAAGCUCUGUGAUCCAAAACAAAUUAUGAGUAUAAAAACUAUCGUAUCCAUAAAAGUAUAGUGUGUGUACAUAUAAUAGGAUAGUAUGCUUUCGAAAACAUGGAGGCUUCAAUGCUUUCAAGUUGUUUUCGAUGACUAGAAAUCCGAUUCGGCGAUCAACUCUAUUAGACAUGAUCUACAGUGUUCGAACUAUUGAGAAACCAAAUUUCAUAAUAUUUUGACUUCAUUUGCCUAGUGAACGAGUAGUCACCAUACUGAAAAUAAAAAUCUUAUACAAAGCAGUGAUAGAAGACUUUAAAUUUCAAAUUGGUAGUAUCGAUCUUGCUCUUGAUGGUAAGUAAAAUUUUCUAAUAAAAAGUUCAAUCAAUUAUGAUUCUUUUAUACCGUUAGCUUGAAAACGCCCCAUAUUGACCAUUAAAAAUGUCAAUUUUGGGGCCCUUUGAUCGUAAGGCAUAUGAUGCUAAAAAAUCAUGAAAUUUGGUUUUUAGAAUGUUUAAGCACUCUCAAUUAUGUUAACGGUAUGAUCUUCGAUUUGGAAGCCCCAACAUCAAAAACAACUUAUGAGUACGAAGGCAAUCGUACUCAUAAUAGUAUAAUAGUCGGACUAUAUAUAUAUAUAUAUAUAUAUAUAUGAAAAUUGAACAAAGGAAAGAGACACUGAAUACUGCAAAGCAGCGAAGCAAAAAGUAUAAUGCACCAUUAACUUGUUGCUGUGAAGUUUAUAUGCAUAUAUAACUAUUUUUCAGCUUAACUUAAAAGUCUUUUCUAGCACACUUCACUAACUUAAAAUAUCAAAGAUGAUCCAAAAGAACAACACAUUAUUUCUGCAACCAGUAUGAAUAUACUAUUUCCGCCACUAGUAUGAAACCAAAAAUAUGCAAGAAUCUAGAAGUUGAGAAGUUCCCAAUUUAUGCCAUUCUGAUCAAACAGUGCUUAACUAUCUAAAAUCUUAGACUUCUUCUAUAAGUUGGAAGAACUAUAAGCUUAUGAGAAAUAAAAGAACCAAUUGACUACACGGUUUGUAUCAAAAGAAAGAAUAAAAAUAAAAAUAAAAGAAUCAAUAAUUCUAAAUAAUAAACUUACACUACCCUGUGAUGCAUGGAAGAUUAAGCAAAAAGGAAGAAAGACUUUGUUUCUCGCCAACUGAGCUUCCACAGUAAUUCCUUUUACACAAUCUUUCAUAUGCUUUAAACUGUUGAGGCUCAACCAAUGGUAAAAUAGCAAUAUAAUAACUGCCCUUUGUAUGUAAAACUAAUGGCCACAAGAUAAACUCAUUUUUGUCCUUCUUGUGGAUAUGAAGUGAUAUAAUAUGACGAGUGAUAGGAUCAUCAACCCAAGAAUCUGAUCCCUUAGAUGACCCACUAGUACGAAUGCCAGAACCACACACAGAACCUUCCCUGCACAAACCAGAAACCAUAAUAUGUCCAUUACUCAAUUUAUGUAGCUAGAAAACUGCAGUUACCGUCCUAAUCAGCUUCAAAAUUCACAAACUAUUAAAUCAAUCUUGCAAAUAGUUCUAUGGUACAGACAACCACACAUUUAUGCAUCAUGAAACUACUUAUUAUAUGCAAUUUUAAUGCCAUUUACCUUUAAAAAAGUGAACGAUCCGAGUUAUCAUAAAUAGGGUUACUUUGCUGAACAGAAUACUCCAACUAGAGAAUACACUACCUUUCUAACGGCAUUAACAUUACAAAUAAGACGACAGUGUUUCAUAAUGCUUCUUCAGGUUAGCUAAGCAUUUGUAUAUUAGAAUACAGUAUCACAGUAGCUCGUUGUAAUUACAACUUUGGUUACCAAAUAAUUCACAAAACAAAAUAACUACUUGAUUAAAUACAACAGAAAUCAAGCCAGAAUUAGGUUACCUAGAACGCGGAUUGAUAUGGUUUGUUGAACGGGAACGGGAAUGGAAUUAGCUUAUCUUAAAUCUUGAACACUAAGACAGAAUAAUAAGAAAAGGUCUGGCAGGACUUUAAUUUUCAAAAAGCCUAGAAACAUGCUUACAAAUAAAUGGACUUUCAACAGACAUAUUAAAAAUUAAAUUCAAAUUUCAAUACAACAAACGCACGUAAGUUCUAGCUUGUUUCAGUCUAUUGGUUCAACUCAUGGCAAAUUUUGUUGAAAGUUUUGUAUAGGAAACAGUUUCCGCAGUAUGUCAAAUAGGGAGGAAGUGUUGAGGGUUCGAACAGAAGCGCCAACUGACCUCCGCUUCCUCUCUCCAAAAGCUACGGCGAGCUCCGCAUCGGUCGGCAGCAACGGCUGUAGUGCAUCCCCCAGCUGAUCAAUUUCUCUCUGGCACGCCGCAUGCCACCGCUUCUCCACCGUGGGGAAUCUCCUGAUAUUCAGUACUAGGUAAGAGCGAGAAGAAAAAUUCGGGAGGAUUACGUUAAUCUACCUGGAGAAGACGACGGCGUCUUGGGGAUUGAGAAUCCAUAAGGCUCGGAUGCUACUACCGCCGGACAUCAUUCCUCCGCAGGCUGAGAUGACUCGGAAGGAUUAGACGGGAAGACGGGUGGGUAGACGGCUAAAUCUUCGCUCAUUCCGCACGUUGCAUUACAAUUUUCAUCGGUCGAAAUGGAAUACAAAGUGGUCGAACCAAGGGCCUGCUCAGCAUUGCUACAAAAUAAGUGGCUGGAUGGCCUAAAUUUUAAAAAGUGUUUUUUAGGACCAAAAAUAAUUUAUUUUUAAUAUAAUAUUUGAUAAUUUUAUUUUAAACAUCUAAUUUUGAUAUUUAGAAUAAGUUUUUAAAUUUUUUAGGCUAAAACUCAAAAACAGAUACUAAAUGGGUUUGCAAGCAUAUACUGUAUCCCAAUAUGAUCUACAGAUAUUAUAUGAUUAUCAACUCGCUCAUUAAUCACAUAGAGCUUUAUUUCUAAAUACCGGCGUGAACUAGAGCUCUUGUUACUAUUAGCAAAAGAAACAGCAGCUUCAUUAUCACAGCAUAUCUGCAAUGGUCUUUCUAUAGAAUCCAUGAUCUUAAGGCCGGUAAUAAAUUUCUUUAGCCAAAUAGCCUGUGAUGAAGCCUCAAGGCAGGCUAUAACCUUAGCUUCCAUUGUGGAUGAAACAGUUGUCUUUUGUUCGAUAAUUAUCCAUGUAAUAGCACCCCCUAAAAGUAGGAAGAUAAGACCAAUUGUCGAUUUCCUACUAUCUGGGCACCCUGCAAAAAUCUGCAUCUCGGUAACUUACAACCUCAAGAUGGUCAAACCAAGUAACCAACAGCGUAAGAAAUGUUCGGAGGAAUUCACGUGUGAGCAUACUGCAGCCUCCCAACUGCCAAGUAUAUGGUAUGUUCCUCAUCUGUUUUCUUUCGAUUUCAUUCUUUGGCCACUGCUUGGAGCUAAGUUUAUCUUCCUUCACAAUAGGUGCAGGUCUAGAAGAGCAAUUUUGCAUUUCAAAUCUUUCAAGAACUUUAGAGAUAUAAGCCCUUUGAGAUAAACCAAGAAUACCUUUAAGUCUAUCUCUAUGAAUCUCAAUGCCAAAAACAUAAGCGGUUUCAUCUAUAUUCUUCAUUUCAAAACUUGUGGAAAGAAAUCUCUUUGUACCAUACAAUAUUCCUGAGUCAUUGUUGGCAAGCAGCACAUCAUCUACAUAUAAUGCCAAUAUUAUGAACUUACUCUCACUGACUUUUAAAUAUAUGCACCUAUUAAUGGUAUUUGGCGUAAACCCGUAUGAUAGGAUAACCUUAUUAAAUUUAAGAAACCACUGACGGAAGGAUUGUUUAAGUCCAUAUAUUGACUUUCUCAAUUUGCAUACCAUAUGACUUUUAUCAUUUGUAAUGGAAUCCUGAAAUUGUUUCAGAUAUACCUUUUCUUCUAGAUCACCAUUCAAAAAAGCCAUUUUCAUAUCCAUUUGAUGUAGCUCAAGAUCAUAAUGAGCUGCAAAGGCCAUAACUAUUCUGAAUGAGUCGUUUGAAGAAACAAGAGAAAAUGUCUCAUUGCAGUCUAUGCCCUCUCUUUGGGUAAAACCUUCAGCUACAAGUCUGGCCUUAUACCUUUCGAUCUCACCUUUAGAGUUCCUCUUGGUUUUGUAUAUCCAUCCGCAUCCAAUAGGUUUAACUCUUUCAGGUGGAUUUACAAGAUCCCAAACAUGAUUUUUAUCCAUAGAGUCUUGCUCUUCCUUAUGAUAUCAAACCACUUACGUGAGUUUUCACUCUCCAUGGCAUGUGAAAAGGAAAUAGGAUCAUCUAUAUCUUCCAAAUUCAUUCGGCUUGAAAAUACACCUCAUAAUCUAAGGGGAUAGCGAAUUUUCUUAUUCUUGUAUAUCUCCACAAUUUUGUACCUCGAUCCGUAUCUUGCGGUGGUUGAGUUGAUUGUGGCUCUACUGCAACAACUAGGUCAACAAUUGGUUCUAUUGAUUAGCUCUUCCACUUGAAUCACAACUCAUAGGAAGUAUAUUGGAGUUUCCUUAUCACUUGAUGAACCUUGUGACUUCUCAAACCUAACUUCACGAGAUAUGUCACUCCUACUGAAGUUGCUAUUUUCAAAAAAUCUAGCUUUUUAUGUGUAGUGCACUGAACUUCAGCAAAUUGCGGAGUUCUAGUGAGAGGAAUGGUAUUCUAUAUUAUUCUGAAAUUUUUGAUUGAGUUUGGAGAGCUUGGGGACAUUUUCGGAGCUUAAUUAGCGUGAAAAUGGACUUCGAAGGCCAAAAUCGGCAAAACUGCACUUUUGGCUAUUACAUGCCGGUAUCAAGUCUGGGUAUCGAAACUGUAAUAUACCGAACUUUUACUGUUAUGAAGUUUCGGUGCGAAUUAGCUUGAAAAGCUAUUAAAAUAGUUCCAACGAAGUUCGAGAGCAUUCGAGUAUUUUCGGUGCGAGUUAAGCACAAAAAUGGAACUCGGGAAGCCAUACUGGACUUUAGCCUAAACCCGGCAAAGUACAAGUGAGAAGAUGGUUUAAACAUGCUCAAAAAUGUGUUUUGAGGGUUUUGGAAUGGUAGGAAAUGGAUUAAAGGCUCAAGGAGCGAAAAUGAGCAUUUUCGAAAAAUGCUGUUUUUUGGGCUGUUGGAGCCUCGGGAUGCGAACCCUAGAGCUAGGGUCCAAACCCCGCACGCACGAGUAGCCCAGAAUGAGGGCAUUUUGGUAAUUCUUGCUACGGGGGCUUAUAAGAAGACCCUCCCCUCUUCUUUCUUCCUCCGUCAGCCAAAACACACACACACACACACACACACAUAUAGUGUAACACACUGGACCUUUGCAAAUUGCGAGGUUCGAGUGUUUGGACUGUGUGUAAUACACUGGACUUUCGCAAAUUGCGGAGUUCGAGUAUGUGGAAUGGUGUGUGGAUCACUCCUACAUGUUCUAAAAGGUUAGAACAAGUUUUUGGAUAAGUUAGAGGAUGAUUGGAAUGCUAAAAGUAAGAAAGUGCAUUGAUUGGGCGAAAUCAGCCUUUUCUGCUUGGUGUACCGGUACAGCCAUUAUGGUGUACCGGUACACAAUGCAGAAACGUGGCAGCUUGGGUAGUUUGGUCUUUUCACAUCUUGAUCUCAUCCAUAUGAAGCCAGCACGACUUCUGGAGCUCAGUGGAGGUUGCUGAGGCUCAGAGCACCCUUCUUCUUCAUCUCUCUCUCUCUCUCUCUAGGGUUUUUCUCUCUCUACAUCGAAUUCGCCGAUUUCGCUCGUUUUCGUCGCCGCGCGCGUUCUUCGCUGGUUGCGAGUGUCGCAGCACCUUUGUGCACGUGCAAGAGAGCGUUUUGGAGGGAAUUUCGCAGCCCUGGACCAGUGAGGUGCUGGUUGGAAGCCUGAGAAGGUAAACGACUUGAUUUUUCCGUUAUCGACGUUCUAUUCGUCGAUUUGAGUAGCGAUUUCAGAUUUUUGCUCUUGGCUGUUCUAAACUGAGAAUUCAGCUAUUAUUAAUGAGUUAAUUAGCUGUGAAUUAACCUUCUUAGACCUGGGAUAAGCUACUUUGAAGCUUAAUUGGAAUAUUUAGCCAUUUAUGAAGCUAAAAUCGGAACUUAAUGCACUAANAGUAUUUUAUGUAGUGCUAAGGUCACUAAAGAGUUGGACUCAGGCUACCCUCGGAUUGCUUUCUGCACGAGGUGUAACCGGUGACAGGUCGAUGGCUGUACCGGUACACAUUUUGUAUCGGUACACUUUUGAUGGUUGUACCGGUACACUUGUGGCGAAUUUCAAACCUGAGUCUUGGGUUUGCAUUUUCGUAGGAUGUGUACCAGUACACUUUUCCGUGUACCAGUACACUUUGGCAGAAUCUGAGCAGUUUGAUCUGCAGGGAAUUUUUCGCAAAUAUGGCUCUCUAUAUGUAUCCCCCACGCCCUUGGGACUUCUCCUGAGCUUGGGACCAGCAAGAGGAGAGGUAAGGGAGCUCUCCACAUGUCACGCCCGGGUACCAGCGGCGACAUAUCCGGUACGUGUACAGACCCGCCAUACACCUGCAAUAUAUAAGGCGUCUACAACAAACAAGUCGAUAGGAGUAAAAACAUAGAAUAAGCCUAUCCUGAUAUCAGAGCAUAGUAAAAGUCACAAAGACUAUCAAUAAUAGAACAAAGAGUAUACAAACCAAAAUCUCAACUAAAAGAGAACGUAUCACAACUAUAGAGUCUAGUCCCAAGAGUACAUAUACAUCACGGGUAUACAAAAAUAGGUACAAUGGUGGUCUCUCUAUACAUAGGGACAUCACCCUCGGCCGUAGCCCGAGUAGCAAGGUGAUCGACUAGCAUGCUCCUAGCAAUGUCUAGCUAGACGCGACUCCCUUGCCACGAUCCCUAGCCUCUCCUGUAGAUGGCUCUGUAAAAACAACCACCAAAAGGGUGUGAGAACUAUAAACAAUAGUUCCCAGUGGGUAAGCCGCCGGCCUCGGCGAAUUACACCACUAGGCUCAUGAUGUACUAAAUGAAAGCAAGAGCAGUAAUUGCAUGAUAUAUAUAAUUAUGCAAUGCUAACAGGUAAUGAGCAUGUAAGCAACAUGUAAUCAUAAUCUCAACAGUAAUGAAGCAACUGAAUAAUAGAAGCAUAGCAACUACUAUAAGCAUGAACAUAAGCAUAAUUGUGUAAGUAACUACUGUACACUGUAACUGGUAAUCAUUCAUUACUGUCCUUCCUUUAGCCUUUUCUUUCAUUCACCAGGGAUCUUACUCAAGGUAGUCAGCUGCGCGCGGCCUAAUAGCCCCGUGGUAGUAUACACUCCCACGCAAUCCACUUCGGCACCCAUCCCGACGAGGCAUGAGAACUGUCGCGUAGGCCAACUCCGGAGUGCCGGUGUAAUAUACGUAAAUUCGGAAAAUAAAAAAUGUCGAACUUUAGUCAAAUUAACCAAAGUGCGAGGAUGCUACACUUCGGAGGUCCGAAGGUGUUUUAAAAUGAGUAAAAAUGAGUUAUGAAGAUUUUCGAGAGAAAAAUCAAUUCUGCAAAACUACAGAUUUUCAGCUUCGGGACGCCCUGGUGGGAGAGACCGGUCCCGAACGCGUAUGAAGUGAGACAGCCGAAAAAUCGGCUAAGUCCUGAAAAUUAGCUCUCGGAACCGGUCCCUGCCCUGAGAGACCGGUCCCGAGAGACCGUCCAUAAGGGGAGACGGUGCAUGCGCGCAGCAGCUCUGGCUGCGCUGGGACGACGUUCGGGAACCGGUCCCUGAAGGAGAGACCGUGCUGCCUGCGCGGAUGCCCAGUUCGGCAGUGUAUUAAGUUGAAAGUUGAUGGGUUUAGCUGCAAUUUUGCAACCCAAAUAGCUAUGUUAUCAGGGUUAAUGAGAUUUUUCUCUUUCCCCCUCUUCUCAACACUCUCUCUUCCCUCUCUCUCUCUCUAGAAGACAAAGGAGAAGAAGAAGACAAGGAAAGGAAGGAAAAGAAGAAAGAAAAAGGAGAAGAAGAGAGGAAGUUGAAGAAACUCCUCUCCCUCAUCUCUAGCUUGGAAAGAAGGGCUUACAAGUAAGCUUUAAACCCUAAUCAUGGUAGAACCUAAUACUAGGGUUUGGAUAACUUAAAAUGGGUUUUAUGGAACCAUUUGAGUAUUUGAAGCCUUUCUUUGCGUCUUUUGAGAUCAAGACCGUAGAAAUGCGUGAAGCUUGAGGUGAGCUUCACCACCUCUCAUGGUGAAACCUAAGUAGGGUUUUGAUUAGUCUAAAGAUGGUUCUAAUGAACUUUUUAGAGUAAAUGAAGCUACUUUUGCUUCCCAAAGAGAUCAAACCCUAGGUUUUGAUAUAAUUGGAGCUAGGGCAGCCCAAUUGGGGCUUUGCUCAUAGGGAUUUCUAAGUGAAAUUGACCUCAAAAACCUAAAUGGCGGGUAUUUCGACGCGUUGUGCGCUCGGAUUACGUUACAAAAGCCAAAGUAAAGAUAUGAGCAAAUGGCUAAUGAGGGCUUCGUUUUGCCGCAGGUAGUGAACCGGCGGUUAAAAUCCAAGAAGAUCACGGCAGCCUUUGAAGCCGACGCAGGUGGGUGUGCUUUCAAACUCAUUGAACUUCUUUCUAUGCCUAAUGAUGUCAUUCAUUUGAGCAUAUAUGUAUUAUAUUGUUGCAUACAUAUUAGGGUAAGUAAUGAUGAAAAUGUAAUGAUGCAUGAGUGAGUACAACUUGCUAAUAUGAUGAAUGAGACUAUGUGAUGUCGAAACCCUAGUGGUAUGCAUGAGGAAAGUGAGCACCCAAAGUGAGCAGGAAGACAGAGUGACACAAGACAUAGAUCGAAGUGGCAUUGAAAACGUAAAGUACGUGACACUAGAGUUAGUGUGAGCCAAAGAACCAAAGUGAUGUAAAGAAUGAUGAAAAUGACAAUGUAUAAGUUAAGUAAAAGGGGGCAAUAAGACAAGAAUGCUAAAAGGUGGCAAAGUAAAAAAAGUAAGAACAACGAUUGGCAUGAGUUUGCAAUUAAAAGUGAUGUAAUGAACACUUGAGCUAGCGUAAAGUCAAGAUUGAACUUAUAAAUCCUUGAGUUAAGAUAUGAUCAUACUUCUAUGAGUUCCGUCUCGAGGGCGUCGUCCCCCUCGGGCGAUGCGCUCCGGGAGUUAUGCAUCGCGGUUUGGUAGUAAACCGUAAGGACGGUCCUAGCUGGUGAGUUCCUGCGAUGAUGGACUUAAUGUGAGCAAGUUAAUGUGGCGACACCCCCGGCUAGCCUUAAUGAUUAAAGAGCAAAAGAGUAAAGAACAAGAGCAAAGAACAAAGUGUAAAGUGCAAAAACUAAGAACAUGCAUAACCUGCAUUUAUUUAGAUGUUGAGCAUAAUUCUUUGCUAUUUGUUCAGGCAUAUUAGCAUUACUAUAGUUUGGUACUAUUUACAGCCUAUUUCUUCUAUUUAUGCCUGAAUUAGUCCUAGUGGGAAAGUCGGUGAUGUUGAGGCCGAACCACUGGGAACUUUGUUGUAGUUCUCACCCACUAUUUACACAGAGCGCGAGUGAGUCGGUGAGCGACCGAAGGUAAAGGUAUCGCGCCUUAGUCAGAGGCCACCAAUGUCGGAUUUCAUUUUGUAGUAAAGUACCUUAUGAUCAUCUUUGUAUGUGAUGAUUAGUAAUGUAAAGAAAAGAAUGUAAAGCUUAUUUUGAGGUAAAUGUGAUGUAAGAAAAAAUGAUGGAAUUAUGUAAUGAAAUGCAGAGCCUAAUGUAAGAGACGGAUGCAAUGUAUAUGAUCUAAAAUGAAUCACUAUUACUUGUGAAUGUUUAGUUUAUUUUUCUUUCACUAAUGGCUAUUGCUUACCUCGUAUAAGCCGUUUGUGUAUGUUUCCGCUAGUGCUUUUCUUAAUUGAUGAAAGUAAUGUGAUGAGCCUUGGCGGAUAGGGGAAACUCUGUACGUCGGCGUCUGUUUGACGUGCUCGGUCGGCCAAUUGGCAUCGUCCCGGGCGUGACAGCGCGGCUUGUAGGGAGCUACCCUCACAAGCUGUGCGAAUGAGCACGAUGGCAAGCAAGCAAAGUCCACAAUCCAACUAUCUCAACUAGCCCAAUUUAGCUCACAAUAAUUCUCGCUCUCGAUCUUUGAACGGAAUUUCAAUACACAAAGAGUAACAAGAUUAGUAUCCACAGACUGUAAACAUGUAGAGUAAUGCUAAAUCAUAUGGCAUUAUAAUCUUUCCACUAUUAUGGUACUAUUAACUUAGUCACUGGCAUGUCACAUGUUUUCUACUUUAUAAUCAAUAAAGUCGAGAAUAUCAUUGUUCUCUACUUUACAAAAGAUAAUUAUCAUGUCCAUUAGUUAUUCAACUUAACUAAACAUAAAUAAACAUGAGCAUAAAUACAAUUAUCCAUGAGCUUCUCUCUAUUCAUAGAGGUUCUAUUUCCAAUAUAUCAACGAUAUGGCAAAGAGGUCCCAAAUCCAUUUAGUACCACAUAGUGACAAUAACACACGACUAAUCAAUUCUAUAGUUACAUAUAGAACAUAGGGAGCAUCACUUGCUCUGGUUAGGUCAAAACCAUCUGUACUAAGCUCAAAUCAGUCCAAAGGAAUCCUCAGGAUCAGCUCCACUAGGUCUCAAUCCUGCUGAACACGAAGCAUAAAUAUCGUAUCAAAACUACGAUCGAAAUGUCCAAUUUCGGCGCAAUUGCACUUAGUACAUAGAAAUAGCUUAAAUCCCUGUUUUGACUCAAUAAAUACCUCAAGAAGAGUCUCCAAGAGCUCUCCCAAGCCAACUAACACGAUCCAAGGCUCAAUCGCACUCUCGCUGCGAACAACAUCGAAACGGCGUCAAAAUGCUUGUAUAUGAGCUUAUAUAGUUCAAUUCUUGCGAAAUUGACUUUCUAACGGAAUUUCUUGCUUAUCCUUGAUUAGAGCAGCUUCCAAAUCAGCUUCUAAGAGUACGAAUUCAGCUCAACGAAGCUCGAAGACCUGCUGCGAAGAAAAAUCCCCAAUUUGCAUCAAUUCGCUCAAACAAUUGCAUUUCGUUCCAAUUUAGCUUCAUAAAUGGCUAAUUAUUCCCAUCAAGCUUCAAAGUAGCUUAUCCCAGGUCUCAGAAGGUUAAUUCACAGCUAAUGAACUCAUAUAUACUUGCUGAAAUCUCAAGUUAAAACAGUUGGAAGUAAAAAACCUGAAAUCAAUAAUCAAAUCGACUAAUAGAGCGCCGAUAAUGGAAAAAAAUCGAGUCGUAUACCUUCUCAAGCUUGCAACCAGCACCUCACUGGUUCAGGGCUGCGAAAAGCUCUCCAAAACACUCCCUCACACGUCCACCAAGGCUCAGCGACACUCCCAAACAGCGAAGAGCGAGCUCGGCGACGACAACGGUACAAAACGGCGACUUCCUUGUAGAGAGAGAAAAUCUUAGAGAGAGAGAGAGAAAAGAAGGUGGGAGAAGCUCCCUCAGAUCACCAGCAACCUCCACUGAGCUCCUGAGGUCGAGCAGGGGGUAUAGAUAAGGGUUAGGAUGUGAAAUUACCAAAAGACCCUUGCUGCCACGUUUCUGCCAGUCUGUACCGGUACAAGGUGAUGGCUGUACCGGUACAGCAAGCAGAAAAAGGCUGAUUUCGCCAAUUCAAUGCAUUUUCUCACUUUUAGCAUUCCAAUCAUCCUCUAACUUAUCCAAAAACUUGUUCUAACCUUUUAGAACAUGUAGGAUUGAUCCACACAUCGUUCCACACACUCGAACUCCGUAAUUUGCAAAAGUUCCGUGUAUUACACCACACUCUCCCCUUUGAUUCCCUUGGUUUUUAUUUGGAUUUAGAGAGAUUAAAGCCUCUCUUUUUGCUCCUUUUUGGGUGUUGGAGGCUUUUCCACCAUUGGAGCUUAGGAUUGGAGCUUGAGAGGGGGAAGAUCUCUACACUUGGUGGACUUGGAACCUUGUUGGAAGCUUCUAAGAGGUUAGUAACCCCUUCUCUCCCUCUAGAUUUGAUUUUUGAAGGGUUCUUUGAGAUGAAACCCUAGAAAUGAGAUUUAGGGCUUAUUUUGGGCAUUUUGAAUCUAGGGCUUUUGGAGCUAAAUUAGUUGGAUUAGAAUCUUCCUUUGGGUUGGAUUGGAAGGAUUCUAACUCUCUUUUGGAGCUUGUGAGAGUUUUUCUACACUUUAGGUGAGUUUUAGCCCUUUUACCUUAUUGGUUAAUGUUUGAUUUUAUUGCUGAUCGUAAUCCCUGUGUAUCUCUUCGCUCAAUACUUUUGGGGUAUUUGAGACUCAUGGACAACUUUGUUCGGCGAAACGAGGCACUACGCGACGGUUCGGUGGGUUUGACCUAGCCACACAAUGAGAAAAUCUCAUUGUUGUGAUUUAAGUAUUAUCAAAUGAAAAAGCAUGCAUAUUCUUGUUAUAUGUAUUUAUUGUGAAUUUUAGGAUGCUUAAAAUGCCUAUGUUACAUAUAGUGUAAUUUUGGACUCCUAUAUAGUAAAGAGUUGCAUAUGAAGCUUAUGUUUGAUUGUUUAGUAUCCUUAUGUUGGGCCAUGUUCCUUAUAAUGAAAAUGAGCUUGAUUCAUGCAUUUAAACCUAAGUUUAUUUAUGACAUGAAAGAUAACUAAUAUGCCUUAAAGAGGCAUCAAACUAGAAUGCUAUGUGAAUUAGAGAGCUAAUAUCAUCAAGCGGCAUUGAGCUCGAGACAUGGGUGAACCUAGUGGAUAGGGCCAUUGAGGGAUUUGGUAUAUGCUCAAACAUUGAAAUGUCUUAGUGUCAUCAAGGGGCACUAGACUUCAUGAACGUUGGAACUUCACUUGUGACUUAGAACUAGAUCUUUGAGAUGCUAGUGACUAUACCAUGUUAGAGACAUGAUGAUUGGAUACUUGAGACGUUGACUAUGCUUGAUUACCAUUUGUGCUCAUUCGCACAUACUUGUGAGGGUCACUCUCUACAAGCCGGCACUCCGGAGUUAGCCUACGCGACUUAUGUUCGCUCGUGCGGUAUUGAGAAGCCUACGGGGUUGAGUGGGACAGACACAUUCCAAGAGUAGGAAUGUAGGGCUACCACAGGCACUUAGGCGGCACAAGCUGGACUACCUUGAGUAGGUCCUUAAUUGGAAAUGAAAAUCGAUACGGUGUUGUGUGUGUAUAAUCACUACUAGAUAGGGGUAGUAGUUGGAUUACUUGGACUUGCUUCUAGCAUAGUUUUGGACACUUGAGUAUACAUACAUACAUGUAGUAUGCUAGGAGAUGUUGCUUAUUGCAUCCAUUUAUACAUUGUUGCCAUAUUAAAGCAUGAUCUUUAUAACUUCAUAAAGUAGACCGUGACAUUUACCUGUGGCCAUGUUGGGACAUAUUACUUAUGCAUUGAACAUUCUUCAUUAUGAAAGAGUAAAUAUAAAACAUUGACAUAGUAAUGUUUAUGGUAUAGUAAGCUUAAUAAACAUGCAUACUUUCAUACCGCAGUUAUCAUUAUUAUUAUUGUUGUUUACUGUACUUACCCCUUUUUUGUUGGGGCCUAGUGGUGCAUUGAGCUGAGGUCAGUAAUUGCCCACUGGGAACUAUAAAUUAUAGUUCUCACGCCCUCUGUUUUAUGUUUUCUUUCAGAGCCUUCCACGCCGGGAGAGGCUAGGGACCGCGGGAAGGGCGUUGCUUCGAGCUAGCUCUUCAGCGAGGGACGAGUUGCUAGGUGGUCUACCUCUCGAUGUAUUUUAUUUUGGGAGAGGUUGAGAGCUGUACCAGUGUACUAGAGAUCACCCUUUUGUGUACUUUUGGGACAGAUGUUGUAUUACUUUAUAUUUCACCCUUAUUGCUUUAGUAUGUUUCCUUUAUUCUCGUUUUAGAGGUUAGAACUUUACUUGCUCUGAUAUCUCUAGUUGUGGAUUAUUUCUUGCUUUUACUUCCGCUUUUAUCGUAGACGCCUUAUAUGUGUAGACAUAUGGCGGGUCUGGGCAUGCUACCGGGAGGGCCCCUGCCGGUCCCGGGGCGUGACAUAUAGUAGAGAGAGAGAGAAGCUCUCUUCUCCCUCCCAAAUCUCAUCUUCCUCUCUCUUGAUCUCUCCCAAACUUGGGGUUUUGGUGGAGAAAGAGCUUGGGAACGCAUAGGGAGCGAUGGAUCGAGCCCUCCAGCGCUUGGUAGCUCGACGUGCUUCCGACUCGAGGCUCGUUUUUGGGUUAAAAGUUUAGGAUUUGAAUUAAAUCCUUUAAAAUGGAUGUGUUGGAGAUCCCUAGACUAUUCUAAGCUAGAUAAUCAUGUUUCUCCAUGAAUUUUUGGGGUAUUUGGAGAAAAGGGAAAUCUAGGGCUUGGAUUGGGGGUUUUGGGGUUUAAGGGUUUUGAUCUAAAUUGACCAUUUGGUUCUCUAAUUGAAGGUUAGAGGAGAGCCCCAAACGACUUUGAUUUCGAAAUCGGCGAGCGUUUGGUGAUCAAUUUGAGUAACAAGCCGAACCGAGCAACGUUUGCCGUGAGAGUCCGAUUGCAAGUGUCUACAAGCAAUCAGAAGCAUUGUAAGGUGGGUUGUGCUUCACCGAAGUGAUUAGGUCACUUCCAUGCCAAAGAGUGAAGUAUGGUUUGGUAUUAUUGUUGAUGCAUGUAAUAGUAGUUUAAUUGUAAUAAGGAAUGCAUGAGAUGUGUGCUAAAAAUGAUUGCAUGAGAUAUAUGCUAAGUUGUAUAUUGAUUACCAUUGGACAAGGACAUAGGCAUGUGCAAACAUAUAGGAUGUAUGUAUAUGUAUGCCUAGAUGUGGAUGUUGAACUUUGGUCGAUAAACUCUAGAAAGAUUAGAGAACUCGACAAGUGUGGCAUGAAAAACUAUGAAUCCUAGAUGUGGACAACUAGGAUAGAAAAUGAAUGAUUGGACAUUGAACCUAGUGUUAUUGAACAUAAGUUGAACAUUAAAUCUAGAGUCGGAUGAACCUAGGUGAAAAAAUAUUGGACCUAGUGUUGUUGAUCCUAGGCUAUGAAACGGUGGUAUUGAACCUAGAGUUGAGUGGAUCUAGGUGGGAAUGACAUGGAACCUAGUAUGGUUAAACCUAGGUUGUGAGUUAUAGUAGUAGAAUGGCCACUAGGAUAUGUAUAAGUCGAACCUAGAGAGGUUGACAUUAUAGGGUAUGUGACUAACCCUUGAGACAUGAAAAAUGGGUUCCGGAAUCCUAGGACUUGGGGAUAUCGAUAGUUCUCGGCCGUGGGUGUAUGUGGCAGGUUUCUCUCCCACCGCAAGAACUUCGAGGUAUGUCAUGUGGAAGAUUCUUGGCCGCGGGUGUACGUGGGCAUGUUCCUCUCCCACCAGAAGAAUCUUCGAGCGCUAGGGUGUAUGUGGCAUGUUCCUCUCCCUAUCGGGGAUCUCGGAUGCGAGUGUAUGAGGUAUGUUCCUCUCCCACCAGGGGAUCCUUGACCACGGGCGUACGCAGUUCUUCGCGACCUGUUAGGCGAUGUGGUUUUGGCUAAGGUAAAUGAACCUUAGGAGUAAAUGGUAAAUGCUAUGGAUUGUGGAAUAGGAAGUAGAAACAGUAGAUCUACUUACAUGAGUUGCAUUGUUGCAUUUGUGAGGCAUAAGCAUGAUAGUGGUUAGUUGCAUGAAAAUUAUAUGAUGAUAUAUAUAUAUAUAUAUAUAUAAUAUAAGUAUAUUAUAUAUAUAUUAUAUAUAUAACUAUCUAUUUGACUAACUGCUUUGUGCCUCCUUUGGACUUGGUGGGUGCGAGCUCUUCCCUUGGGUGGCCGUACCCACUGGGAAUUAUUUAUAUAGUUCUCACCCCAUGUUUUUCAGGUCCAUACGUGAGCGGCGCGACGACGCGAGGAAAGGACGUAGCUCAGUAGAUAGCGCCCUACCACCGAGACUAGAGAUAGCAGUACCCCGAGUCAGCCUAGCUUAGGGGUGUUGAGAGAAAGAAAUAAUUUGUAAUAAUUUGUAUUAAAGCUGAUUGUAUAUGGAAGUUGAAUGUAAAAUUAAUGUAAAUGUGUUGUAAGUGAGUUGAAUGCUUGUAAUAGCUUAGCUGUUAUGUUUUUUAUACCUUCCUUAUGCAAUCUAUGCAUGAAAUUUGUUCCUGGUUGGAACCUCUUGAUUUGUACUGUUGCGACGCCUUGGACGUACAGGGGAAGCUCUGUCCGUUCGACGGUCUGUCGGCAUGCCUGAAUCCGACCAAAGAAGCGGGUUACGGGGCGUGACAGAAACCCUGUUGCGUAAGGGUUGGCACAUCUCUUGGGUUUUACGGAGCUCGGUUGAGUACCGAUACUAACUUGUUUAGUACUGGCACUGAAAUGUGAAGUACUGGAAUCCAGUAGGAGCCUCUGGUUUUCAACGUUCGGAUUUUGCGUGAUUGGACCUGCGUACCGGAACAGCUAGGUUGCGUACCGGUACUCAAUGGUACAGAACUAUUUUUCAAACAGUUUGUAAUUUUUGAAGUUAUGGGGGCUUUUUGGGAUAUUGUGCAAGUGAGUAUAAACCCACUUCAUGUAGCACACUGAACUUCAGCAAAUUGCAAGGUUCUAGUGUUCGAAUAGUAUUUUAUACUAUCCUUGCUAUCCUUGAGGGUCGUCGACUAUGUUCCAACCAAUUACUCGCGUCUUAAGAAGCGAGGAUGAGUACUUAGCACCAAAACCUCCAAACUGUAAGUUUUCGGGCGCUGGAUACCGGUACCAGAGGGAGGUACUGGAACCCUGUCGCGUAACUAAGAGGGCUGCUCUCGGGUUUGAGCUCUGUGAGGCAGAGUACCGGUACUGCAUUUCCCGAGUACCGCUACUGGGGCUUGGUACCGGUACUGCAUCGUGCGGGUACCGGUACAUUGCAGUUUGUCUGCUUGACAGAGGCUCGGGUUUACGCGUUCGACUGCGGGGUACUGGUACUCCAGCCCGCUGUAAGGACUGAGAUUUUUGCAGUGUAGCUAAACUCUCUGUUGACGAUGUUUUUGUGUGUAAUUUAAUUACAUAAGCACUCGUCAAGUUUUAGGAAAAAUUGAGCUAGAACGGAGAAGUUACGCGAUCUCCAAGUUUCACUUAAAGUGAAUAGUAACUCGGUUUUCCGGAGAAGCCACGAUGUGAAGUUGGCUUCAGGCUCGUAUCGGACUCCAUUCAUAGCAGUCCAAUAGCUCGUUUCGACCGGUCCAGCUAUUCUGGAACUUUUGGCGUUGACGGAUUUUGAGUUUGACGCACGGAUUUCGAGAAAAUCCAAAAAUACAUGUUUUAUAUGUAUUUGUGGGUUGUUUCUUCAGUUGGAAGAAAGAUUGGAUUUUGUCGUGAAUCCGUGGUCGAUCAAAAUGAAUCGAAAUCGUAGCUUUGUUGUCUCCGUCGUGCUGAUCGUACUGGUGCUAUCCGUUCGCAAAUCUGUCGGACGAAUCUGCGGAGAUUGCGCGUUGAUCGAGGAGAGAUCGGUGAUGGUAAAACGGUAAUUUUGCAAAAGUCGCUACAUUUUAUGUACCGUUUCGAGUGAGAUCGCUCAUGGAGGGGUAUUCAUGCGUUUUACUCGUGCUGUGAGGGACUGAAUUGCAAAUUAUCUAGUUUGGAGGGACUUUGACGUAAUUUAUUGCCUUGCAUAUAUAUUAAUCUAGGGUUUUGCUUUAUGAAACCCUAACCCUAACCCAUCCCCCGGCCAACCUAGCCUCCUAGCCGCCUCAGCUCUCUUCAGCCCACCUCGUGUUCAUGCCCCGGCCGCCGGAAAACCCUCCCCAGCCUUUCCCCCAUUGCUCUCACCCUCCACAUUGCUACACUCUCGGCCGUGGAACCCGGGGGAACUUCAAAUCAUCCUUGGNAUAUAUAUAUAUAUAUAUAUAUAUAUCUAUUGGACUAACUUGCUUUGUUGCCUCCUUUGGACUUGGUGGGUCGAGCUCUUCCCUUUGGUGGCCGUACCCACUGGGAAUUAUUUAUAUAGUUCUCACCCCAUGUUUUUCAGGUCCAUACGUGAGCGGCGCGACGACACGAGGAAAGGACGUAGCUCAGUAGAUAGCGCCCUACCACCGAGACUAGAGAUAGCAGUACCCCGAGUCAGCCUAGCUUAGGGGUGUUGAGAGAAAUAAAUAAUUUGUAAUAAUUUGUAUUAAAGCUGAUUGUAUAUGGAAGUUGAAUGUAAAAUUACUGUAAAUGUGUUGUAAGUGAGUUGAAUGCUUGUAAUAGCUUAGCUGUUAUGUUUUUUAUACCUUCCUUAUGCAAUCUAUGUAUGAAAUUUGUUCCUGGUUGGAACCUCUUGAUUUGUACUGUUGCGACGCCUUGGACGUACAGGGGAAGCUCUGUCCGUUCGACGGUCUGUCGGCAUGCCUGAAUCCGACCAAAGAAGCGGGUUACGGGGCGUGACAGAAACCCUGUUGCGUAAGGGUUGGCACAUCUCUCGGAUUUUACGGAGCUCGGUUGAGUACCGGUACUAACUUGUUUAGUACUGGCACUGAAAUGUGAAGUACUGGAAUCCAGUAGGAGCCUCUGGUUUUCAACGUUCGGAUUUUGCGUGAUUGGACCUGCGUACCGGAACAGCUAGGUUGCGUACCGGUACUCAAUGGUACAGAACUAUUUUUCGAACAGUUUGUAAUUUUUGAAGUUAUAGGGGCUUUUUGGGAUAUUGUGCAAGUGAGUAUAAACCCACUUCAUGUAGCACACUGAACUUCAGCAAAUUGCAAGGUUCUAGUGUUCGAAUAGUAUUUUAUACUAUCCUUGCUAUCCUUGAGGGUCGUCGACUAUGUUCCAACCAAUUACUCGCGUCUUAAGGAGCGAGGAUGAGUACUUAGCACCAAAACCUCCAAACUGUAAGUUUUCGGGCGCUGGAUACCGGUACCAGAGGGAGGUACUGGAACCCUGUCGCGUAACUGAGAGGGCUGCUCUCGGGUUUGAGCUCUGUGAGGCAGAGUACCGGUACUGCAUUUCCCGAGUACCGCUACUGGGGCUUGGUACCGGUAUUGCAUCGCGCGGGUACCGGUACAUUGCAGUUUGUCUGCUUGACAGAGGCUCGGGUUUACGCGUUCGACUGCGGGGUACUGGUACUCCAGCCCGCUGUAAGGACUGAGAUUUUUGCAGUGUAACUAAACUCUCAGUUGACGGUGUUUUUGUGUGUAAUUUAAUUACAAAAGCACUCGUCAAGUUUCGGGAGAAAACGAGUUAAAACGGAGAUUCUACGCGAUUUUCAAGUGUCACUUAAAGUGAAUAGUAACUCGGUUUUCUGGAGAAGCCACGGUGUGAAGUUGGCUUCAGGCUCGUAUCGGACUCCGUUCAUAGCAAUCCAAUAGCUCAUUUCGAUCGGUUCAGCUGUUCUGGAACUAAUGGUGCUGACGAAUUUUGGGUUUGACGGACGGAUUUCGAGAAAAUAUGAAAAUACAUGUUUAUAUGUAUUUGUGUGUCAUUUUGGCCUUUUGGAGAGAAAGCGGAUUUCGUCGCGAAUCCGUGACCGAUCGAGGUGAACCAAAAUCGUGUCUUUGUUGUCUCCGUCGUGCUGAUCGCACUGGCGUGAUCCGUUCGCAAAUCUGACAGACGGAUCUGCAGAGAUCGGGCGUUGAUCGUGGAGAGGUCGGUGUUGGCAAAACGAUAAUUUUGCAAAAGUCGCGACAUUUUAUGUACCGUUUUGCGUGAGAUCGCACGUGGAGGGGUGUUCUCGCGUUGUACACGCGCUAUGAGGGACUCAAUACUAAAUACUGAGGUUUGGUGGGCUAACUCGCAUAGUGCACCUUGUAUAUAUGUUUGUUUUAGGGUUUGCACUAAGAAAACCCUAACCCUAGCCCGAGCUAAACCCCCAGCCACCUCCCUUGGUUGCCCUGCCCUUGUUGCGCCACCCUCGACCGCCGCCGACCGAGCCCCGGCCGGCCAGCAGCAGCCGUAGCCUUCCUCUCCAUCUCUCUCUCUCCAUCUCUCUCUCCACCCUCUCUUUUUCUCGGGUUGCAGCCUUGACCAAGGCUACAUUGCCUCCCUGCACCUUGCCGGCGUCGCCCAGACACUGUCAGAGUUUCCCCCGCCGACCGCCGCCUCCCUCGAGUGUCGCCGCGCCGCACUGUAGCCGCCUGCAGCCACCUAGCCCGAGCCUAGGCCGAGCAGAUCGUGCGACCUCUUCUCCGCGCCGCAGCCGCUUGGGGUCGCUCCCGCGGCCUUCCCCUGGGCCUCACCGACCUUCCCGGCCGGUCGCUGCUGCCCCUGCAGGCUGCCGUCGCUGCCUCGGCCAGCUGCAGACGCCCCAGACCUGUGCAGGCCGAGGCAAGCCGCGUCUCCGACCCCCGCGCCGCCGCCGCUCGGGGCCGCGCCCGAGGCAGCCCUCCGGCCUCCAGCAACCCUCUGCCGCCGUCCCUGAGUGCCCUGACCGCCGCCGUGGCCGUAGCUGCCCUUGGAACCCGAACCGGAUCUUGUGCUGGCUUGGUUGGUUCCACCAUCGCCGUCGCCACUCCUCGCUCCCAACUGAGGUGAGCACCUUGCUCCUCCACUCCCCCGCACCCAUCCCUGGCCCGCGCGUGCCUUGCCGUGCCGCCGGAGGCCGGCCGGAGCAAGCUUGCUCCGGCCAAGCCCGAAAUAGGGCUUAUUUUGGAUGGUUUACUGUUCCGAGCUUCCCGAGACAUCCCGAUCACUGCAGAAGGGAGCACGAUGAUCGUGACUCAUCGCUGAUCAUCGUGCUCACCAUAUUUUUUGUUGGGAAGGCUCCGUUCCGCUGUUUCGGCGGUGUCGGCCCUUUUUGGGCCUUUUCGGUUGCUGUUUCGUGUUUGCGGGCACUUUUCUGGCGAUCCGAGGCUAUCCUUGUCACGCCCCGAGACUGCUACCCAUUUGGUCCGGUUCGGGUGCGUCGAACAGACGCCGAACGGACAGCACCUCCCCUGUCCGCCCAAGGCUCAACCGCGGGAUCAUAUACAAGAGUUCGCCCAGGAACAAUUCAAAAUAUACAUGAUCCAUAUAAUAACAAUAGAAGCACCACAAGUGCUUAACAACAAGAGCAAGUAACACAAGUAAACAUACAAGUGCAAAAAGAGAGAAUUCUAUCUAUUACAUCACAUUCAUUCAUUGUUUACACUUGUUUGAUCCAAAAUACAGAUACAAGUUCAUUCACAUCUCUUCAAAAUGCAUCUCACAACCUAUACAUCAUCUACUCUCAUAUAUAUAGGUACCCCUAAUGCAACUGGAGGGAUACUAAUGCUAGGGCGCUAAGCCCUUACCGCAAUCCUCGCCCGGAGUGCUCGUACUCGGCUCUGCAACAACGUGGGGUGAGAACUAUUGUCAAUAGUUCCCAGUGGGUUCGGCUGCCAACUCUGCCGAUCUCCCCACUAGGUCCAAGUGGGCACAAGUAGAUAGAUAGAUAGAUAUGUGAAAACAGUAACGACAUAGUAAGAAAACUAUGCUACUAUGCCCAAAUCGUAUACUAUGUAUGCAUGCACAAAUGUGAUAAAUAAUCAACUAACAUGCCACUAUGUCCAAGAAGUAAUGUUAUCUACUUGUUCAUCAAUUGUCUCAGCUUAUCCAAAUUCGUGACCAACCCUGAGGUUCGCCCACGACUCACAUGCAUCUCAUGGUAAGGAAACUUAACUCGUUCACAAACCCGAGACCGUCUGCGGGACCCCAUAAGGCUACCCAGGGACCCCAUAAGGCUAUCCCUCAUGUGACAAAACUCCGGAGCGCACACUUGUGAGGAGCGACCAACACAAGUUCUGAACAGACAGCGAGUAUGAUUCAAUCCUCUCAACUCGAGGAUACCCUAUCCACUAAGGCUAACAAUCACUCGGGAAUCCACCUAUCCCAAAGUCCAUAUGCAAGUGUUUAACUACACUAAGUUCAUGUUCAAUGACUCAUCUCUAGGGAAUCCACCUAUCCCUAAGUCACACGUCAAGUGUCAUUUAUACACUAAGUUACAUGCCACUCGUUCUGUUGUUAUUGUUAUUUACAUGCCACUCGUUAUGUCUUUUGUCAACCAUCGAGUCCAUCUCUUAUCUCGGUACUAUAGGAUUCAAUGUCUCGACCCAAUUCUUAUCUAUCCCCUAUAUCAAGCAUUUAACUCACACUAUGAUAUCAUCUAGGAAAGCAUAAGGAAAUGGCAAUGCACAUUUAUCCUACAAUGCAUGUAUGCAAGAGAUGCUAGAUUAUAAUGCACUAAGACAUAAAGAGGAGCCCGGUUGUUUCGGGAUGACACCACCCACCUUCUGGCGUUGUCACGACUCUAAGAAUGGAGUUCGGCGGAUGUCGUCUGGGCCUCCCAGGCGGAAACGAAGCUCGGAAGGUCCUUUUUGCCAACAACUCCGCACCCGCUCGACGAAUCGUCGAACCAUUUUCGCCUACGCGUUUAAACACCUAGCAAUUAGGUUUACACUUGAUCAAUUUAGAUCAAUACCCAACAAAUCACAAAAAUCCAUUUCGGAGCCCUAACUUGUAAUCAUGUAAGAAUCCAUCUCUAAAUCUCUGAACUCAUACAUAAAGCAUCUCUUUAGUAUGCUAGGGUUCCAACUAAACCAAUUCUAGAGUAUGAGAUCCAAACCCUAGAAGAUCACUAUUAUUGAGCUUCAAGCUUACCUCCAAAAGCUUGCUCCAAGCUUGAGAUGAAGAAGGAGAUGACGAAGAUCCUUCUCCUUGCUUGCUUCUCCACCAAAACCGACUCCUUCUUCACCUUCUAGAGAAAGAGGAAGAGAGUCUAGAGAGAGAGAGGCUUUUAGGUUUAGUUGGGAGAGAAAUGAGAGAGAGAGAGAGCACACUCUCAUAUAGCCCCAAUUCAUGCUACAAAUGCAUAAAAGCCCCUCAACUUUGCCAUCAUAACAUAGCCCAUCUUGGGCAAAUUUGGGCUACGGGGACCGGUCUCUCUAAGAGGGACCGGUCCCCGAGAGUGGCUUAUUUACAGAAAAGGGGCCUUACCCCUUUUCCACGCUUAUGGGAACCGGUCUCUCAAACGAGGGACCGGUCCCCGAGAGCUCACUCUCGCAGGACAACUCCUUGGUCAAUUUGCAUACCUACGGGGACUGGUCUCUCCCUCUAGGGACCGGUCCCCGAGAGCAAGUUUUGUGCGCAAAGCUCUCUGCCACAUUUUUCAAGCUACGGGGACCGGUCUCUCCCACCAGGGACCGGUCCCCGAGAGCAAAAAUCCUGCAUUUUGCAGAAUUUUCACAACUCGCUCUCGGAGGCCACCUCCAAUGCACUUUUGGCCUUCUCGAUGCCUUCGGCUUUUUCGAAGCAUUCCAAGUCGACAAUCAGUCGAUUCUAACCAAAGUCCAACUCUCGCAUUUCAAGAAUUCACUUCCUUAUAGUCCCGAUGCCUCCGGAGGUGAGCAUGGUGACCGCUGGUCAGUGCUGAUCACAAUUCUCACCUUACUUUGGAUCAGCAGAUGUCGAAUCGGCCUGUUCGGCGCGAUUUCCCCGACUGCGCGAUGUUCGCAGAACCUUCGGGUUGCUCCCGCGCUUCCCACAGUGAGCCGUUGUGCUCCAGACUGUGAGCACGGCCUCCAGCACGUCGAAACCUGUCAGUGCGUGUCUCGGCGGACCUCGGGAGUCCUCGGUUUGCGUGAACGAGCCACUUGAUCGCCCGAUUUACAUAAAAUGAUAGGAUUUUACGUAAAGUGAGGGGCUUUUAUGCAUUUGUGCACCUUGUGGCUAUUGUGGGCAGUGUGUUUGCAUGUGCGGUGACCUCUGGACUGAUUGUCCAUGAUCCGAUAGCCUUCGUGGAAAUUGAAGAGUCGAUUUCAAUGCGUUUUUCGGCGAAAUUCGCCGAAAGAACGCGGUUUCGGUUCGGAUUUCUUCCGACGCGGUUUGGUUGUCCUGUGAAUUGUCGCUGAGCUUUGUUGGCUGGUCACCAUCAUCAUUUUGUGGGUUCGGUGAUGAUGGGUGAGCGACGGUAGGUUCUGGUGUCGAAAUAGACACUUCCGGAAACCCAAAUCCGAAAAAUUAUCCGACGAUAAUUGUUGGGUUAUGUUACCUUGUGUUUGCUGCCAGGACGUCCAAAUCGAAGUGUUUUGUGGCAGCGGGUGACUCAUGACACUAGUCGGUGAGUUUUGGAACACUUAGUGGGUCCUGACGGCGUCUCGGUGUGAUUUUUGGGACUUCCGGUGAGUUACGGUGAUCGAUUUUGGGAAACCGAUUCGGGAAUCUGUGUGGGGUUUUGUGAGUCUUGUGCUUUGGAUUAGUGGGUUGGAUACUCACCCGGUGGACCUUUGUAGGUCCGGUGGACUUGUGUGCAUCCAGGUUUUCCGAUGCGAUUAUGACAGGUGGGUGCUUCGAGCUGGUAGUCGGUGAGAUCGUUUCACCUUUCUUUGUUCUUUCAUUCAGUAUCAUAGUCUCUGCAUGUCUAUUUUGCUUGGUUAUCAUUGUUCAUCUUACCGUAUUGAUUGCAUAUUAUCAGUUGUUGAUAGACAUGUAGAGCAGGUUGGCAUUUGUAUUUCAGUAUCUCUGUGGACCUUGGGUCUAGGCAAAACAUCGACUCUCUCGUCAUGUGUUUCGAUCUUUGAUCGAGGUUCGGCGUUGUACGCCUUAGCAUCUAUCAUAGUUUGGCGCUGUACGCCCUUGUUGUUGGCUUCGGCCUAGGCACCUGCUUCAGCCGGUUUUUGUUUGAGCAUACCAGCAUGACUUAGUCACAGCACUUGGGGGUAUUCAUGACACCGGAUCAGUUUGGCCACCGAUCGGAGGUGUACUUAUCCGAAUGGGUCGUCCUGUGGGGCGGAUGGAUCAAGUCGGUGCAGAUAGUGACAGGCAGCGCUUGAGGCCUGUGGACCAAUAUAGCAGGCACUAGAUUGGGUACAGUUUCUGGUUGAUUACUUUGAGGCAUUUUUGCAUCAUGUUCUAUACAGUAGCAGUUUUACUUCUUGCUUCUUAUUAUAUCUGUUAUAGCUACUGUAGUUCUAUUUCAUAUCACAACAUCUAUAUUUGUUACCUAUCUUCUUUGGUUUCCUGUGAUUACGGUUUCCCUUCAUGGCUCUGUCAUACCUACUAAAAAAUCAUGGUUACGGUUUCUCACCCCCCAUUUUUUCAGGUGAUUCGGGCUUGGAGUUGGUGCUGGGCGCGGCGAGAGGACGAUCUAGCUAGUCUGGUCACCCUGGUUACUUUCAUUUCUGCACUUAGUAGUUUUAAUAAUAAAUGAUUCAGUUAGAUGAUCAUAUUGAUGUUUGAAUAUUCGUGAAUUGGUUUUGUUUGAUGAUUUACUAUGAUGCAUGAGACUGGAGUUUUUAGAUCUGUGGUUUUGGUUUUAUAAAUUAUUGGCUUCGGAUUUAUGUAUUAUACAUUGUGGUUUUCUACCCCUCGAGGUGGUCGGUUUUCAAAAUAGAGUUUCUGAGUGGGAAACAGCUUUUAAAAUGAUUUCGAAUGGUUUUGUAAAUGAUUGAAUUAUAUUCUAAAAACAAAGCUUCCGGGUGGGGAGCACUUUUAAAUAGGAUGAUUGUUGUAUUGUGUAUUGCAUCAUCCAGCGCUUAAAGAGUGCUUAGAGGCAUGCAUCAUCUCUAAGGAUCAUAGCUGUAUGGAAAUGCAUAUCAUGUUGAUUGAUAAAUGUAGGUUGUGGUUGAGAUCCUAUUGUACAGUUGGUACGUCGUGCAAAUACAAAGGAGACUCUGUCCGAAUGGACAGAGGAACUUCGUAUUUGUGGCUGGUCUGUACGUCACGUGUGCCAGGUUGAAAAAAGAAAGUGGCACAUCUUCCGCGACUCUGAAUUCCAAAAUCGUAACGGAUUUAAAAAGGCUUUUAAAAUGGGCCCCGGGGCAUGACACCCGCGUACCGGUACGCAGUGGAGUUGUAGACUGCAUGUUUUUUAGGGGUCUUUUUGGAAUUGUAGCAUCUCUAUUUAUAUUCCCACACCCUCAUGAGGGGUUUCCUAUGCUGGAAACCAGAGAAGAGAGGUAAGGAGCUCAUUCCCAUCCUCUCUUUGAUUUUCUUUCUCUUUUUGCAUGAUUUUUGGUAGAUUAAUCUCCUCUUUUUGCUUCUUCUUCAUGGGGGUUGCUAUUGGACCUUGGAGAGAAGGAUUAGAGCUUGUUUGAGGGAAGAACUCCAACCCUAGCACCAUUCUAGCUUGGUUUGGAGCUUAAAGAGAGGUCAGUAGUUUUGAUCUCUUCUUUGGAUCAUGUCUUGUUGGAUUUUGGAGAUGAAAACCUAGUUUGAAAAAUUAGGGUUUCUUUUGGGAUUUUUCUUGGUAGAGCCUUAGGGGCUUAAUUGAUGGUUCUUAUGCCUUCCUUUAGGUUGGAUUAGAAGUAUUCUAACUCUCUUCUGGAGUUUGGAAGAGUUAUUCACCAUAUAAGGUAAUUUUCUACCAAUUUAUCAGUUGAAUUUUGUGGAUCUUGUGGGGUAUUCGUUUGAAAUCCCUAACCCUCUUAAAAUUUUUGUUAGGGAGGUAGGAGACUAGUGGGCAUCCUCGUUCGUGCAAACGAAGGGGGUUCGAGGGGUAUCCGGUCGGUUUGACCUUACUGAAAUGGGUGAAUUCCUCUUAUGUCAUUAUUUUUAUUGUAAAAUAAAAAAUCAUGCAUAUUCAUGCUAGAUAGAGCAUAAAUGAAUUUUUGAAUGUUUAAAAUGCAUAUGUUAUAUAUCAUACUUUAUAACCUCUAUGCAGUAGAGAGACAAGUAUAUAGUAAACUUGCAUGUGAAUGGCACUCCUUACCUAUGGUUGGAAUCAUGUUUCAUUUAGUGAGAAUGACAAGUUGUGCACGCUCUUGGACAUAGAACUUAUGCUUGACAUAGUAAAUAUUAAUGUCAUAUAAUGACACUUGACUUAGUAAUUGGUUAAAUCUUUACAUGAUGACCUAGUGAAUUAGUAAUAGACCGUUUGGUCAUUAGUAUUUAUACCAUGUUUUAAACAUGAUGACAGUGGACUUGGGACGGAUGAUUAUGCUUGCUUGCCAUUGUGCUCAUUCGCACAUGCUUGUAAGGGUCGCUCCCCACAAGCCGGCACUCUAGAGAUAGCCAACGCGAUAUAAGCUCGCCCGUACGGGAUUAGGCGCCGAAAUGGGAUGCCAUAGGGGAGGCUCAUUCCUAGAGUAGGAAUGUUUACUAUCACGGGGCCAUUAGGUAGGCGCAAGCCGGACUACACUUGCGUAGAUCCUAAUUGAUUGGAAUAAUGAUAAAUAAAAGUGAAAUGUUGCAUCAUACUAGUUAGUGCAUACUAGUUGUACAUGCUCAUUCAUGUUAGAAUAGCACAUAUAUAUGUGAAACUUCACGCUAAGUAGAGGCAUAGUAGUUAGUAAAUCUUAAUAUUCGCUCUUUAUACAUGUUGCUUAUUUAGUUACAUCCUUAUACUAUUUAUGCCUCCAUGACCUAGUGGUGUAUUUCGCUGAUGUCGGCGGCUUACCCACUGAAAACUAUUGACUAAUACUUCUCAUUCCUAUUGUAUUGUUGUUUUUGUUUACAGAGUCUUCCAUGUCGGGAGAGGCUAGGGACCGCGGCAAGGGAGUAGCCUCUAGCUAGACAGAUUGGAGAUUGUACUAGGUAGUAUCUCUCAUUUUGUUUUAGUUGGAGAGAGAGAUUUUUGUACCCUAUGUGUAGAGACCACAAUUUUUGUAUCUAGUGCUAUGUUUAUAAACCUCUGUUGUAUGUUUUACUUCAUGGAUUAUGAUAGUUGAUUAGCUCUUUUAUUUUCUACUUGUCUCUAGAAAUUAGCUGUAGCUAUGCUCUGAUAUUACACUAGUUGUUGCUAUACUCUUGUUUAUUUAUCAUAUUGUUGUAGACGCCUUAUAUGUUGUCAGCAUAUGGCGGGUCUGGACACGCACCGGGCGGGCUUCCGCUGGGUCUCAGGACGUGACAGAUUAUAUUGGUAUCAGAGCCUAGGGUUGAGUCUCAGUGGACCUAGCAAACCUUAGGCCAGUUGGACUAUAGGAAAUAUGCUCGUGAGAGACGGAGUUUAUUUGACUUGUAAGCGAAAGUAUCGUGAUUGGGUUUUGAAAUAACUCUAAAAUGUUGGAGUUUAAUCGAAGUGUAUAACUUCUAACUUCGCGGAGGGUUACGUUGGCGAUCGACGACGUAACAUCGGAAGUUAGUAGUGAGGCACACUUCAUUACUUUCGCAUGAUUUGGGGUAUUAUUUUUCUUCGAGUGGGGUUGCGAUAGCGUGGGUUUUACUAACUUGCGUUUUUAUGUUGUUGUUGUUGUAGUUGCUAUGCCGACUACUCGCUCUAAAUCUGUUGGAGCGGACAAUGCGGCAAACUAUGAGUAGGUGGAGACCUCCGCUACCUCCAAAUCUAGUGAGGUCCGCGAGUUGAGGACCCAGCUUUCGGUCCUUACUGACUUGGUGGCACAGCAGGCGGCGGCAGCUCAGCAGCAAGCCGAUGCGGCGCGCCGACAGGAGGCGCGGAUGAAGCGAUUGGAGGACUUACUGCUUCAGCAGUCAGCUACGAGGGAAGUUCAGGAUCCCGUACCACCCGCGCUAGCCGAGGAUGUAGCAGCGAGGGCGUCGUCCCCUGCGCCCGGCAUUUCACGAGCUGCACCUGUUAUUGAGCCUUGGGAGGAGGUUAUGGUAGCACCACUGGUUCAGGUGCCUCUGGUAGGAGCGAUUUUCCCGAUGAUGGUUGACGGGGUGGAGCGAGAUCGCCUCAUGGAUCGCCUCAAUGAGUUUAGGAGGUGUAAUCCUCGGAUCUUCGACGAAGAAAAGGCCGACCACUGGAUCUUGGAAAAGUCAUUGAUGUACAUGGAAAAGUUAUUCUAUAACACCUUUGUGGAGGAGCUUGAUUGAUCGAGUUUGGCUCGCCACUCACCACCUAGACAGUGAGGCCUACCAUUGGUGGACGGAUAUCCGGGAUAACCCCAACACUGAUCUAUCAGGUAUUACUUAGAAGCGGCUUAAGGAACUGUUGUUGGCGGUCUAUUUUUUGGAGAGUAUCAAGAGACAGAUGCAACGGGAUUUGCGCAACUUGCGCCAGGGAGACCGAACAGCGGCGGAGUAUGAGCGAAAGUUCUCCCGACUCCUGCACUAUGUACCCUUCAUUGUGAGGGAUGAUGAAGACAAGGCCUGUAUUUUUGAGAUGGGCCUUCGGCCGUCGAUCUUUCGCUUCGUGCAGUCAUUAAACUUACGGACAUACCGGGAUGUGGUGAACCGCGCGCUCAUUGUGGAGAGAGGCGCGACGGAUGUGCAAGAGCACCGAGAAAGCUUUGAAAGGGAAAGAAAAGAGGCCCACGAUUGAGGGUGCUAGCCAGAUGCACUCUAGGAGGCCGCCGAGACACCCGAGGAGCCAGUCUCGAGGGCACGGCUCUUCAGAGCAGCGAGGAGGUUUUGAUCGUCGCCAGCCUCCCCAGUGUGUGAUCUGUGGUGGCCCCCAUAUUCCACCGCAGUGCCUACAGCGUGGAGGUAGGGGUUUCCUUUAUGGUCAGGAGGGUUAUUUCCGGACCGAGUGCCCGAGGGGUUCUUCACCGGUACCGCCAUCUGUGUCGGCAUCGGCUUUGCCAGCAUCUCGCCAGUGGACACCAUCGACGCACUACCAGCCUGGGCGUCCACCCGUCCAGCGUCAGACCGAGGGGACACGACAGGCCCCGAGCAGGCGCAUGUAUGCGGCCCAGACAAAGGAGGCGGCAGCAGCUGAGGAUGUCGUGGCGGGUAUCAUUUUAUUAAAUGGCAUUAAAGUUCGAGCUUUGUUUGAUACCGGUGCAUCGCAUUCAUUCAUAGAUCGGUUGUUUGCCGAGUUGAAUGCAUCCCAUUAGUAUCUUUGUUGCAUCCUGGACGUGUUGUAGUACCCGACCACACCUUGGACAUUCGGGAAUUUUGCCCCAGUUGCCCUGUUCGGAUAGGAGAUUGGUUUAUGCCUGUGGACUUGCUAGCCUUGCAUAAACUUGAAGAGUUCGAUGUGGUUUUGGGCAUGGAUUGGCUGACUAAGUACUAUGCCACUAUCGAUUGCAAGAAUUGAACGGUGACAUUUAGAGCCUUGGAGAGCGCCGGUUUUAUUCGUCAAGAAGAAGGACGGAUCAUGUAACGCACUGGACCUUUGCAAAUUGCGAGGUUCGAGUGAUUGGUUGUGUUCUGAGUUUUUUUAGAUUUUCUGGUGGGUCGUUGACAGUGUUCCGACCUAUGUCUCGUAUUCCGAGAAUUAUAGUAUUUUAAGUAGCGCUAAGGUCGCCAAAGUGGAGGACUUAGGCUGCUCUCAGAUUGCUAUUUUCGGGGCUGCGUACCGGUACAGGGUUGAUGGCUGUACCGGUACGCGGGCUUGUGUACCGGUACACUGCGGCAGAAUUUGAAUGGUCGAAACUGCAGGGGUGUUUUUGCAUGGUGGCAUCUCUAUAUGUGUCCCCACGCCCCUAGAGCAUUUCCCUGAGUUGGGAACAUAGGGAAUUGAGGUAAAGGAGCUUCUCCUUGUCCUCAAUGGUCAUUUUGUCCCUUUCCCUUGGAUUUUGGUGGAUUAAUCUCUCUCUUUUUCCCUCUUGGUACAUUUGCACCAUGGUUGAAGCUUGAGGCUUGGUUUUAAAGCUUGGUUGAGGGAAGAUCUUUGAAGUUUGAGGACUUUGAGCUUGGAUUAAAGCUUCCAAGAGGUUGGUAACAAUUUUCUUUUAUCUAGAUUCUGGUUUUGAUGGUUUCUUUGAGAUGAAACCCUAGAAUGAGAUUUUAGGGUUGAUUUUGGGCAUUUUUGAUUUAGGGCUUUUGGAGCUCAAUCUCUUAGAUUAGAACUUUCCUCUAGGUUAGAUUGGAAGGAUUCUAGCUCUCUUUUGGAGCUUGAGAAGAUAUUUCUUCACUAGAGGUGAGUUUUGGCCCUUUUCUUGAGACGAUUAUUGAUCGAGCUUAUGGUUGUUCGUAAUGUCCGUUUGUCUUCUCUUUUAUCACCUUUAGGGUGCUAGGAAUCAUGUGGACAACUUCGUUUGAGCUUACGAAGGAAUCCGAGAAGACUAGGUGGGUUUGACCUAGCCUACAAUAUGAGAAAUUCUCAUAUUUGGUGAUUUAUGUUUCGUAAAGUGGAAAUUCAUGUAUCUUCAUGUUAAAUGUAUUUAUUGUGAAUUUUAGAAUGCUUAACAUCCCUAUGUCAUGUACAAUGAAUUUUCGAACCUCUAUGUAGUAGAGAGCUUGCAUAAGGGACUCAUGUAUGUGUGUGGGCAUUCUAUUUGGACUUAGAACUUUGAUUUCCUAUAGUGAAAAUGAGAAUUGUAUUAUGCAUUUAAACCUAUGCCUAGAUGAGACUUAAGAGAUUUGAGUAAGCCAUAAAGAGGCUUGGAACCUAUAUUAUUUGCAAACUAUUGAGCCAAGGUCAUAAAAGGGCAUUGAGCUUGUAAUGUGCUUGGGACAAGUGAAACCUAAUGUCAUAAAGCGGCAUUAGUGUUGAAACAAAAUUUGGACAUAGUGUGAUUUAAUGCCAUAAAGGGGCAUAGAUGUACAUGAUGUAUGAUAUAGUAAGGUAAUGUCAUAAAGAGACAUUAGGCUUGAAAUACAUAUGGACUUAGUAAAGCUAAGGUCAAUGACAAAGAAUUUAUUGAACGGUUGAAUCUUCACUUUGAGACAUUGAACUAGAUCUUUGAGAUGCUAGUGACUUUUACCAUGUUAGAGACAUGAUGAUUGGACGUUUGAGAUGUUGACUACGCUUGCUUGCCAUUUGUGCUCAUUCGCACAUGCUUGUGAAGGUCGCUCCCUACAAGCCGGCACUCCGGAGUUGGCCUACGUGACUUAUGCUCACUCGUGCGGUAUCGAGAAACCUACGGGGUCGGGAGGGAUAGACUCAUUCCUAGAGUGGGAAUGCUGGAGCUACCACUGACACUUAGGUGGCAGAAGCUGGACUACAUUUAUGUAGGUCCUAGAACAUGAUUAAAUAAUGACAUUGAAUCGAAAAAUGACAAUCACUAUUAGAUAGUCUUAGUAGUUUGAUUAUUUUGACAUGCUUAUAGCAUAGUGUUGGGACAUGUAGUAUACAUGAUAGUCUUAUUUGUUGCAUUAUAGUAUACUUGGCUGCCAUGAUAGAGCAUAUUCAUCAUGUAUUGAUAUAUUUGAUCAUGAUACCUACUUGCUCGUUAUGUUGGGACAUAUUAGUCAUGCUUGGACAUACUUCAUUUUGAUAAAAUAAAUGUACAACACAUUGACAUCAUGUUUAUUUGCGACAUAGUAGCUUGGCAUUUUAUUUAUGCUUUCAUAAAUGCAAUCUAUUUAUUAUUAUUGUUGCUUUUUCGACUUACCCCAUUUCUUUUGGAGCCUAGUGGUGCAUUGAGCUGAGGUCAGUAAUUGCCCACUGGGAACUAUAAAUUAUAGUUCUCACGCCCUCUGUUUCAUGUUUUUGUUUCAGAGCCUUCCACGCCGGGAGAGGCUAGGGACCGCAGAAAGGGAAUUGCCUUGAGCUAGCUUGCUUUGAGGGAUGCGUCGAUAGGUGCUCUACCUCUCAUUAUUUUCUUUUGGAGAGGUUGAGAGUUGUAUCCAUGUAUAAAGACCACCCCUUUUGUACCUUUUUGGAGAGGAUUAUUUGUAUAACUCAAUAUUUUACCUUUAUUUUUUAGUUAUGCUUUAUUUACUUUUGUUAUAAAUGAUAGAUGUAUACUUGCUCUGAUAUCUCUAGUUGUAGAUCAUCUUUGGUUUUAUUUUUCGCUGUUGUUGUAGACGCCUUAUAUGUGCUGACAUAUGGCGGGUCUGGGCGCGCUACCGGGAGGGCCUCCGCCGGUCCCGAGGCGUGACAGAUUAGUUUAGUAUCAGAGCCUAGGGUUGAGUCUUAGUGGACCUAGCAAACCUUAGGCCAGUUGGACUAUAGGAAAUAGGCUCGUGAGAGACGAGGUCUAUUUGAUUUGUGCGCGAAAGUAUUAUGAUUGAGUUUUAUGAUAACUCUAAAAAAAUUGGAGUUGGAUCGGAGUGUAUGGCUUCUAACUUCGCGGAGGGUUUGGCGGCCGACAACGAAACAUCGGGAGUUAGUUGUGGAUAACACUUUCUUACUUUCGCAUGAUUUGGGUAUUGUUUAUUUGAGCGGGGAUUCGACAGCGUGGGUUUACUAACUUAAGCUUUUAUGAUCUUGUAGUGACGAUGCCGAUUACAUGCUCUCAAUCUGCUGUGGCGGAUAAUGCGGCACAUCUCGAGGAGGCCGAGACUUCCGCUACAUCCGGAUCCAGCGAGGUCCGUGAGUUGAGGGGCCAGCUUGCAACCCUCACUAAUUUGGUGACGCAGCAGGCGGACGCAGCACGCCGGCAGGAGGCGCGAAUGAAGCGCCUGGAGGACCUUCUGCUGCAGCAGGCGGCUGCCAGGGAGACUCAGAUCCUUACACCACCCGCACCAAUGGAGGUGGUUGCGCCCAGGUGUCAUCCCCUGCACUCGACGCUUCUAGGACGGCACCAGCGGCGGCACCUCGGGAGGAGGACAUCGUGGCACCACCAGCGCGAGCACCUGUAGCGGGGGCGGUUUUCCCCGUGAUGGUUGAGGGAGCUGAGCGGGAUCAGCUCAUGGAGUGCCUUAGUGAGUUCAGGCGAUGCAGUCCACGGACCUUCGACGGGGAGAACGUGGACCAUUAGAUAGUAGAGAAAUGGCUGAUGCAUAUGGAGAAGCUGUUUCGAGACACCUUUGUCGAGGAGAGGGAACGAGUGUGGCUCGCCACACAUCAUUUGGACGGCGAGGCCUACAGAUGGUGGUUGGACAUCCAGGACAACCCCAGCAUGGAUCUUACGGCGAUUUCAUGGAGAAGGUUCAAGGAACUCCUACUGGAGCAUUACUUCCCUGACAGUGUCAAGAGGAAGAUGGAGCAGGAUUUGCGCAAUCUGCGCCAGGGGGACAGGACGGUGGCCGAGUAUGAGAGAGAGUUCUCCCGACUUCUUCAUUCAUUCAUAGACCGGCUGUUUGCCGAGUUGCAUGGCAUUCCACUGACAUAUUUGUUAUAUCCGGGACGAGUUGUAGUACCCGAUCACUCUUUGGAUAUUCGAGAGUUUUGCCCCAGUUGCCCUGUUCGGGUUGGAGAUUGGAUCAUGCCCGUGGACUUGCUAGCUUUGCAUAAACUCGGAGUGUUUGAUGUUGUUUUGGGCAUAGACUGGUUGACCAAGUACUACGCCACUAUCGAUUGCAAGAAUCGAACUGUGACGUUUAGAGAGCCGGGGCAGGCGGAGGUUGUGUACCGAGGAUACCAGAGUUCACUGUUUGCGACGAUUAGCUCCUCUCGAGCUAGACAGUUGAUCAACAGAGGCUGCGUAGCCUAUUUGGCUACUGUUGUGUUGCGGGGCGAUACAGACGCCCAUAGGAUUGAGAAUAUCCCCGUAGUACGGGAGUUUGGAGAUGUAUUUCCAGCAGAGCUUCCAGGCAUGCCACCUGAUAGGAAGAUUGAGUUUGUGGUAGAUCUCGUCCCCGGGACUACUCCAAUCUCAAAGGCGCCCUAUAGAAUGGCACCAGUGGAAUUGAAGGAGCUGAGGGCACAGUUGCAAGAUCUUCUGGACAAGGAUUUUGUGCGACCGAGUGUGUCACCUUGGGGAGCAUCGGUCCUAUUUGUCAAGAAGAAGGAUAGAUCACUUCGCUUGUGCAUGGAUUAUCGUGAACUCAAUAAAGUCACGAUCAAGAACAAGUAUCCAUUGCCGAGGAUCGAUGAUCUUUUUGAUCAGCUUCAGGGAUCUAGUGUGUACUCCAAGAUCGACUUGCAGUCAGGAUACCACCAGUUGAAGAUCAAGCCUGAGGAUGUGUCGAAAACGACCUUUAGAACACUGUAUGGACAUUAUGAGUUUACAGUUAUGCCGUUUGGGCUUACGAAUGCCCCGGCAGCUUUUAUGGAUUUGAUGAACCGUAUUUUCAAGCCUUAUUUAGACAGGUUUGCCGUGGUAUUCAUCGACGACAUUUUGGUCUAUUCCUGAAGUGAUGCGGAUCACGAGGAACAUUUGAGGCUAGUACUUCAAGUGCUUCGGGAAAGGAAGCUCUAUGCCAAGUUGAAAAAGUGUGAGUUUUGGCUUAGAGAUGUGACGUUUUUUGGCCAAGUUGAGAUUAAUGGCGUUAGUGGUGCAACCUACCUUAUUGGAAAGGAUAAAGGAAAAGCAAGUUCACGAUGUGGAAUUGCAAAAGAUUCGAGCUAAGAUGGUUGAUGGUUACACCGGUGAUUUCCUUGUGGACGACCAAAGGUUGUUACGUUUCCGCGAGCGAAUUUGUGUGCCGGCGGAGUCGGGGAUUAAAGAGGACAUUCUUCUUGAAGCUCACCGUGCACCCUAUGCUCUACAUCCGGGAGGUACAAAGAUGUACAAGGAUUUGAAGCUAUUGUAUUGGUGGCUCGGAAUGAAAAAGGACGUUGGCGAGUUUGUAGCUCGUUGUUUAACUUGUCAACGAGUGAAAGCUGAGCACCGACUACCGGCGAAAAAACUUUAGAGUUUGUCGAUCCCUGUUUGGAAGUGGGAAAAGAUCACCAUAGACUUUGUCAUGGGAUUGCCUCGCUCACAGGCCGAGCAUAAUGCUAUUUGGGUGAUCGUGGAUAGGUUGACGAAAUCAGCUCAUUUCAUUCCUAUUCACACGACUUGGUCAGGAGAGAGACUUGCACAGGUAUAUCUUGAUAAGAUUGUGCGACUUCAUGGAGUGCCUGCUUCAAUAGUAUCUGAUCGAGAUUCUCGAUUUGUAUCUCACUUUUGGAGGAGCCUGCAGGAUGCAUUAGGCACUUGUUUGGACUUCAGCAUUGCUUUCCAUCCUCAGAGUGAUGGGCAAUCUGAGUGUACUAUUCAGACUCUCGAGGAUAUGCUUCGAGCGUGCGUGAUAGGCUUUCAGGAAGGAUGGUCACAGCACUUACCCAUAGCAGAGUUUGCUUAUAACAAUAGUUACUAAGCAAGCAUCAAGAUGGCACCUUUCGAAGCACUUUAUGGACGGAAGUGUAGAUCGCCUCUUCAUUAGAGUGAAGUUUGCGAGAGAUUUGCUUUAGGCCUUGAUGUGCUCUAGGAAGCAGAGGAUAACGUUCGCCUCGCUUGAAAGCGUUUGUUGACAGCUCAAAGUAGACAGAAGAGUUAUGCCGAUAAGCGUCAACGAGACUUGGAAUUCCAAGUUGGAGAUCAUGUCUUCUUGAAAGUCUCACCGACAAAGGGGAUUAGAAGAUUUGGCAUUCGGGGUAAGUUGAGCCCCCGGUUUAUUGGACCUUAUGAGAUUUUGGAGCGUGUAGGCCCGGUAGCGUAUCGACUUGCUUUACCAUCGAAGCUAUCGGGAGUGCACAAUGUAUUUCAUAUUUCGAUACUCCGAAAGUACAUCUUCGAUCCGGCUCAUGUUUUGGAUGCUAUACCAUUGGAGCUGAGAGACGACUUGAGCUUUGAAGAGCAACCUGUGAGGAUCUUGGCUCGCGAGGUGAAGAAACUUUGGAAUCGUGAUAUUCUGUAUGUGAAGGUCCUUUGGAGCAACUACGAUGAACGCGAGGCCACGUAGGAGUUGGAGAGCGCACUGCAGGAACGCUAUCCCCAUCUUUUUUAGAUAGAGUCUUGAGGUAUCUUGCUUUCUAGUUUCGCGGACGAAACUCCUUUUUAGGAGGGGAGAAUGUAGCAUACUGAACUUUAGCAAAUUGCAAGUUUCUAGUGUUCGAAUAGUGAUUUGUACUAUCCUUGGUAUUCUUGAGGUUCGUUGACUGUGUUUCGACCAAUUACUCAGGUCUUGAGGUGCGAGGAUGAGUACUUAGCACCAAAACCUCCAAACUGCAGGUUUUGGGGUGCUAGGUACCGGUACCAGAGGGAGGUACCGGAACCCCGUCGCAUAACCGAGAGGGCUGCUAUCGGGUUUGAGCUCUACGAGGCAAAGUACCGGUACUGCAUCGCCCGAGUACCGGUAUUGGGGCUUGGUACCAGUACUGCAUCGCGGGGUUACUGGUACACUGCAAUCUGUCAACUUGACAGAGGCUCGGGUUUACGCGUUCGGCUGCGAGGUACCGGUACUCCAGCGCCCGUACCGGUACGCAGUGCAGUUGUAGACCGCAUAUUUUUUAGGGGUCUUUUUGGGAUUGUAGCAUCUCUAUUUAUAUUCCCACACCCUCAUGAGGGGUUUCCUAUGCUGGAAACCAGAGAAAAGAGGUAAGGAGCUCAUUCCCAUCCUCUCUUUGAUUUUCCUUCUCUUUUUGCAUGAUUUUUGGUAGAUUAAUCUCCUCUUUUUGCUUCUUCUUUAUGGGGGUUGCUAUUUGGACCUUGGAGAGAAGGAUUAGAGCUUGUUUGAGAGAAGAACUCUAGCCCUAGCACCAUUCUAGCUUGGUUUGAAGCUUAAAGAGAGAUCAGUAGUUUUGAUCUCUUCUUUGGAUCAUGCCUUGUUGGAUUUUGGAGAUGAAAACCUAGUUUGGAAAAUUAGGGUUUCUUUUGGGGUUUUUCUUGGUAGAGCCUUAGGGGCUUAAUUGAUGGUUCUUAUGCCUUCCUUUAGGUUAGAUUAGAAGUGUUCUAGCUCUCUUCUGGAGUUUGGAAGAGUUAUUCACCAUAUAAGGUAAUUUUCUACCUAUUUAUCGGUUGAAUUUUGUGGAUCUUGUGGGAUGUUCGUUCGAAACCCCUAACCCGCUUAAAAUUUUUGUUAGGGAGUUAGGAAACUAGUGGGCAUCCUCGUUCGCGCAAACGAAGGGGAUUCGAGGGGUAUCCGGUGAGUUUGACCUCAUCGAAAUGGAUGAAUUCCUCCUAUGUCAUUAUCUUUAUUGUAAAAUAGAAAAUCAUGCAUAUUCAUACUAGAUAGAGUAUAAAUGAAUUUUUGAAUGCUUAAAAUGCAUAUGUUAUGUAUCAUGCUUUAUAAUCUCUAUGUAGUAGAGAGACAAAUAUAUAGUAAACUUGCAUGUGAAUGGCACUCCUUACCUAUGGUUGGAAUCAUGUUUCAUUUAGUGAGAAUGACAAGUUGUGCAUGCUCUUGGACAUAGAACUUAUGCUUGACAUAGUAAACAUUAAUGUCAUAUAGUGACACUUGACUUAGUAAUUGGUUAAACCUCUACAUGAUGACAUAGUGAUAGACCGUUGGGUCAUUAGUAUUUAUACCAUGUUUUAGAUAUGAUAAUAGUGGACUUGGGACGGAUGAUUAUGCUUGCUUGCCAUUGUGCUCAUUCGCACAUGCUUGUGAGGGUCGCUUCACAUAAGCGGGCACUCUGGAGAGAGCGAACGCGACACAAGCUCGCCCGUAUGGGAUUGGGCGCCGAAAUGGGAUGCCGUAGGGGAGGCUCAUUCCUAGAGUGGGAAUGUUGACUACUAUGGAGCCAUUAGGCACGGCGCAAGCCGGACUACACUUGUGUAGAUCCUAGUUGAUUGGAGCAAUGAUAAAUAAAAGUGAAAUGUUGACAUCAUACUAGUUAGUGCAUACUAGUUGUACAUACUCAUUCAUGUUAGAAUAACACUUAUAUAUGUGAAACUUCAUGCUAAGUAGAGGCAUAGUAGUUAGUAAAUCUUAAUAUUCGCUCUUUAUACACGUUGCUUAUUUAGUUACAUCUUUAUACUACUUAUGCCUCCAUGACCUAGUGGUGUAUUUCACUGAUAUCGGUGGCUUACCCACUUGAAACUAUUGACUAAUAGUUCUCAUUCCCACUGUGUUGUUGUUUUUGUUUACAGAGCCUUCCACGCCGGGAGAGGUUAGGGACCGCGCCAAGGGAGUCGCCUCUAGCUAGACAUAUUGGAAAUUGUACUAGAUGGUCAUCUCUCUUUUUGUUUUAGUUCGAGAGAGAGAUUUUUGUACCCUUUGUGUAGAGGCCACCAUUUUUGUAUCUAGUGCUAUGUUUAUGAACCUUUGCUGUAUGUUUUACUUCAUGGAUUAUGAUAGUUGAUUAGCUCUUUUAUUUUCUACUUGUUUCUAGAAAUUAGUUGUAGCUAUGCUCUGAUAUUACACUAGUUGUUGUUAUACUCUUAUUUAUUUAUCAUAUUGUUGCAGAUGCCUUAUAUGUUGUCAGCAAAUGGCGGGUUUGGAUAUGCACCGAGCGGGCUUCCGCUGGGUCUCGGGGCGUGACACUUCACCAUACUUUUCUCCUCUCAUUAGGAAAAGUGAAAGAGAAGGAGAAAAGUAGUUCUCUCUCUCUUGGAUUUUCUCUCCCAAUCUCCUCUAAUACUUGGAUUGUCUUUCUCUUCUCUUCAUCUUCUCCAUGGGUGCUUGCAUCUAAGGCUUGGAGGGAAGCUUGAGCUUGAAGAAGAGACUUCACUACAACAAAAACGGUCUAUAGCGACACUUUUAAAUGUCGGUAUAAGUUAAAAAAAGUGCUACUGGCUAAAUUACCAACACUUUUAAAAAGUGUUGCUAUAUAUGGGGUCGCUAGGUAUAUAGUGACAAAGUUAAAGAGUGUCGUUAUAAUCUAAAAGAGUGCUGCUAAUUUACCAACAUUUAUUUAAGCAUUUAGCAACCGCUGGAACUCUACCUCGUUGGCUGCGGUGGCAGAGGAGGAUGAGAGGAAGGGAUCUACGUCUAGGAUUUCAGUCAAUUGAGUGAGGGGAGAAGGGGAAAUAAUAAUUGAUUUUUCUUUUCUUUUUCUUUUCUGUUUAUAAUCGGGCCGAAUGGACUGGGUGGGGUGCGUUGAGUAGAGUAUCCUUUUAUUUUAGUUGGAUUGGACUUUAUAUUUAGGUAUUAGUAGGUUUUAUUUUAAGUUUUGGCAUAAAUGUGACACUUACACAAAAGUGUCCCAAACAUGUGUCCCUAUAACCUAAUUCUGUUGUAGUGCUUGUUUGUGGCCUAAGUUUCAACCCAGCAACUCUAAUUUGAGAUUAGAGCUGUAAGGACUGAGAUUUUGGCAGUGUAGCUAAACUCUCUGUUGACGAUGUUUUUGUGUAUAAUGUAAUUACAUAAGCACUCGUCAAGUUUCAGGAGAAACUGAGCUAAAACGGAGAAGCUACGCGAUUUUUAGUUUUCACUUAAGUGAAUAGUAACUCCGAUUUUCUGGAGAAGCGAAUGAGUGAAGAUGGCUUCUGGCGCAUAUUGGACUCCGAUUAUACUGAUCCAAUAGCUUGUUUUGAACGGUUUAGCUAUUCUGGAAUCAAUGGCGUUGACGGAUUUCAGAUCUGAUAUACAGUUUUCGAGAAAAAGGGGUUUGAUUGGAUUUAUAUAUAUAUGUAUGUAUAUAUAUGUGUUUUAUAGUGGAAACAUUGAGGGUGGGUUUCGUCGCAAAUCGACGACCAAAUUGGAUCAAACAAAAUGCUAGGUUCGAUGCCCCAGUCGUGCUGAACGCGUUGGUGUGAUCGAUUCGGAAAUCCGACGGACGGAUCUUCGGGAAUCACGAGAUAUUCGAUAAGGGGUCAAAUUGGCAAAAACAGAAUUUCGCGAAAGGUCCAAUUUUUUAUAUACCAUUUUGUGUGAUUUCAAACGUCGAGGUGCGGGCAUGCAGAGUGCACGUGCCAUCAAGGCUGGGCCAUAAGGGAGGGGUUUUCUGCAAAUUGUCCAUAGUAUAUAUAUGGGCAGCUCGGGUUUUCAUGCACAGACCCUAGCCCUAGCCGUCCUAUCACCUCCCAGCUAACCCAAGCUGAUCUCAGCCCUUUCCUGCCCUCGUCGUGCUCGCGCCCCGGCCGCCGGCAAGCUGCUCCGGCCGCCGGAAGACCCUCGCUCUGGACUCGCUAGCAUUGGAAGCCCAAGCUCGGGUAUCCCGUCGUCGUCUGGCUGCCGGCGUCCUCCCGCGCGCACCCCCGCCGUCCCCGCGCGCCGCCGGCCGCGAUCCGAGCUCCCUGUGGCCGCCCAGACUUGGUGCGAGCCGAGGCUGGGCUUCCCUCCUAUCCGCGCGUCGCCGCCGCCCACAGCGGGGAGCACCACCCUUCGCACGGCCUCCAGCGACGGAUCGCCGUCGCCCCGAGCUCCUCCGGCCGCCGCUGGGCCGCUACGGACCACUUGAACCCGAGAGCAAGCCGCGGCUUGAUCUCCUCCGCCGUGCCACCGGCCACCACCCGCCGCAGGCCGGCACCUACCCCGGACCUCUCCGACUAGACGCACCCUUCCUCGGCCGGAUCGCCCGCCGCCCGGCCGCUGGUGACCAACCCUAGCUCCACUACCUAGGUAAGGCUGUAAUUUUGUCGACAGCACUGUAGUUUGGAGUUUCGGUCACCUUUUCGGUGAUUCGAGGACACUUCGACACCCCGGGAAGUGAGCACGAUAAUCUUGGAUUCGUGCUGAACAUCGUGCUCACCUCCGACAGGGUCAAUGAUGCCCUGGUUAGCGAAUUAGACGCGAUCUUAGCGCUGUGCGCGCUGUUUCGCUUAUUUCCGCAUCGCUCGUGCGCAUGCCACAGUGGCCGGCAGUGCUCUGAAAGGUGAGCAUGACCUCUGGCACAUCGAGACCUGUUAGAUGGUGUCUCGGUUUGGCUGAUUGACCUCUGGUUUGCGUAGACGGAGCAUAAAAGCCCAGAAAUCACAUAAAAUAAUGUGAUUUUAUGCAUUUGGGAGGGCUUUUAUGCAAUUAUGGUUAUUAUAGUAGCUGUUGGCAGCAUGUGUGGGCAGAGGGUAAUCUCUGGACUGAUUGUCCAAGGCCCCAGGCCUGUAUGGGAAUCGAAAAGUGAUUUCCGGUGCGUUUUUCAGCGAAAUCCGCCGACGGAACGCGUUUUCGGUUCGAAAUUCUUCCGACGGUGCUUCAUGAUGAUUUGUGAUGUCGCUAAGCCUUAUUGGCUGGUCACUCGCAUCGUUUCGAGGGUCCGAAAAUGACGGGUGAGUGACAGUGGGUUCCGGUGUCGAAUUGGACACUUCCGGGAACCCGGAUCGGAACGAUUACCCGAUGAUAAUCGUUUCGGAGCGAGUUAGUGUUCUUGCUGCCAAGUGACAUGAAAAUAUGUGUUUAGUGGCAGCGGGUGACUCGUGGUAUGAGUCUGUGCAUUCCGAGACAGUUCGUGGGUCCCGGCGGAGUCCCGGUACGAUUUUCGGGACUUCCGGCGAGUUACGGUAGUCGGUUUGGGAAACCGAUCUCCGUGGGAUUGUUUGUGGGGUUGUGGAUUCAGUGGUUAUUAGUUGUGGGUUAGAUACUAACCCGUUGGACCCUCCUUAGGUCCGGUUGACGUUCUUUCGCAGCCAGGAGACAUGCGUGACAUUCUUACAGGUGGGUACUUCGAUCCGAGGUCGGUACAGUGGUGCACGCUCGGUGAUAUCCUUCUACCCUAUUCUCCUGUUGUUACUAUUGCAUAGUAUACGUUGAGCCUUGCAUCGACGUUAUUUUAUUAUACUCUACUUAGUUAUUUGCAUGUAUAGUGGCAUGAGUAGGAGUAGAGUAGUUGAUCUACAUGUGAUACAGUGACCUGGUUGGUCGGUUCUCGUACUUCGUAUCAGUGACCUAGUUGGUCGGUUCUCGUACUUUGCAUUAGUGACCUAGUUGGUCGGUUCUCGUACUUCGUAUCAGUGACCUUGUUGGUCGGUUGGACCCUAUGAUGACCUAUACGGUCAGUGUGCCCCGAGUGGGCAGGAUUGUCGGCUGGUUGUCGACGGUUGGCUAUUGAGCAUUCAGCAUGGAUCGCAACUGCUUGUACGCAUUUCACGAACACCAGCGGUCUGAUCCACCGCAAGAGGGUGUUCUUUUCCGGAGAAGUGGUUGGGAGUGCCAUCCCGUGAGACCCGAGCGCUUUAUGCAAGGGUUAUAUGCUUUCUGACCCGGGUGCUUUAUGUGAGGGUCAUGUACUUUCAGACCCGGGUGCUUUAUGCGAGGGUCAUAUACCUUUCAGAGCCGGAUGCUUUAUGCGAGGGUCAUAUACCUUUCGGAGCCGGAUGCUUUAUGCGAGGGUCAUAUACCUUUCGGAGCCGGAUGCUUUAUGCGAGGGUCACGUAUGGUUGAGCAAUUGUGGCACAGGCUUGAGGUUUUGCGGACCAAUAUGGCUGUUCCAGAUUGGGUAUAUUUGAUAUACACGUCCGGUUGACGCAUAUGACUAUAGUAGCGGUAGUUUCAUGCAUAUUUAUAGUUCUUUCAUACAGUUGUAUUGCUACUAUAGUUUUGAUGUCCUUGUAUGCUUUUAGUUCUUCGUUAUAGUAGCGGUAGUUGUUCUUUUAUAUAUACAUAUCUUAUUCGUUAAUUAUUAUUGCUACUAUAUUUUACUUACCCAUACUGCUGUUUAUCUCUUCCUGAUCCAGUGAGUACUCCUCGCCUUCGUCGGCUUGCGGUACCCACUGGGAGGGGAGACAUGUUUACAUGUUCUCACCUCCCCCACCAUUUUUUUGAGGUAUUGCGGGCGGUGAGGGUUGAGACGAGACGUGAGACACGUUCGUAGCAGUCGAUAGAGCUUCCGACCCGGUUUGUUCGGUUUAGUUGUUAUCCCCUUUAUUUCUGUUGAUAUAACUUAGACAGCUAAUAUGGUUCAGUAUUUCAUUACGUUUUAACAUUCAAGAUUUCAGUUGGUUUUCUGAAUUUAAUAAAGAUUCGUGGAUUUUUUUAAAAUGGAAAGAUUUUCUACCUCUCGUGGUAGCGAGUUUCAAAAAAAAAAAAGAUUUUCGUGUGGAAAAUAGUUUUAAAGGGUUUUCUAGUGGUUUUUGUAACUUAGUACUUCAAAACCAGUUUCCGGGUAGGAAACGUUUUAACUAAUAGUUGUGGUUUUAUGUUUAAACAAUGAAUGGUAAAUCUGUGGUGAAUGGUGAAUGAAUAUUGAAUGUUGUAUAUUCAUUAUGGUGGUUGUACUCUGUUUGGACAUUUUGUACUUGUGCGACGCCAUGCAAAUACAGGGAAGACUCUGUCCGUGUGAACAGUGGAUUCUUUGUAUUUGCGGCGGAUCUGGCAUACUCUGGGGAGUUAGGUUUUCAAAAAAAAUUUAGGGCACUUCCGCUAUAUUUUCAAACUAAAAGGGACCCCGUGGCGUGACAAGAGCUCUACUCGAGGUUAGCAAUCUCCCUUUAUCCUCUAUUUGAGAGGAUUGUGGAAGUUUUAGUAUAAAACCUAGUUUGUAGAAACUAAGGUUUAUUUGGGGGUUUUCCAAAUGUGGGCUUUUGGGAUGAAAUUGAUGAGUGUUGAUCACUCUUUUAGGUUGGAUUUGAAGUCCCAUUCUCUUGGUUUUGGAGUUUGGACAAAUUUUCUUGAUCCAAGGUAAUUUUCACUUAUUUUUUCAAUGAAUUUUGGUGAAUUUCGUGGCGAGAUUUUUCGAAGCUUGUAACCCUUUGGAAAUUUUUCUUAAGGUCCAAGAAUUCUAGAGGGAAACUUUGUUUUCGAAACGAUUGAGCUUUCGAUGGUUAUCCGGUGGGUUUGACUUCACCGAAAUAGGUGAAUUAUCCCUAUGUCUCCUAUCUCAUUUAUGAACUUAUUGGAUGGUUUAGCAUACAAUUGAAGACAACAUUGAAUUUUUGGGCACAUAAUCCGGAUACAUUUUGCAUGAAGAAUUCUACCCUCUACGUGUACAGGUAUUCAUGUAAAAUGACAUGCAUGUAAGACAUAGAUGUAGUCAAUAGCAUGGUUUAAUUAACCUUUGUACAUAUUAUUUUUAAGUUACUCAUUGUGAUCAUACAUGAUUAGUGAAGCAAAUUACUUGUUAGAACGAGAACAACAAAUCAUGCAUACUAGUAUAGUUAUGAUGAAAUAUGGCACUUUGCAUGUUAGAGACAUGUUGUAAUAAUUAAGUACAUUGUGCUUAACCUAGUAAAAUGACAUUAUGACAAUGUACUCGACCUCUAUGUCAUUAAUGAAAAUUCUAUAUUUUAGACAUGAUGAAUGAGGUUCUAAUUCCAUAUUUUAGACAUGAUGAAUGAGGUUUUGUACGCAUUCGAUCACGCUUGCUUGCCUUUGUGCUCAUUCACACAUGCUUGUAAGGGUCGCUCUCUACAAGCCGGCACUCUGGAGUUUAGCUUUGUGACUUAUGAUCGCCUGUGUAGGAUUGGGUGCCAAAAUAGAUUGCCGUGGAAAAGGCUUAUUCCUAGAAGAGAUAUGUUGACUACCACGGGGCCACUAGGCACGACACAAGCUGGGAUGUUACCUCGUGUAAGCCCCAGUGAUUAGAUAUAAGAUAACUGAAUAUAACAUUAUAUAUUACAAUUUGAUGCAUUCGUGAUGAUGGACAUAUAUGUAAACCUUUGCAUUACUUGUACAUAUGAUAGCAGUAGAACUGCCUUCAUGUUAGUUGAUGACUAGUCUAUAUGAUAGUAGUAGAACUAUAUUCAUGGUAAUUGGCAUUGUAGCAUUAUUGCUUAGAGGCAUGAUAGUAUUAGAGCAUUUUAAAUUCAGCAAUUAUAGUAGCUUCCUUUUCAAUUAUUUACUAUAUUGCCUCUGUUGACCUAGUGGUGUAUUUCACUACUUUUGGAUGCUUAUCCACUGGAAACUAUUGUUUAAUAAUUCUUACCCCUAUUAGUUGUUUGUUUUUGUUUCAGAGCCUUCCACAGCGGGUGAGGCUAGGGAUACGACAACGGUUUAGCGACUAGCUAGAGCCACUUGGUGUUGCUAUAGGAGGACCAUGGCACCUUUUUUUUUUGGUUUUAGUAGUGAAAGGUGUAUUUUUGUUUAUAGACCACCUUGUACUCAUGAAAUGUACCUUUUGUAUUUAAUUUUUAGUAUAUCUUUGUCUGCCACCACGAAUGACGCACCUCGCACGGUCGAUGGAUAUGCCGUGGGAUAGUAUUCAUUAUUCAGAUUAGUAUUAGAUGUGUAUGGAUAUCAGGUAUUGCGGGUCCAUGUCUUCCAAUAGAUGCAAGCAUUUACUGUUAAUUACCCCCUAGAAAUUGAGGCACAUUCGAUUAAGAGACCUUUAUAGAGUGGAUGGGAUGAAUUGUAUCUUGAUUUAUUGAUUGAUUGAACCCUAAGUAUAUGUAUUAGGAUUUAGUUGGAUUUGAAGUUGACCAGGUCCUAAGUAUAUGUGUUAAGACCUAGUCGACAUUAAACUCUAAGUAUAUGCAUUAGAGUCUAAUUGGCUCUAAGUAUAUGUCUUAGAGUCUGAUUAUAUUCACCUUGGUUGUAUAUUCCAAGGUGGAGAUGUGACCAAACCCCAAGUAUAUGUAUUGAGGUAGGUCGUAUUUGAUAUUACCCGAAGGUAGAGAGUGGCUAAUUCCUAAAUGUAUGUAUCAAAAUUAACCGAGUUUAAUAUAUUUUCCACUCUAGUUAUAUGUGCUAGAGUGAGGAUCUGACAAAGUCCUAAGGUAUUGCGUUAGGGUUCGUCAGAUUUGAUUUGCGUAAGCUCUAAGUAUCUAUAACCUAUAUGAAGCUAUAAUAUUUUUUGCCACGUGGCAUGUUACCUUUAAUUCUCAUAGCCUCACUUUAAAUCAAACCACUCUUCUCUAAAUUGAAUCUUUCCCGCCGUUUCUCCUCUUCUCAACGUCCAACUCUUCACCUCCCCCGUCCUCUAAUUACAUGCAAGGUGCAAUAUUUAAUUACAUGCACCAUAUUAAUAUUCUGUCAAUGAGUGGGCUUUGUAACUUUAAUCCACUCCUCUCAUCCAUUAAUCCCCUACCCCUCUCUUUUAUAACUCUUUUGCAUGUACCAUAAAAAAAUAUCAGCGUCUAAUCUCCCACCCCACACUCAUCUCUCUUUUUCUCUCAUUGUGUUAACGAAGAUAAUGCGGACGAAGAAGAAGAAUAAGAAGAAGGAGAGCCUGUGAAGAACGUUGUCUCCUUUGAGAAGCAUCGUCCCGUGUAGCUGAGCUGCGGCCUAUAUAAGUGCCCGCUAAGCCGGUCCGUGCCGGGGCCCCCGCUCACCAUGAACCGCCGCCGCCCCGGCUGCCUCCUCGCGUGGCUCAUGUGUGCCCACAACUGGGCCGAGACGAGCGGCGUCCUGAGCCUCCUCGCAGGAGCUCGCUUCUUGAGGAUCGUAGGAACUUCUUGGUAAAUCUAAAUUGUUUGAGAAUUUGAAUUUCUGUGGUUGAUGUGAUGGCAAGACUAUGUCGGUUUAGAUAUUACAGUUUGGUGAUACAAAUGAGGUGUUUGUUUAUAGGUCGCAAUGAAAAUCCAGAAGCGACUCGGCAUGGGGAGCAACUCUUAGCUAAAAAUUAAGAAGAUGUAUGAUGUUUGGUUAAGCAAGUUCGCAUGGUUGAAGAAGUACUCAUAUUAGUUUUUUUUAUUUAUGUUUUUGUUUUAUUUUUAUCCUAUGACCAUUUUUUUGAGUAGGCGCUGUUAUGGGCAAAGUCCCUUUCGUAGAUUAAGAAGUAUGAUGUGGAGACUGGAAUCUGAAAUCUCACCCAAAUUUAUUUAAGCCAUAUACGUUAACUUAUUAUUUAUGUGUUUUAUAUCCUUAAUCUGUUUUGAUACUUGGACAAAGGUGCUUGAUUCAGCUGAAGCUAGCUCUUUUUUUAUCUUUCACAACGAAAUGAUCAAGAGGCAUAUAAUACGAUAAAAUUGUAUGUCUCUUAUUAUAUUUCGAUGAUUUAAAAAAAAUUAUAUAAACUUACUUUUCUUCUCUAGCCACUUUUCUUACUUAAUACAUUCUUUCUUUGUGUCGCACGUUACAGUAGAAAAAGCAUUUGACUUUGUAUUUACCACCAAAAUUAUAUAUCCUAGCUGAUGGAUUAGCUUUCGGCAUCUUCAUGAAGGGUCCUCCCUUACCUUUUUCAACUUUGGAAGUAUAAUAAGAGAAAUGUGCACUUUGCACUCUCUCUCCUUUAGUUCUCUUUUUUUUUUGAACAUACAUUAACAGUAGGUCAUUAAUAGACCAUUUCUCCUUCUGUGUUUUAUAGAAGAUCUUAAAAAGACUGCACUCAGUCGGUAGGGAAUUUAAUAUAAUGUGAACAAAAAAAGUUUGAGAAAUAGUAAACUCCAUCUUGUUCAACUGAAAAGUAAUAUCUUUUAUCUACAUAAUGUGCUCACGAAUGCUCAUUGAGCCCGAGUAUUUCACGGAAGCCAUCUUAGACAAUAGGGUGCUUGCUUUAGCUUUGUCAAAAUUGACAAACUGAUCCUCUAUGGCCUUUACAAAAUUUUUAGCUGUUGCGCAAAUGGGAAUAGAGCCACAAAUAUUCUUGCCAAUAUGAACCUGCAUAAGCAUGAAGCUAAGCCUAUUCGAUUUCUCUCAUAUCUCAUGAAAGGCUUUUUCACCAUCAAUGCUUUUAGCAUUAAGUGGAGAUGGUUUAUCCACUCGAAAAACCAAGUUGAAAUCCAUGCACCCUAAUAUAAACAUCAUUUAUUCUUUCCAUUUAAAAAAAAUUGGAUCCAUUUAAGGAAUGCGAUUGCCAUUAUCCAUCAUAGCAGAUGUAGGAAUAACUGCAAAUAAAUAAACAUACCCACAUUAUGUAAUAUACCGAAUCUCUGAGUUACGAUGCUAACUUUGAUCUAAUUGAUCAAAGUGAGGCAUGAGCGUGAUGUGUGACGUCCCCGAUCAUUUUGGAAGCGUGGGGAUGAUUAGUUGUGAAUUUCGGAUGUAUUUAUGUGUUUUCGGCUCAAACUGGGCGCGAAAAUAGAUCCUGGAACUCUGCUGCUGUGAGACUGCAGCUAAGGCAUUAAGUGUUAGAUGUAUUGUCACGCCCCCGCCCCGAGGCCGCUAUCAAUUUCGUCCGGUCCGGGCGCGGCGGACGGAAGCCGAACGGACAGGACCUCCCCUGUCCGCCCAAGGUCAAACAACUAGAUCAAGUACAAUUAAAUGCCCAGGAAAUGCUUAAAUAACAUACAUGAUCAAUACGAUGCACACAAGUGCACUAUAACUAAGAGCAAGAACCACGAGUGCAUAUACAAGUGUAUAAAGAGAGAUUGUCUAACUAUUACAACCAUUCAAUAGUUACAUCAUUUGGUUACAUUAUAUUUUCAUCUUCCAAAAUGUAAAUACAUGUUUUUCCCAAAAUACAAGUAGCUCUCCAUGUCUAUCCAAAAUAUACAUCUUCUAGUACACGAGGGUACUCUAUAUGCAAAAGGAAAGCUACUAACUACUCACUUAGGGCGCUAUGCCCUUGCCGCGAUCCUCGCUCGGCUAGCCCCUGUGUGUACCUGUACCCCAAAACCACAUAGGGUGAGAACUAUCUAAAUAUAGUUCCCAGUGGGUUCGGCCGCCGACUCCGCCGAUUUUCCCAUUAGGUCUAAGCUGGCACAGAUAGGGAGAUAGAUAGAUAUAUAGAGAAAUGAACUGCAACUACUCUAUCAUGCCACCAAUGAUAACGAUGCAUGCAACAACUACUAUCAUGCUAGUAUCAUAUCAUGAGUAUAGCAAUGCAAUCUACAACAUACACUAUGUCUACUCAAGGUAAUAACGCAAGUCUACUAUGCAUUUCAUGUUUAUUACCCAAUCUACUUGACUAACCCGUAGGUUAAACCCUCGACUCACUCUCAAUCUUAUAGGUGAGGAGAAGCUGCACUCGCACACCGAGACCGUCUGCGGGACAACUACGUCUGCCCCUAGUGAAGUACUCCGGAGACUUGUGCUUCGGUGGAGCGACCACCGACAAGCGAAAACAGACUAGUGAGUAUGAUCCAAUCCUCUCAAGAGGAUACCCUAUCAACAAGGGUCAGAGUGUCUCUGCUGCACCAUAUACAAUGCAUCCUAGAUGCCGGGAUCUCUACUGUCCUAAGGACCAUGUCAUGUUUACUAUACUAGACUCGAUGCCACUCGUUUAGUCAUUGUAGUAAUGUUCUUUAACUAGUUGACAUGCCACUCGUCCAAUUAGUGUUUCUACUACACUAGUUCAAUGCCACUCUACUAGGCUAUCAUAUGUCCAAGUUCGGCUCUUUAUGUCAUUAUAGGAUUUCCAUGUCGCAAGACCCAAUCCUCAUGCUACCCUAGUCCAUGAGUCCAACUCAUAGUUACACUACUAAGAAGCAUGCAAGGAAUUAGAAUUUGCAACUAUCUACUAAUCCUAUAAUGCAAUAUGAUCAAGCAUAUAUAUAACUUAGACAUAAAAAGAAACCCGGAUGCUUCGGGAUGACACCCCCCACCUCUUGAGGGUACAAGGGUUCUAGAAAUGCCCUCGAACGGACUUUACGACGAGGCUUUAGCCUUCUUGGUCCAAAUGAAGCUUGGCCGGUCUUGUUUUGCCAAUAUCCUUUCACCCGCUUGACAAAUGAAAAAUCCGACUUCGCCUCUGCAUUUAGACACCUAGCAAUUAGGUUAGAGGAGGGUCAAAUGAGAUCAAUCCUCUACUUUUCCAAAAACCCUAAUUUGUGUGCCCUAGGGUUAGCACUAUGCAAACCCACUUCAAAACCUUAGGUUUCUAGCUCUAAUCCCACCAUUCAUGGUGCUAGAGAUCCAUUUGGCCUCAUCCCAAAGCCAAAACCCAAAAACCCUAAGUUUCAUAAGCUAGGGUUGGAAGCUUACCUCUAUGCUAGCUUCAAAGAGAGAAGAGAGGAAGAGGGAGAUGUCCAAAGCUUCCUCUAGCUUGAUCUCCUUCUUCUUCUCCUUCAUUUUCUUCCUUCUUUUCUUCUCAUUCUUCUUCUUCCUUCUCCCUUGUUCUCUCUCUUCUAGAGAGAGAAAGGGAGAAAGAGAGUGUGAGAGAAUGAGGGGGAAAUGACAGGGAAUGAGAGAGAGGAGGGGACCCAUACACCUCAUAUUGUAACAAUAUCCCAACAGCCCCCUCAACUUUUGCCUCUAUGCACUGCCUUUACUGGGCAUUCUGCGCGCGGAGGGACCGAUCUCCCCGACCUGGGACCGGUCCCCGAGAGCGGGAUUUUCAAGACUUAGCCAAAUUUCUGGCUUUCUCGCUGGGUUCGCGUUCGGGGACCGUGUAAUAUAUGGCAACUUGGAGUUGCGAUGUCAACUUUGAUCUAGGGGAUCAAAGUGAGGAUUGAGCUAGUUGGACAUCAUCCCCGAGUGAUUUGUGAUGCGUGUGAAUGAAUUCUGGAGAUAAAUAAGUAUUUCGGCACAAAUUGGGCGCGAAACAAAAUGUAAAGAAAAUUUACGGAUUUCCGACGCUAACUUUGAUUAAAAGAAUUAAAGUGAGCAAAAUAAUAUAAAAAUGGUGUGAGAUAAUAUUUUAUUAAACUUAAGGGUGUAAAAUAUAAGUUUGGAAUGACUCGUGUUGGAAUCGGAGCGAAAACAGAAGAUUUAGAAUUUUCUGUAAAGAACGGGACUGAUAAAUUAGCAGAAAAUGCACAGUGUCAGAAAAUUAUGAAAACUGGAGGAGAUGUCAGAAAUAUUUUUAUGAGGCUAGAUUUGAAGUUUUAUAUUAUUCUGACACUUGUAGAGAGAAAAAUAGCAUCCGAAAGUUAUCUGAUAAAGAUUAUAGUUCGGGACAGUUUGCAGUGACCAAACAGGGUCGGAACUGAAAUGUUAAAAUUUUUUUGGACUUAUUAAGUAAAACCGGACAUGGCUGUCAAAUUUGAGCGCAAAUAGACAUUCAGAAGGGCUCCAAUUAAAUGUAUCAGACUAGAAUUGGGCUAAGUGAUAAUAAUUGAUGAUUUGUGGACCUAAAGGCAAUUGUUACAUUGCUUACAAGGACUUCCACUAGGCUGCCAGGGGACUUCCAUUCUUAUCCUCUCCCUGUACGCAUGAGAGAGAGAGUGAAAGGAAGAGAAAAGGGAAUAGAGAGAAGAAGAAGAAGAAAGUAACAAAUUUUGGUGCCGUUUGUCGUUUGUCGAGCCGAUCGAAACGCCGCGCAUCGGAUUUUUAGCAUUUCGACAUUCGGGUUAGUAUUAUAAUAUUAUUAUAAUUUCAAACCAGAUUUUUUGGUGGAUUCUUGAUAGUGGAUGUUCGGAGAGGUCAUUUUGAUGGAUCUAUGUUGAAUCUAUGCUAAAAUUGAAAUUUAGAAAUCGAUUUCUAUGUGAUUUAGGAGCUGAUUUUGCGAGCGUUUCGUCGACGGAUUUUUCCGUGAGUUUCGGAUUGUUGUGGCUGCCAUGCGGAUUGGGUUUGGGCUGUUAGGUAAUUCCAGAGCAAGGUAAUAAUAUGCUGUUCUUUUGCUAAAGAAUUUAGAUGUGCAUGUUAACAACCUGCAUGUAAGCUUGGAUUAGUUGUAUAUAUGGUUAUAUGAAGUCUGGGGUGAUGUGAAGUAGGUAGGAGUGAUCAUGACAGAAAGCUAAUUUCUUAUACUCUUAAAUAGUGGGUUCAUGUUCUUGAGUUAUUGGAGUUCUGAAAAUCUGAAGCUUGCUUUUGUUAUGUAACCUGGAAAAAGGCUUCAUAUGUACUAGUACUAUGUGUACACUUUAAUAGUUGGGAAUUAAAGAAGCUAUCAUGCAGAUUUUAAUUAAGAGGUUGAUGUAAAAUCCUCUAAACUAAUUUGUUUGAGGUUCAUGGGGAAUUAAGGUGAAUUAACCUAUAAUUCCUGGUUAAGACUUGGGUUUGUUGAAGACUAAGGCAUAUGCUGCCAUGAAGACUAGAGAAGAGCUUUAUGUUGAACCUAAACCUGAUAAUGCUAACUUGUAGGUUCGGAAGCUUAGCUCGGAAUUGAUCACCUGUCAACCUAAUUGGGGGUAAAGCGAACGCGUUGGAAAACUCGGAUCGACGUUCCGACGAGUCUACGGCACGCUAACGAGGAAAACCUCCUUUUAGCCUAAGUUAUUGCGAGCAAGGAUUGUGAUCAUUCGUAAAGUGCGGCAAGUGGAAUUUUGGCAUUCCAAUAUCAAGUAAAGGUGGGUUGUGCUUUACCGAAGUGAUUAGGUCACUUCCAUGCCAAAGUAAAGUAUAAUUAUUUUGACGCAUACAUGUAUAGUGGUAGAUUGUGAGUAAUAAUAUGAAAGCUUAAAUCGUAUUGUAUCAAUCAUUGUUAUCUACCAUUAGAAUAUGCAUGUCAAUAUCUUGUGGAUAAUACCCGAUGAUGCAUGAAUAUGAACAUAAUGUGAGCCUGUUAGAAUCAUACAAGCAGAAUAUGGGUCGAUAACUCUAAAUUGAUUAGAGAAUCCGACAGUUACAAAUGAGAUUGUGUAAGCAAUAAUCCUAGAUAUGGACAAUUAGGAUAAUACAUAGAUGUUAGAGCAUAUAUGAUUGUUGACAUAUUAUGAUAAUCGACAUAUGAAUAUGAAUGCUAGUUGCAUAAGAUUAAACAUGUAUGAAAGUGAAUGCUAGAGACAUAUGAAUAAAUACUUAUGAAUGUGAAUCUCAUGCUAGAUGAUAUAUGAUGAUUGUCAUAUGACGAACAUACUAGACGCAUACGAAUGCAUUGUAGUUCAUGCUAAAUGCAUAGGAAUGUCGGUAUAUGAACAUAUGAAUGAUAAAUGAUAUAUGAAUGUUGAUACAUAGACUAAAGUCAUGUAAAUUGAACAUGAAACGGGUAAACUAUAAUCGUAGACGUGGAUAACUAGGAUAAUAAAUAGAUCGAGUGGCAUGAACCUAGUGUUAUUAAACAUAGGUUGGACAUGGAAUGAACCUAGUGUUAUUGAACAUAGGUUGAAUUAGUAAACCUAGAGUCGAAAUCUAGGUGAAAGAACAUGAAACCUAGUGUAAAUGAAUCUAGGUUAUGAGGUGUAGUGACACUUAGUAAAAUUGAACUAAGUUAUGAAUUAUAGUGGUAGUAGGACCACUAGAAAUUGAAUGAUAUAGACCUUGGAAGGUCGUCAGCAUAGGGUAAGUGAUUAAACCCUUAAGUUGUGAAAGUGGGUUCCGGAAUCCAGUGCUGUUGGCAUAAAGUGAAUCAGAACUACGGGAUCGACGGUUCUCCUCUCCCAGUAGUGAUUCAACGGGAUCGAUGGUUCUCCUCUCCCGGUAUGCUAGGAAACAAGUGAAUCAGAACUACGGGAUCGACGGUUCUCCUCUCCCGGUAGUGAUUCAACGGGAUUGACGGUUCUCCUCUCCCGGUAUGAGCUCAACGGGUUUGACGGUUCUCCUCGCCCGUUCAGCUCGAGCGACUUAGGGUCACGGGGAUCGACGGUUCUCCUCUCCCUGUGAUGGACCUAGUGUCGCGUGGACUUAAGGCUGAGGUGCUUGUGAAAUAUCCUUCACCUCGAGCCUGACUUGACGCGGUACUCCUGGGUUGAUUGACUCAAGACCGAGUCGAGUGGCUAGAUGGCUAAGGUAAAAUAACUUUAAGAAAGAAUCGCCAGUGGGCAUAAUAUGAUAAAGAACAGAAAAUAAAGAAUAAAGAGAGUAGCUAAUGAACGUGAAUAGCUAAUAAAGAAAAGAACGGCUACAAGUAAAAAAUGGUUAAUGAUAUAAAGUAGAAUCAAGUAAUCUACUUGCAUGAUUUACAGGUAUUGCAUAUUGCAAUACAGUUGCGAGGCAAGGCAUGGUUUUACUUAUUUGCAUACAUAGUCAAAUAUAUGUCUAUCUGUUUAUUAAACUAACCUGCAGUUGCCUCCUUUGGACCUGGUGGGUCGAGCUCUUCUCUUGGGUGGCCGUACCCACUGGGAACUAUAUUUAUAUAGUUCUCACCCCCGUGUGGUUUUUGGGGGUACAGGUUCGCACGCGAGCGGCGGAGCGGCGCGAGGACAGGGCGUAGCUUCGUAGAUAGCGCCCUACCACCGAGACCAGAGAUAGCAGUACCCUGAAGCAGUCUAGCUCAGAGUUCAGGUUGAAAGAAACAAAUUUGUAGUAAAUUGUAUAAGUUGUAAAUUGGAUAAAGAUUUAUGUAAUAACAUAAAGGCAUUUGUAAUAUUCUAAAUGUAAAAUCUGUGAGAUGAAUGCUUGUAAUAGCAUAGCUAGCAUUUUAUAUUUUUGAUACUUAUACAAUCUAUGUUUGAAUGAUGUUCCUAGUUGGGACCUCUUCUAUUGUAUCAUAUGGAUUGUGACGCCUAGGACGUACAGGGAAAGUUCUGUCCGUUCGGCGGCCUGUCGGCAUGCCCGAAUCUGACCAAAUUGGCGGAGCUCGGGGCGUGACAGAUUAAGUGGUAUCAGAGCAUAAAAAGAGUAAUAGAAACGGUUUAGAUGGACCUAGGAGACCUAGGAUAGUAAACCGUAAGGAUUUAUAGUCGUGAGAGACGAGGACUUGUGACGUGUGGCGAAAGAUAAAUCGAUUGGGUCAAGUUUAGUAAACCUCUAAGACGGAUAUUAGAGGUAGAUUCAAGGUUCAGUUUAUUCUCAGCCAAGUGAGUUCAUGUUGGGUCGACACAACAUGAAACCGAGGGAUGGGAAUAAGCUUCCUUGCAUGACUUUCGCCCGAUUUGAGUCGGUAUUAAUUAUUUCGUAUUUGACCCAGAGGGUCGAGGACUAACUGAAUUGUCGUGUUUCAGGAAGCGAUGGCACCGCGUAGGCGAUCUUCGUUUAGAUCGGCGCAGGAUGGGACAGAUGGUGUCCCUGAGCAGACUGAGGCGAGCGGAGACUUGGAGCUUCGCGAUCAGUUGGCCACACUCGUGGGAGUGGUGAGGCAACAAGUGGAUGUAGUGCAACGUCAGCAGGACGCUGCUCUGCGCCAAGAUGAGUGGAUUAAGAGACUCCAGGAGACGGUGGAUCAGUUAGUGACCGCACUAGUUUCGGCUCGUCGUGUACGGCCGGGAGUCGCGACGGAGGCAUUUCCGUCGGGGUCAGGUAAUCCGAUUGCUGUUAGUUCAGAAAUGAAAGCUGAAAGGGAGCGAGCUUUGGCGGCUCUUAUGACCUUUAAGAAGUUUGAUCCGCCUACUUUUGAUAGAGAAGAUAUAGACCGGUGGACCGUAGAGUUGUGGAUCGACUCCAUGGAGACUUUGUUUGAGGAUUUGUACAUUGUGGAGCGGGACAAGGUACACUUAGCCGUACAUUGUUUGCAACGGUCAGCGAAGGUGUGGUGGAAAGACAUCAAACGGAAUCGAUCGCCUAGUCUUCCUUCUAUGGUUUGGGAAGAGUUUCGGGAAUUAAUGCGUUCAACUUAUUUCCCCGAUAGUGAAAAGAGGAAGCUUCGGGACAGGUUUCAGAAACUACGGCAAGGAGACCGCUCUGUGAGGGAAAACGAAUGGAGUUUUCCCGUAUCGUGAGCUGUGUUCCGAACAUGGUACAAGGUGACAAGGAUCGAGUUGAUUGUUUUGUACGAGGACUUCGGCCUGAUAUUUUCACAGCGGUGCAUAAUCUUAAAUUGCAGCCUUUUGCUGAAGUUUUGGAUCGGGCCCUAUGGAUAGAGCAAGGCAAUGCUUUCGUGUGUGAAGAGCAUGAGUCUAAGAAAUGUAAGCAAGGAGGGAUGAGGCCACUAACAGAUAAUUCAAAUGAACAGUCAAGUUCUGGACACCACUCGACAUCGUCCUCUACCCGAUCAUCUCCAAGAUGUGUGAUUUGUGGUGGUUCCCACUGGGCACGACGUUGCGUGCAGCGGGAAGGAAAGUGCACUCGAUGUGGACAACCGGAUCAUCCAGGUUAUGAGUGUCCGCGAGGCGAUAGCCAAGCCUUGACGCUGGCGACAGCAUUUUCCUCUCCGGGACAGCCUGCGGGUGUGCCACCUGCGGUACGGUCUGGAGGGCGACUGAGGAUAAGGCAACCGAGGGGUUCGCGACGGGCAGCAAGUGGCCGUGGAUAGGCGACCCAUGUGGUGAAACUUGCUGCGACUGGUAGCAAUGUGGCAGGUAUGAGUUAAUUACAGCAAGCAUGUUUUCUGCAUUAUGUAAGUUUCAUGCAUUGUAUGCAUUGAUUAGGUGAUCUGUCCCUACUAUUUAUGCCUUAAUAUAGUAGUGAUCAAGUGAACGGAUAAGUGUUAAUGCCGGGUAUGCUUGUGUGUGGGAAUGUAAUACCUGCUGGAGCAAGUAGAGAGUCUGAGAGCACUAGCAAAUUGCUUGUGAUAGCCUGUGGAUAAGAGGUGAGAUUCGCGAUAGAAAUGGUGAUGACGAAUUAAGUUUCAAAGCAAUGCGAGUUGCUGAUUGCGAGAGUCUAGUCGCAAUGUUCGUGGAACUCUUGUGAGACCGAGCGUUUUGCAGAUUGUUCCAGUAGAUCGAACAGUGAAAGUAGAAUCGCUGUUGAAGAAAUGAUCGGUUAGUGGUCAAGUGCGUGCACAAGGACCCAGUAGUACCUCGGAUUGAGGUAAGUGGGUCGUGCUCGUGUAGUCGGUGUGCAUAGGCAAGAGUUGCCUAAUGCUAGACCUAGUAUGACACGCGAUAGAGUCGUGUAGAGCGCUCGAGUGUAGGUGCUCAUAGAGUGUAGAUUUGAUUCAGCCGUGAGUGAGUUGGCAGUAGCACGUUAGCAUUGCUAAGUGUGAAGCGUGCCAGAGGUCACUCGUAGGGCUGGUGGCUCGCACUAGGUGCGUAGGAGCCGGUAGUGUUGUGUGUCACUCGGUAGCACGCGUCGUGUAAGACGACAAUUGUGGAUAGUGCUUGGUGACGACCCGUGCCUGGACCCUUUGUGGACUGUGGAGCCUAGGCCCAUUGGGCAGGCGUAGUCAGCUGCGAGAGGCAGCGGCCCGGUACCUACGGGUAGGGCAGAGAUUUGGUCAGGACGGUAGUCCGAGCUUGGAUCGGUAACAUGGUAGGUCAUGUAUUGGAUCGUGUUGUUGGUAGUAUGCCGGAAAGCCAGAUUUGACCUAACCCUAGCAAAUUAAAUUGCUCCCAGUUGGAGCAGGUAUGCGAUGUCUCAAAUGAGAACUAUGUCUCGUGAUAAUUGGGUCUACGCUUGCGAGCGAGAGACGUUGAGUUAAGUGAUAGGACUAGCAAAUCACCGAUCCGAUUUGCGAACAGAUCUGUGGUAAUUGAGACAAGUAGUUUACCCAUGUGCAUUGGAAGUAAGUGUUUUGAACAUGUCCAAGUGAAGGAUAAUGUAUAGGGACCGUGAGAGCGAAGGCUCGGUCCUGUGGACUAUUUAGUCAAAAUUGCUAAGAUAAGCAUCGAUGAUGAGCUGAGAUUGGAAACGCGAACAAAGUGUUCGUAGAGAAUGAUUCGGAGAAAUCAGGGUAACAUAGAAUGAAAUUCAGAAGCUACGGAAGAAUGUGAUUUUACAUGUUGAUGAUUGCUGGAACUUAUCUCCAUCCGUUGAGUAAGUGAGGAGCAAUAAGUAUCUAAGUUUCGCGGACGAAACUUUGGCUAACGGGGGGAGAUUGUAAUAUAUGGCAACUUGGAGUUGCGAUGUCAACUUUGAUCUAGGGGAUCAAAGUGAGGAUUGAGCUAGUUGGACAUCAUCCCCGAGUGAUUUGUGAUGCGUGUGAAUGAAUUCUGGAGAUAAAUAAGUGUUUCGGCGCAAAUUGGGCGCGAAACGAAAUGUAAAGAAAAUUUGCGGAUUUCCGACGCUAACUUUGAUUAAAAGAAUUAAAGUGAGCAAAAUAAUAUAAAAAUGGUGUGAGAUAAUAUUUUAUUAGACUUAAGGGUGUAAAAUAUAAGUCUGGAAUGACUCGUGUUGGAAUCGGAGCGAAAACAGAAGAUUUAGAAUUUCUGUAAAGAACGGGAUUGAUAAAUUAGCAGAAAAUGCAUAGUGUCAGAAAAUUAUGAAAACUGGAGGAGAUGUCAGAAAUAUUUUUAUGAGGCUAGAUUUGAAGUUUUAUAUUAUUCUGACACUUGUAGAGAGAGAAAUAGCACCCGAAAGUUAUCUGAUAAAGAUUACAGUUCGGGACCGUUCGCAGUGACCAAACGGGGUCGGAACUGAAAUGUUAAAAUUUCUUUGGACUUAUUAAGUAAAACCGAACAUGUCAAAUUUGAGCGCAAAUAGAUAUUCAGAAGGGCUCCAAUUAAAUGUAUCAGACUAGAAUUGGACUAAGUGAUAAUAAUUGAUGAUUUGUGGACCUAAAGGCAAUUGUUACAUUGCUUACAAGGACUUUUUUUCCAUUCUAGGCUUCCUAGUGACUUCCAUUCUUUAUCUCUCUUUUUUUUUCCUUUGUAUCGCUAUUGAGAGAUUGAAUGUAAUAUUAGCAUAUGAAUUGAAAAAAAAGAAGAAUAAAUUUUAAAUAAAUUUUUGUUGAACUUUUUGUUUGUCUUGUGACACUACGAUUUUUAAUUCUUUUUGCUUGCAUUUUUUUUUUUAUUUAUCUAUUCUAUUUUACAUUUUCGUUAAUAUUAUAUUAUUAUAAUUCAAACAAUUUUUUUUUUUUAUAUUUGAUUUUUUUCUUUUUUUUUUUUUUUCGAGUCAUUUUGAUGAUCUAAGUAUACUAUUACUAUCUAAAAUGAAUUUGUUAGAUUUUAUUUCUUAUUGUUUAUUAUGUUGUAUGUCUUUAUGGGCUUUUGUGUUCGUCUACUUUUUUUUUUUUUUUUUUUUUGUUAUUUUAUUUUUUUUUUUUUUUUUUUUUUUUUUUUUUGUUUUUUCUUUUUGUGAUCGAUUUUUGUUUUUGUUUUUCUUUUUUUCUAUUUUCGAUUGUUUGGUUUUCUAGGUUGUAAUUUCCAGAUGGCAAGUAAUUUAUAUUUUUUCUUUUCUUGCUAUAGAAUUUUUUUUUAUUUGUAUGUAUCAUACCUUAUUUCUUGAUAAUUUUAGAUAUAUGGUUAGAAAUCCGGGUUAUUGAUUAUGUUAAUUUAGGAGUGAUCAUACAGAACUUUUAUUGUUUUCAAUAAUCUUUUUUCUUAUACUCUAAAUUUUGGGUUAUUUCUUUUUUUAUUAUUUUGGAUUUCUUGGUUAAUAUUUUUUUAUAGCUUGCUUUUGUUUAUGUUAUUUAAUUUCUUUAAAACAGGCUAUUCAUUUAUUCUUUAUUCUUUUAUUUAUCAUAUAUUUAUGUUAAUUUUUAUAUAGAGUUUCUAUUCAUUUCUAUGAUUUUUAAUUUAAUUUUAGGUGAUGUAACAUCUCUGAAUACUAAUUGUUUGAGUCAUUUGUUAAUUAUAGCGUCGUAAAACAUAGCUAUAAUCUUGUUAAUUGUUACUGAGGUUGUUUGAAUGACUAAGGCAUAUUUCUGCCAUGAGACCUAGAGAUAUUAGCAUUUAUUUUGAUACUAAACUCCCUGAUAAGCUAACUGUGUACGUUCGUUUUUUGUAACUCUACUCGGAAUUGAUAACACAUGUCUAACCUAAUGGGGAAGCGACCGGUUGAAACUCGAUCGACGUUCCCGACAGUCUACGGCCAAUGCUUCGAGAAAAACGUCCUUUAGCCUAAGUUAUGCGACAAGAUUGUGAUCAUUCAUAAAGAUGCGCAAGUGAAUUUGGCCAUCCAAAUAGUAAGGUGGCUUUUCUACGGAAUGAAAGUACUUCCAUGCACAAGUAAAGUAUAAAUAUUUGACCAUCAGUAAAGUGUAGAAUUGAAAAUAUUAAAGCUUAAAUCGUAUUGAUCAAUACAUGUAUCUACUCAUUCAGAAAUAGAUGUCAAUACUGUGAAAUACCCCGAGAUGCAUGAAAUAUGAACAUAAAUUACCUCCUAGAAUCAUACAAGAAAUAUGGUCGAACUCUAAAUUGAAUUAAGAAUCCGACAUUAACAAAAAUUUGAAGCAUAAUCUAAAUAUGACAACUAGAAAUACAUAAUUAGAGCAUAUAGAUUGUAAAUAUUAAGAUACGACAUAAUACAAUGAAAUGGUAUGCAUAAAUUUAAAAUGUAAAAAUUGAAUGCCUAGAGACAUAUGAAUAAAUACUUAUAAUGAAUUCAUCUAAUGAUUAUGAUGAGUCAUAUACAACAUACUAGACGCAUAAGAAUCAUUAUUCAUCUAAAUGCAAGAAUCGGUAUAAUGAAACACCAUAGAUAAAGAUCAUAGAAUGUUAUACAUAGACUAAAGUCAUGUAAAUGAACAUGACGAUAAACUAUAAAUCAGACGUGAUAACAGGAUAAUAAAAACAAACAAGAAAAUAAAAACACAACCUAGUGUUAUUAAACAUAGUUGGACCGAAAAACUAGUUUAUUGACAUAGUUUGAAUAUAAACCAGAUCAAAAUCUAGGUAAAGAACAUGAAACCUAGUGUAAAUAAAUUAGUUAUAGGUGUAGGAACACAUAGUAAAGAUUAGAACUAAUUAUGAAUAUAGGGUAGUAGACCACUAGAAUUAAAUGAUAAAGCCUUGAGGUCCACAAGGUAUUGAUUAAACCCUAAGGGAAGUGGUCCGGGGAACCAGUGUGUGGCAUAAAAUGAAUCAGAACUACGAUCAGACGGUCCCUCUCACCCAGUAUGAUCAACGGAUCGAUGGUUCCACUCCGUAGCCAAAACAGUGAACUAAACUAACGGAUCGACGUCUCCCCCCUAUGAUUCAACAUGACAAGUCCCCCUCUCCGUAUGACCAACAGUUUGAACUUCUCCUCGCCUUCAGCUCGAUGACUAACACAUACCGUUUGGCUCGGGUAUAAAGGGGGAUAAGGGCAACCCCCCUUUAUCCCAAACAAAAAAAAAAGGUGAACAAGAUUUCCACUAAGUUGACAGGUACAACCUUAUGUCGGGUAACACUUACCCACCACGGGAGUUGAAAAGCGUCCCGAACUUUGUUCCGACCCACUGAUUAGAGAAAAAGAAAAGAAAUUAAAAUAUAAUUUUAUAAUUAUAACUAAUAAAUUACAAUUUUAAAUUUUAAAUUUGAUAUUUUUAAAUUUUAAAUUUUAAAUUUGAUAUUUUUAAGUUUUCAAAUUUUAAAUUUUAUUAAAGUUUAAAUUUUAAAUUUGUUAUUUUAUAUCUUUGAAAUUUAAAUUUGGUCUGAAAUUUAAAAUUUGAUAUUUAAAAUUAAUAUUUUUAAUAUUAAAAUUUAAAAUUUUAAUUUCUAAUUUAAAUUUAAAAGUUAAAAUUUAAAAUUUAAAAUUAUAAGUUUAAAAUUCAAUUAUAGGGAUAAUAUUAUUAUUUUCUAUUUAUAACUACCAACUAUUCCUCUUAUUCCCAAAAACCAUCCAAAUACAAUUUUUCUAGUUCCAGCUUAUACUCACAAUUUCAUCCAAACAAAAAAAUACCCUUAUUCCUACAAAAACUCAUACUUGUACCUAUCCCCGGUAUAACUAGUUCCUACUAAUUCCCGAUCCAAACGGAGCCUUAGGGUCACGGGGAUCGACGGUUCUCCUCUCCCUGUGAUGGACCUAGUGUCGCGUGGACUUAAGGCUGAGGUGCUUGUGAAAUGUCCUUCACCUCGAGCCUGACUUGACGCGGUACUCAACGGUUGAUUGACUCAAGACCGAGUCGAGUGGCUAGAUGGCUAAGGUAAAAUAACCUUAAAAAAGAAUCGCCAGUGGGCAUAAUAUGAUAAAGAACAGAAAAUAAAGAAUAAGAGAGUAGCUAAUGAACGUGAAUAGCUAAUAAAGAAAAGAACGGCUACAAGUAAAGAAUGGUUAAUGAUAUAAAGUAGAAUCAAGUAAUCUACUUGCAUGAUUUACAGGUAUUGCAUAUUGCAUAGCAUCGAUACAGUUGCGAGGCAAGGCAUGGUUUUACUUAUUUGCAUACAUAGUCAAAUAUAUGUCUAUCUGUUUAUUAAACUAACCUGCAGUUGCCUCCUUUGGACCUGGUGGGUCGAGCUCUUCUCUUGGGUGGCCGUACCCACUGGGAACUAUAUUUAUAUAGUUCUCACCCCCGUGUGGUUUUUGGUGGUACAGGUUCGCACGCGAGCGGCGCGGCGGCGCGAGGACAGGGCGUAGCUUCGUAGAUAGCGCCCUACCACCGAGACCAGAGAUAGCAGUACCCUGAAGCAGUCUAGCUCAGAGUUCAGGUUGAAAGAAACAAAUUUGUAGUAAAUUGUAUAAGUUGUAAAUUGGAUAAAGAUUUAUGUAAUAACAUAAAGGCAUUUGUAAUAUUCUAAAUGUAAAAUCUGUGAGAUGAAUGCUUGUAAUAGCAUAGCUAGCAUUUUAUGUUUUUGAUACUUAUACAAUCUAUGUUUGAAUGAUGUUCCUGGUUGGGACCUCUUCUGUUGCAUUAUAUGGAUUGUGACGCCUAGGACGUACAGGGAAAGCUCUGUCCGUUCGGCGGCCUGUCGGCAUGCCCGAAUCUGACCAAAUUGGCGGAGCUCGGGGCGUGACAGACCGGUCCCUCCCUGCCAGGAACCGGUUGCAUCAAGAAUCCCCGCAACUCCCAGUCUCGGGGACCGGUCUCUCCCUGCCAGGGACCGGUCCCCGAGAGCAACUUUUGCCCAGUGCAGGUUUUGCACUAUUUGCUCUCGUGGACUCGCCUCUAAGGCACCUUUGGUGAUUAACACAUUUUCGGCCUUUCCGAAGCUCACCAACAUGCCCUUUGGUCGAUUCUAAACGAAGUCUAACUCUUGUAUUUCAAGAAUUUACUUCCUUACAUCCUCCCCUCCUAAAAAGGGAGUUUCGUCAUCGAAACGAAUUCAUUAUCUUAAUCAGCUCAUACCUCAUUGCAUUUCUGUGAAAAGAUGAGGAUAAUGCACUUUCAUUGAUUCCUUGAGUUCCCACGUGGCCUCAUGAUCAUCGUGAUUGGUCCAACGAAUCUUCACGCAGGGAAUCUCACGAUUUCUUAACUUCCGCACUUCUCGAGCAAUGAUCAUCACCGAGAACUCCUUAUAGCUCAAAUCCUUUUGUAGAUUCGGCAGCUCGUAAUACAUAACAUGCUCGGGAUCGUGAACAUAUUUGCGAAGGUUGGAGACAUGGAACACGUUAUGCAAAUUCGCGAGCUUCGACGGUAAUGCGAGUCGGUACGCUACCGCUCCAACAUGUUUCAACACUUCGAACGGUCCGAUAAAUCGUGGACUUAGCUUUCCCCACACUCCGAAGCGUUUCACACCUCUUAUAGGUGAAACCUUCAAGAAAACGCGGUCACCUACAGCGAAUUCCAAAUCUCUACGGCGUUUGUCAGAAUAGCUCUUCUGCCUGGAUUGUGCCGUAAGUAAUCUCUCGCGAGCAAGACGGACCUUCUCUUCCGCCUCCCGUAAUACAUCGAGGCCCAAUGCCGCAGGUUCACCUACAUCGCUCCAACAUAUAAGGGAUCGGUACUUCCGUCCAUACAGGACUUCGAACGGUGCCAUCCCAAUGCUAGCUUGGUAACUGUUGUUGUAGGCGAACUCGGCCAUUCUCAAAUGGUUUGCCCAACUACCCUUGUAGUCAAUGACACACUUCCGCAACAUAUCCUCCAGAAUCUAUAUAGUCCUUUCUGACUGUCCAUCUGUCUGAGGAUGAAACGCGGUGUUAAAAUCGAGUCGUGUGCCAAGUGCUUCUUGCAGGCUUUUCCCAAAAAUGCGAAGUAAAACGGGGGUCUCGAUCUAACACGAUCGACUUCGGAACCCCGUGUAACCUCACAAUCUCAUCGAGAUAUACCUGCACCAAUUUCUUGCUCGACCAAGUGGUGUGAAUCGGUAGGAAGUGUGCCGACUUGGUCAGACGAUCCGCAAUCACCCAGAUCGCGUCGUGGCCACCCGUCGAACGGGGUAAUCCGACCACGAAGUCCAUAGCAACAUUCUCCCAUUUCCAAACGGGGAUAGGUAGACUUUGGAGCUUUCCCGUGGAAAUCGACGCUCAGCCUUCAUUUGCUUGCAUAUCAAGCACUGCACUACAUAGCGCCCAAUGUCUGCAUUCAUGCCCGGCCACCAGUACUGCAUCUUCAGAUCACGGUACAUCUUGGUGCCACCUGGGUGAAUACUAUAAGGAGUUCGAUGUGCCUCUUGCAAUAUUAACUUCCGGACCUCCUCAUUUUCCGGUACGCACUAUCGGUUUCGAAACCGAAGCGCACCCUCAACGUCUACACUGAAAUCACCGCCGUGUCCCCUCUCGAUGUCUCGUUGCACCUUUUGGAGAUUGGGGUCAGCAGGUUGCAAACUCUUAAUCUGCUCCAACAAGGUUGGUUGGACAAUAAGAGCCGUAAGCAUAGACGGGAUUUCCAGAGCUACCACCUCGAGAUCCAAUCGCUCCAUCUCUCUCCACAGUGGCUCCUGACGUGUGACCAAUAUAGCAAGAUUCUCCACUGACUUCCUGCUAAGCGCGUCGGCCACCACGUUUGCUUUUCCGGGGUGGUAUAGGAUUGUAACGUCGAAAACCUUUAAUAAUUCCAACCACCGCCACUGUCGUAUAUUGAGCUCCUUUUGUGUGAAAAGGUAUUUCAGGCUUUUGUCGUCCGUGUAUCUCUCGCAACGUGCACCAUACAAGUAGUGCCUCCAUAACUUGAGAGCAACCACCACUGCGGCCAACUCUAAAUCGUGGACAGGGUAGUUCUUCUCAUAGCUUUUCAACUGACGAGACGCAUAAGCGAUCAUCUUCCCGCCCUGCAUUAGAACACACCCCAAACCCGAUUGUGACGCAUCGCUAUACACCACAAAGUCUUCAUCUUGCACCGGUAAGGCGAGUACCGGAGUCGAAGUCAAUCUAUUCUUCAACUCUUGAAAACUCCGGUCACACUCAUCGCUCCACACGAACUUGGUGCCAUUCUGAGUCAGACGGGUAAGUAGAAUCACGAUCUUCGAGAAUCCCUCCACAAACCGUCUAUAGUAGCCUGCUAAACCCACGAAGCUUCGAACUUUCGUGACGUUAGUCGGGCGAAGCCAAUCCUUGAUCGUUUCCACUUUCCUCGGGUCAACAGAUACUCCACCAUCGGAAAUGACAUGCCCAAGAAAUGCAACCUUUCAGAGCCAAAAGUCGCAUUUCUUAAACACAGAUUCUCCUCCCGAAGGACUUGAAGCAUGAUUCUCAAAUGCUCGGCAUGUUCCUCGUCGCUACAAGAAUAGACCAAGAUGUCGUCUAUGAAGACCACGACAAAUCAGUCCAAGUACUCCUUGAAGACACGGUUCAUCAGUUCCAUGAACGCUGCUGGGGCGUUAGUAAGCCCAAACGGCAUGACUGUGAAUUCAUAAUGUCAUACCGUAUACGAAAUGCGAUCUUUUGAACAUCCUCCGGUUUGAUCUUAAGUUGAUGAUAACCGGAUUGUAGAUCAAUCUUUGAAUAAACACGAGAUCCUUGCAACUGAUCAAAUAAAUCAUUGAUCCUGGGCAACGGGUACUUAUUCUUGAUCGUGACCUUAUUCAACUUGCGGUAGCCUACGCAAAGUCGAAACGAUCCGUCCUUCUUUCGCACGAAUAGAACCGAUGCUCCCCACGGCGAUACACUCGGCCGUAUAAAUUCCUUGUCAAGGAGAUCUAUCAAUUGAGCCCGCAAUUCCUUCAAUUCUGCCGGCGCCAUCCGAUACGGAGCCUUCGAGAUAGGCGCGGUUCCUGGAUCCAAGUCUAUCACGAACUCGAUCUUCCGGUCUGGCGGCAUUCCCGGUAACUCCGCGGGAAAUACGUCUGGGAAUUCCCGAACCACAGACAGCUCCUCGAGUGCCGGAGUCGUCCUUUCGACUUCCACAACGGUCGCCAAGUAGGCUGUGCAACCGCCGUUAAUCAACUUCCUUGCCCUCGUCGCCGACACCAUAGCAGCGAAGCGCGAGCUUCUACAGGCCCGGUAGGUGAACUCCUCCUGACCCGGCUCUCGAAACGUUAUCACUUUAUUUCUGCAGUAAAUGGUCGCAUAGUCUUUGAGAGCCAAUCCAUUCCUAAAAUGACGUCGAAGUCUUUCAACUUCUUAAGCACCAACAUACGGAUGGGCAUUAUUCAGUCGCCUAACCGCACUGGACAAGCCGAACACUCCUUACGGACUAGAAAAUUUCAUCCGGGGCCCGAUACCCUCCAAGUGCUUUUACUAUCUUGUAAUUUUAUGUCAUGCAUUCGUGCAAAUGUCCUACUGAUGAAUGAAUGUGUAGCACCUGUAUCAAACAUAGCCCUGGAGCGAACUCCAUUAAUUAAAACCAUACCUGCAAGUACAUGGCGAUCCUCUGUCUCAACAGGUUCCUCGCCGAACGAACAAGGUUUUCUCUGUACCGCGGACAGAGUCUCCCCUUUACGUCCAAGGCGUCACAAUCCAUACAAUGCGCGAGGUUCCAACCAUGAACAGCAUACAAUAAAGAUUGCAUAAGGAAAGUAUCACAAACAUAAAUACUAUGCCAUUACAAGCAUUCAACUCACAUAUUACAUUUUACAUCACAUUCUACAUUCUUUGAUUCUUACUUCCAAAUAUAAUCCAAUUCUUACAAUAUUAUUACAACUUGGUUCUUUUCAUUUUUCAUAUCUCUAAGUAGCUGACGCAGGGUACCGCUAUCUGGUCUCGGUGGUAGGGCGCUAUCUAUGGAGCUAUGCCCUUUCCUUGCGCCGCCAUGCCGCUCACGUGUGAACCUGUACCCCCAAAAACAAUACGGGGGCGAAAACUAUUGUCCAUAGUUUUCAGUGGGUACGGCCACCUAAGAGAAGAGUUCAACCAACCAGGUCCAAAGAAGGCACUGCAAACAUGUUAGUCCAACAAAUACCACAGAUAUAUAAUUUAUGCAACUAACAAUUUUCAUGUUCAUGCCUCACAAUAUGGAAUAUGCAAAUCAUGCAAUUCAUGCAAGUAGAUUAAUUAAUUCUACUCUUUAUUCUUAGCCAUUCUUUACUAUUAGCCAUUCUUUAUUGCUAAUCAUUCUUUACAUUAUUAUUCGUUCAUGAUUACUAGCCAUUUUUUAUUAUUGCUAUACUUUAGCAUUAGCCGUUCUUUAUUCUUUAUUCCUUACUAAGGGUAUUCACACCUCGGCCAUAUUAUACAUAUCUGCCAUUCUUUCCUAAGGUUAUUUUACCUUAGCCAACUAUGCCACUCGACUCGGUCUUGAGUCAAUCAACUGCGGAUAAUCCGCGCUCUGUCAGGCUCGAGGUGAAGGAACUAUCACAUGCACCUCAGCCUUCCAAUCCACAAACCACAUCGCCCAACGGGUCGCUCAGAGCAGCGCACACCCACGAUCAGGGAUCUUCCCUGUGGGAGGGGAAUAUGCCACGCACCCGCGGCCCAAGACCCCCGAUAGGGAGGGUAAUAUGCCACACGCACCCUAGCGAUCCAAGAUUCUUCCGGUGGAAGGGGAAUAUGCCACACAGCCCCCGCGGCCAAGAAUCAUCCGUAAGCCUAUCCUCGAAGUUCUUCCGGUGGAAGGGGAAUAUGCCACACCCACCCGCGGCCAAGAACUGUCGAGCUCAUAUGCUGCACUAGCAGCCGCUGCACUCGCAGCCGGGAUUCCGGAAUCCACUUUCCAUAGCUCAAGGGUUGGUCUCACCCUAUAGUGUCGACCUAUCUAGGUCCAAGCCAUUACUCAACCUAAGUUUAAUACAUUAGGUCCAAUGUCACUAUGUUCAUAGCCUAGGUUCACUUGACUCUAGGUUCAAUGUCACUUGUGUCAUAACCUAGGUUUACCUCACUCUAGGUUUGAUUCUUAACCUAUGUUCAAUGACACUAGAUUUCAAUGCCAUUCACAAUACUUGUCAUCCUAAUUAUUCAGACUUAGGAUUCUUAAUUGACAUGCCACACAAUGUUCAUAUUUUUCUAGUUGUCCAUACCUAGGAUUCCUAGUUGACAUUUACAUCUAGGCAUACAUAUCUUUUAUGCUUACUCAUGCCUAUGUCUUUAUCAUUCAAUGGUAAUCAACAUGUCUCAUGCAUUCUUUAUUAGCAUAUAUGUAUCAUGCAUUCAUCAUUAGUAUAUAUCCCAUACAUUUCUUAGCAUACAUCUUAUACAUUCAUUUAGCAUUUAGCCCUUACACUCACUUAACAUACAUUCUAUGCAUUCUUUAUUAGCCUCUACUUCAUGCAUUCAUAUAGCAUCUCAUGCACAUGCCUAGGUUCUUAUCAAAGUGGUAGUCAAUAUACAUUUUAGCAUACAACUCAUGCAUUCUUUAACAUCUAUCUCUUGCCUCAUGCAUUCAUAAUUAGCAUCUUUAUCAUGCAUUCAUAAUUAGCAUGUAUCUCAUGCAUCAUUUACAAUGUGGACUACCAUUACUUGCAUUCAUUACUAGCACAUAUGUUAUACUUUUAUUUAGCAUUUAACUCAUGCAUUCACUCAACAUAUACUCUAUACAUUCAGUAGCAUCUAGCUCUUGUUAAUUAUUUAGCAACUAGCUCAUGUAUUUAGCAUCUAGUUCAUGCAUUAUUCACUUGGUAAUUAACUACCACAUCAUGCAUCAAUAAUGAGACAUAUACCACUUUGGCAUGGAAGCGACCUAAUCGCUUCGGUAGAGCACAACCCACUUGUAAUGCUCUCCGAUUGCUUGUAGUCACUUGCAAUCGGGCUCCCGCGGCACACGUGAUCCGAUUCGGCUUCAACUCGCGAUUGAUCGCCGAACGCCAACAAUCCGCAACGUAGGGUCAUCAAAGGCUCAUCUCUAAACUUUAAUUAGAAAACAAUAGGGUUAAAUGAGAUCAAAACCCUCAUUUACCCAUAAUCCCCAUUUUCUAAGCCUAGUGUCACGCCCCGCCCCGAAACCACUACCAAUUUGGCACGAUUCGGGCGCCGCGAGCGGACCGCCGAACGGACAGCACCUCCCCUGCCCGCCCAAGGCUCACAACAAGAAUGUGUACAAGAAUUUUUCAGAAAUUUAAAUUCUAAAUAUACACAUUCAACGGGGCACGAAUAGUGCCAGCAACUACAAGAGCAAGCAAUCCACAGGAAUAACAUGUGAAAUAAAGAGAGUACUUUACUAACUAUUACAAUAGUUCAUUUACAUCAUUUUCUUUAAAUGAUUACAUCAUUCAUCCAAAAUACAUAGCUCUCCAAGUCCUCACCUACAAUGAAUCUUUCUCAAUACAUAGGUGUACUAAUGCAAAAAGGAAAGCUACUAUACUACCACGGUCUCACUAAUCGGGCGCGAUGCCCUUGCCGCGGUCCUCCCUCGGCAGCCCUGUACCUACCACUGAAAAUAGAGUGGGGUGAGAACUAUCUUUCAUAGUUCCCAGUGAGCUCGGCCGCCGACUCUGUCGGUCUCCUCAUUAGGUCCAAGUGGGCACAAGUAACAACAGAUAGAUUGUCACGUCCCGCUAUCGCCAAUUUGGUUGAUCCGGGCCCGUACACAGACGCCGAACGGACAGAACUUCCUCUGUCCGCCCAAGGCUCAACAACAACGAGUACAUGUAUAAAGAAAUAAACAAUUCCCAGGAUAACAUUUCAAUAUACAUGGCUUGCACGAGGGCAAGCAACAAGCACAAGUGAUAGUAAGCCUAGCUAUACUGAAAAUUCACUGUAAUUUAAAACUUUUAAACUGAACUUUACAUAACUGAAUAACUGAAACAUUUAGUUAUUUACAGCUUUAUAAUACAUUCAUUUACAUGUCUCUGUACAUCAAAAUGUCUCACUUGAACUCAAAAUGGUAUACCACUAAACACUGGUGUCUGCUAGCUAGGCUGCAGGGCUCUUGCCGCGAUCCUCGACCACAAUGCUCGCACUGGAACCUGUAUGGUUAGUGGUGUGAGAACUACUAAAAGUUCCCAGUGGGUUCGGCCGCCGACCUCGCCGACUCACCCACUAGGUCUAUUUAGGCAUACGCAGGCAAAAGAAGUAAACAGAUAGUAACCAACUAUAACAUGUAACUACUACAAUGCCUGUACAAAGCUGAAGGAAGCAAUAUAUGAAAACUGUAAAUAUGCAUGCAUGCUUUUACUGAAUUUACCCAAUCUUUUGGUUAACCUUUUGGUUAACAAUAACUCACUGACACUAUCCCAAAUAUCGGGGAGACGCAAGCUACACCCGAUGGGACUGUCAACUGGGGGAGACGCACCUCCUGGUCCAGUUAAGAUGACUACUCCGGAGUUCAUCGUUCAAGGAGGAGCGACCUACCUUGAACCAAACGAAUGUAAGUAUGAUCUGAUCCUUCUUUAGAGGAUUCAACAAUAGACAAUGUCACACUUUGACUCCAACUAGCUCUUUAUGCUGGUUUCACAAUUCCAUUUCUCGAUGCUAACCAAAUCUCUAAUUAGAAUGUCACCAAGUUUACUAUUGUUAUAGUCCAUGCAUUCAUAGGGUUCUAUGUUCACAUUCUAUUGUUCACAUAUUCUCAAGGUUGAUAAGCAUUUGUAUAAUCAAAUAUCAUUUACAUAAUAUCAAUACCCUACAAUGCAUGAUUACAAUGUAAAUAUGCUCAAUGAAUUAUCAUUGACAUAAAAGGUGAUUCAAAGAUUUCGGAUAGCACCACCCACCUGUAGUGGUGUCAACAACUAGAAUCCACGUCUCGAACUGUGCCAACAACAAUAUCACACGACUCAAUGCAAUUAGAGCCGAAUUGGCUUCUACUGUAAUUAGUACGUCGCCGACCUGUCGGAAUGUCAAUUUAGACUUUCGAGCAAGUUUAACUUUCAUUUAUAAAGGAAUAAAAGAGAUUAAACUUAAGUUAUACUCCUAUUCUAACAAAACUUGCAUUUCACUUCAACAUACAUAUAUAUAUGUAUAGUGUUAAGGCCUCUAUACAUAUACUCUUUUAUUCCAUUCUUUUACGCAGCAGUUUUAUUUAUUCUAAUGCAGAACUUCAACCUUACUUAAUUCAGUUUCCAUUUCAACACUAAGCAUAUAUACAUUCAUACGUAUAUACAUGUACAUAUACAUUUAUAUGUACAGCUUGUUCACAUUCCACCACCUUAUAUUAUAUAGAACUUUCACAUUAAUUACUUUUCACCCAAACUAGUCCACUUGACAUCAACAUAGAGCAUUCUCUAGAUUCAUACAGUCAAAUAGGCAUUAGCAACUUAGAAAUUCUAAGUUAGACAUUUUGCUCUAGGUUUCACAUGGCACUUAGAGGCUUAACAAUCAUAAUCUAUCAUUCAAACUCUUCCCUAAUUUAAACACAAUAACAUUAAGUAGGNUACACUAGGUUAUCAUUUAGAAAGCAUAAGGAAUGGAGCUACUAUGCAAUCCUACAAUGCAACAUGUAAAAGAUGAGAUUAAAUGCAAUCUAAGACAUAGAAAGGAGUUCGAAAGCUUCGGGAUGGCACCCCCCACCUUUUAUCGAUGUAGAGGCUUGGAAAUUCUUCUCGGCGAACCUUACGAAAUGGCUUUAACCUUCCUUGCCCAAGACAAUGCUAAUUCGGCCCUAUUUUGCCGAGAACUUCACGCCGGCUCGCCGAAUGCUAAAACCGACUUCGCCCCCGCGUUUUGUGACCUAGCAAUUGGGUUUCCAAGGCAUCAAAUAAGAUCAAUCUCAUACUUUCACAAAAACUCCAUUUUGGAGCCCUAGGUUUGCACCUAUAGCAAACCACCAAUAAAUCCCUAGAUUCUUGGGAUUGAUCUACUUAGAAGCAUGCUUAGGAUCUAUUUGACCCAUUCCAAAGCAUCAAAACCCAAAACCCUAAGUUCUAGAAGCUAGGGUUUAGUAGCUUAGCUCUAGAGCUACUUCAAAGAGAAUAUGAGAAGGAGAUGAGGGUGUCCAAAGCCUUCCUCUUGAUCUCCUUCUUCUUCUCCUUCUUGUUCUUCUUCUUCCUUUUCUUCCUCUCCUUCUUGUUCUUCUUCUUCUUUUCCUUUCUUUUCUAGAGAGAGAGAGAGAGAAAAUAUGAGAGGGAGAGAGUGUGAGUGAGGGUGAGAGAGGAAGAGAGCUCAGCCCCUCUAAUCCCCCCUACUAAUGCCAUUUUGCAUAAAAACCCCUCAACUUUUAAUCCUAUACACCGCCCUUACUGGGCAAAAUUCGCGCGGAGGGACCGGUCUCCCCAACUUGGGACCGGUCCCCGAGGGUCUCCCUCGGGCGCACGCGUUCGGGAACCGGUCUCUUCCCGGGAGACCGGUCCUUGGGAGACCGGUCCUCACCUGAGAGACCGGUCCCCGAGAGCUCGAUUUUUAGGACUUAGCCAAAUUUCGGCCUUUCUCGCGGUUUUCACCUACAGGAACCGGUCCCUCCCAGCUCAGGGACCGGUUGCAUCAAGCAACCCCGCGACUGUAGCUACAUGGACCGAUCCUCCCCUCCAGGGACUGGUCCCAGAGAGCAAAAUCUGCCAAGUCCAGAUUUUUGCUUAUUUGCUCUCGCGGACUCAACUCCAAAGCACUUUUUGUGUUUUGGACAUUUUCAACUCGCACAAAGGGUAUUCUCNCAACUCCAAAGCACUUUUUGUGUUUUGGACAUUUUCAACUCGCACAAAGGGUAUUCUCUCGACAGUUAGUCGAUCCUGGAUGAAGUACAAUCCUCGGAUUUCGAGAAUUCACUUCCUCACAUCCUCCCCUCUUUAACAGGAGUUUCGUCCUCGAAACUAACUCAAUUCUUAACUUUAACUCAAACCCAUGCCUUACUCGAAUAGAUAAGGAUGGUGUUUUCUCAUCAAAUUCUCGAGUUCCCAGGUGGCUUCGCGAUCCUCGUGAUUGCUCCACCUAACCUUCACAUAGGAAAUUUCUCGAUUCCUUAACUUUCGCACCUCUGGGGCGAUAAUUCCUACCGGAAACUCUUCAUAGCUCAAGUCUCCUUGAAGUUCCGACGGCUUAUAUAGCAUUGCGUGCUCGGGGUCGUGAAUGUACUUGCGGAGAUUGGAGACAUGGAACACACUGUGUACAUCUGCAAGCUUCGGCGGCAAAGCAAGUCGGUAGGCCACCGUGCCGACUCGCUCCAAUAUCUCAUAUGGUCCAAUAUAUCAGGGACUCAGUUUUUCCCGCACUCCAAACCGCUUCACACCCCGCAUCGGUGAAACUUUCAAGAAUACGCGGUCGCCUACCGCGAAUUCUAUAUCUCGACGGCGCCUAUCUGCAUAGCUUUGCUGUCUCGACUGCGCCGUGAGCAAUCUCUUGCGAGCAAGACGGACUUUCUCCUCCACUUCUCGCAAAACAUCGGGGCCGAAUUCUGUACGUUCACCCACAUCGCUCCAGUGUAUAGGGGACCGACACGUUCACCCAUAGAGAGCCUCGAACGGUGCAACUCCAUACUAGCAUGAUAACUGUUGUUGUAGGCGAACUCAGCCAUAGGUAGGUGGUCAUACCAACUUCCCUUAUACUCAAUGACACAUGCUCGCAACAUGUCCUCCAGAGUUUGAAUAGUUCUCUCUGUUUGCCCAUCGAUCUAAGGAUGAAAUGCGGUGCUAAAGUCGAGCCGUGUGCCAAGGGCUUGCUGCAGGCUCUUCCAGAAGUGUGAAGUGAACCAGGGGUCACGAUCCGACACGAUGGAUUUCGGCACCCCAUGCAGUCUCACUAUCUCGUCAAGAUAUACCUGCGCUAACUUGUCACCCGACCACGUGGUGUGGAUCGGCAAGAAGUGAGCCGACUUUGUCAAGCGGUCUACAAUUACCCAAAUUGCAUCGUGGCCGCCUCUUGAGCGAGGCAAGCCGACUACGAAGUCCAUCGAUAUAUCCUCCCACUUCCAAACGGGGAUUGGUAGGCUUUGAAGCUUUCCCGCUGGAAAUCGACGCUCGGCCUUUACUUGUUGGCAUGUUAAGCACUUCGCUACAAAGCGUCCAAUAUCACCUUUCAUUCCCGGCCACCAAUAGUGCAUCUUUAGUCCCUGAUACAUCUUGGUGCCGCCCGGGUGAUCGGCAUAUGGAGAUCGGUGUGCUUCUUGCAAAAUCAAUUCACGAAGCUCUCCAUCUUUCGGCACACACCAUCGGUUUCGAAACCGAAGUGCACCAUCGGCGUCUACCUUGAAAUCGCCGCCAUGCCCUUUCUUAAUGUUUCGUCGCACCUUUUGGAGUUCUGGGUCUGCGGGUUGCAGAUCUUUGAUCCUCUCCAACAAGGUCGGUUGGACAACGAGUGCCAUCAACUGAGAUGGAGUCUCGGGAGUAACUACUUCGAGGUCCAGUCGCUCUAUCUCCAGCCAUAGGGGAGUUUGAUUGGUAACCCACAUGGCAAGGUUCUCCGCUGACUUCCUACUCAGCGCAUCUGCGACCACAUUUGCCUUCCGAGGUGGUAGAGGAUAUCAACAUCAUAAUCCUUUAACAGCUCCAAGCACCGCCGCUGACGCAUGUUGAGCUCCUUCUGUGUGAACAGGUACUUCAAGCUCUUGUGGUCGGUAUAGAUCUCACAAUGGGCACCAUAUAAGUAGUGCCUCCACAGCUUCAAGGCGAAAAUCACCGCCGUUAGCUCCAAAUCGUAGAUGGGGUAGAUCUUUUCAUAGCUCUUCAGCUGACGGGAUGCGUAGGUAAUUACCUUCCCGUUUUGCAUCAAGACACACCCUAAUCCAAGAUAGGAGGCAUCGCUGUAGAUCACGAAGUCUUCGCCCUGCACCGGCAGAGCGAGCACCGGGGUCGAAGUCAACUUUUUGCUUCAACUCUUUGAAAUUCCGGUCGCACUCUUCGCUCCAAACAAACUUGGUGCUUUUCUGAGUCAGACGGGUAAGUGGAAUCACUAUCUUGGAAAAGCCUUCCACAAACCGCCUAUAGUAGCCCGCCAAGCCCACGAAGCUUCGAACCUCCGUGACAUUUGUCCGGCGCGGCCAAUCCUUGAUUGCCUCAACCUUCCUUGGGUCUACAGAAACUCCACCCGCGGAAAUCACAUGCCCUAGGAAGGUGACCUCUCGGAGCCAGAAGUCACACUUCUUCAGCUUAGCAUAUAGCUUCUCCUCCCGAAGGACUUGAAGCACUAUUCUCAAAUGCUCGGCAUGUUCCUCGUCACUACGAGAAUAGACCAAUAUGUCGUUUAUAAAGACCACGACAAAUCGAUCCAAAAACUUCCUGAAGACAUGGUUUAUCAAGUCCAUAAUGCCGCUGGAGCAUUCGUGAGUCCAAAUGGCAUGACCGUGAAUUCGUAAUGUCCAUACCGCGUGCGGAACGCGGUCUUCUGCACAUCCUCCGGGUUGAUUUUCAGCUGGUGAUAGCCGGAUUGCAAUUCUAUCUUCAAGUACACACACGAUCCCUGCAACUGAUCGAACAAGUCAUCGAUUCGAGGUAGUGGGUACUUGUUCUUGAUCGUGACUCUGUUCAAUUCUCGAUAAUCCACGCAGAGUCGAAACGAUCCAUCCUUCUUCCGCACAAACAGCACCGGGGCUCCCCACGGUGAUACACUUGGCCGGAUAAAUUGCUUGUCGAGGAGGUCUUGCAAUUGACUUCUCAACUCUUUCAGUUCUGCCAGCGCCAUUCGGUACGGAGCCUUCGAGAUCGGUGCGGUACCGGGAACCAAGUCUAUAAUGAACUCGAUCUCCCGGUCCGGUGGUAUCCCCGGCAACUCCGCAGGAAACACGUCCGGGAACUCCCGCACCACCGAUAGCUCCUCUAACGUUGGAGCUACUCGUUCCACUUCCACAACAGUCGCUAAGAAUGUCGUGCAACCGCUGUUAACUAACUUCCUUGCUCUCGUCGCCUACAUCGUCGCGACGAAGCACGAGCUUUGACAUGCCCGAUAUGUGAACUCUCUUGUCCUGGCUCAUGGAACGUGAUCACCCUGCUCUUGCAGUCGAUCGUUGCGUGGUCCUUCGAAAGCCAGUCCAUCUCCAGAAUGACGUCAUAAGCCUCAAGCUUCUGGAGUUCUAGCGUCUGAAUAGGCAUUAUCCAGUUACCCACUUGUACUGGACAUGACGCACACUCCGAGUAGGUAUUAAAUGUCGACCCAGGGCCCUCCACUCGCCACUUGUCACUUGCCUCAAUGAGUAUGUCAUGCAUGCGUGCGAAUGAUCUACUUAUGAAUGAAUGUGUGGCUCCUGUAUCAAAUAAAGCCUUGGAGCGAACUCCGUUAAUCAAAACCAUACCUGCCACACGGCGAUGCUCCUCCGCCUCCGCAGGUUCCUCAGCUUGGACCUGAGCAGCGAACACCCGUCCGCUCGGGGCCGAUCGUACCACUUCAGGUUGACGCGGCGUCAUCGCGCGUUCCGUCGACGCGGCUGUCGGUGGAGCUCCUCCAUAAUGAGCCAGAAUCGCCAACGCCGAUGCAAUCGAUGGGGCAGGGGAGGCUCCUCCUCCCGGGCAGUCCCGAAUGAAGUGCCCCGGUUGCCCACACUUGUAGCACUUGCCUCGGCCUUGCUCACAGCGUGAGACUGGGUGGUCUCCGCCGCAUACAAUGCAUCGCCGCACUCCACCGCCCUUCUGUUGAGUGCACGGAUACUUCGGGGGUUUCUUGUAACGUGUUUGUCCCCCGGAACUACCGCCGCCUUGGCGUUUCUUGCCCUUGUCCUUGGACUCAGCCAAAAGCUCACGCUUCUCUCGAACAUGGGCAUCUCCGUGCUCCGCCCAUAGGGCUCGAUCAAAUACCUCCGCAAAGGUCGUGAGCUUGAGUAUUUGCACGGCCUUGUAGAUUCCCGGUAGAAGUCCUCGCAAGAACCACUCGGCCCGGUCCCGGUCAUCUUUUACAAUAUCCGGGACACAGUAUAUGAUAUGGGAGAAUUCUUGUUCAUACUCCGCCACUGCGCGGUCCCCUUGCUCUAGCUUGCGGAACUUCUCGUUGAGCUUCCGCUUCAAUGUAUCUGGAAAAUAGUUGGCGAACAUUUUUCGCUUGAAUUCGUCCCAUAACAUUGGCGGAAGGCCGGGAAGCUGAUCCCGUUUGACGCGCUUCCACCAAACUUUCACCGCCUUUUCCAAGCAAUGGGUGGCGAGGUACACUUUAUCUCUCUCCAAAGUGCGCAAGUCUUCAAAGAGGGUCUCCAUUGAGUCAAUCCAAGACUCGACCAUCUCCGGUUCCACCUUCUCGCCCUCGAAGAUUGGCGGAUGGAACUUGUUGAACUUGAUAAGAGCCGCCAAGGCGCGCUCUCCCUCCACGUCUUCGGCCGACACAUCGGGUGUAGCCGAUCCCGAUGACGCCUGUGGUACGAUCGUUGGCGGUGGGCGUGCCGUCACCGAAACCGCCACUAUGCCCUCACCCUCAGCCGUUCCGUGUAUAUGAGUCGAGGGUGCGGGCGGAUCACCGCCCUCAUUCACCGUCGCAGCUGCCGCCGCGAUCUGCCGCUCUAAUAGAUCCUGGAGCCGCUCAAAUCGGGUCUCCUGGCACUGCACCACGUUGGUCAGCACGGUCACCUGCGCUUGCAACCGAUCGAUCACGCUCGGUUCCUCCUGCUCGGGCACCUUAGGAAUCGGUGCUGGGGCAGAUCUACGCGUAUAGCGUCUUGGAGACAUUAGUCCCUGAAACGCAAAUACUUGGUCAGUCAUCUUAACCAAUUAUCUCGUCGCAAUUACGACACAUGACGAUUCAACCACAAAAUCGGGCGGAAGCACACAAGGGCACUCGUUCUAGACUCUUGGUAUCAUGUCGUCGGCCGCCGACACAACCACCUCAAGACAAGAACUCAUACCUCUUGAAUUCGUCUCUUAUCAUAACUAGAGACAUAUUACCAACUUCGACCCAAUCGAAUCCACUUCCGCCAUCGCUAUAGGUUCACGUUUCGCUCACGCACCUAUAACGUUAAGGCUUACCAACCGAGGGUCUCCUAGGUCAUCCUAGACUCUCUCUUUACUUGCUCUUAUUGCUCUGAUACCACAAAGGCUAUCAUGCCCCGCCCCGAAACCACUACCAAUUUGGCACGAUUCGGGCGCGCCGAGCGAACCGCCGAGCGGACAGCACCUCCCCUACCCGCCCAAGGCUCACAACAAGAAUGUGUACAAGAAUUUUCCAGAAAUUUAAAUUCUAAAUAUACACAUUCAACGGGGCACGAAUAGUGCCAGCAACUACAAGAGCAAACAAUCCACAGGAAUAACAUGUGAAAUAAAGAGAGUACUUUACUAACUAUUACAAUAGUUCAUUUACAUCAUUUUCUUUCAAUGAUUACAUCAUUCAUCCAAAAUACAUAGCUCUCCAAGUCCUCACCUACAAUGAAUCUCUCUCAAUACAUAGGUGUACUAAUGCAAAAAGGAAAGCUACUAUACUACCACGGUCUCACUGAUCGGGCGCGAUGCCCUUGCCGCGGUCCUCCCUCGGCAGCCCUGUACCUACCACUGGAAAUAGAGUGGGGUGAGAACUAUCUUUCAUAGUUCCCAGUGAGCUCGGCCGCCGACUCUGCCGGUCUCCUCAUUAGGUCCAAGUGGGCACAAGUAACAACAGAUAGAUUGUCACGUCCCGCUAUCGCCAAUUUGGUUGAUCCGGGCCCGUACACAGACGCCGAACGAACAGAACCUCCUCUAUCCGCCCAAGGCUCAACAACAACGAGUACAUGUAUAAAGAAAUAAACAAUUCCUAGGAUAACAUUUCAAUAUACAUGGCUUGCACGAGGGCAAGCAACAAGCACAAGUGAUAGUAAGCUAGCUAUACUGAAAAUUCACCGUAAUUUAAAAAUUUUAAACUGAACUUUACAUAACUGAAUAACUGAAACAUUUAGUUAUUUACAACUUUAUAAUACAUUCAUUUACAUGUCUCUGUACAUCAAAAUGUCUCACAUGAACUCAAAAUGGUAUACCACUAAACACUGGUGUCUGCUAGCUAGGCUGCAGGGCUCUUGCCGCGAUCCUCGGCCACAAUGCUCGCACUGGAACCUGUAUGGUUAGUGGUGUGAGAACUACUAAAAGUUACCAGUGGGUUCGGCCGCCGACCUCGCCGACUCACCCACUAGGUCCAUUUAGGCAUACGCAGGCAAAAGAAGUAAACAGAUAGUAACCAACUAUAACAUGUAACUACUAUAAUGCCUGUACAAAGCUAAAGGAAGCAAUAUAUGAAAACUGUAAAUAUGCAUGCAUGCUUUUACUGAAUUUACCCAAUCUUUUGGUUAACCUUUUGGUUAACAAUAACUCUCACUGACACUAUCCCAAAUAUCGGGGAGACGCAAGCUACACCCGAUGGGACUGUCAACUGGGGGAGACGCACCUCCUGGUCCAGUUAAGAUGACUACUUCGGAGUUCAUCGUUCAAGGAGGAGCGACCUACCUUGAACCAAACGAAUGUGAGUAUGAUCUGAUCCUUCUUUAGAGGAUUCAACAAUAGACAAUGUCACACUUUGACUCCAACUAGCUCUUUAUGCUGGUUUCACAAUUCCAUUUCUCGAUGCUAACCAAAUCUCUAAUUAGAAUGUCACCAAGUUUACUAUUGUUAUAGUCCAUGCAUUCAUAGGGUUCUAUGUCACACAUUCUAAUUGUUCACAAUAUUCUCCAUGUUGAUAGCAUGUUGUAUAAUCAAUAUAUCAUUAUACAUAAACAUAUCAAUACCCCUACAAUGCAUGAUUACAAUGUAAAUAUGCUCAAUGAAUAUCAUAGACAUAAAAGGUGAUUCAAAGAUUCGGAUAGCCCACCCACCUGUAGUGGUGUCAACAACUAGAAUCCACGUCUCCGACAUGUGCCCAACAACAAUAUCAGCGACUCAAUGCAUUAAGACCGAAUUGGCUUCUACUCGUAAUUAGUACGUCGCCUGACAGACCUGUCGAAUGUCAAUUUAGACUUUCGACGCAAGUUUAACUUUCAUUUAUAAAGGAAUAAAAGAAUUAAAUAUAAGUUAUACUCCUAUUCUAACAAAACUUGCAUUUCACUUCAACAUACAUAUAUAUGUAUAGUGUUAAGGCCUCUAUAACAUAUAUCUUCUUAUUCCAUUCUUUUACGCAGCAGUUUUAUUUAUUCUAAGCAGAACUUCAACCUUACUUAAUUCGUUUCCAUUUCCAACACUAAGCAUAUAUAUCAUUCAUACGUAUAUACAUGUAACAUAUACAUUUAUAUGAGCAGCUUGUUCACAUUCCACCACUUAUAUUAUAUAGAACUUUCACAUUAAUUAUUUUCACCCAAACUAGUCACCUUGACAUCAAACAUAGAGCAUUCUCUAGAUUCAUACAGUCAAAUAGGCAUUAAGCAACUUAGAAAUUCUAAGUUAACAUUUUGCUCUAGGUUUCACAUGCACUUAGAGCUUAACAAUCAUAAUCUAUCAUUCAAACUCUCCUAAUUUAAAACACAAUAACAUUAAGUAGGAAAUAGAUCAACCUAUUUCAGUUUUUAUCUCUAUCAUAAUUCACCUAUAUAUAUACUAUACUACAUAUAGCUCUUUAUAUUUAAUCCAUGGUUAUAUUCAACUCCAUAAGCUAAAUUAUGCAUAAUUAACUUUUCUUAUAAUCAGCAAUUAGCAUCAUUCCCAUUUCAGGAAUUUGAGCUAAUUAUACUCCAAAUUUCAUUCUUAAUAAUGCUAGGCAUAUAAUAUAUAUAUAUAUAUAUAUAAUAUAUAUAUAUAUAAAUAUAUAUAUAUAUAUAUAAUAUAUAUAUAUAAGAGUAGGGCUAAAAUACUUUUACAAGUAAUCACCUAAGUGAUACUUGUGUGUUUCUAGCCCUUGGAUGGAGAGAUGGGAGGUUGAGAUGAUGGGGUGGUGGUUGUAGGUGGAUAUGUGUUUUGAUCCAAGGGCUAUUUGUAAUCAAAAAGUAGAUCCAAUGGCUAAAAAGGUGAUAGACUUGGGAUUGAUACUUGUAAAAGUAUCCUAUAUAUAUAUAAUGCUAUAUUUUUUUUUUAUAAUCUCUAGGCUUUCUACAUACUACUACGUUACAAGCCUUUAAUCAUAUAAAACCCUCUCAUAGGUAGUUAGAACAAACCUUAAUUAAGAUCUCAACCAACUUAAGUCUCGUUCAUAUUUCUAACCAAUAAUUCAUAUGCAUUCUUUCCAACAUAUAGCUUAUUAGAGAUUUGCUCAUGAUGAUAUAAGCUCUAAAAGCUAACUAUCCAUUUGUUCAACUCAUUCUAGAGUAGAUAACAUCACUCUAAUUAAGAAAUAUUCUAAUUCAUACCUCAAUUUCUUUCUUUCUAGCUGAAUCCCUGCUCACUAGCCUCUUCUCAGCUCACAAUACCCAAAUUCACUAAACUCUUCUUCAAAAACCAUUCUAGUGCUUUAGAGAAAGAGAGGAAGAAAAAGCUAAAAAGAAGAGGUGAGAAGAUAAGCUCCAAUACGUAUGAAGCUGCUGGGGUUGUUGGCUGUAGAUAAGACUAAGAAAAAAUGCAAUUAAGCCCCUCCACAAUGCUGCAAUUGCAGUUUUCACAAAACAAUCCUGCAGUUUACGAAACAGUCCCUGCAGUUUACAAAACAGUCCCUGCUGGCAGCCGCAGCCUUGGCAGCCCAUUUCUCACUUCUAGCUCGCUCCGAUUUCAUCCCAACACUUCCAAAACAUGCUAAUCUCUAUGCCCAAACUACCAAUUUAAUUUGGAAGCAUUUAAUUUUUAAUUUUGUAUUAAUUUGAUCAUUUUGAACAAAUCGACUAAAAAUUUCAGCUUUAGAGUAGCAAUAGCAAUUGGAGGUCUUUAGCCACUUCGAUUCCAUUCGUGUCUAUUCUCAUACUUCCAAAACAUGUCAAUUGCUGUUCUCAAGCUACUAAUUAAGUUUAGAAACACUUAAUUUCCAUUUUAGCAUCAUUGCGACCACUUUGAUCACAAUUAGCUCGAGAUAAAUUUUCAAUGCAUUACAUAGAUAGAUAGAUAUGUAUCUGGAAACUGUAAAUGCAAUAGUAGGAAAACUAUGCUACUAUGCCCAUAAUCAUGAAUAUGAAUGCAUGCAUCAUAUAAUAAAGGUUUGCUACUGUCACGCCCCGGGACCGGCGGAUGCCCUCCCUCUCGAAUAAAAGGCGUCUAGAAUAAAAGCGGAAGUAGAAGCAAGUAAUAAUACGAAUAGAAUAGUAACAACUAGUGAUAUCAGAGCGAGUAAAAUUCUAUCAUCUACACCGAAGUGAAGAAAUAAAGCUAGACAAUAAAAGAAACCAUAAGCAGUACAAUAACUGUGUCUAGUAUAAAAAUGGUGGUCUCUAGUACACUGGUAAAACCCUCAACCUCUCGCAAAAUAAAAUAAGACAUCGAGAGGUAGACCACCUAGCAACUCGUCAUCGAAGGAAGCUAGCUCGAAGCAACUCCCUUCCCGCGAUCCCUGGCCUCACCCUGCGUGGAAGGCUCUGAAAAACAUCGAGAAAAAGAGGGCGUGAGAACUAUAAUUUAUAGUUCCCAGUGGGCAAUUACUGACCUCAGCUCAAUGCACCACUAGGCCCCAAAAGAAGAGGGUAAGUACAAUAAUAAUAGCAAUAAUGACUGCGAUAUAAAGGCAUAAUUAAAAUGCUAAAUUACUAAACUCAAGUAUAAACGAUGUCAUGGUGAUGUACAUCUACGAUAUCAAAAUAGUAGGUCAUUAACCUUCAUGAAUACAUUAUGCAUAAGUUCUGUCAUGGCAACCAAGUAUGCUUUAAUGCAAAAUGGAGACUAUCAAGUAUACUACAUGUCUCAACACUAGGCUAAAAGCAUAUAAAUGUAAUUCAACUUCUAAACCUAUCUAGUAGUGAUUAACCAUUCUCAACACCGUGUCGAUUUUCAUUUCCAAUUAAGGACCUACCAAAGGUAGUCUAGCUUGUGCCGCCUAAGUGCCUGUGGUAGUCCAACAUCCCUACUCUUGGAAUGUGUCUGUCCCACUCGACCCCGUAGGCUUCUCAAUACCGCACGAGCGAACAUAAGUCGCGUAGGCUAAUUCCGGAGUGCCGGCUUGUAGGGAGCGACCCUCACAAGCAUGUGCGAAUGAGCACAAAUGGCAAGCAAGCAUAGUCCAAGUCUCAAAUAUCCAAUCCUCAUGUCUCUAACAUGGUAUGGUCACUGGCAUCCCGAAGAUCUAGUUUAAGUCACAAUGUGAAGUUUCAACAUUUGCUAUGCCUAGUGCCCCUUGAUGACACUUAGGCAAUCUGAUGUUCAAUAUGUAUUUCAAAUCCCUUGAUGGCCCUAUCCAUUAGGUUCACACGCGUCCCGAGCUCAAUGCCGCUUGAUGACAUUAGCUCUCUAANGCAUACAACUCAUGCAUUCUUUAACAUCUAUCUCUUGCCUCAUGCAUUCAUAAUUAGCAUGUUUAUCAUGCAUUCAUAAUUAGCAUGUAUCUCAUGCAUCAUUUACAAUGUGGACUACCAUUACUUGCAUUCAUUACUAGCACAUAUGUUAUACUUUUAUUUAGCAUUUAACUCAUGCAUUCACUCAACAUAUACUCUAUACAUUCAGUAGCAUCUAGCUCUUGUUAAUUAUUUAGCAACUAGCUCAUGUAUUUAGCAUCUAGUUCAUGCAUUAUUCACUUGGUAAUUAACUACCACAUCAUGCAUCAAUAAUGAGACAUAUACCACUUUGGCAUGGAAGCGACCUAAUCGCUUCGGUAGAGCACAACCCACUUGUAAUGCUCUCCGAUUGCUUGUAGUCACUUGCAAUCGGGCUCCCGCGGCACACGUGAUCCGAUUCGGCUUCAACUCGCGAUUGAUCGCCGAACGCCAACAAUCCGCAACGUAGGGUCAUCAAAGGCUCAUCUCUAAACUUUAAUUAGAAAACAAUAGGGUUAAAUGAGAUCAAAACCCUCAUUUACCCAUAAUCCCCAUUUUCUAAGCCUAGUGUCACGCCCCGCCCCGAAACCACUACCAAUUUGGCACGAUUCGGGCGCCGCGAGCGGACCGCCGAACGGACAGCACCUCCCCUGCCCGCCCAAGGCUCACAACAAGAAUGUGUACAAGAAUUUUUCAGAAAUUUAAAUUCUAAAUAUACACAUUCAACGGGGCACGAAUAGUGCCAGCAACUACAAGAGCAAGCAAUCCACAGGAAUAACAUGUGAAAUAAAGAGAGUACUUUACUAACUAUUACAAUAGUUCAUUUACAUCAUUUUCUUUAAAUGAUUACAUCAUUCAUCCAAAAUACAUAGCUCUCCAAGUCCUCACCUACAAUGAAUCUAUCUCAAUACAUAGGUGUACUAAUGAAAAAAGGAAAGCUACUAUACUACCACGGUCUCACUGAUCGGGAGCGAUGCCCUUGCUGCGGUCCUCCCUCGGCAGCCCUGUACCUACCACUGGAAAUAGAGUAAGGUGAGAACUAUCUUCCAUAGUUCCCAGUGAGCUCGGCCGCCGACUCGGCCGGUCUCCCCACUAGGUCCAAGUGGGCACAAGUAACAACAGAUAGAUAGAUAGAUAUGUAUCAGAAAACUAUAAAUGCAAUAGUAGGAAAACUAUGCUACUAUGCCCAUAAUCAUGAAUAUGAAUGCAUGCAUCAUAUAAUAAAGGUUUGCCACCAUGCUAACAAAUUCGAUCCAUGUUCGAAUAGUAAUGUUCAAUGACAUUGAUAAACCUUCACCUUUCCAUUUACCCAAUCUGUGGCGAGGCCCUAGGGCUCACCUAUAACUCACCUUUCAAUACUAAAUUAGGGAGGGAGCUCCAAGUGCACCCAAGCCCGGGACCGUCUGCGGACCUCCAUGUGGUUCGGACCUCCAAGUGGUCCUAGUCGCAUGACACUCCGGAGUACUCGACGACAAUCCCCUCCAUGUGGGGAUAUGGAUGGCUAUACCACCCCAAAAGCAGACUGUGAGCUAGAUCUAUCCUCUCCAAGUGAGGAUACACUACCACUAGGGUCAACAACCCAAUCCAAUCCUCUCCAAGUGAGGAUGCACUACAACUAGGGUCAACAACCCAAUCCGAUCCUCUCCGAGUGAGGAUGCCCUACAACUAGGGUCAAUGUCUCAAUAACUCAUCGACAACCUCUCCAUGUGAGGUUACUUAGGUUUACUAAGUUCUUGUCCACAAGGCAUUUUCUAAGGGGUCCACCUAUCCCUAGGUUCUCAAACCUCUAGUGUCAUUUACACUACAUUAAUGCCACUCGUCAUCAUUUAACAUUUGGAUGCCACUCGUUUGUUCUUUAACAUUAACACUACUUUCUAUGUCAUCGACACCCCCAUCGGGUUCAUCUCUUUUCUUUCGCAUCAUAGGAUCCACGUUCCGACCCAAUCCUCAUCUAUCUAAGUCACCAAGUGUUCCAAGUACACUAGGUUAUCAUUUAGAAAGCAUAAGGAAUGGAGCUACUAUGCAAUCCUACAAUGCAACAUGUAAAAGAUGAGAUUAAAUGCAAUCUAAGACAUAGAAAGGAGUUCGAAAGCUUCGGGAUGGCACCCCCCACCUUUUAUCGAUGUAGAGGCUUGGAAAUUCUUCUCGGCGAACCUUACGAAAUGGCUUUAACCUUCCUUGCCCAAGACAAUGCUAAUUCGGCCCUAUUUUGCCGAGAACUUCACGCCGGCUCGCCGAAUGCUAAAACCGACUUCGCCCCCGCGNAGGGUAAGUACAAUAAUAAUAGCAAUAAUGACUGCGAUAUAAAGGCAUAAUUAAAAUGCUAAAUUACUAAACUCAAGUAUAAACGAUGUCAUGGUGAUGUACAUCUACGAUAUCAAAAUAGUAGGUCAUUAACCUUCAUGAAUACAUUAUGCAUAAGUUCUGUCAUGGCAACCAAGUAUGCUUUAAUGCAAAAUGGAGACUAUCAAGUAUACUACAUGUCUCAACACUAGGCUAAAAGCAUAUAAAUGUAAUUCAACUUCUAAACCUAUCUAGUAGUGAUUAACCAUUCUCAACACCGUGUCGAUUUUCAUUUCCAAUUAAGGACCUACCAAAGGUAGUCUAGCUUGUGCCGCCUAAGUGCCUGUGGUAGUCCAACAUCCCUACUCUUGGAAUGUGUCUGUCCCACUCGACCCCGUAGGCUUCUCAAUACCGCACGAGCGAACAUAAGUCGCGUAGGCUAAUUCCGGAGUGCCGGCUUGUAGGGAGCGACCCUCACAAGCAUGUGCGAAUGAGCACAAAUGGCAAGCAAGCAUAGUCCAAGUCUCAAAUAUCCAAUCCUCAUGUCUCUAACAUGGUAUGGUCACUGGCAUCCCGAAGAUCUAGUUUAAGUCACAAUGUGAAGUUUCAACAUUUGCUAUGCCUAGUGCCCCUUGAUGACACUUAGGCAAUCUGAUGUUCAACAUGCAUUCCAAAUCCCUCAAUGGCCCUAUCCGCUAGGUUCUCACAUGUCCCGAGCUCAAUGCCGCUUGAUGACAUUAGCUCUCUAGUUCACAUACCUUCUAAGUGGCAAUCUUGUCAUCUUUCAUGUCACAAGUGAACUCAAGUUUAAAUGCAUGAAUCCGAACUCAUUUACACUAUAGAAGUAUGAAACCAAGUCUCAUAAAGAAUGCUAAAUGCAACCAUAAAUCUCCCAAGCAACUCCCUACUACAAAGGGGUCCAAAAUUUCAUCAUAUAUAACAUAGACCUUUUAGGCAUUCUAAAAUUCACAAUAAAUACAUAUAACAAGAAUAUGCAUACCUUUUCAUUUAACGAUGCUUAAUUAAGCACAAAUGAGAAUUUCUCAAUGUGUGGCUAGGUCAAACCCACCGAACCGUCGCGUAGCAUCUCGUUUCGCCGAACAAAGUUGUCCCCGAGUCCCAAAAUACCCUAAAAGCAUUGAGCGACAAGAUACACGGGCAUUACGAUCAAUCUAUAAGGUCAAACUUUAACAAAAUUAGCAAAAGGGCUAAAACUCACCCAAUGUGUGGAAAAUCUCUCUCAAGCUCCAAAAGAGAGCUAAAUCCCUUCCAAUCCAAGCCCAAGGAAGGUUCUAAUCCAACCAAUUUAGUUCCAAAAGCCCUAGAUCAAAAAGCCCCAAAAUCAACCCUAAAACCUCAUUCUAGGGUUCCAAUACAAUAAAACCUCAAAUCCAAGGUCUAGAUGGAGAGAAAGAGCUACCAACCUCUAAGAAACUCCAAUCCAAGCUCCAAGGGUGAAGUUCUCCUCUUUGGCAAGCUCCAAGUCCAAGCUUCAUGCACCAAGGAAGAAGAGAGGGUGAGGAAGAUGCUCCAAGUCCACUAGUAGCUCUCAAACUUCUUCUUCUUCCUUCCUUCUUCUCCUUCUCCUUCUCCUUCUUCUCUAUCUAGGGUGGAGAGAGAGUUAAGAGGAGAGAAAUGAGGAGAGGAGAGAGGGGAUGGGUCAUAUAGACCAUCUAUUGUAACAAAAUCCAGCUAGGUCCUCCAAAAAUCCAAAAUUACCACAGCCCGGUCUGGGCAGUUUUCGCCCAGAGGGACCGGUCUCUCCCCAGCAGGGACCGGUCUUUCCCUGCGAACCCGAAAAACCAACGUUCGGGAACCGGUCUCUCCCUGUGUGGGACCGGUCUCUCUCUGCGAAGGCGCGCACGGGGACCGGUCUCGCCCGCCAGGGACCGGUUGUCUCAGGGCUGCCGCAACACUGUUCACUGGGGGACCGGUCUCUCCUCCCAGGGACCGGUCCCCGAGAGUAAAAACUCUCAGGACUUAUCCAGAAUUCCAGUUUUCGAACUUUUUAGGUCGGAAAACAUUCUACAACCCUCCACCAAGUGCGGAAAAGCUCGAAAUACAUCCAAACACUCGAACNACCUCUAGUGUCAUUUACACUACAUUAAUGCCACUCGUCAUCAUUUAACAUUUGGAUGCCACUCGUUUGUUCUUUAACAUUAACACUACUUUCUAUGUCAUCGACACCCCCAUCGGGUUCAUCUCUUUUCUUUCGCAUCAUAGGAUCCACGUUCCGACCCAAUCCUCACCUAUCUAAGUCACCAAGUGUUCCAAGUACACUAGGUUAUCAUUUAGAAAGCAUAAGGAAUGGAGCUACUAUGCAAUCCUACAAUGCAACAUGUAAGAGAUAAGAUUAAAUACAAUCUAAGACAUAGAAAGGAGUUCGAAAGCUUCGGGAUGGCACCCCUCACCUUUUAUCGAUGUAGAGGGUUGGAAAUUCUUCUCGGCGAACCUUACGAAAAGGUUUUAGCCUUUCUUGCCCAAGAUAAUGCUAAUUCGGCCCUAUUUUGCCGAGAACUUCACGCCGGCUCGCCGAAUCUAAAACCGAUUUCGCCCCCGCGUUUUGUGAUCUAGCAAUUGGGUUUCCAAGGCUUCAAAUGGGAUCAAUCUCAUACUUUCACAAAAACUCCAUUUUGGAGCCCUAUGUUUGCACCUAUAGCAAACCACCAAUAAAUCCCUAGAUUCUUGGGAUUGAUCUACUUAGAAGCAUGCUUAGGGUCUAUUUGACCCAUUCCAAAGCAUCAAAACCCAAAACCCUAAGUUCUAGAAGCUAGGGUUUAGUAGCUUACCUCUAGAGCUACUUCAAAGAGAAGAUGAGAGGGAGAUGUGGGUGUCCAAAGCCUUCCUCUUGAUCUCCUUCUUCUUCUCCUUCUUGUUCUUCUUCUUCCUUUCCUUCCUCUCUUUCUUGUUCUUCUUCUUCUUCUCCUUUCUUUUCUAGAGAGAGAGAGAGAAAAUAUGAGAGGGAGAGAGUGUGAGUGAGGGUGAGAGAGGAAGAGAGCUCAGCCCCUCUAAUCCCCCACUUACUAAUGCCAUUUUGCAUAAAAACCCCUCAACUUUUAAUCCUAUACACUGCCCUUACUGGGCAGAAUUCGCGCGGAAGGACUGGUCUCCCCGACUUGGGACCGGUCCCCGAGGGCCUCCCUCGGGCGCACGCGUUCGGGAACCGGUCUCUCACCGAGAGACCGGUCCUUGGGAGACCGGUCCUCACCUGAGAGAUCGGUCCCCGAGAGUUCGAUUUUUAGGACUUAGCCAAAUUUCGACAUUUCUCUCGGUUUUCACCUACGGGGACCGGUCCUUCCCAGCUCAGGGACCGAUUGCAUCAAGCAACCCCGCGACUGUAGCUACGGGGACCGGUCCUCCCCUCCAGGGACCGGUCCCAGAGAGCAAAAUAUGCCAAGUCCAGAUUUUUGCUUAUUUGCUCUCGCGGACUCAACUCCAAAGCACUUUUUGUGUUUUGGACAUUUUCAACUCGCACAAAGGGUAUUCUCUCGACAGUUAGUCGAUCCUGGAUGAAGUACAAUCCUCGAAUUUCGAGAAUUCACUUCCUCACACCUAGGGUUUCAUGAAUCCUCAAGAACAACAAAUCUCAUGGUUAAACUUUAACCAAGCUAAUUUAGAAUCAUCUAGAGAUUCUAAACAUUUCAUUUACAAAAGAUUUAAUCCAAACCCUAUCUUAAAUCACAAAACUCACCAUGGCUACAUAGCUUUCCACUAUUAAAGAGCUUGCUUCACCAUUGGAGAGCUCCAAGCUUCACCUCCAACUUCAUCUUCUCCAACUUCAUCUUUAAUGGAGAAACUUGCUAGAGAGAGAAAACUAGAGGAGAGAGAAAUGUGAGGAGUGGGCUAAAGAGCAAGAGAGAAAGAGCUCUCUCUCUCUCUCUUGGGUUGAACAAAACAAAGGGAAAAGCCCUUUUGUUACACAAAUAGCCCCCUCAACUAAAUACAAUUUACUUUCAGUUUAGCAGCUCAGGAUCAGAUACUUUUCGUUGGCCCUUCUGAAUGUCCGUCUACGCUCAAAUUUGACAGUUAGACUCGGUUUUUGCUAAAUAAACGGAAUAUAUCUUAAUUUCUCAGUUUCGACCAUUUUUUGUCAGCGAAAGCUCUACUGAGCUGAAAUCUCUAGCAGAUAGCAGUCGGAUUUUAUUUUUCACCUUCCGAAUGUCAGAAUGACAUGAAACUUUAAAUCUAGCAUCAUAAAAAUAAUUCUGAUAUAUUCUCCAGUUUUCAUAAUUUUCUGACACUGUACAUUUUCUGCUAAAAUAUCAGUCCCGUUUCUCACAGAAAAUUCUAAAUUUUCUGUUUUCAUUCCGAUUUCAGCACAAGUCAUUUCCAAUUUAUAUUUUACUUCUUUAAAUCCAAUAAAAAUAGUAUCUCACACUAUUUUUGUCACGCCCCGCGACCGCCCGCCUAUUUGGCCGGGUCGCGGCGCCGCAACAGAUCGCCGAACGGACAGGGUUUCCCCUGUACUGCGGACAGAGUCUCCCCUGUACGUUCAAGGCAUAGCAAUCAAUACAAUGUACAAAGUUCCAACCAGGAACACAUUUCAAUCAAGAUUGCAUAAUGGAAGGUAUCAAACAACAUAACACAUCUUAUGUUAUUACAUGCAUUCACAUUCAUACAUUUUACAUCCCAAAUACUUAUUACAUUUAACUUCCAAAUACAAUCCGAUUUAACAUGAUUAUUACAAUCUUAUUCCUUUCAUUUUCUUACAUCUUUAAGAAAAGCCGACUCAGGGUACCGCUAUCUCUGGUCUCGGUGGUAGGGCGCUAACUAUGAUGCUACGCCCUCGCCUCGCGCCGCCGCGCCGCUCACGUGUGAACCUGUAACACCCCAAAACCACGUGGGGUGAGAACCAACUCCAUGGUUCCCAGUGGGUACGGCCACCCAAGGGAAAAGUUCGACCAAUAGGUCCAAGGGAGGCAACUGCAAGUUAGUUCAAUAAACAGAUAGAUAUAUAUAUCUUGAUUAUGCAACGAAUAAAACCAUGCAUUGCCUCACGAAUGCAAUAAUGUAAUGCUAUAUGCAAAUCAUGCAAUAAUGCAACUAUGCAACCAACUAGUAGUUCAUUUGACACUACUUUCAAAUCUGCUAACCAUAGCUCAUCCAUUCGAUAUCUAAGGUUUCCUCUAUCUUAGAUUCUUGUCAAUCACCGUUUUAAUCAUAAAGUUUCAUCUACCUUUACAAGGCUAACCACCCGACUCGGUCUUGAGUCAAUCGUCUGCGGAGUACCGCACUAGAACCAGGCUCGAGGCGAUGGACGUCUCACAUACACCUCAGCCCUAAAUCCUCUCGACUAGGAUACCAAAUCCAUAACUCAUAAGGUAUACUUGUUGUACAAUCAUUUGGCUAUGACCCAAUCUUACCGGUUAACCAUGUUAACCCCAAUAACUCACAACCAAAUUCCUUAAUAACGGGGGACUCGAACCUCCCUAGGGACCGUCAACUGGUGGGACUUUACCACGCCCAGUGGUGACCAACUCCGGAGCGCACCGCCCGAGGGGGAGCUACCUCCCUCAAGCCAAGACUUAUCGUGAGUGUCGAUCCAAUCCUCAACUUGAGGAUACAUAGCCACUAGUCACAAUGCCAAUGUCACAAUAGGUCUCUACCUAUUUAAUCAUGCCACUCUCUAUGUCAACUUGGACAAAUGUCAAUAUGGUUAAACUAUGUUUAACAAUCACUUUCUUGAUGCCAAUCAUGUCUCUAUUGUCAUUGUCACCCUUGUUUACUAAUGUUCAAGUCCAACUCUCACAUUUACACAAUAAUAGGGUCCUAACAUACAUGAAUGACACCAGAAUAUAUAUGAUCAAUCACCACAAGUGUUUGCUAGGUUCAAGAUGCUAGGUUUAAUGCCACUCGAUCUAAUAUACAUAUAGAUUGUCCACUAUGUUCCACAACAUGGCAAUACGUCAUCAAGUAUGUCUUUCUAUUUAACAUAAUCCACAAUAUGUAAAUUCAUAAUAUAUCAUCAUGCACAUAUACCACUAGCAUCACAUGAUUUGUCAACAUACAUAUAGUCAUUAUCCAAAAUAGUCCAUACGUAGCAUCUCAUGCAUUCUUUUAGCACUUAAUUCAUUAUGCAUUACAUUUAGCAUAUUCUACAACAUGUCAUCAUACAUUCCUUUUAUGAUGUUCUUAUAAUGCUAAUAUUCAUACGCCCUUUAUAUUAUGCAUUCAAAGCAUUAAUCAUAUGCAUUUAUCUAGCAUUUAUAUAGUAUAUUAACAUGCAUUCUUUUCACAUUCUUAUAUUAUGUCAAUAUGCAUCAAUNUAUCUGCCCCGUUUCCAACAGAAAAUUCUAAAUCUUCUGUUUUCAUUCCGAUUUCAGCACAAGUCACUUCUGACUUAUGUUUUACUUCUACAAAUCCAAUAAAAAUAGUUUCUCACACUAUUUUUAUUUAUUUUUAUUUUUAUACCAAAAUCUGGUAUGUUACAAUUUUUAUUUACUAUUAUUUUUAUAUUAAAAUCCGGUAUAUUACAAUUAUAUUCCUCUAUAUAAUAUACGGGAGUUUUUAGAAAACCCUAGCCGUCAUCUCUCUUUUCCUCUCUCUUCCAUCUUCUAGCAAAAGAGGUCUUUUGCAAAGGAGCUAGCACCCCGGUGAGGACAUCGAUCAAAUCAUCAACCUCAUGUGGAUACCUAUAGAGGCCGGACGCGUGUGCGGCUUCAAGAGAACCUAAUUUCACGAUCAUCAAAUUAAGGUGAAGAUCUAUCCGCGCAAAAGGUAAAGAUUCGAUCUUGGUUUUCUCCUUUAAUCUUAAAGAACAUGAGGGAUCCUAAUUGCGUGAUUUUUGAGAUUGGAUCUCGAGAGUUUUCAAAAUCAAAUUUGUUUGAUUUAUUUUUCCGCUGUGUUUUUACCAUACGCAAUUUUCUAACAGUGGUAUAAGAGCCAAGUUCAUGUUUUUAAGAUUAAAAUUAUGAUUUUGGGUAUUUUAAACCAUUCUACGCCGGUUGAACGACAUAUGGAUCGUCUUUGGCUAAUUCGAAAAAUUUAAAUUGAUCAAAGGAUUUAAUCGAUGAUUUCUAGCAAACAAGCAAAAAAAAAAAAGAAGAAGAAGAAAGUUACUGUAAUAUUUUAAAAUUUAAAAUUUAAAAUUAAAUUUUAAAUUUGAUCAUUUUAAAUUUUAAAAUUUGAAUUUUAAAAUUUAAAAUUAAAAUUUAAAAUUUAAAAUUAAAUUUUAAAUUUGAAAAGUUGAGAUUUAAAAAUUCAAAUAUGAAUUUGAAAUUUUAAAAUUUACAUUUAAUGUUAAAUUUAUAGUUUGAAUCUAAACUAAAAAUAAAAAAUUAAAGUUUGAGCUCAAAAUCAGAAUCAAUUUUGAAGGAUUCGAAUACUUCAAAAUCAAUUUUCUGAUUUUGAAAGACAGAAUCAUAUUUUUCAUCUCUGUCGUCCUAAAUGCUUUACUGAACUCAAAAAUUAAUUUUAGUCAGUCACGCCAAAUCAGUUUUUGGACAGGCCAACAUCGUGACCUGUAGUUAUAUACACCUCUCUCCCCGUCGCUGCAACCAAAUCGUGCACCAUCGCGCAUGCCGGUCCAUCAUUCCCCUCCAUCGGCUCUCUCUCCCUCUCUUCGUCGCCCUCAAACCUCCCCCUCGCCCUCGCCCUCGUCCCAGACCACCUACUCCCUCUCCCUCUCUUCUCUUUCUUCAUAUAGCGAGCAUCCCCGCAGCAUUUUUCGUUCCCCACGAGCAUCCUCGCAGCGACAGCCCAUACAACCGUAACCCCCGGCGCAGACGGUUGCCCCCACGAGCACCCCGCCUAUCCCCCCACGCAACGCAGCCACCAGGUCAGUUUGCUAAUUCGUUCAAAAUUAGGUUAUUAUUUAUUAUUAUGUUACAUAUGUCUAAUGCCAUGAAUAUGAUAUGAAUUUCUUCAAUAUAGUGGGCUAUUUUCUCUUCAGUUUAUGCUUCCAUGGCAAGGUUGGAGGUUCUCACAAACCCUUGAUUUAUAUCCUUUUUCUUGGAUAGUUCGAUGCACUAGAUAGGGAAACCCUAGCCUAGAAUUUCUGAUUUGGGGCUAUUGUCACUCGUCUUGCCCAUUUUCUAGGGUUUCUUUAUUAUUUAUAAUGCUUUACGUUGUGUAGCUGACUGGUGCUGUUAAUUUGAUCAACAAGACUGUUAAUUCUGGUUCGUGAGAUGUUUCUUCUAAAUGGAACUGUAAUUUAACAAAAAUACACUCAUCUUAAUGUAAUUUUUGGGACCUUUGGGUUUGCUGUGGCGCCUUGUCGCGCAUUAUCUUGCUUCUUAGUAUCUGCUUGAAUAAGAUAUAUAUGCUAUCUUUUGCUCAAUUUGAUAGCGAAAUAUUUUUCUUUGAAAGAUUUUUUGAAUGUUAUUGAAGGAAGACUGGUUCAAUAGUGGAGGUGCAUUUUACUGAUUGUCCAAAACAAUUAGUCUUCUAAAAUUUUUAAUGAGAUCAAUCUUGUAAAUUGAAUAUUAUGACGUCACAUAGUUAAAGAAUAGAGGGUGAAAUUAGAGUCAAAUUCGAAUAUCGGGGGACCUUUUAUUGAAUAAUCUUAUAUGGGAUGCGGAGGAUAGGGUUUAGAGAACUUUUGAGAUCUUAAGAAUUACGACAUCAUAUAAUUGCAUGUUCUUAAAAGUAAGUGCUCUUGGGAUACUAGAAUUGCCUUUUGGUUUUGAAUCGAAUAAUUGUGGUUUUAUUAUAGUCAAGAUUUAGUAAGUGUUUCGUUUUAUUUGUGAUUAGUUUGUUAUGAUAUGUAGAGUAAUUUGAUGAGAUGAGAGAUCAUUUAAGGUGGCAAAAAAAAUAUGGGAGAAUAACUAGUUAAAAUGAUUUAUAAGUUUAUAUUUAUAAUUGGGACUUUUGUUUAUGUACCCUUCAUUAAGAAUUGUAAUUAAUAACUAGGGGAGAGGGAUUGAGAGCAGCCAACGAUGACGAGAAGGGAGCAGCCAACGGCGACGAGCAUCCUCCCUUUCGCCUCAAAUCGAACCGUCCAAAAUAAUUACAACACUGCUCUCAAUCCCUCUCCCCCCUCCCAAAAAAAAACUGAUUCUUUAUUGGGCAGGUGAGUCGCUGUUUCCCCUUCAGAGGUCGUUGUCAAUUGAAAGGAAAAAGAAAUCCGCAGCGUUCUAGAUGUUUUGCGGAGAUGAGUUUUCAUUUGCUGGAGGGUAUUAGAUAUUCUGUCGCCGAAUGAAAAGGCUGCUGAUUCCAUUGAUUAUUGAGAGGAGACGAAUGGGGGGUUUUCUCGGUCGAUUCUUGUUGCCUCUGCUGCUUUUAGCAGGUAUUUUUUUGUUUUAAUUUUUGUCUCUCUUUCUCUCUCUCUCUAAUUGCUAUUGACAGCCUGGAUUUGCAACAAUGUUCACAGAAUUAAUUUAUUCUUGCUUGAAUAUACUAGGACCAGUUACAUACAGUUGCUGUCUGUUGAGUGUCUUGGAUACGUUGUUAUAGAUGUUGCUUUCUGUGCAAUAAUUGGGGAGCGCUAAUAUAACUGGACAUACAUACCAAUCCUGCAUUUGAUCAGUUAGAUAGCUUCUCUAUGCGGUUUGGGUGGGGGUGACUUUGGAAGCUCAUUAAUAUGUAGGGUUGUAUAGCCCAAAUUUAUGGGGUUUCUUUGCUUCGGAGUUGAAGGUAGAUUGCCUUUUAGAACGAAGUUUAAGUGCUUUGUAGAACAAAAUUUUAAGUGCCUAUUGGCAUGGCCAUGCCAAUCGUGUCGAUAAGAUAUCAGCACUAUUUGUCCCCCGUGCCGGUGGCACGCUCAACACCUCUUUAUUCGAAAUUAGUAAGUAAUUAUCUCAAUAAAAUGCAAAAAAAUUGAUGAAGAUAUAUAAUAGGUAAUUAGAAAAUAUUGGUGCUAAAGAAAAUAAAUAUUUCAUGUCAUAGUGUGUCAGACAUAGGUUCUUUUGCCACCAGACCGUGCCGUUUCAUCCUAGUAAGUUUUUGGCUCCACGACACUUAAAUCCUUGUAUUAGAAUAAAAAAGUUGAAGAUUUUUAUUGCUAGGUUUAGAAGGCAAGUAUGAAGGAAGAAAGUUGAUUAAACGUGCUCUAAAUGAUAAGUUAAGGAUAACUUGAGAGAAGGAAACACUUAUGUGAACUAGAUGCUGCUGCAACACUUAUUGAAGGCCACGGAUCAACAAAAGACGCGUGGGACUUAGACGUAUUCUUUAUGUAUCUUCAGAACACUUAUUUUCUAGAAUAGUAGGUGCUACUUGAUAUAUUGCUGAAUGUUGGAAGAGCAUUUUUGAAAAAGUGCUUUGCAGUUUUGUGAACUAAAAUUCAUACCACAUAGAUAGAUGAAACAAUGUAAUCCUUGUGCCAUAUAAGGGAGUGUUGGAAGUGGCCUUAUUUAAGAUUUCAAUUAAAGCAAAAGCUACAAUUGUCCAGUUUAGUUUGGUAGCAUUUGUGGAGAAUUUAAUCCGCAAAAAUAGUAGAGAGAAAAGCGGGUGGUGCUCGUGGAGGAUUUCUUUGCUUUUCUUGAUAGAUGAUUGCUUUUUAGGAGGUUUUGUCACAAAAUAAAGGGCAAUAAGCACAUGAAGCAUUAACAGGUGUACGAUUUAAAGGGUAUUUAAGCACAGAAAGCUCUAACAAGUGUAUGAUUUUGAAAGGUUCAACUUCAAGCAGCCUUCCUCUUGUAUGGUGGUUGUUUCUUCGGGUCGGCAUGGAAUCGGCCGAAUCACAUAAAAUGAAAUUGAAUUGAAUCGGCAAUUUUGGUUUCAGGUCAUAGAAUUGAAAAACAACUAACACUGAAUAGCAAAGCUUGUGCAUGUGAGUGAAUGCAUGUAUGUAUAUGUGUAAGCAUAUUUCAUGUAUAUGUAUGUACAUUUAACACCAAGUCAUCACCCAAUUUGCCAGUAAACUAAAUCAACUUGAAACGUGCAAUUUAAUAAACGCAAUUCCUCUCAAACUAGUCAAAUUGAUAAACUGAACUGGCUCAAACCAACAAAACUGAAUAGAAACAAAACUUGAGACUUUUGAUUUGGUGUUGUUUGCUUUUUUCCUUGCAAUUGUUUUAAUUUUGGUUUUGAUUUUUUGAAACCCAUUUAAACCAUCUCGAUUCCAAUUUAUUUUGGAAACUAAAGCAUAGCCAAGCUAGCUGUUACUAUGAUUUGAAUCCACAAUGCUAAGGUCUAUGAGCCUACAUUAUCAUUGUGGCGUGGCCUCUAUAUAGUGUUCAAAGUAGAAAAGGAAAAAAAAAAGGCUUACUUUUGAGAUUGGGAGGUGCAAAUUGAGGACAAAGGAUAUUGUUCUAAAAAGUGGACAGGUGCACCGAUCAUCUUAAUUCAACAAGUUCCUUGCAAGCAUUGCUAUUUUGUAGGUCAUCUAUUUAUUGCAGAAAGUUUUUUCAAGAGUUACAGGAUUCCAGCAAAAUGAAAAUGCCAUAGGGAAGAAGAAAGUGGGAAAGUAGAGAGUUUCUAGUUGAAAUCAAUAUAAGUUUGACACUGUCAUAUUAGGUUCUUUCUGAAUUUUUGGACAUUAUUUCAACUUAUAGACUCCUAUUUGGAAUGGAUUCCCAUCAGAACUUGUUCCUCUUAGAGGACUCAUAGCUGGCAAGUAAUUAACCCAAAUAGUACUCUUCCAGAGAAGAUUUUAGCUGCAAUAUUUCUCACCAUACUUAGUGGUUGAAAUAUAGUUAAAAGUAUAGCAUGUGUACAAUAUUAAAUGAAUGACAUUUCAUUUUAAAGUCCCCUAAGUUUGAAAAAUGCAAUGUAAACUAAAUAGGACCCAUCUAUACCUAGACUCAAUCACACUCGAAAUUAAUUUGAAAUAUGGGACUUUUUUUAUAACUUUAAAAAAAAUUAUUUGGUUUCAAAUAACCUGUUAAAAAUUUAUUUGGCCAAAUCACCCUAUUUUGUCCAACUUAGCGCUAGGGUGGAGCAAUAAAUAAAAUACGGUGAAUUUUUCACCAUCUUCAAAUAAAAGCGAUAAAUGAUUCACCGUCAAUGCCAUGUGGAUGUGAGAGUUAAAAAGGCGGCGAAUCGUUUACCGUAUUUUUCUUUCUCAAUUAAAAGAGGUGAAUGAUUCAUCAUUUUGUCAUAACAGUUCCCUACAUGCAAUCCUAGCAACCCCACAAAAAUCCUAAUUACCUACACAAACAACUCACAAACAACCCUAAUGAUUUGAAUACAGAAAUGCGGUAACACCGUUUUCUAAAGAUGGUGAGUGAUUCACCGCUUUCAAUGCACACAGUAAACGAUUUACCGUCUUUCACUUCUCCUUCCACAUGGCGCUGAGUUGGACAAAAUACGGUUGGUUUGCGAAAUAAAUUUUUAUUAGGGUUAUUUGACUUAAUAUAAUUCGUUAAAGGUUAUUCAAAAAAAAAAUGAAAUUUGUUUAUGUAAUCUUGCUUUAUCAAGCAACUAGAAUAAUGUAUAGAUGCUAAAGUUACUAUUGCACAAAUGAUCCAUAUGCUACAGCGAAACAGUUUUAGCUAUCGUGAAAUAGUUUUAGCUACAAUUUAAUAGAAAUGUAAUAAUUAGUAAUAGUCUUAAUGAUCAUGCGUUUCUCUUUCAAGCUUUAAUCAAAUUGUUUAUAUCAAGAAGAUACUUAGAUUUUGAUGGUGAUGCAGAGUGGGAUUCACAUAGGAUUCAGUUGAGUCAUCUUUUAUUUAUUGAGUCAAUUUUUGUAUUAGGUUUGGUUGAGUCGUUAGGAUAUUAUAUUUUUUUUUCUAAUUCUCGGAAUUAUUAUUUUUUAAUUUAUUUCAGGGAUUGCUUUUAUUUUCUAUGUGGAAUAAAACCCUAAAAAUUAGGGAUAUAUUUUAGGGCCUUUUUUAGAUAUGUUCGAAUUAGGAAAAUUUCGAUUUGUUUUAGAUUACAAUUAUAUUUGACGGCUAUAAUUAUAGCCUAUGCCUUGUAAUUUUAGAGACAAUUUAUGAUGAGAUAAAGUUUGUGUUUCAUGUUUAGACUGCGAUCAUGGUAUCUUCUUCUUCCCUUUGCCUUGUGCAUCGACGAAAAUCUAUCUUUCUAAAGGUUCUUUCUUCUCUUUUCUUCAUCUAUUUCUUCUCUCUUAUUUCUCGCUUCUUCUUCAUUUAAUCCUUACUCUCUAAUCUUUUUAAAGUAUUCUAGAAUUUUCUAAAAAAUUAUAAAAUUCAGUUUUAUGAAGAUUUGGGCUCAUCACAAGCAAGAUAAAUUAAGACUUUUCUAAUUUGUCCUGCAUUAGAUGGUUUUAGGAUAUGUUUGUUUAUGUCAAGAUUGUAGUGCGGAAUGGUGAAUAUGUGAUAGGAGUCUAAAAGCAUAUGUUAUGCAUUAGCAAUAUCUUGCACAUUAAAAUCAAUCUUGUACAGAUUUGGUUUGGUAUGGAAAAUGUCUAUUGUCGAGUAAAGUUAGUGUCUCUUGAUCUGAGUCUUCUAAUUUAUUCAGAAAUUGACUGACAAAGUCUUGCUUAUCUUAAUUUUCAGAAUUCUGAAUGCCACUGUACGUAAAUUGCCUCGUUUGGCAUUGGUUUAAUGUUUAAAAGGCUCAAUCUUACUAAGUAAUGCUCGUUAAUUGUUGUUGGUUGAUGGACCGUUCAUUGAUCUGGAUGAACUUUGAGCAUCUGAUUUGUAUUUUGUUUGUCACACCAAGUUCUUUGAUAUGACCUUGGGCGAUAGUGGUGGAAUCAUGGAUAGAACUAUAAUGCAAGAAUCUUGUGGGGCUGAUGUAGCAUGGCCGUUUUUGCCUUCUGGAGGUUUUUGAUGCAAGAAUGUUUUAGUGCUAUCACACAAUGGUGCUGUAGCAUGGCUGUAUUGUAGUAGGUUAAGGAGAAGAAGAAAAAGAAGAAUGAGAUAGAAGAAUAAAGACGAAGAUUGGGGACAAGAAUGUCACGCCCUUGUUCCACAGCGGAAGCCCAGGGGACGACAACAGACCGCCGUGUGUGCACAAUCUUGCACACACGAAGCGUCCAAUCGAACAACAACAACAACGAAAGCGAGUAACUUUAUAAUCUACAACUAAAGAAUACCACAAAUCACAAAUUAAUGGUUCUAGAACUACGAAGUUAAGAUAAAGACAUGUAUUAGAGCACUAUGCACAAGCUUAACUACCGUACAUCACUAUACAGAAUCAUAUAAACCUCAAACCCCAAAAAGUAAAAGUGCAAGUAAAAGGCCUUGGCCUCGCCAGUCCUUAUGUACAGUAAACAUAUCCAAAAUCCACUAAUUGGUGGUCCUCUAACACACAUGUACACCGGUAGAAGAUGCUAUCUACUGCACGAUCCCCUUACCUCGAUCAGCGGAAGGUGCACCUGUCUCUGAAAAGUAAACCAUAAGAGGGUGCGAGAACUACUAAACAGAAGUUCCCAGUGGUACAGUUGGCGACAACCAUGACCUUCCCACUAGGUCUACAAAAACAAGCAUAGGUAACAAUAAUUAAUUCCACUAAAUACUAAGCUAUAAAGCAUAAUACGAGUAAUAAAUUUCUACUAUUCAUCAUGUUUCUACGCAGGUAAUGAACAUGAAGGAAAAUGACUAAAUCAUGCAUCAAUGCUAUUACUAAUAGAUAAAUGCAAUAGUAUAUUUGAUUGCAAUAACCGACUCAUAGGUCCGGUCAAGCCUGUGCCCGCCUAGUGUGCGGCCACACUGCUGCAUGUGUGACGGCGAUAUCUAGGCUACUGUCUUUGCUAUCGCUGGCCAGUCUCCGAAGUGACACUCGAGGGGAGUGACUCCUACCGAGUCUAAUAGUGCGUAAUUCUGUCAAGCUCUAUGUGGCUCUUCAGGCUAUAGUCUUUGUGAUGAUCAAAAGAUCACAAUUAACCAAUCCGGUGUUCUUAAUGUUAUAAAAAAUAAUUUCUAUGUCUAGUGUCACUAUGACAUAUAUUCUACCUCAAUGUCCAAAACGUCUAUUUACUACUGCUGCUCUAACCCACGGUCUUUAUUACCUAGUUCAUGACAAUCGAGACAUGUUUAAAUGAGGAAUGCUCUACAACCAUGCAUAUGAUGUUAACUCGCCCCUCUUGGCCUAAUCUAGCAUAUAUGCUUAAUAUACUAUUAACCAUUUACUAUAUUACAACUAUAGAACAUAGGAUUUACCUGACAUGACAAAGAUGAGUGUUAACAUGCAAUCAUGCUAGAAUUCUAAUUCUCUACUUGAUUUCGUACCAUCGCCUUCUAUCAAUAUAAGUAACAUAUAUAUAUAUAGAGCUAGGCUGGUAUACUAUUGGUUGCACGGAGGCCUCCGUGCUAUCAAGUUAUUUUCAAUGAUGCGGCUUCCAAAUCGACGAUCGGCUCCGUUAGACUUGAUCUACACUAUUAAAAGUAUUUGGAACUAAAUUUCAUAAUUUUUCGACAUCAUUUGACUAGUGAUCAAAAGGUCUCAAAAUUGACAAUUUUAAUGGUAGAUGUGAUGCGUUUGUGAAUUUAACAUUGUAAAACAAUCCAAAUCUGAUGAAAUUUUUAUAGAAAAUUCUUUUCACUAUUUAGAGUAAGAUUAGUACCUCUGAUCUUAAAUUCAAGUUUUUUAUCAUUAUUUUUUAUGAGAUUUUUAUUUUUAGCCGUUCAUAUUUAGACUACUCGUUUGAUAGGUAAAUGAUACCGAAAAUUUAUGAAAUAAUGUAGAUCAAGUCUAACGGAGCCGAUCGUCGAUUUGGAAGCUGCAUCAUUGAAAACAACUUGGUAGUACGGAGGGCUCCGUGCUACCGAUAGUAUACCAGCCUAGCUCUCUCUCUCUCUAUAUAAAUAUAGAGUCUGGCCACUAUACUUUUAUGAGUAUAGACCCCUUUGUACUCAUAAGUUUUCGGUCGUUAGAUCUAGCUCUUUGAUCAUUUCCUCCCGUUAGAUCAUACUAUUCAACCAACCACCCACUCAACCCUAAGGGACCACUAUCAUCAUAACCGGGGCCGCUAUCAUCCUAACCACACAUUUCUUCAUCCAACGGCCGAAAACUUAUAAGUACAAAGUGGUCCUAUACUCAUAAGAGUAUAGUAGUCUACUAUAUAUAUCAUAUUAUAAUAUAGAUUAUUAUAUAUAUAUAUAUAUAUACUAUAUAUAAGAGUUCCGGCUAAUGUGCUUGUAAAAUCACCCAACACUCUUUGGUACCUUGUAAGGUUUUUACCGUUAGAUCUACGCUUUGAUCAUUUUCAAGCCGUAUUUAGAUAUACUAUUCAACCAACUACCCAUCUCAACCCCUAGCGUGCCCACAUUAUUCUAACCGCACAUCCCUUAAUCCCAAAGAGCCGAAAACUACAAAGACCAAUGACUUGGUACUUUUAAAAGCAUAGAGUCAUCUAUAUAUAUAUAUAUCAAUUUAGACAUAGAAGGAAAUUCGCUGUUUCUCUGGCGGAUUGGAACCCACCUUGGAUCGCUAUCAAAAGCGGCAACGUAAUCGUCUAUACAGCCAUUCUCGGUUCAUGUCCCGCAGGGACUCCACGAAAGUAAACUUCAAAUAUCAGGAAGGAGUUAGCAAAGCAAAGGAUACCAUAAAAUGCCAUACAAUUUUGCGAUUUGAUCAAAAGAGAGGGGCGGGGGGUGGGGGUGGGGGGGGGGGUGUUAGAUUAAAACUAAUCCAAAUUACGUUGAUGAUCCGUGUGAGGUAAUUCCAAACCAGCGGGAAGUGACAAGAGGUUUAGUAAAAUCCUCCAAACGCUCAAUGGGAGAAUCGGAACUACGAAAACCUAAAAUUCAACGGAAGAUCAAAAUUCUAUUUAACUUUAAUUACAUCAAUUUCACACCGGUUACAUCAAAUUCCAGCAAAAUAAAGUGUAAUUCAAACUCCCCUACUUUCCUCUUCCUCCCGUGAAUGUCGAUUCAAUCGCCGACCGCGGAUUGCACGAAAUUGACUCUCCCUCUCUCCCUCCUUGCUCCGCUACUGUUCCAGAAGCAACUGAUGGCUGGUUGCUGCUGCUGCUAAGCAGCCAGCAGCAGCAGCUGCUGGCUACUGCUGCUGCCGUUGCUGUCAAGCAGCCAUCAGCAGCAGCUGCUGGCUACUGCUGCUGCUGCUGCUGUUUCUCAGCCAGCAAGAGAGAGAGAGAGAGAGAGAGAGAGAGAGAGAGAGGGGAGGAGGAGGAGGAGGAGAAAAAGGAACUGUAAACGAGAAAAUACUUACGUCGCAAGCGCAGUUCGCAUGUGCAAUUUCGAUCGGCUCGUCGGAUUAAUUGGAACUUCACAAUCCUAUUUCUUCCUUUUCUCCUCCUUUCUCUUCUUCUUCUCUUCUUUCUCUCUCUGUAAGCCUCAGGUGGAGUGACAGGGCAUUCAAGAAUGCUCCUGAGGCUUAGUGGAUUUCCACUAAAAUUGGACAAUUGCAAGAUAGUCCAAUUAACACAAGUAAUGAGAUUUUAGUCCUCAACAAGUGGAAAUUGAGUUAUUGAGUUCUUUUUCGCGUCAAUUUCGUGCCAAAACGUCUGCAACCUACGCAAGCCCUGUAAGAGCAUGCUGACUAUAAAGUCAUACUGUAAUCUUGUCUAUUUGGCAAGGUGCAUUAUUCUAGAAAGAAGGUGAGAGGAGGGACAGAUCGGCUAACCUAGCCAAACAAAGGAAACAUUAUGGAAAAGCCCUCGAAUGAACUAAAACACUAUUCCUAUUGAUCAUCCUCUGGUUACAAAGAGGAGCAUUUUGUGUUAUUCAAAGAUUUCAUGUGCCUAGUGGAAUUUCCAAUUAUUGGGUUUGUGUAUUCUAAACGACAACAACUUAUUUGAAAUUCCUAACUAAGAGAUUCAUUCUAAUCCUUUUGUAACAAUCAACUUACUUUGAAAAUAUACCACAAUAUUUUUGAAAAGGUGAUAGUACUCGAUUUCACUUGUCUUAGUUCCACACAUCGUACUGCAUCAGCACAAAAACAUGAUGCAGUAAUGUAGGAUUGAAAUUAUAUAUAUAUUUUUAAUCUCCGACUAAGAAGUUCGAUUUUUUAUAUUUGUUUGCUGUUAUUGAGAAUGGAGACUCCAUUAAAUUAUUGCUGGAGUACAAUAUUUAUUUAUUUUGUUAAUUUAGCUGCUUUUCCUUAGUUAAACUCUAUUUGCUAUUAUUGUGCUGUUUUUGCAGCUUCUCUACUUGACUGGAGUUUGAUAUCUCUUAUCAAUAUGUUGAUGUUUAUUGCCAUUCAGCUUACUACUCCAAGAAGAGGUAUGUAUUAUUGAAUUACCACAUGUUAUAUUCUUCUUUAUUGCUUGUAGGUUCAGUGUCUCUUGGUUCUGGAGAAAUGGUUCUCUGGAGGACUCAUAUUUAAUUAGUUGUUACGAUGACUUUAGAUUUUUCAUGAUUUCCUUAAGCUUUUUGAGAUCCUAAAUACUGUCAUCUAAGCUAUCUUCUUAUAUCUACGUCAUGUUAUAUGUAAUUUUGUUGCUCAGAGUAAUUGUAUUAAGCUGCUUGUAUUGUUUUCUUUUCUUUUCACUUUUUUCCCCUAUGUUUGGGGCCUGUUUGGUUCCUCGAAAAAUACCACAGAAAACUUGUUUUAUGGUGGAAAAGUUUUUUUUUCCAUGUGUUUAGAGUAGAUUUUUUGGAAAAUUAUUUUCCAUUUUUCACGGAAAACUUUCCUUUUCGUUUUUCAAAUUUUUUUUUCCAGAAAACAAAAACUUUUUUCUUAUGGACGUUUUGAGUAAAAUAGGGAAUUUCUCUUUUCUAAUAUAUCGGUAUACGCUUACCACUAAACCGUCAUCUUAACAUUUUCUACUGUCGUCUCUAUCUCCCCAAGGUGUAUAUAUAUAUAUAUAUAUACACAGCAUAAUUGUCUCCAUCUCCUAUUUGUCAUAUCAACCAUCUCCAUCUUCUUUGUGAAACUAUUUUAUCUACACUAAAAUAUACUUCAGAUUGUUUUUAUUUAUUAUUUUAUUAUUUAUAUUAUAAAUAGUUUGUGCGUAUUAUGUUAAAUUUUAAAAGGUUAGUAUUCCCACCCUCCUUUGUAGCAGGUAUAUAUAUAUAUAUAUAUAUAUAUAUAUAUAUAUAGAAUUAGGCUACUAUACUAUCUAUAGUACCGGGGCUUCGGUACUAUAGUCUUGUUUUCGAUCUUAGGGUGUUCAAAUUAACGAUCCACAUUGUUAAAAAUGAUCUACGGUAUAUGAAGUUCUUAGAAAUAAAAUUUUAGUUUUUUUCGACAUCGUUUACUUAGUAAAUAAAUUAUGUCAAAAUGGAAGGUGGAAAUUGAAUAAUCUUUAAAAUUUGAGCAUAGGACUUUUAAAUUCAAGAUCAAGAAUGUUAACCUUAAUCUAGAUAGUUUAAAGUAUUUUCUAUCAAAAUUUGAAGAAAUUUAGAUUCUUCUACACCGUUAAACUCUAAAGUCGCCAUAGUAGCCAUUGAAAAUUGACAAUUUUGAAAUGGUUUGAUCAUAAAGUAAACUAUGUCGAAAAAAUAUAAAAUUUUAUUUCUAAAAACUUUAAAAACCCUAGAUCAGUUUUAACGGUGUGGAUCGUUGAUUUGAACACCCUAAGAUCGAAAACGAGACUAUAGUACCGGAGCCCCGGUACCAAGGUUUUAAGUGCCCGUCGGCACGGACCGUAUCCACUGUGCCGUAUCGUGCCCACAAGAUACCGACAUGAUACAGAUCCCGUGCCGAUGGCACAGCUCAAAACCCUCUAUUCUUUAAAUUAGUAAGUAAUUUCCUCAAUAAAGUUCAAAAGAUGUGAUAAAAAGAUAUAAUAAAUAGUUAGAAUAUUUUGUUGCUAAAGAAAAUAAAUAUUUCAUACUAUUAUGUGUCGGCAUGCAAGAAUUUUUUUGACCGGCACGCAUCGGCAUGGCUCGGCACGGCUCGGCACGGCUCGGCACGCACCGUGCCGGCAAGUUUCCGGCACAACCUCGUGCCACGACACUUAAAUCCUUGCCCGGUACUAUAGAUAGUAUAGGAGACUAACUCUCUCUCUCUCUCUCUCUCUCUCUAUAUAUAUAUAUAUAUAUAUAUAUAUAUAUAUAUAUAUAUAGUUGUGCUGGUAUGCUUCUAGUAUAUAUAGAGUUGUGCUGGUAUGCUUCUAGAAGCACGGAGGUCUCCGUGCUUCCAAGUCGUUUUCGAUGUUCGCACUUUCGAAUCGUUGAUCGGCUCCGUUAGAGUUGAUCUAGAGUAUUUGAAGUACCUAGAAAAUAAAUUUUGCGAUUUUUCGAUAUUAUUUGCCUAGUGAUCGAAGGGGCUCAAAAUCAAUAAUUUUAACGGCCGUGGUGAGCCGGUUGCAAGUUUAACGGUGUAGAAAUAUCCAAAUCACAUGAAAUUUUGAUAGAAAAUUCUUUAUACCAUAUAAAACAAGAUCAAUAACUUUGAUCUAAAAUUUUAAUGUCAUAUCAUCGUAUUUUGUAAGAUUUUUAUUUUCAGCCGUUGAUUUUGAGCCACUUCGAUCACUAGGNNNNNNNNNNNNNCCAAUCAACUUUUAAAACUAUGUAUGUAUGUAUAUAUAUGUAUAUAUAUAUCUCGAUCCGACCAUAUGAUAGCCAUCGUGCCUCCGGAGGUACGAUGGUUCAACAAAAGUUACUACGUCGAAGGUUUAGCUGCUAGCCGAAACAAUCUGAACUAGAUGUGAUAAUUUUUAUAAACCUUUGAUUUAAAGUAUUAAAAAGUCGUAGUUAACCAAUCACUAGUUUUCCAGAGUUUUAACUGUUAAAAUUACCAUCUACACUACGUAAACAUUUAAAUUGCCACAUUUUGUUAGGUUUAGUUUACUUUAAAAAUAUCUUUUAAGAAAAAUGAUAAAUCUCAUUCUAGUCAUGGAGAUUAGAAUUUAAGUUCAGAAGAUAGUAGUAAAAAAUACUCUAAAAAUAAAAGUCAGCAAGUAAAAAUCUGGUGAGCAAACUAUCCAUUUACUAUGACUUUUUAAUACUUUAAAUCAAAGGUUUAUGAAAGUUAUCACAUCUAGUUCAGAUUGCUCCGGCUAGCAGCUAAACCUUCGGCGUAGUAAUUUUUGUUGAACCAUCGUUCCUCCGGAGACACGAUGGCUAUCAUAUGGUCGGAUCGAGAGAGAGAGAGAGAGAGAGAGAGAGAGAGAGAGAGAGAGAGAGAGAGAGAGAGAUAUAUAUAUAUAUAUAUAUAUAUAUAUAUAUAUCUCGAUGAUAUGAUAGCCUUCGUAUCUCUUAGACUAUGAAAGCUAAAAAACCGGGAAUUUAGUUAGUGAAACUAGUAAAGAUUGGAAACCUAAUUAUGAUAAUAGUACACCGUUAACCGUAACCUGUAUCCUAAAAUUUCAUAGGUUUAAGUUUGUUUUAUACAACCCGGUACAAAGUCCUUUUGUUUUUUUUUUCUUGGUGUUUUCUAGGUUUCGGGUAACCCCGAAUUUGGUGUAAAGUAUGUUAUAUGUAUUAUGUGUGACCCGGAAUAUUUCGGGUAAUUGUAAAAUACCCCUGAUCUUUUAAGAUCUUUUAAGUUCACAUUAUACGCUGUAACCGGGUCUAGUCAAUCCAACAAACCCUAACGUCUCUCUAACGCCACUCUUUUAUGAUGACGCCGUUUUAUGAAAUAAAUAAAAACAUUGAUUAUCGAACAAAUAACGAGCUGUAUAGCGUUAGAAUACUCAGUUUGUUUCUUCGUGUAGAAACAUGCGAAAACGAGGUCGAGACAAAAUACUCUUAGUAUCAAGACAUGUAGCAACUCUAAAGUUUCCCACUAGUAGGGAAAUCUAAUAAAAUUCAAUUUACAUAAAAAUACUAAGAGGUCUCAUGGUUGAUAAAGUCGAAGAAUUAAGCUUAGUUAUAAAUUUAUAGCCGACUUACUCAGGUCAACUUAGCACUUAGUUACUUAACCACCUUAACAGGCUUGGCAACCAGCUCGGUGACCAGCUUGGCUAUUUUGGAAUUAGACUAUCGCAAAAACGCGCACAAUAUAUAUUGAAAGAAAGAAAAUACGGAUUCCAAAGACACCUACAAAGUUUGUUUUACCGAAUCAACUGGUUUCACAAACUUAUGAAUUGUCAUGACAUGAGUGGUUCUAGUCUGUUUACCCAUUCACGGGUUCAAUCCGUUUGAUUUCAGUUUUGGAUAAGUUGAGUCGUUGACAACUUAAUUACGAAAAAAAAAAAAAAAGGGGUCAGUUUUACCAGUUGAAAACUUUUGUGGUUACUGAGUACUACACAACUACACACACAUACGUAUGUUAAUGUAAUAGAGUAACAGGGGUACGUUGGUUUAAAAAUAGUUGGUUUAAAAUUUUUGAUUCAUCAACUUCUGGAAAACACAUCACUCACCUGUACAAUUAAACGUAACGUUAAUUUAAUAAGGGUAACAUCUAUCAGGAUGAUUCUUGUAUGGUUUACCUAUACAUUAUUACUGUCCAUCUUCUUUGGAAAAAAGGGGGGGAAUUAAUAACUUAUUUUGAAAAAUCAUGGUGUAGAUAAUAACCUACGAUACUAAUAAUAUCACGUUAUUAAUUGACACCCUCGAAAAUUAUUAUAGAUGGAAGAUGAAACCGGAGAAGACGAAGAGACCCAACGAAAAGUUGGAACACAAGACGAUAAUUUUUGGGGUAUUUGAAAAGUAUAUUCUUAGUUAAAAAAUAAAGAUCUCAAAACCGGUGACAAGAAAGAAUUACAAUCAACUCGUUAAGUCUACGGGAUGAGAUCAGAAGUUAUAAAAUAAUUUAAUAUUCCAUGUUGUAUUUUAACAUCUCAGAAAAGGAAAAAGGUAGUAUACAAAUAUUAUAUUCAUAUGCAUAUUGUUGAAGGUGGCUAACAUGAAUCACGUCAACCAAUUCUUAAAUUACCAACCAUAGGCUCUAAAAUUCAAGUUUUAGAUUAACGAAAUAUAAAGAUCGACUCAAAUAAAGAGUCUUUACUUGUUUUUGUACAUCGUACAAGAGAGAGAGAGAGAGUGAAACUAUUUUUUUUUUUUUUUUUUUUGGGGUUUCUUGUUUUACCAAAAAGGAUGGUACAUUCGUAGAAAAUUACUCCACUAAUAAUCAACCAAUACAGACUGUCGAGAUAACAAUCCUUGUACAGGGUUUGAACCUGGUCUCCCUUACGAAAUAAAGUAAAAGUACCCUAGUUUGUUCCAAAGUUAAACAAUCGAUGUUUGUGAUUUUCCGAAAGCUUUUAUUUAUAAUAAAAAUGUAUCAUAGUAUUAACCUUCAAGAUUAAAACUUGAAAUGUUUUAAAAGAUUAGCUCUGCAUCCUUUUUGACAAUUUAUAUUUAUAAUUUUUAUGGUAAUAGACCAUCGAAAUCAAAAAUCUCUAUUUUCUGAGUAGAAAGUGUAAUAAAAACGUACUCGAAUUAAUAUAAGAAUAAUUAUUUGUAUCUUUCUAAACUUCUAUCUCAAUACAUUGAUUUGUCCUUCCUUUUUCUACCCACUCGUUUUCGAUUUGGAUUUUCCCGAAUAAAACGUCACUCCUUUGUCAAUAUUUUUCUCUCGUAAAACAGUCAAGAACAAACCUAAAUAGGGACUUGUCCUUAGAAUUAAUUAGUGUACUUUAAUUUGGGGUCUUGUUCCCGGUGUCGGAGUCACACCACCAACACGGUAAGGACAGGAAAAAACGAAUUUAAGACGCCGUCAACCCGAAUACAGCUCUUUUUUAAAUCCAGAAUUAAGACUCAUCAAGAAGAGACAUUGCAGGUAAGGUGCAUUUAAUACAUUGCAUAAUAAAUGUUGUUAAAAAAAGAAUAUCAAUAAAAAUAAAUUUGAAUGAAUUUUAUAACAAGUAAAAUAGACUGGUUAGAAUGUACCGAUUCACUUAAUUUAUUCCCGUAAUUCCUCAUACGUACGUAUAAGAUCGAAACCUAUACGAACUUUGAAAGUUCACCUGGACUCACGUAUCUAAUCUAUCGUUCCAACUCGGUUACCGAUGGUUUGGAGAUGAGUCUUAGAGUGGUAUAGAUCGAUUAGAAUAAAGAAAAGAAAAGAAAAGAAAAGAAAAACUUAACUUUAAUAAGUCUUUUGUGUUUUCCUCCUGGUUUUCCCGUUGAAAAACAAAAGUAAAAAGGAGUUUACUAGUUUACCACGAACUCAACUCGAAAAGUCAUCUACGUCCACCCCAGAGAGACGUCAGGGAAAGUCGUACGGACUCGAGUUAGUGGGAAUGAGAUUUGUGUGAGAAAGGUUUGGAUAGGUUCGAUGGGUCUUCUAGAAACACAACCAAUGGAGAGUCCUUCCCUCUUCGUGAAGAGGUUUAGUGUAUUUUUUUUAUCGUUCGGUAGGAUAAUAUAAUCGGAUGAUAACUUUAAACUUUUCAGGGGAAGUGAAAGGUUAAGGAAAAAGAAAGGGACGGUCAUUGUACACUCCGACCAAAAACACGAGUGUACCUUUUUUGAGAUGAGUAUAACGUAACUUUUAGUGAAUGGUUCUUCGUGAAAAGGAGUUGGUAGUAGUAUUAGUGUUAGUAAUAAAGGACGAAGAAAAACUUCGACUUUCCUCUCAAGUUCAACAGUUACUAGUAGUUCCUCUGGUAGAGUUCGAGAGUGACGUCAUAGAACAUUCAAGGUUAGAUGAUAAGGUCGUACGUUUUCAAGAGAGAGUACGAAAAACACAGUGAAAACUCGUGGUAUGAGUAGUGACGUACACAUCAUCAGAGACGUUUAAGACUAAGUCACGACGACGAAGUUUAUUUUAGGCUAAAGCAGCUGGGCUUACCCCAAGAGCUUUCGACCAGAAACUCACGUUUACACACAUCGACCUUACCUCAAUGUACAGAACUACUGGUCCUGAUACAGAACCCAGAAUUGAAUAGCCCGGCUCCCGACAGGCCAAGCUAGAGAGGCCGCUGGCCUGCCGAGCAUAAGGAGCUUAAGGAGCUAAAUAGCAGCUUAAGAGACAGGCCGGGCUAGGGGGUGCUUGAACCGUACGAGUUCUUGGACUUUUGUAACGAAAACAUGAGGUUAAGGGAGAGGCCAAGCUAAGGAGCUCUCGAGCCGGAAGACUACUUGGAGCUCCUCGAGUCUUAUCCACUAUUGAACGAGAGACCCCUCUAGGGCGGCGUAUAGCCGUUGACGUGGCUUAACCUCUAAGACCCAGAACGAAGAACGGCUAAUUUGCCCUCAUAAGGCUAAGUUUAAAGACUAUACUUAGUAGACUCUUAUGAAUUAUAAGUCUUGUUAUCGGAGAGUCCCGGCUAAGGGCUUCCUUAGCCGAUGACGUCAUUAGACGUUCAAGAUAGUCGACGACUCUUGUUGAAUGUCCCUCUUUAGGGAGUUAGUUAACCCUUUAAUAUACUUGACGUUUGAGACUUAGAACGUUUGUUGGUUGAAAUGCCCGGCUAAGGAUAUCUUUAACCGCUAGAAAGCUCGAACUGAAUAGAGAUAGAUGAGCCUUUGGCUAAUUCGCCGUCGUAGGGACGCGUCGACUUGGUCAACUCAGUCGACUUCUAAAACCUGAACAGCUACUUAUUAGAGAGGCCCUGUCAGCCAUAGAGGUGACGGGCGGAGUUGUUAGAAGUCAUAAACCAGGAAAGGUCGUUGAAAGAGCUCCCGCCGUAGAGACUUCUAGAAACAGGCUUAUUGAGCUCGAACGUUUUAAACAAGAAUCGGCCUUUGUUAAAUUGUCCGUGUUAGCUCCUCGAUGAAUUGACGUUAAGUAAUCUUAGAGACCUGGAGAGUUUGUUAUCGGAGUCGCCUCAAUAAGGCAGGCCAUAGCUGGCGGAAUGCUUAGAGUUCUUAGAGCACGAAGUGUUGUUAUCGAAAAAGCCGCAAGAUGGUGUACUCUAACCUUUAAACUCGUUAAACCUCUAUAAUAGAGAGAAGGUGUUGUUAGACUAACCACCUUAAGGUGGCCUUUAACCCUUCAAUGUCUUCGACUGCGAAGAAGAGCAUAUACUCUUAGUCUACAGACCCUGGUAAGGCUUACUCGAUUGGUUGACGAGCUUGAAUCUUCUCUAGCUGAAGAAGCCUUUAGUGAAACAGCCAGGUUAAGGCCUAUCGUAACCUUUCGAGUUCUUGAACCAUCACGACGUUAACUCCGUCUUACUCGAAAGCCCGGGAUAAGGAGGCUCAAACCCGAUGACGUUCUUCGAUGUUCUGGAACGGAACCGGCUAUUAUUCGAGAGCCCCUGGUAAGGCUCGUGAAAGCUUGUGGAGCGCCUAGAGUGUAACUAGUGUAACAUGUUGUUAAGGGAGCUCCCAGGAAACGGCCUCAGAGAGAAGUACGAUUUUUUAGAGUCGUAGUAGUUGAAGAGAGUGUUAUCUGAGUUGCCUUCGUAGGAGGGAAACGAGCCGAGUUGGCGUAAUUGACAGGACCUAAACUGUUUAUUGUCGAAAAGUCCACAUUAAGGGAGGCGAUAGCCACUCAGCUCCUUGGACUGGUCUGAUUCCGAUCCGGUGUUAGAGGAUUGACCACGUCAGGGAGGACUCAAUCCGGAAGAGCUCCUUGAGCUGAAGGAUCUAGAACGCCGCUUGUUAAAUAGGCCACUUCAGGGCUUAUACGACAGUUCCACAUUCUCUGACUGGGUAGAGGACGAAUUACCUUUAUUGAAUCACCCAUCACAAGGAAGUACCGACCCCUUAAACUUAAACGAGCCACUUGAGCUAGAGAGAAGUUUACUUAAGUCGCCCCUAAAUGGAGGCCUCUAACCGUUGACGAGCUCAAAUGACUUUGAAAGAGACGUACUGUUGUUACAAAGUCCACAAUAUGGUGGCCUCUAGCCUUUAGAGCGGAGUGAGUUACAUGAAUUAAAUGUUUCAUUAUUAGUAAGUCCGGGUUAAGGAAGCUGAUAAGCCGUGACGUUGUUCGAGAUACUUAACUCCGAAAGACUCUUGAGUGACUGUCCUCAUUAUGGCCGUCUCUAGCCUGUCAAUUGACUCGAAGUUCAAUAUGACCUAAACUCGUCUUUAGUUAAUAGUCCUCUUUAGGGAAGAAGAUAACCUCUAGAGUAGUUCGAUCUCUCUGAAUUAGAUAGAAAGUUAGCUAACCUUCCCGCGUAUGGACGAAGCUAGCUGGCUGACUGUUCGGAUGUGGCUGAUUUAAAUAGCUUAUUAAAAGAGCUGCCAAGUUAAGGAAGACAUGAGAGCUCGAAGGGCAACUCGAGCAAAUGCCCAUUGCUUAAUACACCGCGCGGUAACCCAAGUACACAGCCGAGUGCCCGGAGACUCUACUUCUCGAAUAGCUGACGCUGCCACCGCCCCUAGUAUCAUCGCUAACACGAACAAAGUCGUCGCCAAACGCACCGCGAAGAAAUAUAUUACGAAUCUUAUACCUACUUAACCUCCCUUCAAAGACACAGUUUAAGUCUACCUCUUCUCAUACUCCCCUUUCUUCUGUCAUUUACCGGGUCUUUUCUGUUGUUUACCUAGUUUUUUUUACCCUUCAUAACCUUCCACUUCAGGUACAGACACCACCGAAGAGGACUACUCUCCUUGUCGAGAAGUAGACUAAGUACGUAAGAACCUCACUUUUCCCUUCACCCACGAAGUCUCUUAAGUCACCAGACUUUUUCUAAACCUUCAACUUACGUCAAAUCGACAACGUCUUGUAAGAGAGAAAGAAAAAGUAAAAAAAAAGAAAUAAAAACAUCACAAAACAAACCAACGACUUCACCCCACACCCAUUUCUACACGACCCAAAACAUACGCCUUUAGAUAAUGAUAACAUCAUCAAACAUCUGAGUCAUUUAGUUAGGGAACGGAAAGACUUUUAGACAUGACGUUCAUUGUAGAGAAAAGAACACGUUUGAUCAGAAACCAAUGACAAGUAUGACGUACUUUUAAAAGUUAAUUUGGUUCACUAAAACGUCUAUCUACUCUUAGUGAAAAUCGGGCUUAUUUUAAACGUUCCAAACUAAAUGUUCUCUCUUCAUCUACUUUGUGAGGUUGGAGACAUCACUAAUCAUUCAAAAGUCGUCAAGUAGAGUUUACGGAAUGUGUAGUUGUUUGAAAUGUUCCGCUUUUUCUAAUAGUGUAUAAAUGUAACCUUGAAUUUAUAAUGUCUUAAACAAGUAGUAUUCGGUUUAAAUGUCUACCUAAAGUUUGCAUUGUCCUAUUCUCACUCAAGGUGACUCUUUUACAUGUAACGCUGCAUAUAAGGCUUAGAGUUCCAUAGAAAUGUAAAUCCUCUGUUAUAAGGACGCAAGGAAGUUUGUUAAUGUAGACUAAACCGUUUACCAAUUCGGACUGACCAAAACGAUAGCCGAACUUACUAGUUUUCUCUUUUUUAUUUUUUUUUAUUUUCCUUUUUGGUAUUUGGGAUGGUUACAUAAUUGAUUACAAGCUUCGUUUUAAACAAGAACAAGGUACCGUAGAAACACGAAAAAGCGCGAGUAACAACCCAGUGGCAUAUUAGUGUUGGUAAUACCCAUGGUAUCUUGGUCACCACCAAACUCUUUUUCUCUUUUCUUAACUACAAGAUACGUAUUAUGUACAUGUUCGACGAAAAUCGUCGUGUCUGUUAGUCCAAACAACAUCCUACGGUACGGUUUACUCAGUCGAAGCUGAAGUUCAGCGUCCCCUAGAGAAGUAAUAAUAGUCCCGAGCCUUAUAGUACAGGACACUACUCCCAUUGCCGUUCUUAAUUUUUAUUUUUAAUAACUGCCAAGAAGUUCCUUUGACUUUCAACACCACUUUUCUUUACUCUUCACGGAUCCUGGAGAGGCUAACUCGGGUGCUCGUUUUGAACAUUCGUUGGGACGUCGAAAACCGUCUCUUAAAUACACACCACAGGACUCUAGUUAUACUUAAUAAUUUCACUCCGAGUAACCAAUAUAGGUAAAUAUGUUUCAUCGCUAAUAAUGAUAACUUCUACGCUCCAAUAGAAAAAGGUUUGGGAAAGUUCCUAAACGAAGUAAUUUCAUCCCUCAUCUUGGUCAUCUCUAACGAAAGGAGUAAAUGGGAUCUCAACUCAUAGAGUAACCUACUUUAUCUAGUUAUUCCCUUUGAUCACUUUUUCUUUAUUAAGCUGUACUAUAAACAUUAUAUUAUUGAGGUGUAAAGUUGUCUUUCACUACUGUUACUAUGACACUGACUGUUAAGUUCUGACUAUGAGCUCAAGCUAGUUUUUCCUCAAACAAAAGUAAAUCGGUCUCCCAUAUAGAAGUUAAAAGAAGCUGUUAAUUCAAGUGAUAGAAACCUUUAGUUAAUUCGAUUACUUGUUAUCUUAUAUAUUUGGUUGGACAAACCCAAAGACGAUCGAACGUUUCAUUACGGUAGUAGUCCAGGUGGCAGCGCUCUCUUUUGAGCCUUUAAUAACGACUAAAGUACGUCUUUUGUCAUCAGAAUUAUUGUUAUUAAGAUCUUCGUCAGUUUAUUAUAUAGUCUUUGGACAUUCUAGGUGACCGUUUCGCCGCAGGUAGGAACGAUUACGUUGUGGGUUUGAACAGCUUCUGCCUUAGUCGUGAUAUGUUGAGGUUCUCGACGUCUAUGGUCUUUUAUACAAUUGUAGUUUUAUAUAAAAAAGUUCUCCUCAUGAACAUAGAUACUAAUCAGCAGGUUUUGGAUUGUUUUUGUUUACUGUUCGUGAAUAAGAUGACCGUCUAACCCAAAAGAAAGCUUUCCCUUUUAAAGUUUACUCUGUGUAAACUACCAUGAACACGUAUAACUUAGUUUUGAUUAUAGUUAAUUCUUUAUUUUUUAUUUAUUCAAUGGAACCUCGCUUCUAUGAGUACAUGUAAUUUUCAACGUUAUCCUCUCGAGAGGUACACGUCCAGGGUGUAGACUUUUACGUCCUUUAUUGUACACUGUGGAGAUCUAAACAUCAAGAAAUAUUUUCUAUAUUACACCAGUUUGGAGAAUUGGACCGAUAUCUUAAACCUGCCACCGAUCCAAGUUCUCUAAUUCUCUCAAUUCAUACGAUUCUGAUCUCAUCGGGAUCCUGCCCACUGAGGGAGUCUUCACCCCGCAGUGUAUUGUUAACUCCGACUGACGUUUCAGGUGUUAAAAAAAAAAAAACCGAUUAUAUCUUGUAUUACUGUUGUAUUUAUUAUAUACCAUCCUGUUUUUUUUAACAUCUUUUCUCAGAGUUGUUACUUCAAAAUCUUUAGUGUCAUCGACUUAUAUUUCUAAAAUCAUUUUGUUAAUCUCUUUCCGAACCAGUUCAGUCCAACCAGUUAGGCGACUGACUUUUUGUUUACAGUUGAUAAAGUUUACCCUAUUAAAAUUUAUAAAACGUCAAUUACUGGGAAAUUUUUAGUCAACUGAACGGUCCGAUCAUAUUCCACUUGGCAGUUAGUUGUUUCUUAUGAGUGUCAUUACUUCUAAUUGAAGGUGUAUUCCGAUGUGAUGGAAAUUUAAGUACAUCAGCGCUGAAUCUUAUAUAGAAGGUAGAAAACCUUUGAAAUAUAGUCUUUAUCUUCUUUAAUAGAGCGAUUUCUUUCAGGGUCUAAAAAAUAAAAGUGCUAGUGCAUCAGACGUUGUCUUUUAUAGUUUAGUAGUUGGGGGAAACGAUUUCUUUGAUAAUUUCUCAUUGUAUAUAAUCUAUUUAGGUCACUAUUCUUAUUGCUGUUCGUUUACUUUAUCGAGUGUAAGAGUGUAAGACUAGUGUCUGACGACUGACAGCGUCCAGUUGUUCGGCUUAUUUUGGAGAGCUUGACGACAUCCGAUUUUCUAACGUUAUUCUGCCUACUUUAAGUCGACUUCAUUAGUGGAGACCUCUCAAGUUGUUUACUUUCAGUCAUUCAUUUCGAUAACUAGGUAGUUAUUCAAUGCAUUAACAAGUUUCCAUUGAGUCGUACGUGAUGGUUUGACAUCUUGAAGACAUACAACAGGAGAUGUGUUUCCUAAGGAAGUUAGUUCACAUAUUUUACAUCCGAAGAACAACUCUAAGGGAGUUGAUAGCCGGUACACUUAUCUGGGGAGUCGAGAAAAAAAAAAAAAAAAACCCAAUGUAAACGAGCAGAACUAAAUUCAACAAAGUAAUCCCUAAGGUAAUUAAAAUUACCGAGGUAGUCAAUAUUGUCCGAUUGAAAAUUGUCUUGGAUGUCUUUUUGGCUCUGCAAUUUAAAUUGGCAUUAUGAGUCUAAUGCGUAUUAAAGUGGUAUUACUCUUUAUUGAACUUAGUUUUACUCCUUUUCGUAUACCCGCAGUUUUUUUUUUUUCUAUUUCAACCCCUCGGAUAAAGUUUUAUCGGUUGUCGACGUCCCUAGAGACAUUCUAAAAUCGGUAGAUAAUAAGUACUACUCCUGAUUUUCAAUGCCUUUUGUCUUAAUACUUAUUUCUACUAAUAAUACAGUCCUUUUGUCAAUGUUUUAUCUAGUGGAUGCUCUAGAAGGUACAGUUUUCCGAAGUAUAGUUACUACAAUUUCGUAACUAAUGACUAGAGGUCCAAGGUAUUCAAAUAAGACUCCAGUAGUCGUCUAUACUUACAGAGUGGUAGUGACGCGUGCAUUCUUUUUAUAAUCCGGAGUCUGUUUUUUGGUUUUUGGUGUAUUUUCUUGGAUGUUUCCGAUCCGAUGUAAUCAUGGUAGACGGGUAAUCACUGUCUUCAUUUAGGACUUUUUAUUAAUGUUUAUUAGACUUGUACAUCUAGCUUACUCUAUUUAGAAGUGUGUUAAUUCGUGUUUUACGUCUUCUAUCAUUUUUUUCUUAUUACCUUUUAACAUAGUUAUCUACGACACGAUGGGGCUACUACGUUGAACCGGGGACUUGUAAAGUGAAUUUGUGACAGUAGGAGGUCAAAAGAGUAUACAACGUUAAGGUAGGAAUCGUCACCUUUUUUUUUUCUUGUUCUUUUAUUACAUCCGACUGGAAAAGUGAUUUUACUGGAAAGAUUGAAGUAAAGUUCAUUUGAAUUUUUGUUUCAUGAAAAUUAUCUUCCCUAAUAUACCAGUAAAAUCUUUUGAAAAAAAAAACUACCAGUCCUUACUUUGACGUUGUAUAAUUUUUGAAGUCCCUGAUGCAUAAAUUCACUUCUCAAGUCCCUGGUGUAGUGUUAUAACCCUAUCAUUCCCCUGAUAGGUAUGUAAUAUGACUUUUAUAGAAUGGAUAAUAAUCUCUACCUUAACUACAACAUUAGUACUCGUACUCUUAUCUAGGAGGCUGUGAAACGUCAUCACCAUAGAGGUUAUAGAUGAUGGAUUAUUGUUUUUAUUUAUAUCUGAUGUACCAUAAUUAUAAAUGGUCUUCUCUGUUUUGUAUAUUAUGAUGUUAUGUCAAAGAAGAAGCCGAAUACUACUUUGUUUUAUGUUGAUUAUUGUUGAGUCAGUACUUAAGGCUUAACCUAUAUCAACCUAAUUGUUCCAUUAUUUGAUUGUAUAUAUUACCUCUAAAUACCCCUUCCUUUUUAUUUUUUCUUUUAGGAGAUUUGGUUGGAAAAGUCCCGGAAGAAGUCUACAACCUCUACAUAAAGACCCGAAGAAUAAGGAGGUGAGUUCCAUCAUUGGUAAGGAGCAUCGAGAAAGGCGGAGCGGUUGUUCUUUUGAAAAGGGUCGUUCAUCUCGCAAGAGACUCCCAUACGCAUCUGAACCAAAGCGAAGGAAUUGAAAGAAAUUGAAUAAAAGGCUUCAGACGAAAGUGCUAUAUCAAGUAAUUUUAGAGUAAGACUACGAUCUUCUGUGUAAGGUUAAUGAGGUUUGUACUUAAAAAAGACAGUUCAAAAUGGAAGGUAUCAAAUUAACAGGAUAGUAAACAUCUUUCUUAUUUGUCACUUGACAACCCGACGCGUGUGGUGGAGUUAAACAACUAGAAGAGAGGUUAGAGGUUUGAUAAGUCUAUCAGUUUGAUGUCUCUCUUCAUGGUAACGUAAAGAGAUAUUCGUUAAAUGCACGGUUUUAAAUGCGUGAUAUUAUCUUGUUCUUUUCCGAUUGAAUUAUUUAUCGUAUGGAGAUCGAGUACUGAAACCUUGAGCCAAAAUAUUCAUAUAUAUCCUGCACGGCAUCGUCCUAUCAGGGACCUAAGAUCGAGUAAGGCUCUUGGGUUGACUUUUAUUAAUUUUUAGUCAAUCAUGAACUGGUGGUUUAAGCACAUGUUUUGAAUUCUUCCUUUUGCUCUAGAUAAAAUAGAAUCAACGUUAACAUAUGUAUAAAAACGUACAUGUCUUUUUUUUUUACUGCUUUAUGGUAUCUACUACACUCUCAAAUGUACUAGGGAGAGACAAGGAAGUUUUUCUUAAUAGGCCGGUGGUAUUAGAGGUUGACGCUCUAUCAACGGAGACGUCAGCUUAAGGUAACGCCUAUAUCAUAGUGGACGUCGUUACGUUUUCUUCGUCGUUAAACAUUUUAUCACCGUCGUUCUAUUAUUCAAGGCCACGUAAAAACCCAAAAGAAAAAAGUGGAAAAAAAAACCAAAAUAAUGUGAUAUGAUCUGAACUUGAAGUCCCAACAAAAGCGAAAGAUAUAGCAUGAAGAAAAAGACAGUUUUUAAAAUAAUAAGUAAACCGUCAUUAGGGAUAUGCGAUAGUUGCUUGCUAUUUUAAAAUUAGUCGUGGCUCGUAAAAGAACGUAUAUCAAAGAGGUCGGGGUUUUGGACCAAAACUAUCAAGCGCACGCGCUUUCACAAAAACUAGUUCCUUCUUUUACAUCAAUUCGUCGUUACGUUUCGCUCGCAUCUCUCAAACUUUAAGUGUGAGAUGUUCAUCGUAGAAAAGAUACUAGACGGUGGUUUUAAUUGGUAUUGCUCCAGCUUUAGAGUUGCAAAAGAAUUGGUUUAAUUCCUGAGAUCUGAAGAGAUGACUCGAGGAUUUCACAUUAAUUCGAGAAAAAGUUUACGAGCUUACGAAAAGAUCAUUUCUUCGACUUGGUUUGUUCGUGAUUCGUGUGUAUAGUCGUAGUAAGUAGCUCGUGCAGAUUAAUGCUUCCACAUAUCUUGAAUGGACUUGAUAGCGGGUAAAACUAGACUGAUGGAUUGGGUAUUUUUAAAACUAAAACAGUAGAUUGAAAAAUUCAGUCAACUAUCUUUAGCUAAUUACUGAGAAGGUAAAGUUUUAAAUCUAUUCUUGUUCGUAUUAUUUACGUAGUUUUACUCGUGACUCGGAUUCGAAGCAUGCCCUUCUUGGUAGUGUGGCGAAUUUAGUUUGUUUACUUUUCGAACCUAUACUUUUAGUUUUAAAAGUCCCUAACUAAUCCAUCACUUACCUAAACCUAAACCUACCCCUGACAUUAGCAGCAGCAAUGGUAGAAGCUCGAAGAGGGGGCCUUCGCCGAGCGGGUCGUGGACUCUGUUGAAGGUGAGGUCGCGGGGGCCGCGGCCGCGGCCGCUUGAGUAGCGUGAUUUUGCCGCCGCCGCCGCCGCCGCCGCCUUCGCGAAGAGGGAUAGCGAACGAAAGAUAUAGGCGUCAGCUGAGGCCACUUCACGAAGUCUCAUUUCGCUUUAUUUAUUUAUUUAUUUUUAAGAGACGAAAAACAAAAACAAAAAAAAAAAAAACAAAAAACGAAAAAAAAAAUCCACGUGUCGUCGUGUCACGUGAACGAAUAGAGAAGCGGUUUAUAAAAUAUAAAGAGCAAAAAAAAAAUAAAAACCUUUUCACUCUUAAAAAUCACCACAUAAAACGACGAUGUAAUCGAAACCGUUGCAGAGUGCAAAUGUAGGCGUUAUAUAUUAUCUACGCGUCAAUGUUUGUUAAGAUGUCAUAUUUAAAUCUAGUAAAUUCUAUAUUAUUAUAGCUAAAAUCGGCGGCGUAAUGGUUUGAUCUGCUUUUGUAUCUUGUUUCGGGUUCAUUCCCGAAAAAAACGUUUAUCGGGGUACUGUUUAAAAUAAACAUUUUUAUCGGGGCAGGUUUUUAAUAAACGUUUUUACCGGGAUGGGGACGGUGCGGUCGCGGUGCAGUCGCGGUGCGCCCGUCCCGCCCGGGUCCACAAAUUCAACUUGUGCCACUUGGUAAGUGGCACAAGUUAUGUUUUAAAGUGGCACAAGUUAUGUUUUAAAAACAUAACCUGUGCCACUUACCAAGUGGCACAGGUUAUGUUUAUGGGGUUGUUACUGAUUCAACCUCCAUAAACAUAAUCUGUGCCACUUAGUAAGUGGCACAGGUUAAUAAACAUAACCUGUGCCACUUACCAAGUGGCACAGGUUAUGUUUAUAAAGCUAGAAUCGAUAAAACAUAACUUGUGCCACUUAGUAAGUGGCACAGGUUAUGUUUUUGAAACAUAACUUGUACCACUUAGUAAGUGGCACAGGUUAUGUUUUUGAAACAUAACUUGUGCCACUUACCAAGUGGCACAAGUUGAAUUGGUAGACCGGGUCGGGGCGGGCGCACCGCGACUGCACCGCGAACGCACCGCUCCGGUCCCGGUAAAAACGUUUAUUUAAAAACUGUCCCGGUUAAAAUUUUUUUUUUAAACAUUCCCCCGAUAAACGUUUUUUUCGGGGGGUUCAUUCCUUGUAAAGGAGUUUUUGUUCCUCUAACCUACGUCUUGUUACAACUUCAAUUUGAUAUGUAGUCGAACGGUUAGAUCUUUAAAAUGUUCCUUUACUUCUAACGUUAUAGAGAGGGGCAUUUAAGCUCAAGCGUUGACCUUUUCAUACGGGAUCGUAAGUCGCGGUCAAUGGCGCAGCGGUGAUCCAAUGGGUACUCGGGAGGCCGCUAAAGCAUCACGAACCGAAGCCUUUUAGGCCGCACAAACCGCUCCAAAAGAUUGAGGAAAGGACGUGUCUUGUGUCUGAGAGUUCGGCUGCAUUUGUGCUCGCUCUAAAUUAAUGACACAGCUAUAGAUUUGACUGUCUUUAAAUUUCGAGCUAGACAAUGUCUACUUCUUUAAAGCUUUUAAGGACGACUUAACGUCGAAUUUAGAGUAAUGUCAUUCGACGAACAAAAGAGUACUUAAAAUCCUAAACAUUGGUAGCCUGGCUAGCGAGAUUUAGAUGAAGAUAAAUAGGAAGUCCGAGAUAUUACUUCAAAACAUUACUUGUUGAUACCUACGUAUAAGGGUCUUUUUUCAUAAGUGGUUGUAUUUAUGUUUACAUUUUGUAUGGACAAUUUUUGAGCCGAUAACUUGGAAAAUUUAUGAGCAUGAGAAGGCGUUCCGGUAUGGCUGAACGUUCUCCUUGUUGGCGUAACAGAUAGUGGGUUAAGAUGUUACAUCUUUAAUAUCGCAGCAAUUAACUUUCUUUUCUAAUCUCGGGGGUGCUUCGUAAAGUUUAGCCGAAGUUCUUGACACCGCGUAGGCCGAAAAUGUUCUUUACCUUGUUCUUUUCCAUAACGUGUUUCUCAACGUUCUUAUUAUUUGAUAUGUAUAGUGCCCUGUUCUGUAUGUCCGCCUUUCCAGAGUUCAUGGACUUUUCUUCUAUACUUUCAUCUACUCGAGAACAAUUUUAGAUCUUAACUACGAGAACUAGGACGUUUUGUAAAUGAGUUUUGGCUCUGGUUAUUAUGCAUUGUCAAAGUGUCGUUUUUUGUGAUCAGCUUUACUCAACGUUACCAUACUUUGGACCAAAGUCUUGGGAUUUAUAAAGGACGUAACGAAAUCCAAACAGUUGGUUCAAUGCAUUGGGUAUUGGUUGUCAUUACCGUAGUUUUAUCGUCAGGUACUUACCAUUUAGAUCCCGUAGUGGAAGUUGGGUGGACGUAUUUUCAAAGAAAAAAUUUUUUUUUUUAAGGGUCACAUUCCAGAUAUGCCCCCUCGUAUUUAAGGGAAGUCUUUCUUAUUCGUGUCUUUUUUACGGUACAUGAACUUUUAUAGAGUAAUUAUAUGCGUUACAUUUGUCGUACGUUAACAUCCCUUGUCGUCGUCUUCCUAAUAUCUCAAGGUCAUACUAUAUCUAGAGGAUUUACCCAGUGUACGUGAUUCUUAGAUAAUAUUGACUUUGUUUUUUCUAUUGGGAAGUAUAAUGUUCCUGAGAAAUACGAUAAUAUGAAAAGCACGGCUUCCAAGAGUGAAUUACAAGAACAUCGUUCGGAAGGUUAUAACGAGAACCGCUCAUCUUCGUUAACUAUUACCGUGAGAACUCUUCAGUUCUCGAUAGUGGACACUUCACACUGUUUUAUCGUAAUCUGAGAGAGUAACAGACUAUAGGGUCCAGUUAGUAAGAGGUAAAAGCAGUUUUACUUGUUUUCUAUUUUCCCAUUUUAUAUAGAUAUCAUUGGGGUAUAACGUCGAGUCACGAAUUUGUAAAGUGAAGUUUCGAUCAGGAAUUGAAAGAGUACUUAACAUGAUGGGGCUAUAAUACUGAUUUAGGGAUUUGAAGAGUCUAUUUGUGAAAUGAUGGACUUGAAAGAGUAUAUGACGUAAGGUAGGAAUUGGCGAGGACUUAGAACAUUCACUGGUAAAUAUAGCAUAGGUUAUUUUACUGAAGGAUUGAUUAAAGGACUUUGUCGUAACUUUUCCAGUGAAAUGUCAUUUUUACAGUACAAAAAUCAAAGAAAAGAAAAAAAAAAAAAUUCGUGGUUCCUACUUUUACGUCAUUAUAGUCUUUAAAACUCCCGAUUUCUAAAGUUGACUUUACGAUUCCCUGAUUGACUUUGUAGUUCUAACAUGUUUCUGUUAGGAAUGCAUAAUUAGCUUUUAUUUUUUACGUAUCACCUACUUUUGUAAACGAUUGGGACUGGACAUUCUGGUAAAUUUGAACAAAGUGUCUGUUGUAAAGUGAACGUAUUACCAAAUCUUUUAUUUCUAUGUUUUUUCUUCCACUGGAGGAAGAUGUCAUAGUUUUUCAUAGAUUCUACGAACGUCGUUUUCAUUGUACGAAAUGGAGAUCCAGUACGAAUAGAAAGUUCCUACCUUUCAUUUUCUUAUGAGUUCUUUAUCGUCUGGGGUUGGGGUUGUGGGAGGGGGGGGAGGUUUGGUUUUUUUUGUUGCUUUCUCUUUUCUUCUUUACAACUUUGGAAUUUCAAAUAGUGACUACCUCUCUUUAUUUUCCGAACGAUAUAAUAUAAGGCAUUCAUUACGUUCGGAAUGAUGUUUAAGCUUUCGUCUCCUUUCUAUAUACCGGGAAUUUAAAUUACUCUUAUUGAUUGACAUAUAUCAUCGUGGUAAACUACAUUUUACUAACAGGGCUACUAAAGUACUACCGACACAUUCCAGUAUAACAAUGUAUGAAUGUAGAGUAUCGCCCGUAUCGUCAAAGUGUCCAUAAAACUUAUACACAAUUUCAAUUAUCUGUUGUCGGUGUGGAGAGGCAGUCAAGGUUGGAAGACCCUAUCUUCUUUACAGUUUAGCGGCGAGGGCGUCGUGUUUAGCUCUUGGGCUAGGGGGUAAAAGCGUGACGUUUUUCUCUUUUACCCAUAGUUUUAAUUCUACUUUAUGGACCUGAUGUUCCGUAAACCUUUGUUGUCAAUAACCUUGUAAUUUUUGAUUGAUUGGAAAGGCAAUUAAACCUCUUACAAAAAUUAGAUUUCCUUUUAAAACAAUUAACCGUCUUACUAUAUAAUGACAAAACUGUUUUUAUCUAUUAAAAGUUUGUUAUAAUUACUUUAUUUUUUGUUUCUUUCUAUUUCAUCGAUUUAGUAUUAUAAAGGACAACUAAAUGCGUAAAGAUAUCAGACCAUUCCGAACAUACGAAAAUGGGUUUUAAUUUGGAUGAUUUCAUUUCGAGUUCACGACAAACCCUAGUAAUAGUAAAAACAAAUUGAAAAAAUUGUAAAUAAGAUAUAUUAACUAUAUAGCUGUAUUCUGAAAAGAAAACAAUAGUAACAACUAAUCGAACGUUACGUGAUACCGGUUCAUUGCCUGCUAUUGAACAAAUUUUUUUAAAAUUUUCGUUUGUUUUUUCAUCGAGAAAAAAAACGACAAUUUAUUUUAGGUUCCUAAACAUUCGUUAGGUGGUAGAGAAAAUAUGAUAAAAUAUAUCUUUAAAAUACAUUUUUUUACUUUUUUUUUUUUACCGUUUCCGCGUUUUGCUCCGGUUUUUUAUCGUAAAAAAAAUUAAAAUGGAAUUAGAAGAUCUCACUUUGGUGUUUAAGUUAAAGCCUUGGGGUCACUAUCAUUGUUAUUCCAUUUUUAUAUGUUUUGGACUUGAUACAUAGUAAAACUAAACCGACGGGUUGGAAAGUUAAAAGUAUAAUGAUAGGUUGGAAAGUUUGUCAGUCUAAACACAGCCACUUGCUAUGAAACUGAAGUUUUAAUUUCAAUUAAUGAGUGAAAUUCAUCAAAUAUUAACGUUUUUAAUGUACUUUAUAUGGUUAGUUUUGCGUAAGUUUAAAAUUUUAAUUUCAUGGGGCAACUGACUUAGUUUAGUUUAUUUGACUUUGUCAUCUAUCAUUUUAGUUUUAAAAUUUUCAAACCCAUCAGUUUAGUUUUACCAGUAGUCAAGCUAAAUCAAGUUCCGAAGUUCGUUAAAGACAUGCAAAAAUGCCUUUUUUAUUUCUUUUUCUCUCGUAACGUAUAUGGGCGAGGUCCUCUGCCGGUAGGAGAAGGUUUAGGAUACAACGGGGUUCCACUCGUGUAGCAACUCGAUGGUAAAGUCGUAGUUUUCGUUGUUGUAUGUAUUCAUUAUCUUGCUUCGUUUUCUUAGUUUGCCCGCCUUCUCUUCCUCCUCCUCCGCCUUAACCCUCCACUCGAUUGUGUGCAACAGCAUCUACCCCCGCUACGCCCUCUUAUCCCAGACCGCUAGCUCCCUCGUGGACUAAGCUGCUCUGCUUCGGCUGCUGCUGCUGCUGCUGCUGCCGCUGCUGCUGCCUCUUCCUCUCCUCGCUUCCGCUGCUGCUGCUCGAGGGCUCCUCCUCCUCCUCCUCUCCCUCUCCUCUUCUCCUUUACCUCCUCCGCCUCCUCUCCACCAAGCCCUCUCUCACCUUCUCCCGCGACGUUGCCGGUACCCGCUACCUACGAAGAAGGGAGAAGGAAAAGCGUGGUUUUCCCACUCCUAAUAUUAUUACUACUAAAAGAAAAAAGAAAAAAGAAAAAAAGAAAGAAAAAAAAAAAAAAAAACAAGUGAAAUAGAAAUGAAAAAGUAUUUUUCAUUUUUUUUCUUAACAUCCAAACAUGUAUAUAUGAAAAACUAUAUAUAUAUAUAUAUAUAUUUUUCCUAAUGAACCAAACAAUAGAAACUAGAAAAUAUCUUUUCCACAGAAAAAUUUUUCUGCGAAAAUAGUUUUCUACUAUUUUCCAAGGAACCAAUCAAGCCCUUAGGAGUGAAAUUAUAUGGAACAUGAAACGGCAAGUAGUUUAUUGUAGUUUUAUCUCAUUCCUAGCUGUAGCAGGGUCUAAUAUUUAUAUAGUACAAGUUUUAUACUUGCAGAAUGCAUGGGCUAGUAUUUAUCACAUUAGGGUAGUGGUGAUAUAUAUUAAAAAUGAUGGAAGGUAAACCUAAAUCUUAGGAUUUGAUUUACACUAGGGUAAUGUUUGGGCGGCUAUCAAUAUAGCUUACGACUUGCAACUUAUGGAGAGAUGAGUUAUGAUGAAAUAAAAUUUGGUGUUUCGUAAUUUGACUAUGGUUAUGUUAUCUUCUUUUUCUUCCUCUUGUUGUGUGCGCCAACGAAAUUCUUCUUCCUAAAUGGUUCUAUCUUUUCUUUUCUUUCUCACCUUUCAUUCUUAUCUUUUUUUCUGUCUUAUCAUUCUUCUAAAUUUUCUUCUCUAAUUUUUUUGAAAAUUUUUGCAAAUUUUCUGAAAUUUUGCCCAUUUAUUGGUUAUUUUCUAAUAUUUCUUCUUAAUUUCUGAAAAAAAGAUAAUUUUGAAAAAUAUGAAAAUCAUUCAAAACAUUUAAAAUUUAGUUUUCUUUAAAGUUUGGGUUCAUCGCUUGCAAAAUAGAUUAGGGCUUUUCUAAUUUGUCCUGCAUCAAUGCUACUUCAGAAGUUGACAUUUUGAGUGAGCAAAGAAAACUGCUGACCGAUUGGAUUUUGUUACAACAAAUUUCAAUAAUAAUUACUGCUAUUAUGCCCUGUCAGAGUUAACAAGGGUUUAACCAUUUGUAUCAUCUCUUUCUUUAUGCUAAUUAUGUUCAUUUCAUGGUUCUUUUCACAAAUGUGUUCUACAUUUGUACGAAAUCCUCCAUAGGAGUUUUGAACUAGCUGUUUCAACUACAUUUCUUUAAACAAAGUAAGACGGAGCUAUGUACCAACAUAUAUGAGAAAGCUUAUUUACAAUUCUUAAGGGCCUCAAAUCCUCUUGCUGCUUUUAUUUGGGUUAGCAGGAUGGAAAAAAAAAAAAUCACUAGCAAUAUCACAAGCAAAGUUUAACUGCAAAGGCACGGGGUUAUGUUGAGUACUUGCUAGCACAGUACAUCAGUGCUGUGCUGUGCCGGUUUGUGUAGCUGACACAGUAUCUAUUUGCGGACACACUUGGCAUAAAAAAAUUAUAUCUUUGACUCUAUUGUAUUCCAAUUGCUCUCAAUAUAUUGUUAGUCAAAUGUUUUGUACUCCAUUAAUGCAAUUACUUGCUACUGUCCAAAGAAAAAAAAGAGCCCGUUUUGAGUUGUGCCAUCGGCAUGAAGGACAUUUUCAUUCCGAUACCUAGUCGGCACAAUGCAGCAUGGUAGGCAGGGCUCGUGCCAAUGAGCACUUAAAUCCUCGAUCACAAAGAUAUUCACAAAUUUCUGUAUUGUACUUUUGUUCCAAUAGUUAAUGUAUUAUCAUGAUUUUGUUGAUUGACAGGAUUCUAUUCUUGGAGGCUAUUCAUAAUAUCAUGGUGUACAAUCAUCUAUUCUAUUCUUGCCAUAUUAGCUCAAAUCUUAUUUAAUAUCUUUUGGUGUAUUGAGGGAAAGGACUGGAGUGUGGCUCAUGCCUGGUGGGCAAACCUCGUUGGUUUCAUCAGGUACAAUAGAUAAUGUGAUUUACUGGUUUUUCUUUUUUGGCCUCCAAACUUUACCCUUUCUUGGUCCUAUAAUGCUAUAGGCUACUUCAAUGUGUUACAAUAGACCAUUUAUAUUGACUGCCUCGUCGCAGAACUUACUCAUGCAGGAGUGUAUAUCUGUCAAGAAAAUCUACUUAGGUCAAAAGUUCAUUGGUUUUGCUCGUCUUUGUGGAUUCGAGAAUCUAGAGCAUAUUAACAUGAUGAAAAUUUCAUGGCACAUUAUGGAAGUUUUGAACUGGUGAAGGAUAAUUGAAGCUACUUUUAACAUACUAGGAAGGAUUAUCUAAUAUGAGUGUUCUAAGGGGGACUAAAUGCACAUUUGUAACAUAUGAAACGAGGCUUUUUUUCAAAAAUGUUGGUCCAAGUACCGAAACUUUGCCAUCUUUGAUCAUCACCUUUACUGUGCUAGAAUUGACGAGGUCAGACUAAUUUGCAAUUUUUUAAUUGAAACUUCCAGGUCAAUAAGAGUAUUAGUACAUAUGAAAGUAGAUUUAAACUCGACAAUUGGUAAAUCGAAGCUGCUUAAGUGCCUGCAUCUGAAGAAGCAAAUGCUCCUGCCUUAGGAAUAUACUUUAUAAAUUGCCUUAUUACAUCAAAACAAUCUCAUGAUAGAAGAUGGAACAAUAAAAGGGAGGCUAAGCCAAUGAUAAAUGCAUGAAUGAAUUGGUAAGCCAUCCAAUAAAUCCUGGGCGGAAGUUGAGUGAGAGCGAGGAAGGAAGAAGGUGAUUGAUGACAAUCUAAUAGUAAUGAUAAAUUUUGUUAUAUUAAUAUGUGAUGAUAUUUUAUGCUGCUUUUCGUUAAUGCUCCGACCUAACUAGUUGGCAUUGAUAAACAAUGCCACUCUUGUCUUGCUAAUCUCGAUCGAUUGUUGAUACUAUAACCUUUUUUGAGAUUUAGCUGAAGGAAAUAUCUUUGUCACCCGAUACCUUGCUAUUUUGUUGUUUGAGAUAUCAGGGCUCUUGUAUGGCAUUUCUAAUGUUGUUUAUUGAUUGACCUACAAUGUAGAAGCCUUCUUCAAUCCUAUUAAUAUCCAUUGUGCAAAGUGAUUGCUUCUUGCACAAUGCCGUCACUAGUUGAUGGUGUUGCCAAACGUCCAACAUUGCUGUUGUUCUGGUGUGGGUGAAUAUUUGUUCUUCUUAGCAAGGCACCUUAAUGCAAUGUAUCUAUUCUGUAGUUAUUUAAGCUCGUGUUUCAAGUGACCAUCAGAAAUUUCUAAGUGUUUAGGGAUGGACAUAUCUAUACUCCCGUUGUUGGUUUUUAUUGUUCCCAUUAACAAUAGAGAAGCAGUCUUUUUCUUGACAAUUGAUUAAUGUAGAAAUCAGAAAACAUACCAAAUGAAAUAUAAAAUAUCAUAAAGAGUGAUCCUAAAUGUGAGCAAGGAUGGGCGCAAUUCACAUUGAGUAGAAUUGCUAUUCUAUAGAUAUAUUGGAAAGUUUGAUUAUUUAGUGGUGAGUCAUAUGUAGGUGGUUAUGUUGUCACUACAUGUCAUAUUACUAAUUCAACACAUGACUGGCAAGAUGAACUUCGUGUUGCUUGCUAAGAUCCUAUCUGUAUCUUGCCAUUGAUUUACAUGUUGAUAACCUCGCCCUAAAAGAUUAUGUUACAUAUAGUUAGCUACGAUGAAUGUUCACCUCAUUAGAAAUGCCAUAUUGAUUCAUUAUUUUUAGAAUUUACCGGACUCACUCUGUUCUAGUUUUAUAUUUUAUGGGAAGAGAAUCAUUCACUUAUAGUUGUAUUUAAAGUCACAAGCCCUAGACAACUUUAUUUUAUCUGUACUACUAUAAGAAAGGAGUUUCAAAUAUUAGGUUCUUCCUAUUUUACUCCUAGUGUUUGAAAAAGCGUGAGGUGCAAAAAGGUUCAAAGGCCUUCUGGAGUCUAGGUGCGAGGUGCAUCGCGAGGUGUGUGCCUCAAAAAGGUGAUGUGCACAUCUAAUAAAAAUUAAACACUCUUAAUAAGCCUAGUUUAAAUGAAUAUUUUACAUUAAAAAAUUUCAAAAUAGCCAUACAAAAAUAAAAUAACUAUAAAAAAGCAAAGAAAUCACAUGUAUAAGUAUUCUCAAACUAAAAAGAACGAAACUAUUUUCAACUUUCAACUUAAAAGCAAGGUUUUAAGUGCCCGUCGGCAAGAGCCGUAUAUACCGUGCUGUACCGUGCCAACAAAAUAUCGGCACGAUACAGACCCCGUGUCGAUGGCACAGCUCAAAACCCUAUAUUCUUUAAAUACUAAGUAAUUUCCUCAAUAAAGUUCAAAAGAUGUGAUAAAAAGACAUAAUAAGUAGUUAGAAUAUUUUGUUGCUAAAGAAAAUAAAUAUUUCAUGCUAUUAUGUGUCGACACACAAGAAUUUUUUUGACCGGCACGCAUCGGCGCGGCUUGGCACACACCGUGCCGUACCGUGCCGGCAAGUUUCCGGCACGCCCCCGUGCCACAGCACUUCAAACCCUUAUUUAAAAGCAAGGGUUUAAAGUGCCGUGGCACGGGGGCGUGCCGCUCUUUUCUUGGCACAGUACGGCACAGGCACUCUUGCGUGUCAACACGUGGUACGAUUGCGUGCUGAUGGAUACGUAUGACCUCCUACUGGCACGCUUUGGUAUGGACUUAUUUUAGUUUUUUGGUUCCAAUAAGCUCUUAGAAUGUAAUUUUGAAAGAUUUAGACAAAUAAUUAUGAAUAUUUGCUAUGUAUAGCUUUCUAUACUCGUAAAUUAACAUGCAUGUAAGUUUUUUGUAUAUAAAGUAUAACUAUACUUAAUAUGGAAUAGAAAUUAAAAUACAAUAAUAAAAUUUACAAGUACAAUAAUUAUUUAAAUUUACAUAUUUACAUAGAGAUGACUACUUAAUUCCACAUAGAUCAUCGCAGUAGAUCAUAUGACAUAGUGUCAUCUGCAUAUACAGGAUUUAUUUGACAAUGUUGAUAUAAAUAUUGCUGGUAUUGUAAGAAAUUCAUAUAUUCCCGAUAUAGCUCAUUGUAUUGUCGGAGAUAAUCUACAUACAACUAGAUCGUGGUGUAAUGGACAACAAUCAUCUGUGGCAUAUAGAUUGAAACAUCAUAAGGAUAAGGAUUGUACGGAAUAGAAGAAUCAUAAUAUGGAUAUGCAUGCGUAUUAGUGGACGUAGAUUUGCCAUAUGAGCUUUCACUAUGUGAAAGUAUAGAUGGAUAAUAACCAGCAAGGUUCUAAGUGCCCGUCGGCACGGGGCGUAUCCACCGUGCCGUGCUGUGCCAACAAGAUAACGACACGAUACAGACCCCGUACCGGUGGCAUAGCUCAAAACCCUCUAUUCUUUAAAUUAGUAAGUAAUUUUCUCAAUAAAGUUCAAAAGAUGUGAUAAAAAGACAUAAUAAAUAGUUAGAAUAUUUUGUUGCUAAAGAAAAUAAAUAUUUCAUGCUAUUAUGUGUGGGCACACAAGAAUUUUUUUGACCGACACGUAUCGGCACGACUCAGCAUGUACCGUGCCGGCAAGUUUCCGGCACGAUCCCGUGCCACGGCACUUAAAUCCUUGGUAACUAGAUUGUUGUUGCUCCAGUUGAUGCAGGAUGGAUUGGGAUUCACUCUGAGUGCCAUGAAUUGAUGCGUCAUAAUCAAAUAUCCCUCCAUAAAGGCCAUGUUGAUAUGAGGGAUAUUAUGACACCGAAGUACUAUCAAACUGUGUGUGUAAAGUAUCAUCCCUUCGUGGAUGUCUAAGUUGAUACUGCCUCCAAACCUUCUCUCAUCUCCCCAUAAUCUUGUUGUGAGGAUCUUAUCUUUUCUACGGUCAUAUACCACUCCAAAUGUUUGACAUGGUCGAGACCCAUGAUCAGCAUCUUGAGUGGCAUGCGUGAAAUUUUGCUCUUUAGUAAAUAUAAGACCACCUCCACUUUCCUGUUGUGUUGGUGGAAUGAAAUCGCCACCAUCCUUACCGCUAUUAGUGGUAUCAUUAUCAUCACUACAUUCAUCUUUAGACCGUGGUAAUCCAGAAUCUGCUCGUGUUGAUGUAUCACUAUCAUCAUCUUGUGGGAUCAUCUAUUGGAUCUGUCGAGGUCAUACUUUUUUUACUCUUACCACUUCGAACUGUCGUUGAAGGCCUCUUUGCAUUAUAAGACGUUUUCUUCUUUCCAGAUUGACUCUGAGUAUGAUGUGGGUGACCAUGUCCAGGUCUUUGCAUUAGACGUUCAAAUUCUGCAUCAGAGUCAUGUGUAGGAUUUUGAGAUUCUUCGUCCAAAGCUGUUUGUUUUUGCACAUUACCUUGAGACUUUCUUAUAUUCUCGUCAGCCCAUCUUUCAACAUCACUAAUUCCUACUCCCUCAAUGAUUAUUCUGAAUGGUCGUGGUGGAUCUCCAGGCUCAUCGAGUUAUGGGUCCUUUUGAUUGACUCUAUCUUGUAGUCAAUCAAGUACGGGGUCUGAUUCAUCAUUGAUAAAUCUUACAUUCAAUGGAUCAUAGACGUUGUUUGGGAUAAGACACGCACAACAGUCUUUUUUAAAUGCUUUGUUGAUCCACCAUAUUGUGGCCACCACUCAUCUAUACAAUUAAAAGUUAAAAAUAUAUCAAAUUAGAUUUAUCGUCAAGUGUAAAAUGUCUAAAUUAUGGAGUUACUCACUGGGAUCGGUAUAGUGUCUCUUGUUAAUUGCACCCCAAUUCGCCAAAAGCUCCAGAAGAUUCACGAAAUGUUUUUUCCUUUAUUAUAAUAGUAUAAUAAUCAGCAAUUAGCAUAUUAACAUCUAGCAAAUUAAUAAUACAUUGAAAAAGCCAUUAUACCUCAUUUAUGGCAAGAGUAGUAUGUGUUGGAUCCCUCUCCAAUCUAUUGAUGAUGUUUCGUAAUGCCUUCAACAGUUCAUCAUCAAAUUCAAGAUUAUAAUGAUGGUUGUACGACGGAUUAAGAUAAUAACUUAUCAUUAAGAAAGAAAUCACUCCAUUAAUAAUGUAAGAAUACAAAUGAACAAUCGGUAAUAAAUAGUUUUGUUAUAAUUUAUAACUUACCUGCUAGGUGUAAAUCCCGACUCAUUUGGACAUUCCAACGUCUGGCAAUAAUUUUUAGAUAAGAUUGACGCCGCAACGGAUUAUUUUUUUUUAUAUAUUAUUUUUAGCCAUUCUCAGUUUAUAAUAGACAUGUCCUAUUUGAGAUAUUUUUUCUUGAUCCACUAAACGGAGGACCAUGUAUAACGGUUCCACAAUAUCAACAAUCUCUUUCACGUAAUCCCAAAACUUGGCGGAUAGAAUUAUUUGCUCCAUUGAUUUUUCAUCAGCCGUGGAGAUAUAACGAGAUGUUUGCCAUUCGUCUGAUGCAAACAUGGACUUUAAUCCAUUUUUAUUUUGACGGAUACUGUUUAGAGCAAUAAAAUUUGUGGCAAAUCGUGUGAUACCAGGACAUACGAGUUCUUGUCCAGUGAAUUUCACCAUUAAAGCAUGGACCCAAAGAUGAUUAUACAAAUAUUUAGAUACACAUUGUGCAGUAUCUACAGUUUUUUUUUUUAUCUAUUGGGUCACAAAUUCUCAAAUUCAACACAUUUUUGUAGUUUUUCUUUGUGUAAUAUAUCCACUAAAAGAAGUGUACUUUUUUUGCAGAGACCAGCCGUGGGGAUCAACAUCUGUAAUUUACUUUCUAAUCAUACAACUAUCUGCUGCUCUUGUUGCUUUAAUCAACAACAUGGAAGAUAAACUCUAUCAAGAUUCUUGUUGGCUUAGCUUCUCAUUAGCAGUUCAUCAUAUAGGUUUGUAAUCUUUGAACUUGAAUUCCUUCUUAUUCUUUUGCGAUGUCUCUGCCUAAUGUUUCAGUAAUGCUGCAUUAUUUACACUAGUGUCAACAGGACCACAAUUCACAUAUACAACUGGUGAUGCUAGAUUAGAAUACUUGAGAAAUUUAAUUUAUAGGUUUGUUGUAGAGUAUUUGAAGAGUAUGAUUAAUGUGCCAUGCUCCAACGCAGAAACCAAUCAGACGCGCAACAGAUUUGGUCCAUGGACAGAGUCUUUCUUGUACGUGCAACGCGUCAAACAAUACAACCUGUUCACGAUUUGCAUAAUUAACAACAUGUUAUAUUUAAAUAAUAACAAAGUGGGCAUUUAAAGCUAGACAUAAUUUUACACUCUUAAGUUUAUGUAGUUUCACAAGUUCUAUCAAACCCUUUUAUUAAUUACAAUACAUGCUUUAUACAUAUAUCACUUCCAAAAGAUGACUAACCCAAAAAUGUGAGCUGUUUCUAUCUCAUCUAUAACUCUCUGAAACCUCGCCAUGUGGUAGCUCACUGCCCAUCUUUGGCUACGACUGGAUCUGAAUAUAUUUCAACAAUAUGGAGUGAGAAAGUAACAAAAGUUUUUCAGUGGGUAUAGCAGGCCGAGAGAAGCGAGAAGUACCUAUUAGGUCCGGUCAGAGGUACAAAUAGUAAACAACUGGUAAUAAACGAAGAAUGAUAAGUAUUGAAAUAGCAACUAAAACUAUCAAGCCUCUAUAUACAAAUAUCCGAAUAAGGCUUCAAGAAUAAAGUCAUAAUGAAAACUGUAACAACUAAAUGUAAAGUUCAACUUAUGGGAACAUAAAAUUAUCAUGCAUCAAGUGUCAAAUUGUCCAACAAUAAUUUUAUUAUCAACAAAAUCUCACCGGCUUGCCUCAUUAGGCCCAGCCAGGACUUUUUUAUAAAAUAACCUUUUGAAAUUUUAUUAUUUGUGAAAUAACCUUACUAAAAUUAUAUUUAAAAAACUAAUCUCUUAAAGACGGUGAAUGGUUCACCGCCUUCAUAAAGACGGUGAAUGAUUCAUCGCUUUCCUAAUUUCUCAAAAAAGCGGUGAAUCAUUCACCGCCUUUUACUUGUUUAUUGUUUUUUUUUUAUAAUCCUAACAACCACAUAAAUAUUUCAACAAAUCACAUAUAAUCUUAACCUGAAAAUUCUAAUAAUCUAUCCAUACAAUACUAACAAUCAAAAAGAUCCUAAUAAUCUAUCCCUACAAUUGUAAUUUUGUAAUAAUCAAAUAUCACAUAUAAUCUUAACAAUUUGAAAAUCCUAAUAAUAUAUCAAUAUAAUCCUAACAAUCAAAUUUUUUUUAAUAAUCUAUCCAUACAAUUCUAACAAUCAAACAAAAAUUCUAAUAUUCCACACACAAUCCUAACAACCUCACUUUUUUUAUUUCCCGUAUAAUAUACGUACAAUUUUAACAAUCUCAUUUUUUUUCUCUUUCCCAAAAAAUUAUGAAGAAGACGGUGAAUGAUUCACCGUCUUUUAAAAAUUAUGAAGAAGACGGUGAAUGAUUCACCGCCUUUAAAAGAUCUUAGAGACUUUUAGAAUGCGGUGAAUGAUUCACCGUGUUCGAGAGUUAAUUGCCAAAUACAAAUUUGAUAGGGUUAUUUCGCAAAUUAUAAAAUUUUAGAUGGUUAUUUUGUAAAAAAGUCCCCCAGCCAAGCUUUCUUUCCCACCGGUCUGCCUCAUUAGACCUGGCCAUACAUGUCCUCUCCGGAGGGCACCAACCGCAAGGUUGCGAACCUUGAUCACGGCGGUGGUAAAAUAGUAUAUAUUUGUAAGCUAUGGCCUUUACAUAUGAUCAAGGCUCCAUAAUCUCACUAACUGAUAAUGUUUAACAAGUGACAUAUACUAUGCAUACCAUAGGGAGCCACAAGUUAGAAUACUUUAACAACAAAAGCAAGUACGUAACUGUUCAUUACUAACCACUAGCAUUCGUAAUUUCAAAACCAACAGCAAUUAAUAUCAAUACAGACAUAACGAGAAGGAUUAUAAUAUAUCAACCUAAGCAUGCUUACACUCACCAUGAAUCAAAGAAUAUACCCAAAAUAAGAUAACCAAUAGCAGGGAACAAGAUUAUAGAUCAAACUCAAAAUUAUAAAGGGAAAACUUCAAAAAACCCCCCUGUGGUUUCUUACUUUCUCAUUUUAGUACCCUGUGGUUUAAAGUGUAUCAAUUUGCUCCCUUGUGGUUUCGUUUUUAUCUUUUCGGUAGCUUUUUGGUUAAUAUUUCAUUAAAUUAUAUACAAAAAACUUCAGAUACUCAUCUAGAUUUAUCGAAUAUUCACUUUGAUACCCUUUAAUUUUAACUUUGUCACUGAUUUAAGAAAAAAAAAUAAUGAAAUUGAUAAUAAAAAGAGAAAAACGAAACCAGAAGGGGGCAAAUUGAUACAUUUUAAACCUCAGGGUACUAAAGUGAGAAACUGCGAAACCACGGGGGGGUUUCUGAAGUUUUCCCAAUUAUAAAAUUAGUACUGGUAAGAAGUUUUACCACUUUUGGAAUCGCUAACUCACCUCAACUAGAGAUGUCUUCACUAGUUUAUAUGCCUGAAUCUUGUUGGUUUGCCAAAAUCUAUGUAAUUCAUAUUUUACAUAUUAGAUUUUACGUAAAAAUCUCUCUGUUAAAUAUUGUAACUAAUUUGGUCUGAUCGGAUUGAUUUCUCCAAAUUCAUUCUAAAUCAGCGCAACUGUUUUAGAUUUAAUUUCUUUAUACCUGCUGGAAUAAGAAUUUCAUCAAGCAAGCUAAACUGUUUUUUUUUAAGUAUUAUCUGGAAAUUACUACGGAACCUUUUUAUAUGCUAAAUAAUCUUCUUCAUUGAUUUCAUCAGCUACAUAAAAACCUUCUUCAGAUUAAGUGUUUGGAAAUCUAGAGCUAUCAAUUUCACCUGAAAAAACUUACAAAAUCUCUUAAAUUCGAAGCUUUUUUUAAAUUCAACUUUAAGUGUUUAUCAAAAGAUUGCCUUCUUUCUUGGCUUAGGGUUGAACCAAACUCCUUGACAGGCUUUCUUAUAUUUUAUCUUCAACACACUCCUCACGUCUGGGUUUGAGAACUUUUGAUAGGCCCAAGACGUAGACUUGAAUUAAAUGGGAGGAAAUUAAAUGAGACUAGGGACCUGGCAAGAUUUGAACUCAAAAUAUUCUACUCUGAUACCAGGUUAAAUUAAAAUGAACCAACCGUUUAUUUCCAAUAACUUAAGCUGCCAGAGAACGGUGUUUUUAACAUUUAUCUUCAACAUGCGCUGGUUUGGUAGUUGUGGCUUAUUUUGUAGCUUGGUCUUAUGAGUCUCUUAGGAAGCUGGUUUUCAGUUUUGGAUCUACUAGUUGGGAUUCUAGAUGUCCACUUUUGUUCUCUGCAGAUUUAUACCAGGCACUGCUUUUGUUUCAAUUGCUGGAAAUUUCCUAUGACUAACUUUAAUUAUCGUCAUUCUAAAAUAUGCUAUGUCAUAUUUGAUAUUUGCUAAAAUUAUUGAUCCAACUUAGAGCAUGGUUGGCCCAACUUUUCCUCCGACGUCUGUGUGAAGGGGGGGGGGGGGUUUUUGGAUGAUUUUGUAUGAACGUCAUCGAGUCUAGGGACUUUGCACAAUAAAUCCAAAAUCGUAUUAUUCGACACAGCAUUAAAUCGACACUUCNGGGUGGUUUUUGGAUGAUUUUGUAUGAACGUCAUCGAGUCUAGGGACUUUGCACAAUAAAUCCAAAAUCGUAUUAUUCGACACAGCAUUAAAUCGACACUUCACAGGAUAGCACUAUGUCACGCCCCGGGACUGGCGGAGGCCCUCCCGAUAGCGCGCCCAGAUCCGCCAUAUGUCUACACAUAUAAGGCGUCUAGAAUAGAAGCGGAAGUAAAAGCAAGGAAUAUAGCAAAGGAAAGAACUACAACUAAUGAUAUCAGAGCAGUAUGAUUCUAUCAUCUACAAUAAGGUAAAAAGACAAUACUGAAGCAAUAAAAGUGAAACACAAAGUUAUACAAUAUCGGUCCAAAAGGUACACAAAAGGGUGGUCUCUAAUACACUGGUACAGCUCUCAACCUCUCCAAAAUAAAAAUACACCGAGAGGUAGACCACCUAGAACUCGUCACUCGCUGAAGAGCUAGCUCGAAACAACGCCCUUCUCACGGUCCCUAGUCUUUCCCGGCGUGGAAGGCUCUGAAAGAAAACAUAAAACAGAGGGCGUGAGAACUAUAAUUUAUAGUUCCCAGUGGGCAAUUACUGACCUCAGCUCAAUGCACCACUAGGCCCCAAAGAAAGGGUAAGUCAAAAGAGGGCAAUAAUAAUGAAUAAACUGCAUUUAAGAAAGCACAAUUAAAAUACUAAGAUACUACAUUGUCUCAAUUAAGAUGAACCUUAUUUCAUAAUGAACACGUAUGUCCCUACAUGACCACAAGAAAAAAUCAAGAUUUGUUUUAUGAAACUAUGAAGAUCAUGCUUUACUAUGGUAACCAAUGAUUACAGGAAUGCAAUAAACAAUAUCUCCUAGCAUGCUACAUGUAUGUAUUUACACUCAAGUGUCCAACACUAUGCUAGAAGCAAAUCUAAGUAAUCCAACUACUACUCGCUAUCUAGUAGUGAUUAUAACGCACUCAAUACUGUGUCGAUUUCCAUUUCCAAUUAAGGACCUACCAAGGGUAGUCCGGCUUGUGCCGCCUAAGUGCCUGUGGUAGCCCAACAUCCCCACUCUUGGAAUGUGUCUGUCCCACUCGACCCCGUAGGCUUCUCAAUACCGCAUGAGCGAACAUAAGUCGCGUAGGCUAACUCCGGAGUGCCGGCUUGUAGGGAGCGACCCUCACAAGCAUGUGCGAAUGAGCACAAAUGGCAAGCAAGCAUAGUCAAAGGCUCAAGUGUCCAGCUCUCAUGUCUCAAAUAUGGCAAUAACUACUAGUAACCCAACGGUCUAGCUCUAUGUCAUAAUGUGACACCCCAACACUCACUUGCUUAGUGCUUCUUUAUGAUACUUAAGCACCACAACUAAUCAAGCCCAAAUCAUGUUCUAUGUUCUCAUUUAAGACCUUAAUACCAAUGUUCACUAAGGUUGGAGCCCAAUGCCUCUUUAUGACAUUGGCUCAAAAUCUCAAAUAGUCUAAGUCCCUAAGCCUCUCUAGGCUUCCAAAGUCUCUAAUGUCACAAUUGGGCAAAAAGGGUAAAUGCAUGAAGGCAAUGUUCAUUUUCAUAAUAGGAAUCAUGGUUCCAAUUCUCAACUAGAAUGCUAUAUCUCACAUGCAUGCACUCUGCCACAUAGAGGUCCAAAAAUUUACUAUACAUAACAUAUGCAUGUUAAGCAUUCUAAAAUUCAUAAUAAAUAUAUCUAACAUGAUUAUACAUGCUUUUUCAUUUAACGAUACUCAAAACAUCACAAAUGAGAUUUUUUCAUUGUGUAGCUAGGUCAAACCCACCGAACCGUCGCGUAGUGCCUCAUUUCGCCGAACGAAGUUGUCCACGAGUCUCAAAAUGCCCUAAAAGUAUUGAGCAAAGAGAUACACGGGCAUUACGAUUAACUAUAAGAUCAAGCAUUAACCAACAAGGCAAAAGGGCUAAAACUCACCUAAUGUGUAUAAAAUCUCCCUCAAGCUCCUAAAGAGAGCUAGAAUCCUUCCAAAGCAACCUAAACCACGGUUCUAAUCUCAUCAGAUUAGCUCAAAAAGCCUCCAAUCAAAAAGCCCCAAAUAAACCCUAGAUUUUCCAUUCUAGGGUUUCAUCCCCCAAAAUCUAUCAAAGCUAGGUCUAGAGGGAAGAAACAAACAACCAACCUCAAGAGAACUCCAAUCCAAGCUCCAAGGGUGAAGAUCUUCUCUCUUGCAAGCUCCAAGUCCAAGCUCCAAGCACCAAGGAAGAAGAGAGGGUGAGGAAGAUGCUCCAAGUCUACUAGUUGCUCUCAAUCUUCUUCUUCCUUCCUUCUUCUCCUUCUCCUUCUUCUUCUUAUUCUCUAUCAAGGGUGUAGAGAGAGUUGAGGGAAGGGAAAUGAGGAGAAGAGAGAGUGGAUGGGUCAUAUAGACCAUCUAUUGCAACAAAAUCCAGCUAGGUCCCUCAAAAAUCCAACAUUGCAUCAGCCCGGUCUGGGCAAUUUUCGCCCAGAGGGACCGGUCUCUCCCUGCAAGGGACCGGUCUCUCGUGUCGAAUCCGAGAAACCAUCGUUCGGGAACCGGUCUCUCCCCGCGCGGGACCGGUCUCUCAGUGCGUAGACGCGCUCGGGGACCGGUCUCUCCUGCCAGGGACCGGUUGCCUCGCCGGCGGUCCCCGAGAGUAAAAACUCUCAGGACUCGUCCAGAACUCAGGUUUUCGAACUUUUUAGGUCGGCAAACAUUCUACGACCCUCCACCAAGUGUGGAAAAGCUCGAAACACAUCCAAUCACUCGAAACUCGCAGUUUGCAAAGGUCUAGUGUGUUACACACUAUGAUGGAAAAAGUUAGCGAGGAACUUGCCUGCUGCAAAAUUGGGACCAAACAGGUCCUCAAUCCUUUAUCGACUGCUCUGAUGAGCAUUUUCCGAAGUACAGAAUUUUGGAAUGUAAAAACUAUUGCAUCAUGCUGUAUGCGUAAUUUUCUCUUUCAUAACAAUAGAUUCAUUGGUAGCAUUGUCAUUUCCGUUAUGAAGACCUAUAUUAAAACACUGUUGAAGUAUUCAGGUGUUUGAAGAAAUGUAUCUUCUUUUCUAGUUAGUUAGAUCCUAUGCUAUUGUUUAUGCUCAUUGCUUUUAAAUUGGGUAAGUUGCGCUAUUGAUCCUUGAACAUAAGUUUCACUUGGUCUCCACACUUUUAAGAUAGACUUUUGGUGCUGUAAACUUUUGUAAUUACUUCAGUUUAGCACUUGCCUUGGAGAAAAAAUUAUUUCCUGCACCUGGUGCAUGUGGACAUGUGUGCACCACAAAUCCAUUGGCCCUUCAUCUUUUUCAUACUUUAAUCUAACCAUCCAACGACUUAGUCAAGAAAACUUAGAAAAAGGCUGCAACUUAGUGAGUGUUAGCGAAUGAAAUGGGCGUCAAUACGGAUCUGUGAUGCAUAUACGUUCAGAUGCACCGGUGUGUUGUAACAAAUUUUCCUUUAACAGUAGAUGAGGACAAGGAACAUAGUAAAAUGCUUACAAAAUUUUAGAGGGUUGAAUGUCCAACUUGAAGUUCAGAGAGUAGUGGUGCAGUUAGCCCCAUUUCAGUGUUAAACUACAACAUUUCCGAAGUCAGCUGCAGAAUUCAAUGACAAAAAGAUAAAAGGAUUUUCAAAAAUAAACUUAAGUUUCCUUGUUCUUUUGAUACAUACUAGCUUCAUAGGUAUUAUAGUAGCUGAUUUAGUCAACUAAUUUAAAAAAAAUAUAUUUUUAAUUGGUGUUGUUAAUACCUAAGUAAAUUAGACAUUUGAUAUAUAAAAUAUUGUAUGGGCAAAGUAAGUGGAGUUAUGCCAUAUUGCUAUCUACACAAAUAAGCUAGGAAUGCAAUGCAGCUGCAAUAAAUUGUACGAGCUGUGGCUUAUAAAUGUUCUUAUUAUGAGCUUAUGAAACAACUUAAUGAACAUUUUUAUGACUCAUUUCUUGAAAUUUAUGUUUUUUCCGACUAAAAUAAACUAUAAGUACGCAUAGUUAGGCUUCUUAUAAGACUUUAGUAAUGUACAGCUGCAUUUUAAGGUUGCCUGUUCCAUGUGUGGGUGCGAUGUCAUUGCAUAUGCACAUUUGGGCCCAUUACGGACAUUUUAGCACAGUAACUCGCGUGAUAUUUAACAAAACAAAACCUGUAAAGAGAAACUAUGCUUAUGAUGAACUAUUAUUCUUCUUAUGUGACAUUAUGCCAGGCAAGGUUUAAACUGCCCAUCGCCACGGGCCCUAUCCACCGUGCCGUAUCGUGCUAGCAGGAUAUUGGCACGAUACAGCCCCCGUGCCGAUGGCACAAAUUAAAACCUUCUAUUCUUGAAAUUAGUAGGUAAUUUUCUCAACAAAGUUCAAAAGAUUUGAUAAAAAUACAUAAUAAAUAAUUGACAUAUUUUGUUGCUAAAGAAAAUAAAUAUUCAUGCCAUUACGUGUCGGCACACAUAUUUUUUUGACCGGCAUGCAUCGGCACGGCCCGGCGCGCACUGUGCCGUAUCGUGCCGGCAAGUUUCCGGCACGACCCUGUGCCACGACACUUUAAUCCUUGACAAGGUUUAAAGUGCCAUGGCACGAGGGCGUGCCGCUCUUUCCCUAGUAUGGUAUGGCACGGGCACGCUUCAGUGCCGACACGUGGUACGCGUGCGUGCCGAUGGAUACGUAUGACCUCCUACUGGCACGCUUUGGCACGGACUUUUUAAGUUUUUUUGGUUCCAAUAAGAUCUUAUAAUGUUAUUUUGAAAGAUUUAAACAAAUAAUUAUGAAUAUUUGCUAUGUAUAGCUUACUAUACUCAUCAAUUAACAUGUAUGUAAGCAUUUUGUAUAUAAAGUACAACUAUACCUGAUGUAGAAUAGAACUUAAAAUUCUUUUGUUUUUUUUUUUUGUUUUUAUUUGAAAAGUACAACUAUACCUGCUAUAACAUUUGAAAAUUCUUUUGUUUUUAUUUUUUUUAGAAUUAAAAAAAUUAUAACAGAUAAAAUGAAAGAAAAUAACUUUCCCAGAGAAGAAAAAAAUAUAACAGAUCUUAUAUGGUGCGCUCUGUAUCCUAGAGAAGAAAAAAAAAAGAAGAAAAAACCAAAAGAAAAAGCCAAAAAGCCAAGAGAAAAAAAAAACACUAGCGACAUGACACAGUGCAGCGGCACGCGUUGCCGUGCCGCUUUGUCUUGCGCGGCACGCCCAUGCGUGCCGCGGCUCACAGCGGGGGUCCGAGACCCCCCCUGUACCGUGCCCCCUUCUUGGUGGCACGGUACGUGCCGCCCUGGCACGGGUUGGCACUGCCGGUACUUGAAACCUUGAUGGAUAAUAACUUUCCCAGUUAAUAAUAUUUCUUUCACAAGGUUGCUACUUUUCUUAGCAGCACUGCAUCUAUAACUUCUAUGCUGUGUGCCAUCCUCCAGUCUUGACAUCUUUUAAGAAUAUUUUUCAUUUAGUUGGAAUAAAAUUGAUGAUGUUGAACAUUUCCUGUUGCUGAAUGAAGGUUACCACCUGAGAUUUGCAUGCUGCUUGUUGCUGCCUGCUAUUCAAUUGGUUGCGGGCAUUAGCUAUCCAUCUUGGAUUUCACUGCCAUUCUUUGUAUUUAGCUGUGUUGGGCUUGUUGAUUGGUCCCUGACAAGCAAUUUUCUGGGCCUUUUCCGGUAAAAGUUUCAUAAUGCUAUGAAUUUAUUUAAACUGAAUACGGAUAUUGUGAUCUUUGAAUGGUUUAUACUAACCUUUAAUGUAAUGAUAUUGAAGGUGGUGGAGGCCACUCCAAAUAUAUGCAUUCAUCAGUAUUCUUCUACUUUACAUUUACCAACUGCCAGUGAAGUUUCCAAGCACAAUCCAAGUAAUUGUUGACUUCAUUGGUUUGUACAAAAUUACCUCAAAAUCUGAAUGGCCUGAGCUUUCUUCUGGACUUUCUCUGCUUACAUACUUCUUCCUGGUAAGCAUCUAAUAUGACCAACACUACAUUCAUAUUUUCAGUUCUUUUGCAGUAGAGUGAUUUUACCGUUGACUAAAUUUAUUUUCAAUAGUCAAGUUAUAGCCCCUAUUUUGAUACUUUUUCACUUGGGUAUCUAAUGAAUAAUGAUGUUUGUUUCGAAUUUAGAUUUUUUGCUGUAUGGUUGAGUUUGGUUGGAGAAUAGAGUGGUGCUAGUUGUAGCUGUCACAACUAAAAAAGAUAUCAGCUAUCUCACUUGGAAUUGGAUAAGAAAAGUAUUUCAAUAUCAUGGUAUCCCUCAGGGAUAGCAAUUCCGUGUGGUACUAUAGAAUUGUCCCAUCUCUAGGCUCUUUUCCCAACUAAUUUGCACUAUACCCUGCCAAACUCAGUUGGGAGAGCAUAAAGAACUAAAAUCCCUCCCUACGACGGCAAGGAGGCAUUUAUAUUCUGUGCAUAAAAUUUAAAUGUGGGUUGGUAUGCUUGACUAUAGAUGGCUCGGAGAUGGUUUGGCAUUUGGCUUGUUGCUGAUGGUGGGAAAGGAACAAAAGAACAAAAUAUACUAGUUUGUCUCAUAAUUUAAUGUUGCACUGGAUAUUCAAAAGAGUUAUGUUAGAAGUAUUUACAUACGUUUUAAGAGUGCGAGGACGAUGUCAAAAAAUGUCUUCUGCAUCAAUGUUAUAACUAAGGGAUCUUGACCAUGCUUUCCAUGGAUUACCUGGGUACUCUAUAUGCACACAACAGGAAUGUAGAGGAAGAAAAUAACAUUUUACUUGAAAAGAUCUAUCAAUGCUACAUUUCUAGUUUGUGGAAUGCAACUACAUAAAAAGGUGCAAUUGCGCAUCUAAAUCUUCUUGUAGAAACUUAUCAUUAUUGCAUAAGAAUUAUUUGUUUUAACCAGUUUUAAAAUAAGCAGCUUGUUAAGUUUCUACUAUGUCAGGUGUUGAGGUUUCGUUGAGCUAAAUUUCUUAGAAGGAUACCUUCAAUAAUUCUGAUGGACAAACAGUUUAAUGUUUGCAAAUAAUGCUGCACGUGUAUAAGAUGAUUGACUUGCUUGAUGUUGUCCAGUUUUGCUUUUUUUUUUUUUUUAAUUAGAAGUUGAUGCCACUAACAUUUAAUCAUAUGGUCCCACGAGUGUCAUGCAGGUGCAUUUUUCCGAAUAAUUUUUAAAUUUUUCAGUAUCUGCUUAAUCCAUGCUUAGAUUGUUGUAUGGACAAAAUGGAUGAUCCUGAUGCUUUAUGCUUAAGCAAGAAUGUGACUUAGUGAAGCAAGUUGAACCUGAUAAGAAGUGAAGCUGUUGUGGCUCCAAAUAUUGAUUGAUUUUAUGCAUCAUCUGAGUGAUGCAGCCCAAACUAUAACUUUUUCACCUCCAAGGAGGAUAUGCUUGUGAUUCAUGCCAAGGACUUGUAAAGGCUGUAAUCAUCCAUGUGACUGUUUCUCUACAAUCGAAAGUUAUGUCAUUAGUUUAUGAUGAACUUGUUAUAUAUCUGUCAUUUUGCUUCCAUAGAAGUAACAGGUAUGUUUGGAGAAAAUUAUAGAUUGGACUGCAUAUUGUAUAUGAGGUGCUGUUCUAAAAGGGGUUUUAGUGCAAUAGUCCUCUUCUAAAAUUUUAUUUUAAAAAUAAACCUGUUAAAUUUUUAUUUGUAGAUAUAGUCCUAUAAAAGCGAUGAAUGGUUUACCGCUUUUAAAAGCGGUGAACCAUUCACCGCUUUCUUUCUUUUGAUCACUUCUUUUUAUAAUUCUACGAUGGUAAAAGCGGUGAAUGGUUCACCGCUUUUACUGUUUUUCUACUUCUAAACAGAAGUUAUGAAUGCGGUGAAUCAUUCACCGCAUUUAAAGGUCUAUUUUUAUAAUUAUUUUUUUAAGAAAAUUAUUUUUAUGAUUAUAAAAAUUGAUAAGGUUAGUUAUACAAAAAAUUCGUUCUAAAAUACUUCUCAAAAUUUUUUGGUAUAGGUUGCUUGGUUUGUAUAUUUCUUGAUUGGCAAGAAAAUUAAUAUACUUUUUUGUUUCUCUUGUUUGUGUCCGAUCAUGUCUUUAUUUGAUGAAGUAGUUAAUUAAUUUUCUUCUGAUUGUUGUUGGCAGUUUCUUUAACUAUUGCAUUUCCUCUUUUAUUGUCGUCUUUCUGUAGUUAUCCUCUGUCAAGCAAGACUUACAAGACAUGGAUUUUGCUAUGUCUACGGAAAGUAAUAGUCUGACAAGACGCAACAGUUUGACUGAACGACUCCUACCGUCAAAACAUACAUUUUUCAUCCAUGAAUCCCGGUAUGUUAGGCAUUUUAUCGAUUAUACUAGUAUUUCUUGGUGACUUGAACGAUUUUUUAUUUUAUUAAUAGACUUAAAAAAAUAUUAAAUUAUAAAAAUAGUCUUUCAAAAAAUUUAUUUACAAAAUUAGACUUAUGCAGUGAAUGAAGCACCGCGUUUUAAAUGGGGUAAAUCAUUCACCGCUUUCUUCAAAGCAUUGGAAUUAUUUUUAGGGUCUAAUAUUGUACAUUUUUUGAAGAUGGAGAUAGAAAAUUUAUAAAUUUGGUAAACCGCUUUUAGAAAGCAGUGAAUGAUUUACCACAUUUGAAAUGUGGCAAAUCAUUCACCGCUUAGGCCUAGUCUUACAAAUAAAAAUGUCGGAUGCCUAUUCUUAGAAUUAAAAAAAUUCUACAAGCCUAGUGGCCCAAAAACCCCAACUUGAACGGUUAACGGUCAUGUGUAUCUGUCGGCACGCAAGCGUGCCAUGUGUCGGCACGCAAGCAUGCCCGUGCCGUACCGUGCCAAGGACGUAACGGCACGCCCCCGUGCCACGGCACUUUAAAUCUUGGGUUAACCACUUUAAUUGUUGCUAUUAAUAAUUAGAUCUUCUCUUUUUCUUCUUGUAGAGGUAUUAAGUUCCUACAUGAAAUAAUGUUUUCCUAAUGCUGAGCAUAAUGCAAGUAUGUAUUGAACAUUUUACACUGUGUCAAAUCAAAGGAUUUGUUAUCGGAUUUUGUUGUCUCAUGUGAAGUGAGAUUCCUUAAAAAAAAGUUAUGUAGGAUUUCUUACAAUGAAUUAGUGAGAAAUAGUGUAGAAUAUCUUAGAUUUCUAUAUGGUCUUGCCAGUGUCUUUAAUCAAACAUGAUUGUGAUGAUUAUGAGCUCUUUUCUUCUCUAUACAUUUUUAACUCAUUGAGAAAUAAUUACUCAUUGAUUAGCGAAACUUACCUAGAAGUAUAAGAAUCUGCAGUUACUUGUCAUGAGCCCAAAACCGGGGCAUUUUAAACAUGUGAACUAAAGAUUACAAUAUCAUUUGGCAUCAUUGCAUUUUAAACAUGUGAAAUAAAGAUUGCAAUAUCAUUUGGCAUUAUUGUUCUGUUUUCUUCCUUUUUAAACAGAAUUUUUACAUGAAAAUAGUAUAGGAAGGGAUGAUGAAUUGCUUGCAAUACUUACAUCCAAGUUGUUUGUUUGGCCAAAAGAACAAAGAAAAAAAAACUUGGAAGCAACUUUUCUUUGCUUCCUUUUUUUUUGGUUAAAUAAGUUGUCAUGCAUCACUUGUCUAGGGUGUCUUGCAUGCUAAUCAAUCAUAACAACAAGGGAAAAGUCCUAUCAAAUGAUUUAAAUUGUAUAAAAUUAGUGCGGGUGUAGUAAGUAAUAUAUGUAGUUGUAGAAAUGGCAACACGGCGGGGGUAGGGGCCCUUCUAUGUCCUCGUGUUUGUGGGUUUUCAGGGGCCCAGCUCAUACUCCAUCCCCGCCAAUGCUGGGUUAGUACCCCCCCGCCCCCCGGUUCUAUUCCUCGUCUUCACGAGGACCCCACUGGAAAAUAUGCUAAAUUGAUUUCUUUUAUAUAGAAUUUAGUUUAAUUUAAUUUUAAUUCAAAUUAGUUUAAAUUUCAUCCAGUUAUUAAGUUUAUUUUUUAUUCAUUGUCAAAUUAUUAAGUAUGACACAUCAAAUUACUAAAAUUAUAUAGCAACCAAAUAUUAUUUAACUAAUAUACUGUAUAAAAAUUUAAGUAUGUUAAAGAUAUUUGAUUAAAUUAAGAAAUAUUAAAGGUGUAAGGCAUCAAAGUCAGCAUUCUAUAUUUAUACAUAAAUUAAAAACUAUAUAAUGAUAUAUCAUAUUAUUUCAUGGGAAUCGAAGAUUUUGUGGUGUGAGGAGUAGUAUUCCCAUACUCACCUCACCUCCUCAAGGGGGGAAAUUUCUCCCGUCCCUGUUCUCGCGGGGGCAAAGUACUCCCCAUCCCCAUCCCAUUCGAGGUGGAUUCCCGCGGGGACCCGGUUCCAUGGGAAAAAUUGCCAUUCUUAUUUAGUAGCUGUUUGGAGUAAUGGAUAAAUACUGAAAUCAAAAUUUGAAAUGGGUCUGAUAGGGAAAUUCAAAAUUUUUUAAGUUUAGGUACCUUUGCUAAUGGCCUCAUGGUAAAGUAACUUAUUGUCAUGCCCCGGGCCUAUUUGGAAAGAGGUUUUCUCUAAAUGGGCUCUAUAUUGUUUUUUGAAAAUCAGGAUCCACCAUUUGUAUAAAGGAUUCACUAUACACAUGGACAGUCUCCUCUGUACAUGCACGGCGUCGGAAUACAAAACAAUCAACCAUAUAAGAGCCUAUCCACAAUAAGGAUAGCAUUCAAUCAAACAAACAUUCGCAACAAGAAGAUAAUAAAUAGAAUAUAUUUCGCCUUAUUUCCUACGAGCAAACAUCAACCAAAACCUCCAUUUUUAACACUCAUUCUGUACAAGAAAACAUUUGAAACCUCCAUUUUCGAGCAAAAUGUUUGAGAAGCAACAUUACAUCCACAAAGAAUUUUAUUUUUUAAUAACCACACCAUCAUUUGCAAUUUGAUAUAAAAACCAAUAUUUCUACUAAAGACAAAAAAAAAAAAAUAAAAACAACAUCUAUAUACUCAUCACAAAGGCCAACUCUAAGAAGUAGAGCAAUGUCAAUACAAGGUCAAACUGGGUCGUAGGCUGCUCUAGCUACAUGCACUCACUUAGCAUUCCGACAUAAAAAAUAAUAGGGUGAGAAACAAAUAAAAUUAUUUUCCAGUGGGUGCAAUGCACCGGCCGAUGGCAAGCCACACCUACUGGUCAAUAAGAAAAAGGUAUCUAUAAAGCCGAAAGAUAAUAGUUAAAAGGCAAGCAAUAUGAAAAGCAUGAUAAGGGAGUACUGAACUACGGUAAGAAAAUCUUGUCAUGAUAGCCAAUAUCGUAUGGGAUAUUAAAAUUGUGUAUAACAAGGUGACGAAUAGAACUACUCCGAAUCAUGACAACUUAAAUACAAUAGAUACUCCGAGAUAUCCCAAAUAUAUCAUGUGCCAACUAGACUAAAGUCCAACAAUAAACUAAAUUUGUGCCAUUGUUGGUCAAUAGACCUCAAGCUCAUGCUACAAUAAAGCGCUUAGCUAGGGCUGGCAUAUAACCCGUAACACCAGGUACAACUAGAGGGCUCAUGGGUUGGCUUCCAAUUAUUUUUUGGAAAAGAACACCGCCGCAGUUGAUUAGACCGCUGUUGUAUGUGAAAGCGCAGAGAGCGGUGGCGAUCAUCAUGCAAAUGCUCAACCAAAUAAUAGCAGGUAAAGCCGCAGCAACUGUUCGCUGCCUCACAAGGAGAAAUCAAGACCCUAUGGGUUCUAUGCUCAACGUAAGUCAGGUGCCAGGUAAAAUCAUGGUCUACCCUCAGUGUGAUAUAUAUCUACUAGCAAGUAUGGUGUCAACAAGUAAUCAACUACAUAUAUGACAGCUAAGAUGUAGAGUGAUAAUGUAAUAAGUAUGUUUGACAAUAUAAUAAACAUGAGGAAAGUUUAGAAAAGUUAGCUAGCAAGUUUAAUAGCGAAAGAAAAGCAAGGAAGGAAACCGGCAAUGCACUAUACUGACUUUUGAAUCGGAGCACCCAUCUACAGUUCGAUAGUGUGUAGCCACUACAAAUUAUCUGGACCUAACCAACAAUAGGUGCAUGGAGGAAGGUAUGACCAACAUGGCGUGAUCGGGGCAUCGCGAAAGUAGCACGACCACCGAAACUAUUCCUGAGCACUGUAACCACUAUCUGGACGACUGACUAGGUCCCCACUAUCCAAACAGCCCCUAUGCUACCCGUUUGGGUCUUGGGACAGCUGCACGUCAAGUGCACGACCACAAGUCCUUUCGGCAUCAAACUACGUCGAAACAUGUUCAGUUUUUCGCCAUUUUUGGCGUGGAAACCAGCGGUACCACACUAAUCGUCCCUUUACAGUUAUGACGAGCAAGGACUAUUCGGAGGUCCUCUAACGAGUCCUGGAGUUCGAGAGCACCCAUUGUGCCUUGGGGCGGCAGAAUUUUGCUUCGAAAAGCUCCGAAAACCUCUGAAAUUGCUAUUUACAGUUCUUGGACAGCAAUUCACUUACAUUCAGCCCCAAGGGGCUGAAUUUCCAUGUAACACAACACUAAUGAAGUCUCGGCCAGCAAAUAGAAAUAAACGUGGCUAGGGGUUCUACGCUAAUAGGUUCAGUGAUAACAUCCAGAAAUCGGUAUUUCGGCACCACUUUGGUGUCCAAAUGCGUACGAAAUCCACUCUCAGCCCCGUGGCACUUUGAGCACACCCUCUAACCAUGUCGGGGUUUCAAGAUAACCUUCUUGUGUAACUGUAAUCAGCAAUGCACCCAAAUCAACCCCAAAUCCCCUAUAAUUUCAUCGUUUUCGGCAUUAGGGAGGCAUUUACCUUUCAAUCAGCCCUUGUAGUCCAUCGCUCACCUUUUUGGUGAGCCGGGACAGCAAGAUAUUGGUCCUCCUUGUGCUCAGAGUGUCGUUGUACGAUUGUUUCAACAGAAAAGCCACCGAAGUCUUGAAAUUCGCCAAUUUUGGCAACGGGACAACACAAGUGCAUUUCAAACCCCUUAGGCAUAAUUGACGCAACUAAUGUACUUGUGGGACACUACAAGACAGUAUGAACACUUUCCCAACUAGCUACAACAAGCGGCUCGCCCGAAUCAACCUCGAGAGUCUUGAAAAUAGUCGUUUCGCUCUGAAUUUUUGUACCGGGCAACAUACGCAUUAUCUUCAGUUUUUAUACAACUAUCGAGAAUGUGGCCAACAAGGCCCAAAAGCUCCCCACGGCCAGCAACGAGCUAGGCUGGGCGUUUCGACCAGAUUCGAUGUGAAUCGGGCUCCUGAAUGUAUUCUACAACGAUAAUGAACCAAACUAAUGCAAAAAAUAACGAAAUUAACAUUGCUUCGGGCGCGUUACCUCAAUCUCCUUGCUGUGACUAGUGAGCUUGUGUGGAGAAGGCUCUGAAUUGACCUCUGGACGGCGAGGAAGGCGCAUGCGAGUUUGAUGGCGGUUGGAGUUUGAGAUUCGGCGAUUGGAGGGUGAUCUCAACCAAUCUCCUUGUUUCAGUCGUAGCAAAAGGGAGAACAGUAAAUAGGGUAGCGUUCGUGGUUGAAGGGGUCGUUGGAGAUGUAGGGAGGUUGCCGGAGAAGCUAGCCGGUCAGGAACUUCACUUAUGAGGGAGCUUGACCAAGGAUGGAAACCAAAAGAGGGACAAGGGGGAGAGAGAGAUUGGUUCCAAGGUUGAUCUCCAAAGUGUUUGCUAGUGAGGGAGAUGACUCGUGGUGGCUGGUAUGGUUCAGGUGCAGCGAGAGGAUGGCUGGGGAGUGGGAAGGGGGAGAGAUAGAGAGAAAGAGUCGUGCGAGCCCUUUUUACUAUCCAACCCGUUGAUGGCUAGCGUUUCAGAUGAUCCUUGGGGUUUGGGCUGCAACAAUUGUGUGACGACCCUCGGACUAGAACCCCUUCGCGACGUUUUGCAAAAGGUCCCUUCUACGAAAAAUGUGCGAAAAUCUGUGAAGAUAGUCGAGUUUCAGCCGUAGUCUCCUACAAUUGCGUGCGCAUGGUCAACUUCAGGAUGCCGUGGUUUCGCAACAGAAAAUCAAUUCGGUGAAAUUUGAUCCAGCGCGUUCGCCUCAAAGUGUAGAUAUUCACAGAAUCCUUAACUUCUAAAUAUCGUGGAAUAUUUUGCUGGAAAUUAUAUUCUGAAAACGAAAUGGUCAGUUUCGUGCAGAGAACUAUGUGGUUAGUGACGACUUUGGAAACACAUAAAUUUGCGCUCGAAAUUUCGAUUUCAAUAAAACGUGGCUUCAUACUUUCGUCUCUGUGUACUUGCGCGUAGGAUUUUUCGUUUCCAAAAAUUAUGGAAAAAUUCACAUAAAAUGAUAACUUGAUCGCAAGGUGGUCGAUUUUUUGAAUUUUCUUGGUGUCACCGAAAACUUCGAAAUCCCCGAAAUACACCAAGGUGACUAUUAGAUCUCGCAAACAAGUGCCCACAAGCACUAGAGACCCUUAGAGACCAAGAAACUUAAAUUUGUUGAAUUUGGCUUGCUUUUAUUAAACAGAAAGCGAAAUUACAAUCCGGUCCAUCAAUUAUUACACAUAUAUUUUUACCAAGUAUUUUAAAAUAAAAUACGGAAGAAAUAAUCUCUCACAAGAAAAAGAGUUACUUCAUCAUUGACUCUAGUUACGAUCUUGUAUUGCAUAAAUGAGUAAAAGUUCCUUUCAAUUAUUGCUUUUAUUGCUUGAUGUAGUUAUGCGCUCACCAUGAACAUAUAACUACAGCUUAUUUUUUGCUUGCAGGAUUGAGUCUAUUUACUGUUGGAAAUCCCUUCUUUUUGGGUAUAUUAAUGGCUAAGUUCUCUCUGCAUCUAUUGAUGCUAGCUUCCCUUCCUAGGUCCCCGUCUAGUGCGAUAUUUUUGGUUUGGUCUGUAGUUAAUGCAGAUUUCUGUAGCAUUUUGUAUCUUUUGUAGACAGCCUAAAAUUCAUUGGAGCCAAGGAUUUAACUGCCUAUUGGCAUGGGGCUGCGCUCCAUGCCGUACAGUACUGACAUGAUAUUGACACCAUAGUGCCGUGCCGGUAGGAUGGCUCAAAGACCUCUUUUUGGAAAUUAGCAAGUAAAUACAUCAAGAAUAUAAUAAGAGCAGUUAGAAUAUUGUAGUGCCUAAGAAAAUAAAUAUUUCAUGCUAUAGUGUGUUGGCAAAUAGGUAUUUUCUUAUUGGUACACAUCGGCAUGGCAUGGUAUGCACUAUAUUGUACCAUGCCAGCAAGUUCUCGGCACAAUGCCUUGCUAUGCAGUUUAAUCUUUGAUUGUAGCUAUUCUUUUUGUUAUAAUAAUUUGAUUUAUUUAUAAUUUCAUGUGUAAUAACAAACAGAAUUUUGUGCCUUUCAUGCAGCCUGUAUAAACUCCUUCAUAAGUGCUAAUUCAAGUUUCGUUCUCAGGGAAUUUGUUUGAAUUAGUUUAGCUUUCUUGAUUAACUUUUGUUUUGGUAGAAUCUUAUCAGUCAUUUGUUUGUUGCCAGAUCAGGUGAAAGGAAUACAAACGUCCUUCUGAGGGAUUCAGUUUUCCGAAACUUCAGUAUUAAUUUCUUUACAUAUGGAUUCCCGGUAGGCAUGCCCAUACUUUAUGUGCUUUUUUUUCUUUUUUAUAUUAUUGUAAGAUCAUUGUUGUCUCUUUUGCAAAUCUACAUUUUAGAGACUAGUGAAAUUUGGCUUCGCAUAGUUGUUCUAUCAAAGCUUCUCAGAGCUAUGUACUGUUAUUGAUUAGCUCGGGUUUCUAAAUUUCUUGCAAUCCCAAGUUGUACUGCAAAUCUACAAAAUUAUGUUGCCUGUUGGGUUGGUGAAUUUGGGCUACAUCUUCAACUCCUUUCUGAAUUUGUUUGUUUCUUCAUAUGACAAGUUUCAAAUUUUAAAUCGAGAGCAGUUUGUUAUUUGACAGUUAUGCGCACUUGAAAAGAUACAAAAAUGCGUAAAACCUCAGAUUCUGAAGAGGUUCAGAAAAAUUAGAUUUUUUUUUUUCUUUUUGUUCAAAUUUCCAUCCCAAUUGAACCAACCAAGGACAUAAUACAAAAAAGAAUUUUCACAUACCUACUUACAAUGAUACAAAAAAUCCAUAACUUCCUUAAUUGAAGCCCGACAUUUCUGAGUUUUGAGCCACUAGGUUUGUAACAACAAGUAGAUCAAGAUCUAAGCUAUCAGAUUGUAUGGUGCCUCUUUUGUUUUUGUCGAGCUCUUUAUACAGUAUUGCGGUUUGGUUGCAUACUUCUUACUUAUGACGCAUGUUAUAGAUGUAGCCAAGUUAUGCCACAUUUCUGAUGCUAACUUCUUAUGCUAUGGUACAUGUGGAAGACAUCCUUGAUUGUUAAUUAUUAUGCAAAUCAGACUGAUAGCUUCAGUUGAUUGUGUUGGGGAUCAGAUAUUUUGAAACAAUUAUGAAUGUUUUAUAAUUUAUACAGUAUGCUUGUACUUAUAGGGGAUUCUUUGGUAGAGUAGCAUGUUGUUAGACAUCGCAUACUACAUAGCGUUUCUUAGUUGCAUAGUUGUUAACAUUGAGCUUCUGAUCGAUGAUUUUUGGACAGUCGAUAAUCAAUUUGUUUGUUGUUUGAUUUCCUACUAUGCUUAUGGUAGUAUUAUUGUCACGCUCCGGAUGUCUCAUUCCCCGGGCACGCCGACAAAUCCGCCGUAUACAAAGGAAUUUUUCCUGUAUACGAAGCGACAGCUGUACCUGUAAACAUACAAUACUACAAACAGUAGUAUAGAGCUACUCGAGUAAACAAAAGCUAAACAAACUGAGCUUUAUAUACAUAGUUCAAAAAUCAAAAUACAGAGUUACUCGCACUGGCGAGUUAAGUACUAUGUACAUAAGCUCGAAAUAAAACAACUACCUGCAGUAGGGUGCCUCUAGUUCUGCUCGUCGGGUAGGGCUCUAACUCGCGACGCCCUUGCCUCGAUCCUGAUCCGCAGAAGGCGCAGCAGCCGAAACCUGUGGCUCUGCAAAACAAGGGUAACAACUGGGCGUGAGAACUACUGUAAAAACAAGUAGUCCUCAGUGGAUACAGCCCAAAACAACAUCGGUCCACCCACUAAGUCUACAGAAGGGAGCAAGAAUAGUCAGAAAAGCAGGAAAUAAACUUUACCGCUAUCAAUCACUACACUAUCAUGCUCUACACUAACCAACUGUAGGAAAUGACAAAUCUGAUCCAAUCCAAUCGGGACUGUAAACCUACCCGUCUCUGGGACUGUGAAUACACCCGUCCCUGCCCAGUCGCGACUAUCCAGCUACCUCCACACUAAUUGGUCCGUGGAGAGCAAGUCCAACCGGCAUGAGUGACACCAACGCGAAAGCACAAAGCCCGUCUCCGGAGUGGCACUCGUGGGAGCUACCCAACCGAGUAUGCAGCGUAUCUCUGUCGAGCUCAAUCAGGCUCUCAAAAGCCAAAGUCCAGUAAUCGACUCAAACUGGUCUAACAACCAACAGGUAUCGUGUCCUUGGCACAAUCCAACGCCAAAAAGGCGAUACGGGUCCACCGUCAAUCCUGAUGGCACCCAACAAUCAAGAACAGCCUGAACGCUACAGUAAAAAUACACUCGGCAUCUCAGCACAAGCGUAACUGAAAACUAAACUACCUGGAAUACUUACUUUGAGGAUACUGCAAUAGUAUAAAUUAAUACAACGGCCCCUAGGGCUAAAUCAGGUAGUUUAAACAGGUGACAGGUCCCAAAACGCUUGUUUUCUCCUAAGUCAAGUUCCAAGUCCAACAUGUAUAUUUACUUAAUUUAUUAUCACAUGCUCCAAAUUCAGAUUAGCCAUUCACAUAAUAAUCCAUGAAUUCGAGCUAAAGUAAACUACACAAAAUCCAAAAUUCAUACAUGUUGACUACUAAGCACUUAGGAGUAUAAACCGAUGAUUAACCCACCUCGCUCGCUAAUCCCUGGCAGCACGGAACUCCCCUCGGCUGCGGAACAACCUGCCGAAACGUCCGAAAACCUCCCAAGGUCCGAAGUCAAGCUCCCGCCAAACUCUACACGGAGAAUCCGACAAUAAGCAUUAAUUCUGCCUCAAAAACAGCAACAGAGAGGAGCGAAAUUCCGACCUAGCAAACCUUUACCAAAUCCAGCAAGUAAGGGCUUCGUGGAUUCCUCUCGAAGUCCCGAAUCCAACGAACCAAGUCCCGUCGAAAACCGACGCUCCUACGUCGAGUACGAACUGAAAUACCGACGGUCGACGCUGGAAAUUCUGCAAAUCAGCACCAAGCUCGAAAUGACAAUACUUGAAGCAAUGCAACGGAACACUCACCUCAAAGGCUAAUCGGACAUCGACGCGGCGUCGAGAACGGCGAAAACGCACCCUCGCCUAGCUUCCUCGCAGCGCUACGAUCCCAACCGUACCCUCGAAUGGCUUCGCGACGUGUCGUCGGCGUCGAACUCGUGCUCGCGGCUACCUCUACCGAGCUCUUUGCUUCGGUCGAACAAAGAGAGAAGUAAAGAAAAAUUAGGCAAUGCCCACCUGAUUUGUUGAUAAGCAUGCAUGGGUGCACGUGGCAGCCAGGCCACCUCAAUUAGCACCAACCGACCUAAAAAUAAAUAAGUAAAUUAAUUAAUUAAUAAAUAUAACAAGGAUACUACAGUUAUAGCCAGAUAGUAUGUUCUCAGCUAUCGGGACAGUAUUGUUGUCUGUACCCUCUGUUGUGUUCCUAUCAGAUUAUAUUAGACUGUAUUUUACUUUAGAUGUUGAAAACUUCCAUUUCAUAUUUUAUUGUUGUACUCUUGAUAUAUUGGUUAGUAGUUGAUUGACAUUCAGUGUAUACAGCACCUUAUAAUUGUUUCACAUCCAAAUACACUAAUAGGGGAGAGCUUGUGUUGUGUAUUAUCUCGCAAAUCAGGAUUGCAAAGACAUCCAAAUAUCCUUAACAAUUGCAAUUCUUUAGGAGUAUGUCCAUGCAAAACGAGAAUAGUAAAUUUUCCUUGUAAAACAGAAGAGGACUGCAGUCAAAAAGAAAAACAGCCAUUUGAAUUGCUUCAGCCGAAAAACUAACUUGUCAUACAUGAUUGAAAAAGUAGAUUUUUAACAAUGUUUGCAAGAUGUCUAUGUUUUCUUCCAGUUACAACAUUUUGUUGUCGUGUGUGAGGACAGGAAAGCCUAUGAACAAUACCGCUUUGUGCAAACAACUGGGAAAACUUUUCAUUCACAUAUUUCCACCAUCAAAUUGCAAAUAUUGAUUUUUUUUCUUGAAAAGUAUUUGUAACCAUUGCCUUGAACUCCAGAAAUGUUUCGAAAACUUUAUGUUUGAACUUCAAAAGAUAAAUCUAUAAGUUUCUUGAAAAAUCGUCGUACAAAUAAAACAUAAUUCUUAUUGCCAGAGACAGAAUUAGCAUGUGCUUGCUGCACAUCGGAAUGAACAAUUCAAAACAGAUGAGCAGACUUCAAUUUAGGAUCUUAAAAUGAAAGUUUCACAUAUUUUUCAAUGUCACAAGCAUUACAAAGUGAUAAAUCUAUUUUAGAAGGGAAGGCAAAAAAGAUUUUAUUUUCUUUAACAAAUUUUGCUAGAACAGCCCAACUAAGAUGUCCUAGCCUCCUAUGUCAAAGAUAACAACUAGACGUAGAAGCAACUAUUGCCAACUGUGACUUAUUCCCAAUGCUUGCAACUUUAGAAGAUAGUGGAUAAAGUGAUGUCCCUUUACUAGUGCACAUAAGGAGCUCCUUUUCCGCUUGCUUGUCUUUUACACAAAAAUUAGAAGAGUCAAAUUCAAAAGUAGUGGCAGAAUUGAUGAAUCGGCAACAUAUUUUUUUUGACGAAGGGAACAAAGAUAUUUUAACAGUAAAGGAUCGAUUUUUUGUGUGUAAAGUGAUUUCUCCUGUCUGAAUGAGAGGAAUUUGAUAUCACCAAUCAAAAUUUUAUCAUGCCUAAUAUAAGGUUUAACAAAUGAAAAUAUGUCUAGGUCAACUGUCAUAUGUUGAAAGCUCAAGUAUCUGGAUACUAGAAUUCCGCACUAGGCUCAUGUAGGUUCAUGGCAGCGAAGGUUUGAGACAUUUUAUCUGCAACAAAAGGGUGAUUAAAAUGCUGCAAUGAAGGGCUGUAUGGUUAUAAAUUUGAUACUCUGUGCCAAUUCAAGCAAGAGAAGGCUGCUGAUAAGCAGUUGAGUGUGACCGUGGGGUAUAUGCUCCGUAAGAUCAAUGAUUAAGGAAGAGGUUUCGUCCUCCACGCUGUCUUUAGCCUCCUCAAGAUCGUCCUCCACGGCCACCUCAAUUUCUUUGGCCUCGAUUUGCGUAGAAAGCUCCUGUCUGUGAAGAAGAGCCACCAAAGACUGGAGAACCAAUCAAUGCUGGACCUUUGUCUCCUUAUGUAGCAGUAAUGGAUGAAUCUGCUGACAAGUGGGUUGUCCUAUGUGCCUUUAACGCACUGACAAAGUCUGUAUACACAACUAGGAGACCAAGGAGGACGGUCAUCACCAGAUUGUGAUCUUACUCCCCCUCGCCAAUUACUUGUAGUGCAUCUCCAACGGACUUGACUUCAUGCAUGUAGUCUCAUCACUCCUUUCUUUGAUACUUCUCAACUCCGCCUUGAGAGCAAAGACUGUAUAUACUGUCUUGCCUGGAAAAUUUUUCUCAAUGAACAUCCAUGCAUUGCGGGCUGUGUUUGUCGAACUAGAUAUCACCACCUAAAGGAUGCUCAGGAAGAGAGUGGCAUUAAUCCACGACAUGAUCGUGGUAUUAUCCUUUUUCCAUGCUGCAUAUUCUGGAUUAGGUAUUUUCUUGUUGAGGUGGAAUUUUCUUGUUCCAUCAAAGUGAUGCCAUGCCAAAACUCUUAAGCAAGGAUUUAAGUGCCUAUCGGUACGGGUCAUAUCUAUCAUGCCAUAUCGUGCCAACAAGAUAUUGGCACGAUAUUGCUCCCGUGCUGAUGGCACAGCUCAAAACCCUCUAUUCUUCAAAUUAGUAAGUAAUUUUCUCAAUAAAGUUCAAAAGAUUUGAUAAAGAUACAUAAUAAACUGUUAGAAUAUUUUGUUGCUAAAGAAAAUAAAUAUUUCAUGCCAUUAUGUGUUGGCACACAUGUAUUUUUUGUGACUGGCACGCAUCGGCACGGCCCGGCAUGCACCGUGCUGUUCCGUACUGGCAAGUUUCCGGCACGAUCCCGUAUCACGGCAUUUAAAUCCAAGCUGUCAAGUAUAUUUAGGAAUACUUGCUUCCAUUGCAAAUAAGUGGUAUUGGUGAGUUCAAGAGGGGCAAGGUGUGACACCCUAAUAGUCCCACAUUGGAUGGGAAUGGGGUUAUGAUUGGGUAUAUAAGAGACCAUGUAUACAAGAGACCAUGAACCCUAAUAAUAAUAAUUGGGCUUAAACAUUUUGGGUUGGUGGUUUGGACCCAACGAGUUAUUAUUGCUAGCGGGUCAGGUCGUUACGUAAGGGGUUUGACUUUCACAAUGGGAAGAAAUGAGAGGAUCGAAGAUGUAUUCACUACCAUGAAUCACCUGGAGAGAUAGUGUUGUUACACUAUUGAACAAUACUGUAGCAUGAUAUUGCAGCAGUACUGUAGUGUAAUAUUAUAGUGGUACUGUAGCAGGACACUGAACCAAUACCAUAGUAGGACUCUGUUUGAUUCUAUAACAGAAUGCUGUAGUGGUAUUGUCGCAGAGAUUUGAUUGCAGUAGUAAACAUAGGAGUUGAAAGAAAGAGGGGAAGAGAGAUUGAGAGCGAGAAAGGGAUCACGAUGAGAAAUACAAUAAGAAUGUUGGUGACUUCUGUAUUGGUAGAGAGGGGUUGGCUCUAAUACCAUGAAAGCGUGGAGAAAAGAGCACCUUACUAGGGUUUCCAUCAGUAUUUAUAAAUCAUAUAUAAGAGUAACAUGACAGUCAUGUGACUCACUAAAUUAAUAAUACAUCAUAAUAUAUAAAGUAUAUACAAAUAGUUAUCGUAGCUGGUGCUGGACAUGGCUAGUUUGCUUUCCAAACUUUUCUGUAGCAUCCAAAUCAGUUAGCUGGGGAGUGAAAUUAAUGUCGUGCCAAAACCAUCUAACUUUAUCUAUUCCUACAAAAGUUAAGCUAGUAUAGAAUGGUGCAUAGUGUUAUUAUUACUCUAAUCGAGUUAGGUUUAGUUCUAAUGGUUCUUCAAGAUGCUAUAAAUAUUCAAGGAUUUCUACAUCCUGAAGAUGUGAGAAAUAGCAGUUUGGUCUUCCUCUUACUUUUCACCGUCAAACACUCAAACAUCAUAUUUGAGAGUUCACAUAUUACUUUGAAGUUGCUAGUUAAAUGUGCAAUUUCAGCAUAUACUUCUGUACUUCUAAUUUAGAUAGUUUAGUGCAAGCAUUCAUGAAAUGGUAUCUAUGAGUGGAAUUGUGCAUACAUUAUACAGAUGAUACAGAUAUUAAGAACAGUUGUAUCUUUAUAUUGAACUAUCUUACUGGAUUUUAGGUUUAUAGCUUAUUCUUUUGGUCUCAUUUAAUGCUUUCAGUGUUGGUUAUGACAGGUAUUGUUACUGGCACUUACUUUUUGGAGUUUUAACUUCACUAGUAUCUGUGCAUUUGGUCUACUAGCAUAUGUUGGCUAUAUUUUAUAUUCUUUUCCCUCUUUAGUCCCAUUUCAUCGGUUGAAUGGGUCGCUUUUAGUGUUCAUCCUCCUUUGGGCUGCCAGCACAUAUAUAUUUAAUGUGGCAUUCACCUUCUUUAACAAAGAGUUCCAAAGGGUAUGAUUCUUUAUCUUAUGCUUUUUUUUACUUUUUCCUCCUCAAACAAAUUGAGAUACUUUGAAUGCUUUCAACAGGAUAUGGUGAUUUGGGAAACUAUUGGUUUGUGGCACUAUUCUGUUCCAGGAUUGUUUUUACUUGCACAAUUUUGCCUUGGAGUCUUUGUCGCAUUGUGUAACCUUGUAAAUAAUUCUGUUUUUAUUUAUUUGCCGGAUAAUGAGCAUGGGCAAUCGUCCAAUGAUGAUCACCCAGUUGAGGCCCUUGAAGGUAAGUGUAUGGCUGAAUUAUCUGCAUUCUGAAUUGGCCUAAUUUCAAUAUUACUCAUUGUUGGCCUCAUAAAUUGGUACAGCUUAAUUUUCUUUUUGCUCUAUCUUAUCAAAAUGACAACAUCCUAUCAUAUUUUGAUUUUGAUUUUUUUUUUUUUCCCCUUCUGCAGAAGAAGAAGACACAAUAGUGUUGAUUAUAGCUACACUAGCAUGGGGACUGCGCAAAUGUUCUCGUGCAAUUACUUUAGCAUUGUUAUUUCUUCUUGUCAUUAAACCUGGCUUUAUUCAUGCUGUUUAUAGUACGGUGACAUGCUCCUAUCAUUAUUUACUUGCUUUUGUUCAAUGUUCUAAAUGUUGCGUGGCGGGCAUGUAGUGGAUGUGGGUCUUUACAGCUGAUAGCGGAUAGCGGGUGACAUGGCAGGCGCUAUGUGCCCAUGGCAGACUUGAUUUUUUAAUAUUAUAUAUUAUAAACUUAUUACUGCUUUACUACUCAAUCAAGUAGAUAAAAAUAGAAUAAGUAAAGAUAUGAUUUAAAAUAGGAAUAGUAAAAGGCUGCAGCUAAAUGAAGUUCAGAAAAAGUUAAAAGUUCGAUAUAGAAUUAAAAUACAAAUUAACAGAAUAAAUAUAAAAUAGAAUAAAUAUAUAAGCAUGUAAUUAAACUUCAAUAUUUCUAUUGGCAUCAUCUGUAAACCAAAAAUGAGAGGAAAAAAAGAAGAAGAGGAAGUAAAACAGAGAAUAAGAAAACCAGAGAAGAAAAAUAACAGCAGCAGCAGCAGCAACAGAGAAGAAGAAGAAAAAUGGAGAAAAUGAAAAAGAAGAAAUUUAGAUGAGGAGAAGAGGAGAGAAGAAGAAGGAAGAAGCAAAAGCACAGGAAGAAAGAAGAAAAAGAAGAAAAGAGGAAUAAAACUAUGAAUUGCAGCCUUACAACCCAGUUAAAAGCCAGCAUUUAACUUGUUGGCAGGCAGCGGCCGCUUUUCUCCAGCUAUAUGGUGGCUGCCAAGGCAGGCUACACUUGCAAUAUCGGUCCGCUUUGUUCCAAAAUGCCAUGGAGGCCUGCUAUGCCAAAAGCAUAGCACCGAGCAUGUAAAUCCGCUAUGGCGGACACCCAUAAUAGCGGCCCGCUUUGUUCCAAACCGCCAUGGAGUCCCACUAUGCAAAAAGCAUAGCGCCGAGCAUGCAAAUCCGCCAUGGCCGCUAUUUAGAACAAAGCUUCUGUUUCCUGAAGUGUUUGGCUAUUUAUGUAGGAUGUUAUAAUGGUAUUUUGUCGUGCCCUGAUCACUUGAACAUUUAUACUUAUUGUGUGUUUGUAUCAUAAUUGAUGUCUUACUCAGAUUCUUCAUGAGGAGUUUGGGAAUCCAUCCAUUAGAGGAUGGAUUUCAUUUUAAAUUAUUUUGAAAAGUGUAUUGAUACUAAUGAGCUGGAUUAGCCAUCACUAGGUGUCUGUGAGAGUUAGCAUUACAUAGGUAAACAAUGGACAGCAUAGUCACAUAAGAUAACUGAGUUGCUAACAUGCAGAAUAGCUGGGCAUUCCUCUUUCUCCUCCGUGAUAUCAUAACUGUUAUACAUAAUUUAUAGGAAAAUACAUGUUAUAUGAUGCAUCGCACGAUUAACAUUUAUUCAUUCUUUGAUUGUCAUUUACAGGCAUGUCAUAUAGAUAUUUCUUUAAUGCUUGUCACAACUGAAUUAACACUUUUACUAUGUUUCAUCCCCUUUGUGGUGGUGCAACAUUAUUUGAUUUCCCUAGUUCAACAAUUUGUAAUUAAAGUUUCUUAUUGCUUUGCUUCCAUUUCUUGUCUAUUAUUUGUUUCAUUUGCUGGUGCACACAUUGGUAAAUAGCACCAAUCAUAAUGAAACUUUUUGGACUUUGCUUUUCAGUAUGAUAAACCAUCAUAUUAUCAGAUAUUAAUCUGUUAUUUCUUUAGCGAUAGACAUGACUCAUGUAAUUAUUCCCCUUUUUUGGUUUUUUGCUGUGAUUUUUUGAAGUAUUUCUGUUGGUAGGCUUGCAUUCGCUUAGAGAAGUUAUUUCUCCUAAGCAUCCUCCUACUUAGAUUAAGUGCCCUUCAACUUGUUUUUGUUAUCUUCUCUCUCCUACGUGUCCUGCAACUUUUCUAAUCUGAUGGAUUUCUAACUUGCUUUUGUUUCAGUGUGCUUCUUUUUGGUAUAUUUAUUGAGCCAUUCCAUCGAACAAAAAGUGCGACAGAUAUUAAUUCUCUUUUGUGAGGUCCAUUUUUCAAUAUUGUACAUUCUUCAACUUGAUCUUAUCUCAAGUGCUUUAGAGCGCAGUGGUUCCUUAACUAUGGAAGUUCUGUCACAGUUAGGUAAACUUCUUGCACGAAUUAUUCAUUUGUUCUGUUCUCAAAAAUAACACAAUUAUCUCAUCUUUAUUCGGAUAUUUUAGACAUUAAAAGAAUUUUCUGGGCUUGUCAUGUUAUUAUAUUUGUAGCUAACCACCCUUUUCUUUCUUUUUGUAAUUUUCAUGAAUAAAUGAACUUUUCAAAUAUUCUUCGUCAUCUAAAGAAUUUGGAUGCCUAUAAGGGCUCCAUUUGGUUUAAGAUUUGUAAUAUUUUUAUAAUCCUUCAUAUUUUCUAUUGAAAAUAUUCACAUCAUUGAUUCAACUGAGGUUGGAUAGUUGCAAAAGGUGUUAGUGAAGUACUGAAAUCAUUUCCGAACUAGUAGGAAUACUAGAUUUUGUGGGUUGGGAGGUAUUCUCAUUCCUAUACAUGAUAAGAAUCACUAGUAGUCCAUAAUUAGAAUAUACAAGUUCCUAACAAUCUCCGAAUCCAAGUGACAUGCUAAGUUAGUAACAUACUUGCCAUUCCAAGUAUAUAGUAUUCCCAGAAUAUUAUAAACCAUUCCCAGAAUAUUAUAAACCUUUGAUGGCCCCUACAUGUUGUGCCGUCCAUAUUAUUGCACGAUACACACUUCUAUCUAAUCUAAUAAAAAAGACGCACAAAGAAUGGGGAUAUGAGCACAUGUCGAUAGGAGUAUCUCCAGAUUCUAACUUCCUACCGUGCUCAUAUGCCCUUCAUACAGUACUAGUCAGUUGUACGCUUUGUCCAUGCCACUCAGUGCUGACUGGCACUGCCAGGAUCUGAAUCCUUGUCGGUAAGGUUCCUUAAGAAAUAUAGCAUUAUUGCAGUUUCCCUCUUCAGUUGAUAAUGAGGUCGACAGUUGAGAACUUGGAAUGAAAGUACUAUCACGAAACUUUGAAUUAAAAUACUAAUACCAUCUGAUUUUGUGGCAUGCAGGGUUAUCAAUUCAUGCUACUAUCAGAGACUUUGUGGAGAUAGGUUUAUUAGUGUGCUUCUGUGCAGUGCACAAUCAUGGGUUUGAUAUGCUAUAUUCACUCUCAAAAGUCCUAAAACAUGCUCCUUAUCCUCCUCUUGGAUUUAGCAUCUUGAAAGCUGGUUUGAAUAAGUCGGUUCUUUUCUCAGUUUAUGCCUCAGCAAGUUUCAGGGAUGGUCAGUCUCUCAACUCUUCACAUGGUACACCUCAACCCAAAACAUUUUCCUGAUGAAACGACCAUGUCGCUUCUCUGCCCGCCCAAAGAGGACAACAGGAAGAGAGAGAGAGAGAGAGAGAGAGAGAGAGAGAGAGAGAGAGNNNNNNAGAGAGAGAGAGAGAGAGAGAUGGUCUUCUAUGUAUUGUCGUUACUUAUUUGCUUUCAGCUAAUAUUCUUUCUUUUCUUGUCUUGUAGAUAAAAGAAUUGCAACAUACCUUGGCAAAGUGAGCCAGAUGUUUUUGUCUACGUAUCGCUCAUAUGGGACAUAUGUGGCAUUUUUGACUAUUCUCUUAACGCUGUACCUUGUGACUCCAAAUUACAUUUCAUUUGGAUACCUUUUCUUCCUUCUAUUUUGGAUAAUUGGAAGGCAGCUCGUGGAGAAGGCCAGAAGACGUCUUUGGUUUCCCUUAAAACUCUAUGCGACCAUAGUUUUUAUUUUUAUAUACACCCUGAGCAUUUCUCCAACCUUUGCUACAUGGCUCUCUCAUGUGAUUAACCUAUAUCCGGAGUUCGGAUUUAAUCCUGAAGCUUCGUUGCUUGAAAAUGUCUGGGAAUCCUUGGCUGUUUUGAUCGUUAUGCAACUUUACAGCUAUGAGAGGAGGCAGAGUAGGUUCAAGAUUGUAAAUGUAUCUGAUGCAUCAGAAAUUGGAGUUCUUGGGUUCAUUAGAAGGUUGCUGAUUUGGCACAGUGACAAGAUCUUGUCUGCCACUGUAUUCUAUGCUUCCCUGUCUUCAAUUAGUUUGUUUGGCUUUAUUUAUCUCUUGGGACUCAUUGUAUGUUCUCUCUUACCAAAAGCUUCUGGGGUUCCCUCAAAAUUGUUUUUAGUUUACACGGGUUUACUUGCAGCAACUGAGUAUCUGUUUCAACUGUGGUGCAAACCUGCUCAAAUGUGUCCCGGUCAACGACUUUACAAUUUGUCAGUGUUUCUUGGUUUUAAGUAUUAUGAUUCUGGAUUUUGGGGCCUUGAGUCUGGAUUAAGAGGAAAAAUUCUGGUAAUUGUUGCUUGCACCCUCCAGUACAAUAUUUUCCAUUGGUUGAAAAUGAUGCCAAAUUCUCUCAUACACAAGGGCAAGUGGGAAGAGCCUUGCCAGUUGUUUAUCUCGACAGAAGAUUCUUCAACUGGCAUAGUUGUUAAUAAUUAUGAAAGCAAGGUAUCAAUGGAUUCUAUACAUUCUUCGGAAAAGGAGAGGCUUAUUGUGAGCAAUACUAGUGCAUCUUGCAGAUUUGAUGGCUAUCAAACGUCAGAGUCUCUUCAUAAUUUUACAAGAAGCUCAGAUGAUAACACCAAAAAGUGGACAAAGUCAUUUGCUUACAUAUGGGGAAGUUCAAAUGAAAGUCACAAGUGGAACAAGGGGCGCAUCCUUGGUUUGAGAAAGGAGAGAUUAGAAAUGCAGAAAACUACACUCAAGAUCUAUAUGAAAUUUUGGAUGGAAAAUAUAUUUAAGCUGCGAGGUCUCGAAAUUAAUAUGAUUGUGCUACUUUUGGCAAGUUUUACCUUGUUGAAUGUCAUCUCAAUGUUUUAUAUAAUAUGUCUUAUCGUGUGCAUUCUCCUGAAUAGAGACCUCAUUCGGAAACUAUGGCCGUUUUUUGUUUUCCUUUUUGCUUCUGUUCUUGUUCUCGAGUAUUUAGCUCUUUGGAAAUAUCUGAUUCCAUGGAUUAAUAGUUCAAGAAAGACAGGAGUUCAUUGUCGUGACUGUUGGAACAGCUCAAGUAUUUUCUUCUCUUACUGCAUGAAGUGUUGGCUGGGUAUGUAUUUUACUUGUUGCUUGACAAGUAAUAUAAGGUAAAAAUGUUAGAAGGCCCCCCAGCUACAGGCCAUUGAAAGGGAUCCUCAACUUAUUUUGAUUGAGACUCCUUGAACGUCUGAUUUUUUUAUUUUUUUUUAUUUUGAGUUUUUACACUUAGUUAACUUAUGGCUUUAUUAGCUGUUAGCUGUUAAUUGGUCUAAUUUACUAGCAAAGAAGUGAUUAGAAUUAUUAAAUUUGACAAUAGGACGAAUGAAUUUUAUAAAAUUUCCAAUUUAAUUGUCUAAAAUCUCUCAUUUCCGAAAACUUCUAAGGGGAUCUCAAUCAAAAAAUUGAAAGCUUAAGGGGGCAUUUCAAAAUGGCCUACAGUUGUGGGUCUUUCCAUAUAUCUUAACAUUGAUAUGAUUCAUAUAUCUUCAUUUAUAUCUAUUUAUAUAUACAUUUAGUGAUAUAAAAUUACGAAUAAAAUAUUACAUGUAUGUGUAAUUUUGUAUAUCAUAUCUGCAUACAUAUAUUAGUUGACCUACGGAGUUUUUGUAAGCAUGGAGGCCAACGAUUGACAUCAUUGAAUUUGAUCUUUAGACUAUAUUGAAGUUUUGGGGAAUCAAAUUUCAUGACAUUUCAAUAUAUCUGCCUUAUGAUCUAUUGGUCUCAAAAUGAAUGAUUAGAUAAUAGAUUUCUUGAAUUGUAGAACACUCGCGUUGUUCUUGAUUUAGAUUGUGGGAAUUACUAUUAUUAUUUUUUCUCAAAAAUAGAACUAAUGUGGAUUGGUCUACACUGUUAGACUAACAAACACAUUACAUUAGCCACUAAACUUGUUGAUUUUAGAUCUUUUGAUCAUACAGCCGGCGAUGUUGGAAAAAAAUCCCAAAAUAUUUGGUUCCCAAAUAUUUCUUAUGCUAGAUCAUGUUUAGCAAUAUAAUCGUUGAUUAGGAGGUCCUAUUGUAAAAUUUGACUUCUAAGAAAUGAAGGCCUCUGUGCUUGUGUAAGCAUCCCCUCUCCACUCUCUCUAGUCUUUGUGCUUGUGUAAGCGGCCCGGCUCUACACUCUAUCUCUCUCACUCUCUCUCGUCCUCCCUCCAUCCUCCCGGAAUUAAUGAUAGGAAUGAAUGAGAGAGACAGAGAGAGAAAGUUUGCCGCUAUGCUUUAAUGUCAACAAAGGCCUUUGUACAAUUUAUUUCCAAUAGUAGGGCUCUGAAUCAAUGAUCUACAACAUUAACUAUGUACAUCAGGUAUACCAAUGUGGAUGAAUUAUCAAUUCAAACAUUUUAACCUCUAAUUUAAGGUGGGAGAUGCUUCUGAAAAGCGUAUAUGUGUCUGUACACACAUGUUUGUGUGGAUAACUUACCUUGAGAAAAUCAGACAUUUCCUAAUGGAAGUUUUCUGAUUUUAUGUAGGGGUGAUUGUUGACGAUCCAAGAGUGCUUGUGAGCUAUUAUGUGGUUUUUAUCGUCUCCUCGUUUAAACUUCGUUCUGAUCACUCUUCUGGUUUCUCGGAUUCGUACACAUACCGUCAGAUGAGAUCGCAGAGGAAAAACACUUUAGUUUGGAGAGACCUCUCGUUUGAAACAAAAAGCUUCUGGACAUUUCUUGAUUAUGUGAGACUCUAUUCCUACUGUCAUUUAUUAGACAUUGUCCUCUUCUUAAUUCUGAUAACUGGCACCCUGGAAUAUGAUGUUCUUCACCUUGGUUACCUUGGUUUUGCACUGGUUUUCUUCAGGAUGAGACUUGAGAUAUUAAAAAAGAAGAACAAGAUUUUCAAGUUCUUGCGCAUGUAUAACUUUGCGCUCAUUGUCCUUUCUCUUGCAUAUCAAUCUCCUUUUCUUGGGGAUUUUAGUUCUGGCAAGUGCGAACAAAUUGAUUACUUAUAUGAGGUUAUUGGAUUGUACAAAUAUGACUACGGAUUCAGGAUAACAUCGCGAUCUGCAUUGGUAGAGAUAGUGAUAUUUUUGUUAGUGUCAGUGCAGUCAUACAUCUUCAACUCAGAAGAAUUUGACUAUGUCGCGAGAUAUCUUGAGGCAGAACAGAUUGGUUCUAUGGUCCGAGAACAGGAGAAAAAAGCUGCAAGGAAAACAACACAGCUGAAGAAUAUACGUGAAGCUGAAGAGGAAAAACGUCAGCGAAACUUGCAAGUAGAGAAAAUGAAGUCCGAGAUGCUCAAUUUGCAAAUUCAGCUUAACAGCAUAAGUUCUGCUACUACAGUGAGCAACAGUUCUUCACAAACAGAAGGCCUUCGACGUAGAAGGAUCUCUCCUCAAAACAUUGAUAAAGUAGCUAAUGUGCCAGAUGGUGAGAUUGCAUUUCCCAGAAAGCAGGAGAAUGUCAGUGCAGCAAAAUACCAUUCUUUUGACUUUGUUGUACCUGAUAUGCAAAAUAAUAUUGCAUCGUCGCAGGUAACAUCUGACUCGCUUCAAACCUCAAACGCUAGUGUGAAAAGUGAAAGCUCAUUUCCUGUGGAUUAUGUGAGACAUUCCUUGGAUCCUCUUUGCGAGAUAAGUGAAGUUGGAGAGAAGGAUGUUGCCAUGUACACUAAUUUGGACAAAAAGGAGAAAGAGAGAGGCCAGCAUAAGGAGAACCCUUUGAGAUCAGCUGUGCAAUUAAUAGGUGAUGGAGUUUCUCAAGUUCAGUCUUUAGGAAAUCAGGCAGUUACAAACAUUGUGAGUUUUCUGAACAUCGAGCCUGAGGAAUCAGAUUCCAGUGGGCAUUUGUUUGUGGGAGAGCGAGGAUUUGACGGAAUCGAAAAUCAGAUAACGACUGAACAUGAGCACUUGGAUCGUACAUCUUCAGUUAAUUCUAGCACAGGAGCUAAUCCUCCAACCAGCCUGCAAAUUGGAAAGAUCUUCCAGUUUAUAUGGUCCCAAAUGAGAUCUAAUAAUGAUAUCGUGUGUUAUUGUUGCUUCAUACUGGUGUUUCUGUGGAAUUUCAGUUUGCUAUCAAUGGUCUACCUUGCGGCACUCUUCUUGUAUGCUCUUUGUGUAAAUUCUGGUCCCAGUUAUUUGUUCUGGAUUAUCAUGCUUAUAUAUACAGAGCUGAAUAUUUUGCUUCAAUAUCUGUACCAGAUUAUCAUCCAGCAUUGCGGGUUAAGUGUACAUUUUCCUAUUUUGGAGAGGUUUGGUUUUCCUGAAAAUAAAAUAAAAGCCUCAUUUGUGGUCAGCACAUUACCUCUCUUUCUGGUGUAUAUAUCGACUCUCCUUCAAAGUUCUAUUACUGCUAAGGAUGGUGAAUGGGUACCAGUAACAGAAUUUGGCCUUCUUGGUAAGAAGAGCUAUUAUGAAGAAACCCGCUAUAUGAAUUAUGGAUGGAGAGACAAGCUACGGCAGCUGUUUUCACCUGUAAUUAACCUCAUUAGGUUAAUAUUCAUGAGUUUUUCUAGGUACUGGAAGUCACUAACGCAAGGAUCAGAGUCUCCUCCAUAUUUUGUGCAGCUAACUAUGGAGGUUAAUCAAUGGCCAAAGGACGGGAUCCAACCUCAGAGGAUUGAAUCAAAAAUAAAUGAGUUACUUAGAAUAGCUCAUAAAGAAAGAUGUGAAGCUAAAAUUCCUUCUCAAUGCCAUUCUGCCAGUAGAGUUAGAAUUCAAAGUUUUGAAAAAUCUUCAGAAAAGGACAGUUUGGCUCUUGCUGUUCUUGAAGUUGUUUAUGCUUCUCCUUCUGCAGGAUGCCCAGAAAUGGAGUGGCACAGAUCACUUACUCCUGCUGCAGAUGUAGCAGCAGAGCUUCAAAAAGCUCACAGAGAAGGACUUUUUGAUGAAAUGGACUUCCCCUAUCCUGUUGUAUCUAUCAUAGGUGGUGGAAAAAGGGAAGUUGACUUGUAUGCCUACGUAUUUGGUGCAGAUUUGGCAGUUUUCUUUCUGGUUGCCACUUUCUACCAAUCUGUCAUAAAGAAUAAAAGCGAGUUUCUGGAUGUCUAUCAGCUUGAGGACCAAUUUCCCAAAGAGUUUGUAUUUAUUUUGAUGGUAAAGAUAUGUGGCUUCCUUUCAGGCUUUAGUGAUAUUUGCAUAUUGUUGAUACCUUUUAGAAAUUAGCUUCUUGACCUUGUUCUUUUGGCACGUAUUCUGAAUGUUGGUAAGUCCUCAUUUUUAAUUUCUAAGAAUUUUUUUUAUUAUUAUUUUGCAGGUGCUGUUUUUUCUAAUUGUGGUUGAUCGCAUCAUAUAUUUGUGGUCCUUUGCAAUAGGAAAGGUCGUCUUCUAUCUUUUCAACCUUGUCCUGUUCACAUAUUCAGUCACGGAGUAUGCUUGGUGCAUGGAACCAUCUAACAAGAACAUUGGAGGACUUGCUUUGCGUGCUAUCUACCUUACUAAGUCAAUUUCCUUAGCACUACAGGCGCUGCAGAUUCGCUAUGGACUCCCUAACAAGAGCACCUUAUAUCGGCAGUUUUUGACCAGUCAAGUCACACAAGUGAACUUUCUGGGCUUCCGUUUGUAUCGCGCCUUGCCAUUUUUAUAUGAAUUGCGAUGUGUACUUGAUUGGUCCUGUACAACUACAUCACUAACAAUGUAUGAUUGGCUGAAGGUACGGCUUUAGUACUUUUUUUUCCCUAUAUAUAUUGAAGAAUUUAUUUCAGUUCAUUAAAUUGGACCUUAAUAUCUUAAAGAUGCCAUUAUUAUAAACUUCAGGAAUUCAUCUUGAAAGUAAAUUAGAUGUCUCCUCUUGACAUUAUUCAAGCUAUAGAAUGAAUGUCAGUUUUGACAUGUAUAUUCUCUCUUUAUACUUCCCGUCCUUUUGGAAAAACCAAAUAUUUAUUAAUGAAACCUUUUAUUUAAUUACUAGAACUUGUAGAAUAACAGGCAUAUAUUUCUUGAUGUUCUUAUAUGGUCAUCAUUCUUCUAGCAGAUACUUUUAUUUUCUGCAUUUCUUAGAGUUUCCUGAAUUCCGUACUAUUGCUACGUUUUGUCCUGAUAUUUUUUCUUCUUUCUGUGAUCAUUCCAUAUAAACCUCCAAUCUUUUGUGCUUUCGUUUAUUUCCAUUAUUUUAUUAUAAAAAUGCGAUAUUGUUACCCAACUGUCUCUGUUAUUGUUAGCUAUACGAUGUUCUGUUACCUCGCUAAUGAAUAGGUCAGUUUAAAAUGGGCAGUUUGAUCUUUUACUUUCCUGAAGUCCACACAAAUAAUUCAAUAUAAAAAAUAUUCUCAAACAUGUGGAAUUAUCAUAUAGUCAUCUUCAGUUUAUUUAGAGUACUGUAUUCUUAGUUUUGUUCUUACGAUCAUCUGUAUUCUUAGUUUUGUUCUUACGAUCAUCUGAUAAGUUCUUAUUUUCCUGCAUAGUUGGAGGACAUCUAUGCAAGUUUGUUUCUUGUCAAAUGCGAUGCAGUUUUAAACAGGGCAAAACAUCAACCAGGACAAAAACAAAGUAAAAUGACCAAAUUCUGUAGCGGAAUUUGCUUAUUCUUUAUACUGAUAUGUGUUAUCUGGGCACCUAUGUUGGUAAGUGAUUUGGUAUAUAUCAGCUUUUUAUUAUUUUUUGUUAGCUAUAUACAUAAAUGUAUUAUUCCUUGUAAUUUUAGGAUAGUGUUAAAAGGGAUAAAUAUUUUGUGUUGGAAUAACUCAAUUCUAGGAUGGAGAGGAAUAGAAGGAAUUUUGUGUUUGGCUUGACAUUUUGUUAUUCCCUAGGCUAGCCAAAAUCAUGCUUGGCUAUUUUUUUAAAGAAUAGUGGAGAAUGGUGCAGAAAAGAAAUAAGUGUGGCAUGGUGAAUGAGGCAGUUCAAUACCCUUAAGCCCUUGGAAGGAUGGUAGGUGAGAGUGGAGUAAAGUGCAGUGCAGAGAAUGAGGCGAAGGGUAAAUCGGAGAAUAGCCCUAUUCCAAGGGUGGGGAGGAAUACUUUUAGGCCCUCUUUAGAUGUUUGAGUAAGUUAUCCAGUGUUAUUCUAUAUGUGAUGCGGAUUUUUUAUUUUAAUGGGAAGCUAGGAAUGUGGCCAAUUGUCUAGAAUGGAAUAGCAUAUUCGACUCUGUAAGUUAUUUUUGAGAAUAAAAUAAAAUCACCUUGUAGGUGAUACGCUAUGCUACCAAAUCUUGGAUGCAAAAGGCCCAAAGCCUUUCAAGGAGCAAAAAAUAAACUCCUACCUUUCAAGUACACAAGAAAAUCAGUUAGUUAUCAUCGUAUAACUCAGGCCUACAUCCAAACAAGGCCUUAAUGAGUAAUUUAAGAAUGAUCUGGAAUAACCUACUUUGAGCAAAAUUAUUAUUCUUGUCAAAUUUUGUUGUGUUUGGUAGAGUACAUGGGAUAAAAUGGCUUAUCCCCCAGUUAUUCUCUUACCAAAAGCAGCCACACAGUUCUGAACUUAUUAUGCAAUCAAUACUCUUAAAGUGCCAUAUUUGUGAAAUGAAUGAUUAAAAUGCUGAGGCACGGGUGUGCCAAGGCCAGGUAGUAUGAUUGGCAUGGGCACGUUGUUGUGCUACCUGUGGUAUUCUGGCAUGCCUACGGACACAAAGGGCCUUCAACUUGCAUGGAUGGACUGCUUUGGGACAGUCUUAUUAUGGUUUCCGUGGUCUGAAUAACAUCUUGUAUUAUUGAUUUGUGGGUUGUUUUUUGGCAUUAACACAAUCCUUAGGUCCUUUCUUAUUUUGCGUUAGUAGUGGUAGGCUAUAUUGUUAUACAUAAAACACUUUUAUCCCUUCAUUUUUCUUCGACUCGCAACCAACUUAGUGUUCUUACUGUUUAAAAUCUCAAAUAAUGAACACAAAUCCUUUGUUCACAGAUAAGACACGUUAUUCUUGCCUUUAACAUUCCAACAGAGUUAUUUACAUUCCUGUCUUCCUAUUUUUAUGUCAGAUUUAUUACAUCUUAUCAUUUCUGACCAAGAAAUCCCAGAUUUUGUAAUCAUAUCAGAUGACAAAGAUGACUGCUGCUCUAUAAUAUUUUAAAAGCCAGUUAAUAUUGUACAUCUCUAACAUAUUAUUUAUACAGAUUGACAAAAUUAAUUAUGUUUGAAUUCUUCAAUAUAAUAGAACAUUUUUGAGAGGAAUCCUUGAUUCUUAGAAGUUUCUUGGAAAACACAUCUCGCUAUUGUUUUUAUAAUAUUCAGUUUUUUUUAAGAUCAUAGAAAAUCUGGUAUAAUGAAUCUUUAAAUCUUCAACCAGGAAGGAUGAGAGAGAGAGAUUUCUUCAUCUGUUAUUGUUAUGGCCCUUUUGGAGUGUCAUGAGUGUAUGAAGGAAAGUGAUGAAAAGAGAUGGAGAGAAAGCUGGGGAAGGAAAGGAGGAGCAAUAUCGUACAUGCUCGACAUGUAGCUUGAUACACCGAAUAUAUAGAAAUUUCUCAGUUGCUAUUCUCAUGUGUGCCAAGGCACAGUGGCAGUUUCGAUACUCAGUUUCGAUAUUCUUUAUGUGCCCAUAAGUCAUUCACACAGUAUGGCAUGCUCGAUACGCCUUGAUAUGCUCCCUGAUUCCCUGUUUGAAUCAUCAAAAGCUAAGCAUAAUUUAUCUUCUAAACCACGAGAAAAAGCAUUUUGCAUUUCCCAUAAGCCAAUAACUAUUAAUGUAAUUAAUGCCAAAGAACUAGGAAAAUAUUAUCGCCAGUAAUAGGUUUUUGGACACGACACUUAUUAUUUUAAAUUUUCUUCUAGAUGACAAGCUAGAAUUAUUUAUAUCCUUUCAUAUUCAUGUGUGCUGAAGAUUUUGGAAGUUUUGAUAUCCUAAUCUCGUCAACUGUCUUUUAACAGAUCUACAGCAGUGGUAACCCAACAAACAUUGCGAACCCUGUUAUAGAUGUGAGUGUUCAGGUUGAUAUUAAAGCAAUCGGUGGGAGGCUCACACUUUUCCAAACUACUUUAUGUGAUAUUUUCCCUUGGAAAAGUUUAGCAUCCUUAGACAUUCUGGAUCCACAAAAUUAUCUAGAUGCGUACAAUGCUGAGGACAUUCAGUUGAUCUGCUGCCAACCUGAUGCUAGUACUUUGUGGCUGGUUCCUCCUGUUGCUCAAAACAGAUAUAUAAGAUCCCUUGGGCAGAUGGAAUUAAUGCUAACAUGGAUUUUUCUAAGAGCGAGACCAAAAGGAAAAGAAUCUGUGAAAUAUGAAUCUCCUGUUGAUAAUUGUCCCAGUAUGGAUGAUGUUGCACAAGUGCUCAAUGGGACAGCUAAUAGCUUUAGGAUAAUUGAUGCGUAUCCAAGGUACUUCAGGGUCACUGGCUCUGGUGAAGUGCGACGUCUAGAUACAACGGUAUACAGCAGAAUCCCUAUGAUUGCCUUCAAUUAUUACUAUCACUUUAAAUGGUUUUCCUAUUUUACUUAACAUUUUUAGCAAUAUGUGUAAUUUUAUUUAUUAGGUUAUCAUUCAACAUGCAGGUAGAUUCAGUUAGCGGCAACCUUGUUAUGAACAAUGGGACUCCUCCAUGGUGGUCAUUCCAUGAUCUCAAUCCAUUAGAUUUGACAGGGUGUCAAGGGCUGUCUGGACCACUGGCUAUUGUCGUAUCUGAGGAGACACCGCGUAUGUAACUGUAAUUGUAUUUUCUUGCAUGCGUGUGAGAAGUUUUAACAAAUAAUCAAAUUGACCUAUUCUUGAUUGUCAGAGUAUAAUGUUCCAAUAUAUAAGGGGUAUUUGUUCUAUCAUUUUUCCACCAUAUGCAUGAAGCAUAAUUAUGCAAGCUUUAGGUGCUGAUAAUUUAUGGUAUAACUAUAUUAGAUAAUUGCUCAAUCAGAACAGAACAUGAAAAUACUAUUAGAAAUCAAUUCUGCAUGAGCCUAGCUUAUCCAAAAAUAACAUGACAUAACAGAUUAGCAGCCAGAUUAGCAGCCAACUUGCUUUUUUGAGAAUCUAAGUCAAAGGCGUAGGCAUUUAGACUUGGCACAAACGACCCUACUGUCUAGCAUGAACACAACCACGAAGCGCAACUUUCUCUCUUAAUGAGGUCAUGGAAUCAAUUAACAGUUAGAUAGGUCAGAUUGUUUAAAUUCUCAUAGGCUCCAAUAUAUCCAACUUUGUCAUGUGGACUUGUCGACUUGUUUCCUAUUGAUCGGUGGGUUAGAGAGUUCCUUCUUAAUACUUUCUCCUUCCUGAUUAGGCCCUGGACUGUUUUGAUUAAGCGUGAGAAAAUCAUCAGUUGGCAUGAUUGAGCCUCCACUUCGAGACAAUUGUGACUUAAAAAGAAGAUAAAGUGACUACCCAACCCGAUACUCAGCUGCCCUGUAUUUCUAUAUGUUCACCUAUGGUUACUAAUAAAGUGAUGUUCCAUUAGCCAGCUGCAUAGCUGAAUAUAAUACUAUCUAACGGAAAUAAAAAAACCCUCUCAAAUAAUGAGCUGCUGGUUUACUGGGCAUGUGUGUUCGUGUUGAUCUUCCCGUUAUUUGUUCCUGGUAUACAGAAUUUUAUCUGCAGUUUAGAAACAAAUCCUAUCAUGUGAGAUAGAACCUUGCAUUUUAUGUGAUCUACAACAGUUGAAUUAUGUGCAUGUGCAUGAUUGUAUGCCCAUUUCAGCAGUAACGACGUAAAUCUUCUACAAAGUGAUGUGUGUAGUUGGAGGGUACUUCAUGUAUUGGAUGUUAUGAGCCUAAAACAAGUGUUUUUUUUUUUUUUAUUCUUUUAGUACUGUUGCUUUUACUUUUCGUACCUAUCAUUAAUGCUUUUGUUAAAUUGCAGAGGGUAUUCUUGGUGAAACUCUCAGCAAGUUUAGCAUUUGGAGUUUGUACAUUACUUUUGUAUUAGCUGUUGCCCGAUUUAUUAGACUACAAUGCUCAGAUUUGAGAAUGCGAAUACCAUAUGAGAAUCUUCCUACUUGUGACAGGUAUGCAAAAAUAUUCUGCUACUUUGGGCUUACUUUUGAUGAUAUUGGAGACAAUAGUUUUCAAGUUAAAUAUAAUUUUUCAUAUUAAUGCCAAUAUAUAUUCCUGUGUAAUAAACUGCAGAUGAACUCCUUAUUUAUUUUUGCUGUGUACAGCAUUCCUUUUCAUGCUCCCACUGGUUGCUAUUUUGGACAUAUCAUAGAAACUAAAAUCAUGUUACUAAUUGUUGGUUGCAUAAUGAUUGUAAACCAAUAGACAGUGUAUAACAAUAAUAGUGCAUGAAAAUAAAUUGAUAAUCUACGAAAUAAAUUCCUUGCAUUUCUACCGGAUCUUGCAUCGUUCUCAUUUAUUUCUACAAUAUCCUAGAACUAUUGCAUGGAAUCAACAAUUGAUUGUCUUCUCUGCAUCAACGUAAGUGAGAACAUGGUCAUCAUCGAGGGAUCUAAGCUGUGAAAUAAACCUUAUUAUUGAUAAUAUACUAAAUUGUUUUAUACUAAUUUCAGAAAAAAUUGUUACACCUUUUUUUGUUACAUCUCUUUUAUUCUAACAAGCUUUUCUUUUGUCAAAAUUGUACAAUGCUGUUUAACACUAACAAGUAAGAAAGGAUUGCAAGAAGUGUUUUUUUUUUUCCUUCCUUUUUUUGUGGUGUGUUUUUUUUGUUUUGUUUUUUUUUUUUUUUUGGGGGGGGGGAGAGAAUGUGCAAGUGGGAGCGUGUUUCAUAUUUGGUCUAGGUGGCAUGAUAUGAUGUUAUCAGGCCGAACACAACCUGACCUGACAAAUUUACGACUGUGAACAGUUGGUUCAAAUUCAACUUACGGACUAAUAAUAAGUCAAUCCAAUCAAUAUGCUGGCUAGAUUGCUUCCACUUUACCUUGAUAAAAAAUAGUCAUGAGACUCCUAACCAAAACAAUAAAUGGGAAAAGUGAAAUUCCAAGAAAGCAAGCGGAAGAUAGUUUGUAAUGGAGUUGGAAACUGGGUUAGGUAUUUCAAUAGGAUAAUGUCCUAUUUAAACUUUCCAAAGAGGAAAUCUAAGGAAAACAGUUUGGUGCAUUUACCUAGUGGAUCCAGAGCCCCCAAUUGGAACCCUAGUCAACCAGGCAGCGAGUCAAACGGCCAUGGAUAUUACUAUGGUCUGACUUAUAAUUAACAUGGGAUGAGAAUUAGAUGAAACUUGAUCUAUUAUGUGGUUUAUUUUUGUUAGUCUUGUUGAGUUAGCUGCAAAUCUCAACUGAGUUUUCCCGCAUUUGACCCUUUGCCAAUGCUGAGCUUUGAUUGAAUUCUCUUUCUACCCUCAAAAGUUUUGGCUCUUAGUUUGAUGCUCUAUAAAAAGCCAGAGAAAAAGUUUUCAUACUUCUCCUUACAAGGGUAGACGAACUGUCUAUCUUUCAUCUGCUCUACUUCACUCACAAGGUUCAAUUACAAUUUUCUUGUAAAGAAGAUGAGAAAUUCUUCUUCUCAGAUUAAGAUGUGGUUUCCUUUGGUUUAUCCUUCUUUUUUAACCAAUAUAAGACAGACAUAAAUGGAGAACUGUUUUCUCUAUUUUACAUGGCAUACCCCCUCUGCUUGAUGAUUUGCUUAUGAGAUAAAUUUCAGUUGAAGUGCAUUAUUUUGUUUUGCAUGAUAUGAUGACCGAAGUCUGCAUUUGAUUUAUUUGCAUACUUGUUUUAAUAGUUAAAAUAGUUAUAUUUGUUCAUACUAAAAUAUAAAUAAAACUUAUAAAUAUGAGUAACAUUUCUAACAAAACUAUGCACAUGCAUUUAUAUAUUUUUCUAGUAAAUUAAUUUAUCAUGUAAAAAUCAACCAUCCCACUUGGACUAGCAGUUUUAUAGGUUUCAUCCACAGGGACGAAGUGCUUUAGGUCAAGUUGCUAGCACUUGUAAGCUUGUCCUUGCAUCCCAAAGUGUAAUCUCUACAUCAUCCAUGGGAAUUUCUAGGCAAUAGUGUCCCUCAAAGUGACUUGGACAUCUUAUAUGCAGCAAAAUAUCCAGUUAGCACUUGCAACAUGAUGAUGUUGAUCUAUAGGGCCCAGAAAUGCUUAAACCCAAGUUGCUAAUACUACCAUGCUAAUCCUUUAAGCCCAAAUUCAUAUUUGUAGUCUGCUAUACUACAUUUUUCAUUUUAGGGCCUAUUUUAAUGCAUAACAUCUUGUUUGGCACAUCUUUCAUUUACUCAAGGAGCAUGGUGAAAUUGAUAGACGAGGAAUGUACACAGAGUAUACUAAUGUCUAAAAAGGCAUAAUAUAUUUGAGCUUCAAACUUUCUUUUUCUCAAAAUAAGAUAAAUCACCAUGUAGGUGUAAUAAAUUAUCCUGAAAAUUAAUGACUGCUAGCACCUCUUAAGGGGACUAAAGCUAGCUUCUGAAAUCCAAUCACAGAGAGAGAGAGAGAGAGAGGCCUAAUAGCGCACAAGUUAUCAAAGGAUAACUUGUUCCAACAUGUUAGAACAAAGUUGUUGAAUAAUAAAUUAUGUGCUUGCGGGAGAUUUUCUUUUGUGGUUGCAACCUAGGUCACUUAGUUCUUGCUUUGCAAGCACCUGAAAGCAAGCAAACUUUUAGAUUGCAAUCACACAUGGAAAUCCUUAUAGCUUACCAGUUAUCAAUGGAUAACUUGUCCUUACAGGAAAAUUUUGUUUUUUGUUUUUUUUUUUUUUGUUUUUUGUUUUUGGUUUUUUUUUUGUGACUAGGUGUUCGUUUUAAGCAGUUGCACCUUGCAAGGGGCUAAAAGCAAGCUUCUAGAUUCUAAUCACCAAAGAAGAUCCUUAUAGUGUACAAGUUAUCAACGGAUAAUUCGUCCAACAUUGUGUUAGAAUUAAGUUAUCCGGUGAUAACUAAUGAGUUUUUGGGAGAUUUUCUUUUGUGAUUGGAACCUAGGACCUUGCGGUCCUAGCAUUCAUGAUUUUUGGGAUAUAUCAUUGCACGUUCAUGGUGAUUUUUCUCAUUCUAAGAAACUGACUUGUAGUUGUACAAGCUAUAUGUCAUUGUAGACAUCUAAGUAUACUCAUCUAUCAAUUAUUCCUUGAGUAAACAAAAGUGUGUACUAACGAGGAUACUCAGGCAAACAAAGCAGACCCUAGGUAUUGUUUGGUUCAGAUAUAAAUUGUUCUUGUUUAUUAUUUGUAAUGGUGUAACUCCUAAUAUUAGCAUAAUGGUAUAACUCCUAAUAUUAGCAGGAACUAGGCCAAUAUUGUGUUUAGAUGAGAAUUGAGUUAUUUCCAGGAAUAAGAAAAAUAACGUUUGGAUAAUAAAAUGGUAUGGUGGGGAAUAGGGAUAAUUAUAAUUUUAAAAUAAACCAUUUUACCUAAUUAAUAAAUAUUUAAGUUUUAAUAAAAUAAUAAUUUAAUAAAUGGAUCAUGAAUAUUGUAUAAGAUAAUGGAGAAGCACAUUAGCUAGUUAAUAAAAUAUGAAAAAUGAGUUAAUAUGUUAGUUAAUUAAUUAUUAUUGAAUUAGUUAGACAAUUAGCUAGUAAAUAAAUUAGAUUAGUCAAUUAUUAGUAAUUUAAAUGAAUAAUAGUUAGUAGGUAAUAUCAUAAUAUAAUUGAUUAGUUAAUUGGCUAGUUAAUUAUGAAUAAAAAAUUAGUUGCUCUAGUACUUAAAUUAAUAAUUAUUAACUAAUAAGUUAAGAGUGGUUAGUUAGUUAGCUAAUUAGUAAAUGAGUUAUUAUAUAUUAAUUAACAAUAUUUUAUAAUUAUUUAUUACUUAAUUAUUAAUUUUAAUUGAAGAAUUGGAGAGGAGAAUAGUAGUUCCAUACAAAAGGGUGGAACUACUAUUCCACCGUCUCAACGGGUUAUCCUUAUCUAGGAUAACCCUUUAAGAGGGUAAUAAGUUAUUACCCCAUGGUUUUUGGAUGAAUAAGGGAAGUUAGCUCCCUUAUUUCCCCCUUAUACUCUAUCCAGACGCUACCUGAAGUACUUGAGACAAUUGCGAGUUCUAGUUACCUCUCACAUCUUACUGCUAUCCAUAGUAGAAAGAGUUUAACCCUGCAGUGUGGAUUGCCGAUGUGUAAGAAAGUGGAAUGAAAAUCGCUGGAAACAAAUCAACCUUUCUCUAUAAUUGGGAAACAAGUUAAUUGUGCUUUGUUAUAAUUCAAUCCUUUUCCUCCGUUUCUUUUCCUGAUAUCUCUUGAAAGAUUCAUGAGGAUCUUAAUUUGAUUUACUGUAGGCUGAUAGCUAUUUGUGAAGGCAUAUAUGCUGCUCGAGCGGAAGGUGAGUUGAAAGUGGAAGACGUCCUCUACCAGACAUUAGUGAGUAUCUACAGGUCGCCACACAUGCUUCUAGAGUAUACCAAGCCUGACUGAAAAUUUUCCUCCUCGUCUGAAGAGAAUCAUAGAAUUAGUGCAAAUGCUGCUCUGCAUUUCACUCGAAUACCAAGGGAAAAUGCUCAAGAAAAAUAAACAGUUGAUACAUGGGUUAUCUUCUGGUAAUGCCUAUAGUUCUUCACAACCUAGGCAUGUCGUUGGGGCUUGCUAUUUUUUUGCGGCUCGUUCUUUUAACUAACGAGUCCAUUGUACAUAAACAAGAAUUAAUAUAUUUCCCGAAACAAUUACUACAGCGGUAACCUUCGGUGAUCCUUACAUGUGCCGAGAGCUUGUAAUUCAACUUUGCAGAGAAAGCAAAUAUCCCUUUUCCAAGCUGAUAGUUGUUCAGCUAGUAGCAAUUAAAACUGAAUUCAUUGAUGUUUCACCUGUAGAUCCAAGCAGUUUGUAUUUUUAUUUGUUGGAUGGUUUUCUAAUUAAUUCUCUUUAUUUGUUGGAUGGUUUUCUAAUUAAUUCUCAUCCAGAGCAUUCGGGCCAGCCGCUUGGUUUGUAUGUUGUUGUCAACUUGGAAAGAGUAUCAGUAGUUGUCGACUUGGAAAGAGUAUCAAUACUGCCCCUCAAGAUUUUUUUUUUCUUUCUUUUUUUUUUUAAAAAAAAAACUGUGGAUGCAUUGUGUGCGACUCGGUACAUGAUGACCAAGGGUUGUUUGCAGUGAAGGUGACCGAUUGGUUUCUCAAACUUUAAUGUGCACCUUAUAGAGGGUUUAGGGUUUAGGGUCUAGUGUUUCUGCUUGGUUUCUGAAAGCUAAAAACAUCGGUAUAACAGUUUGUGCUUGUAAAGUUUAGAAGGUAGUGAUCUUUCAUCAACAACUAUGUUGAUUAAGAAAUUAGUUAAUAAUUUAUCCAUGGUGAUAAGCAAUGUACUCUUCGAUUGUACGUUUGUUAGUGUUUGUAUUAUUAUUAUUAUUAUUAUUAUUAUUAUUAUUAUUAUUUAAAAAAAGCUCUAUUGCCGUUAUCUGUUUGUUUGUUUGUUGUUGGUUGGAUGAUCUCUCAUCAUCCUCAUGACCAGUUGCAACCUGGGUGCAGGUGGUCACCUGGUACCAGGAUGGCGGCGUAAAGUAGUAUUUUAAGAAACUGGUUUAAACAUUGAACUAGAAAUGUGGGCUGCUCAAGGUUUUACUGUUUAAAUCAGUUCAACUAGUGACAUCAGUAUGUGCCGUAAAUUAUUAAUUCAUAUGCAUAUUAAAAUGAUAGGUAGUACAAGAUUAACAAUAAAAUAACAAAAUAUAAUGGACUCUUUUACAGAAUAAUCUUCUCAAAUUUUAAAAUUUGUGAAAUAACUCUCCCAAAAUUGUAUUUGGAAAAUUAACCAUCGAUUCGCCACGUAGGCGCCAGGUCAGCUAUUUUCUAUAAAGGCGGUGAAUGAUUCACCGCCUUUAGUGCAAACAGUCAAAUUUCAGAGAAGUUUUUUUUCUAUGUCCUCGACUCUGGCAUUGAAAUAUAGAUAAGACGGUGAAUGGUUCACCGCCUUCGCUAAGGCGGUUAAGGCUGUGAACCAUUCACCGCCUUAAGUGCAACCCUACAAAUUUCAGAGAAGAUUUUCUCGAAGUCCUCGACCCUGUCAUUGAAACAUAGAUAAGACGGUGAAUCAUUCACCAUCUUCAUGAAGACGGUGAACCAUUCAUCGUUUUUUAUGAAGAAGAUGAAUGGUUCACCACCUUCAAUGCAAACUGAUCCAACCCUUUUUUUUUCUCAGGUCUUUAACAAUAAUUUUUGCAAGUUUGGAGCAAGAUUUUUCACGAGAUAAAAAAUUUCAAUAAGAAAAACAACAAGACAAGAACAACAUGAUAUAACUAAUAGCAUAGGAAUUUCAACAAAAACACAAAGUUAUAGAAAUAUGAACUAAAUAAAGAGAUAUAUAAUAUUGACAUGUUAUACAACGUGUUCAAUCUACAUUAUAUAAACGUCAAUCUCGAGAUCUUCCUCUCCCUCGACGUCCUCGGCCACGUCCGCGUGCAUGCCCAUGUCUACAUCUACGCCCACAAUCAACAUUGAGCUUAACAGGAGGUACGCUAUCAAGUGGCUCGAUACCUGCCAUCUGGUUGAGAUUCUUGAUAAUGAUGCCCUCAUGAUGCUUCGCAAUCGCCUGAAACUCCUCUGGCACAGGUCAAUCACCCUUGAUAGCGGCUGGUGUAGAUGCUGGGCGGUACUGUGAUGAUGACGGGCCACAAUGAUGAGAAUACAUGGAUCUAAAAUACGCACGCGACACUGGUGGUGGAAGUUAGUCAAACAUCAAAGGAAAUGUUGAAGAGGCAUCGGGCAUAGCUCCAAUGCUAGUGGGAGAUGGAGACCAUGACACUUGCUUGCUCGAUAUCGAAUGAGAUCCAAUAGGAGACAGAGACUGUCACAUCUAUUAACUCGCUGUCAAGGCGUGAGCAAAAUCUCGACCCCCUGUAUCUCUGAUAAUUGGUAUAGCAAGAACAUGCUCUGGUACGAGGAACUGCUUCAAUCUCAAAGGCACCUUACAUGAUGACUUUAGCAGAGUUGCAGAAAUUGAAAGCACAACUGCAAGAUUUGUUGGAAAAAGAAAAUAUUCGACCUAGUAUGUCACCUUGGGGAGCACCAAUGUUAUUUGUGAAUAAGAGAGAUCGGUCACUAAGAUUAUAUGUAAAUUAUCGAGAAUUGAAUAAGGUGAUUGUUAAGAAUAAGUUGUUAGAUAAUUGCGUGCGAUUAAGCAUAGUAAAAAAAGAAAAAUCAAACAAAUUUGAUUUUUAAAACUCGAGAUACGAUUUUUAAAACCACGCUAAUAGGAUCCGUCAUGUUGUUUAAGAUUAAAGAAGAAAAAGUAAGAUAUAAUCUUCACCUUUGCACGAAUGGAUCUUCACCGCAAUCUGAUGACCGUGGAAUUUGGUUCUUUUGAAGCCGCACACGCGUUCGACCUCUAUAAGUAUCCACAUGAGAUUAGUGAUCUGAUCGAUGUCCUCACGGGGGUGCUAGCUCCCUUGCAAAGGGCAUCUUUCUUGCUAGAGGUUCAAAGAGAAGAAGAGAGAAAGAGAGCGAUGAUGGAUGAUGACUAGAAUUUUCUAAAAACUCCUGUAUCUUGUAAAGAGAGACAUAAUUCCUUUUAUAAUAAUAUAAUAACCACUAAGGAUAAAAAUAAAUCUAGGUUUAAUUUUAUCCUUUUCUUAAUUAGUUCCAUAGAUUAAAUCCUAAUUUAAAUUGAAUUGGAACUCAAUACAAAUUUGAUCAUAUCAAAUUAAUAAUGUGAUAUUUGCACAUAAGUCCUCUCACAAUUUACUAAUUGUUAGGAAGUCCUCUCUUACAACAUUUGCACUUUAAUAUCACUAAUUUGUUAUAAUUAUAAAUUAGUUCAGUUAUCAAUAUAUUGACAAUUAGUUCUCCGACGAUUCAAAAAUCACGAUCCAGAUAUCCUAUCAGUCACAACUUCUUAUAUAUGUUACCUAUAGGUUCUAUUUUAUUUAGUAGUGAGAUAUAUUCUAAUCACUAUUAACAAUAUCUGUAACACACUGGAUCUGUGCAAAUUGCGAGGUUCGAGUGUUUGAUUUGAGUUCCCAGCUUUUCCACACCUUGUGGAGGGUCGUAGAUGGUGUUCCGACCCAUAGUUCGAAAUUCUGGAUUUUUGGCUUAGUCCUGAGAGUUUCACUCUCGGGGACUGGUCCCUGGUGGGAGAGACUGGUCCCCUUGAGGCAACCGGUCCCCCGGGUCAGAGAGACCGGUUCCUGAACGCUUGGCUGCGGGAGAGUCCUGAGGGACCGGUCCCAUGUGGGGAGGGACCGGUCCCUCCACCCGAAAUUUGCCCAGACCUGGCUGUGUGCAGGUUGCAAAGUUGAGGGGGUUUUCUGGAUUUUGUUGCAUUAGAGGGCCUAUAUGGCUUUUCCUCUCUCUUUCUCUCAUUUCUUUCCCUCACACUCUAUCACGCCCCGGGACCCAGCGGAAGCCCGCCUGGUGCGUGCCCAGACCCGCCAUAUGUCUAUAACAUACAAGGUGUCUAAAACAAAACGAUAAAUAAAGUAGUAGAACAAAGGGAUCUAAUGAUAUCAGAGCAAAGUAAAUAAUUAAGUUCUACAACAGAGGGAUAAGUAUAAAACUGAAAUUCAUUAAUAAAACCAUAAAGUAGUACAAUGGAAAUCCUAAACACAAAAGCAAAACAUAAGGAGUACAUAGGUGGUUUCUUUAUACAUGGUACUCAAAAUCUCUCUCUUUCACUACAACAAAAGAAAGAAAGAAGAAACAACCACCUAGGAGCGAAACAAGCUCAUCUCUAUCUAGCUAGGCGACACCCUUACCGCGAUCCCAUAUCUCCGCCAGUGCCGAAGGCUUUGAAAGAAACCAUAAAACAGAGGGCGUGAGAACUAUUAAAUAAUAGUUCCUAGUGGGCAAUUACUGACUUCAGUGAAAUGCGCCACUAGGCCCAAAAGCUACAAAAGAGGGUCAAUACAAGUAUAAAUGAAGGCGAAAUAAUGAACAAGUAUGUAACCAUGAGUACUAUUCUACCAUGAUAUCUCUACUUAGUAUGAACUGCAUAAGUAAUAAAGCAAUUACAACAAGUAUGUACAUGAGUGUGACUAACAUGUGUAAGCAUGAGUAUGCAACCAAACGAUGUCCUCGAUGCAAAUAGUAAAGAUGUCAUUAUUUACUAUUCUAGUCAAUAUCCACUUGUCACUUUAACUGUUAAAAGUUUAAUCUUAUAAGACCCACCCGAAGGCUGUCUAGCAUGAAGACCCACCCGAAGACUGUCUGGCCUGUAAGACCCACCCGAAGACUGUCUGGCCUGUAAGACCCACCUGUAGGCUGUCUGGCCGGUACCGUGCCUAAUGGCCCCGUGGUAGUCAACAUCCCCACUCUAGGAAUGAGCCUUUCCCACGGCAAUCCACUUCGGCGCCCAAUCCCGCACGGCAAUUAUCUAUCGCGAUGGCUAACUCAGGAGUGCAGACUUGUAGGGAGCGACCCUCACAAGCAUGUGCGAAUGAGUACAAUGGCAAGCAUGCGUAUAAGUCUAUCUCAAGUCUCAAGUCCUCAUGUUUAAAAAAAAUAUGAAAUAUAUCGAAUGUCACAAAGGCCUAUCACUAUGUCAUCAUGUCUAUAACACGGAAUAUAGUAUAUGUCCAAUGGCUUAUCACUAUGUCUCUAUGUUGCAAUUUCAUAGUUUUCUAUGUCAAGUCCCCCUUUAUGACACUUUGUUCCACUAAGUCCAGUCAUAGUGUAGUGUUUACAAUUACACAAUUAUGAGCUAAUAUAGCAUACGAGGCAUGAUUCCCACUUGUUAUCUCGAACACUUCUCACAUGCAUGAAAAUAACCCUGAUUGCUCUACUAUUUAGAGUGAAAUUUAUCUUACACAUAGCACAUACAUUUUAAGUGUUCUAAAAUUCUCAUAAAUCCUAUCUAGUAUGGAUUUGCAUUCAAAAAGAAUUUACAACAAGUAUAGAGAGCACAUGUAACGCACUGGACCUUGCAAAUUGCUGGGUUCGAGUGAUUGAAUGGGUUAUAAGCUUUUCCAGACUUUUUGGUGGGUCGUCGACAGUGUUCCAACCUAUGGUUUGAGUUCCGAGAAUGGUGGUUUAAAACCUUGCGUCAAAAUCCAAAAAGUUGGAUUUUUGGCUAGCUCUCGGGUAGCCUUCAGAGGGCAGUGUACCGAUACGGGCUUGAUGGCUGUACCGGUACGCGGUGAUGGUUGUACCGGUACGCGGGCCCGUGUACCGGUACACAGGCUAUGUCCCAGCAAACCCGAGGCUCGGGUUGGCUUUUCGUGGGUGGUGUACCGGUACACAAACCCGUGUACCGGUACACAGUGCAGUCUGGGCUGCAGUUCGGGCAGGGGGGUGUUUGCAAUUGUUACAACAUUUAUAUAUGUCACCCCANUUGCCUAGGUGGUUUACUCUUUCUUUUUGUAGUUGAGAGAGUGAGAGGUUUUUGUAUCCAUGUAUAGAGACCACCUAUAUAUCUACCUAUAGCACUUGUAUCUGGAAUUUCCUUGUAUCACUUUAUGUUUUAUUUAGUGGAUUUACAGUUUUAUCCUUAUCCCUUGUUGUAGCAUUUAGACAUUUAUUAUGCUCUGAUACUCCUAGAUGUCUUUUAUUAUUACUUUUAUUAUUGUUGUUUUUAGACGCCUUAUAUGUUUUAGACGUAUGGCGGAUCUGGGCACGUGCCGGGCGGGCUUCCGCUGGGUCCCGGGGCGUGACAGCACAUGGGCCAUUUGCCACGUUUCCAUGAAGCCAAACCCACCAAAAAUCGAAACUCUUCGUUUCGCCGAACGGAGAUGUCCACUAGUCUCCUAGCACCCUAAAGAUGUAGGAACAAGAAUUACACAAUCGAAAUGAAUAUCGAAAGCUCAAAUUCUAACCAACAAGGCAUAGAGGGCUAAACUCUCACCUAGUGUAGAGAUUCUUCUUCAAAGCUCAAGCGGAAGUUAAAUCCCAUCCAAGGCAAUCUAAACCAAGGUUCUAAUCUCACUAGAUUAGCCCCAAAAGCCACCAAACAAAAAGCCCCAAAAUAAACCCUAAAAUCCAAAUCUAGGGUUUCAUCUCCCAAUAUCCACAAAAAAUAGAUUCAGAGGGGAGAAACAAGCAACUAACCUUCUUGGUAGCUCCAAACCAAGCUCAAAAUGCUCUAGGGUUGAAGAUUGACCCUCUAUCAAGUUCCUAGCCCAAGCUCUAAGCCUCCAAUGGUGAGCAAAGGGAGAGGAAGAUGCUCCAAAGCCUCAAGAUCUUGCUCUCCUCCAACUCCUUUUUCUUCCUCUUCUUCCUCUUCUCUUUUUCUCUCUAAGGUGCAAAGGAGAGUGUGAAAUGAGGGAGGGAGAGAGGUGAAAUGGCCAUAUAGGUCAUCUAUUGUAACAAAAUCCAGAAAAACCCCUCAACAAUGCAUCUAAUGCACUGCCAGAACUGGGCAAUUUUCGGACUGAGGGACCGGUCUUCCCGACCUGGGACCGGUCUCUCAGCCUGCCCCGAAAAUCCAACGUUCGGGAACGGAUCUCUCCCCGCAUGGGACCGGUCUUUCCUCGCGUAGUCACGCUCGGGGACCGGUCUCACCCGCCAGGAACCGGUUGCCUCAAGUCCUGCCGCAGCACUGUUCUGAGGGGACCGGUCUCUCCUAUCAGGGACCGGUCCCCGAGAGUGAAAACUCUCAGGACAAAGCCAAAACUUCAGGAAUCGAACUUUUAGGUCGGAAUACCAUCUAGGACCUUCCACCAAGUGUGGAAAAGUUUGGAAUCCAACCAAACACUCGAACCUUGCAAUUUAUAAAGGUCCAGUGUGCUACAUUCACCCCUCCUAAAAAGGAGUUUCGUCCGCGAAACUCAAAAGCAAACACAUACCUCAAAGCUCCAUCUGAAAAAGAUAGGGAUAGCGCUCCCGCAAUGCGCUCUCUAGCUCCCACGUGGCCUCCCGCUCCCCGUGGUUGCUCCAAAGCACCUUCACGUAAGGAAUUUCUCGGUUCCGCAAUCUUUUCACCUCACGAGCCAAAAUCCUCAAGGGUUGCUCCUCAAAGCUCAAAUCCUCCCGCAGCUCUAUAGGUGUAGCAUCCAACACAUGAGUCGGGUCGAAAACGUACUUCUGAAGGACCGAUACAUGAAAGACGUUGUGCAUGCCCGAUAGGUUCGGUGGUAGAGCAAGUCGAUACGCUACCGGACCUACACGUUCCAAAAUCUCGUACGGUCCAAUGAAACGAGGGCUCAACUUACCCCGAAUCCCGAAUCUCUUGAUCCCUCUAGUCGGCGAGACCUUUAAGAAAACAUGGUCUCCAACUUGGAACUCCAAGUCUCGCCGUCGUCGAUCGGCGUAGCUCCUCUGUCUACUCUGUGCCGUCAAAAGUCGCUCCCGAGCAAUUCAAACUUUGUCCGAUACUUCCUGGAGCACAUCAGGGCCUAAAGCCAAUCUCUCGUCAACUUCACUCCAAUGAAGUGGCGAUCUACACUUUCGUCCUGUCACGCCCCAGGACCUAGCGGAAGCCCGCCCGGCGCGUGCCCAGACCCGCCAUAUGUCUACAACAUAUAAGGCGUCUAAAACAACAAUAAUAAAAGCAAUAAUACAAGACGUCUAGUAGUAUCAGAGCAUAAUAAAAGUCUAAAUGCUACAACAAGGGAUACAAUUAAAACUGUAAAUCCACUAAAUAAAACAUAAAGUAAAUACAAUAGGAAAUUCCAAAUACAAGUGCUAUAGGUAGGUACAUAGGUGGUCUCUAUACAUGGAUACAAAACCUCUCACUCUCUCAACUACAAAAGAAAGAGUAAACCACCUAGGCAAGUACCGCUCCUCGCUAGCUAGCUAAGCGAUUCCCUUGCCGCGAUCCCGUGACUCUGAAAAGGAAACCAUAAAACAGGGGCGUGAGAACUAUUAAAAAUAGUUCCCAGUGGGCAAUUACUAACUUCAGUGAAUGCACCACAAGGCCCAAAGCUACAAAAGAUAUUAGUGACUAUAAAUGUAGAAAAGCGAAAGGUAAGUAAAAUGUAACUUACUACAACAUGAUAUCUCUACUUAGCAUAAAUAGCAUAAGUAUGAAGCAACUAUGCAUGAAGUAAAAGUCUCCAACUAUCAUAAUGUUCACAAUGCGAAAUCUUCUCGUCCCUUCGAUACUCUUCCUACGACUUCAUAGAUGAGAGAAAGGGAAGCGAGAAAGAAGGAGUCAAGAAAGAAAGGAGCUUGAUAGAGGCCAUUGGAGCAUGCAUCUUCUUCCUCAUUUUCUCACCUUUGUGCUUUGAACUUGCGGUUGGAGCUUUGUGAAGGAUCAACCUCAACGCCUCACUUGCUUUGAGCUUGGUAUUGGAGCUUCGCUUGAGGUGUUAGCUUAUAAUCCCCGAUUUAAAUACUUUUUCUGCUGAGGUUUUUCUAGAUGAAGACCCUAGAAUUUUGGGAUUAGGGUUAUUUGGGUUUUUUCGGUGAUUUGUAAUUGGUUAUUAAUAGACUCUUAAUGUGAUUGGGUUGUUUAUGGUUUGCGUUUUUUGGAACCUUUGUUUAGGUGAUUGGAAGACUUCUAAACUCCCAUUUGAGAUCGUAGAGCCUCUUCGCAAUCGGUAAGUUUUGUCUCCAACCUCUAGCUUGAGGAGCUAAUGAGUUGAGUAUUUGCUCUUUCGUUUCGUUUGGGUGACCCUAUUUUUUGAUGAGUUUCUAGGGUACUAUGAGCUUGUGGAUAUGCUUCGUUCGCGAACGAAGAAGUCGAUUUUGGCUGUUUUGACUUCAUGAAAAUGGGGCAACAUAAUUGCCCCCAUGCCUUCUAAAGCUUUUAUAGAAGUAUUUUUGAAUGCAAAUUCAUGCUAAGACAAUCGAUUAUAUGAAUUAGGACGACUUAAGACAUGCAUGCCUCAUGUAUCGUAAAAAAUUUGUACUCGCAUAUAGUAGAGCUAUAUGUGUAGAUUGCAUGCAUUGUGGACAGAGGCUUGGAUUUCGCAGUUGAGAACACUGUCUGCCUCCUGCAGAAAUUGAGGGAAACAUGCAUCAUGAACAUAUUAAUGCCAUGCUGGGACUCGUUGAGACAAAAGUGUCGAUAAAGAGGCACUUGGAAUUAUAACUAUAAAAAUGCAAUUAAGAGACAUGAUGACAUAGAGAUAUGGCUUUGAGACAUUCGGAUUACAUUCCAUGUUAUUAGAUCAUGAGGACUUGGUACUUGCGAAGAUCGUGUUGAGCUACUGCAUGUGCUCUAUUCGCCACAUGCUUGUGGGUCGCUCCCUCAAGCCGGUCACUCGAGAUAAGCCAUCCGAUACAUAUUCCCGUGCGGAUUGGGCGCCGAAGUGAUUCCGGGGCCAGGCUCAUCCUGAGUUGAGGAUGUUUGACUACCACGGGCCAUUAGCUCGCACCGGCCAGACAGCCUCCGGUGGCGUUCAGGGCCUAUAGACAAGCCCUUACGGUGGGUCCUCAAUUUACUUAAGUGUUCAUGUAUGAUAUUGACAUGGAGUGAUGACUUAGGUGUACUACAUUGACAUUCGACUAAGAUAGUAAUGACGGAAUUUACUAUUUGCGCAUUGUGACAACAUUAUGAUACGUUGAAAGACUUUUUACUCAUCAUGAGUUUGUUUCAUACUUAUGACCAAUUAGGCUCCAGUAGAGAUAUCAUGUUGUAGUGUUACAUUUUUUGCUUAACCUUCGCUUUUCACUGUACUGGCAUCUUUUUGUAGCUUUGGCCUUGUUGCAAUUCACUAAGUCAGUAAUUCCCCACUAACUAUUUUUAACAUAGUCCACGCCCGACUGUUUGUAGUGGUAUUUUCCAGAGGCCUUCGCACCGGGAGGACGGACGCCAAGGGGAUCGCGUUAGCUAGCUAGCGAGGAGCGGUCUUUGCCUAAGGUGGUUUACUCCUUCUUUUUGGGUAGUUGAAUGUGAGAUUUGUAUCGAUGUAUACAGACCAACUAGUAUCUACGUAUAGCAUUGCAUCUGGGAUAUUCUUGACCACUUUAUGUUUUAAAUUUAGUGGAUUUACAGUUGUCACUUUACCGGCCUGGUUUAGCAUUUUAGACAUUUAUUAUGUGUCGAUGACCCAGAUGUCUUGUAUUAUUGGCUUUUAUUAUGUUGUUUUUAGACGCCUUAUAUUGUUGUGACAUAUGCGCGUCUGGCACUCCGCCGGGCGCUCCGCUGGUCCUCGGGCGUGGACAACAGACCGUAGCCGAGUACGAAGGGAUUUUCGACUUCUGCAUUGCGGUGCCCUCGUCUGCGAUGACGACGAGGACAAGCCUGCAUCUUCGAGCGAGGGUUAAGGACCAUUCGAUGCUUCCGGUUUUGGUGCAAUCCUCUCAACCUCCAAACCUACCGGAGGUUGUGAAUCGCGCGCCUCAAUCGUGGAGAGCGGCGCGACAGAGGUCCAGUAAGAGAGCAUGCGUGAGGCUAGGACAAAGGUAAGGCCAAAGGCCUUCGGCUGAGGGUGUCGAGUCAGACGCCAUCUAGGAGGCCGCCGAAUCAUUUGAGGAGCACACGAAAUGUCGGCUCAGAGCGCAUCGUGAGGAUCCGAUCGCGCCCGGCUUCACUUGUGUGAUCUGCGGGUGUCCGCUUAUUACGCCACCGCAGUGUCCACAGCGGGCGGGCACGUGUCUUUUAGUGUGGCCAGGAGCCAACGGUGCUACAAGAGUGCCGAGAGGUCUUCACAUGUCACACCGUGCCGAGGUGCAUCCGGCAUCCGGCUCUACAAGCCGCCGCCAGGAGACUCCCAUCGCACAGUAUCAGCCUGGCGCCCACACCCGUCCAGCGCCAAGAUGCGAGGGAUCUUUCGACCAGGCCCCGAGUGGGCGCAUGUACGCCGCUGCCGGACCGAGAGGUGGCAGGCACCGAGAUUGGUGUCCGGUAUCAUUUACUGUCGAUGCAGAUUAAGGAGUUCGUGGCUUUAUUCUAUACCGGGUGUUCGCAUUCCAAUGUCAUAAGAUCGGCUGUUUGCGAUUGCAUGGCAAUCUCAUUGUGGUUCCUUUAUGUGCUUAUGGACAUGUGUUGGUCACCCGAUCACAUGUCUGGAUAUAGAGAGUAUAGCCCCAGUUGCCCUGUGCGGGCUAGGAGAUUGGAUCAUGCCCUAUGAAGAUUUGUCUAGCUUUGCGCGCAAGCUGGGAUUUUGACGUGGUCUUGGGCUGAUUGGUUCGCAGCCAAGGUAUUAUGCCUACGAUUGAUUGUACAGAAUCUGCAACGUUAACCUUUAAGAGAACCGGGGCAAGACCGAGGUUGGUAUUUAUUGGAAUGCCGUGAGCUAACCUUUUGCGAUGACGAUCAGCUCGUCUCGAGCUAAAGGCAGCUGAUGCAGCAGAGGCUGUGUGGCCUAUUUGGCUAGUGUUGUCCUGAGGGGGCGGGAGUGACACCCCUGGAUUGAGGAUAUUCCCGGUGUGUGCGGAGAUUUUUCAGGAUGUGUUCCAGCUACUACAAUCUACCGGGUAUGCUCUCUGAUAGGGAGAUUGAGUUUGUGAGAUCUCGUCCCUGGGGAACUAACCCAGUUCAAAAGGCACCCAUCGGGAUGGCACGGCAGAGCUGAGGAGCUGAGGGCACAGUUGAGGAUUUGGCAGAUAAAAGCGUUCAUUCGAUCGAGCGUUUCACGCCUGGGAGCACUGCCGUUCUGUCGUCAAGGAAAAAGACGUGAUUCACUUCGCCUUUUGUGUGAUUAUCGUGACUCAAUAGGUCACGAUCAGAACAAGUAUCCUUCCGUGAGAAUCGACGACUUGUUUGAUCAUCUUCAGGGAGUCGUGUGUUAUAUUCAAGAUAGGACUUACAAGUCGGAUAGCCACCCAUAUGAAGAUCAACCGAGGAUGUAUCGAAGACGGCUUUUAGAACACGGUGAUGGACAUUACGAGUCUCAAGUUAGCCUUUCGGCUUACAAUGCCCCAGCAUGCUUUUAUGGUCUAAUAACGCGUGUUUUCAAGCCUUAUGCUACGACGGUUCGUCGUGGUGUUCAUCGCGACAAUUUUGUCUAACUCUCGAAGUGAUUGCAGAAUCACGGAAGAGGUAUUUGAGGAUGUACUCGAAAGUACUUCGGAGAGGAGCUUAUGCCACAGUGAAGAAAUGUGAAUUUGGCUCCGAGAGGUAUCUUUCCUGGACAUUGAUUUCGGGAUCGGUAUUAGCGCGUGGAUUCCAAGAAGAUUGAAGCAAAUCAAGGAUUGGCGAGACCCGACGAGGUCACGGAAUACGUACUCUUGGUUGCCGGUUACUACCGCAGAUUUGUAGACGGGGCUUUGCUAAGCUCGUCAACUGCCCCUCACGAGGCUCACGCACAAAGGAGUCAAGUUCAAUUUGGAAUGAACGCGUGCAGGCCGGAAGCUUCAAGAGUUUGAAGCAGAGGAUUGACGACCGCCCCGAUCUUGACCUAUCUCAGUAGCUGGGCGGGUAGUGGUUUUAUAGUGACUUCACUAAUGAAUUGGGCCUGUGUAUUGAUGGGCGAGGAAUGGCAAGGUGAUCCGCGUAUACUGUCGCGCAUCCCCGACUAAAGAAUAUGAGAAGAACUACCACCCGACACGCAUGAUUUGGAGUUGGGGAGCCGUAGUGUUCGCAUUGAAGCGAUGCGUACUAUCUUUAUGGCGAGCGAUGGGAAAUAUACACGGAUCACAAGAACUUAAAGUCCUGUUUUACUGGUCAUAAGGAAAGAUUGAACCUGAGACACGCAGAUGGUUGGGAGCUGCGCAGGAUAGAUCUGACGAUUACAUUUAGCGCACCCGGGCAAGGCUAACGUGGUGGCAGAUCGCUAAGUAGGAAAUCGAUGAAAACUUAAGCGAUGCAUGUCUGUGACUCAACCAGCAGUUGAUCGAGCAGGAUGAAAGGCGUUUGGAGUGGAGGUGUGACUCCUGACACAGCCCUUGGAGAUUGGAUGACUUUGGUAGUGGCAACCUACGGCUUUGGAUAGAAUUAAAAAGAGAAGCAAGUCUCCUGAUGUGAGGUGCAAAAGGAUUCGGAUGUAAAAUGGUUGAUGGUAUGAAGGCGACUUCCUUUGGAUGAUCACGGGAUUGGAUGCGUUUCGGUGGCGAUUGUAUACCCGCGGAUUCGGGAUUAAAGAAGAUUCUUCAAGAAGCGGCACCGAGCCGCGGUAUGCUAUUACAAUCCGGAGCACAAAUGUAAAGAUCGUAAGCUUGCUUUAUUGUGGCUCCGGUAUUGAAAUAAGGACGUUUGGGCGAGUAGUUGUGUUGUACUCUUGUUUUUUGCUAUAUCUUUAUAUAGAAUUUUUUAUUCUUUUUGUUCUUUUUUUGUAUUCCGCGGGAAAACUCAGAGUUUGCCUAUUUCCAUUUGAAAUGAAGAAAUUACCCUGGCUUUGUGACGAUUGCCACGCUCACAGCGGGGCAUGACCUAUUGGGUGAUCAGUGAUAGAGUUGACGAAGUCGCGAGCACUUGCAUACCUAUUCAUCGACGACUUGGAUCGGAAUAAGGCUCGCGCAAGUUACUUUGAUGGAGAUUGUGCGGGCUUAAUGGAGUGCUACAAUCGAUUGUUAUCAGAUGACGACACCACGGUUUGUGUCUCCUUUUGAGGGAGUGCUGGCAGGAGCCCUGGGCACUUCGAUUGACUGUUCAGCGAGGGCUGGGCUUUCCACCGCGCAGAAGCGAUGCAGUCGAGCGCUACUAUACAGGACCUUAGAGGAUAUGCUCAGCGGACAUGCUUGAUAGAACUUCGCAAAGGAGGAUAUGGUCGCAGCAUCUACCGUAUGGCGAGUUUGCUUAUAAACAGUUUUCAAGCAAAGCAUCAGAUGGCGGCCCUUCAAAGCACUUAUGGAUGGAAGUGGUAGACGCCACUUCAUUGGAGUGAAGUCGCGAGAGAUUGCUUAGGGCCCUAUGUGCUCUCAGGAAAGCUGAGGCAAGGGUCGGAAUGCUCAGUAGCGAACUGUGACGGGCAGAGUAGACAGAGGAGCUACGCUGAUCGACGGCCCCCGGCGAGACUAAUGCGAGUUCCAAGUUGGUAGACCACGUCUUCUUGAAGGUCUCGCGGCAACUAGGAGGAAUCAGAGAUUCGGUGAUCGGGAAGUUGAGGCCCCGUUUCAUUGGACCGUAUGAGAUCUUGGAGCGUGUAGGGUCGGUAGCAGUAUGGACUUGCCUCUAAGCCACCGAACUAUCGGGCCUGCACAAGUCUUUCAUGUAUCGGUCCUUCGGAGGUAGCAUUCAUGAUGACCAAACUCAGUUCUGGAAGCUUACCAGUGAGCGCGCGAGUAAUUUGAGCUUGAGGAGCAUACCCUGAAGAAUCUUGAGCUCGCGAGGUUGAAAAAGCUGCGGAAUCGAUAUUCCGUAUGUGAGGUUCUUUUGGAGCCAACACGAACACAACACAAGCGGAGCGCGAGCUACUGGGAGAUAGAGAGCGCUUUUGCAGGAGCGCUAUCCCCAUCUUUUUCAGAUGAGCCGUGGUAGUCUUUUCCUUUUCGAGUUUCGCGACGAACUCUUUUUAGAGGGUGAAUGUAACGCAACUGGACCUUGCAAAUGCUGGGUUCGAGUGAUUGAAUGGUUACCUUUUCCAGACUUUCUGGUGGGUCGUCGACGAGGUGUUCCGACCUAUGGUUCGAGUCUCGAGAAUGGUGUUUAAAGAUCUUGCGUCAAAAUCCACCCAAGUUGAUUUGGCUAGCUCUCUGUGAGCCUUAAGGGGCAGUGUACGCGGUAGCGGGCUUGAUGCUGUACCGGUACGCGGUGAUGGUUGUACUGGUACGCCGCCUGUGUACGGCGUAACAGGCUUAUGUCCCCACGCAAACCCGAACCGGGUUGGCUUUCGUGGUGUGUGCCGACACAAGACGCCGUGUAACCGGUAGCACGUGCAUCUGGUCUGGGCAGUUGCGGGCAGGGGCUGUUUGCAAUUGUACACACAUUAUAUAUGUCACCCAGCUCCUUUUGUGACUCCUUUGAGCCAUAGACCAGUGGGAGAGCAGGUGAGAACUCCUCCCCUAUGUUUUCUCCAUUUUGUUGAUUUUUGCUAGUAUGUUGAUCGUCUUUCUCUCUCUCUUCGUUACUUUUUGUGGUUUUUCCCCAUGGAGAAGUGGCGAUCUUGGUUGAGCUUGUUUUGAGGAUCAACCUUACAACCGCUAGAGGACUUUGGGGCUUGGUUUGGAGCUUCUAAGGAGUUAGUAAUUAUUUUCUCUCUGCUCUAGAUUCGGAUUUUGUUGAUUACUAGAUUAAACCUAGAUUUUUGGUUUUAAGGGUUAGAUUGGAUUUUUCGUUUGAGGGUUUUGGGACCCUAAUUGAUGGGUCUAGAACUUUGUUUAGGUUUCGAUUGGAAGGACUCUAAUCUCCUAUUUGGAGAUUGAGAAAGCUUUCCUUCGCAAUCGUGAGUUUUCUCAACCCUAAACUCUGAAAUGGUUAAUGAUUGCAAGCAAUCCGUUAUUCGUUUUGUUGGGUAACACUUGUUCCUAACAUCCCUUCAGGGUCUAGAGGCUAGUGCAUCACUUUCGUCGGCGAAACGAAGAGUUUCCGAAAAUUGGUUGAGUUGCUCUCGUGGAAAUAAGGGAGCGAAAUGGGACCCUAUUCUCUUCUAUUUGUUGUAAAUAUUUUUAGAAUUCAUUUCAUAUGGUCUAAAUAAAAUUAGUAUAAAUUUGAGCACUUAAAAUACAUACCUUGUUUUGAAAUUCAACUAUAUAGUAGAGCUAUAUGAGUAGAAUGCAUUACAUAUGGAAAAAGUGUUUAUCUGCAUAGUGAAAAAUACAUCACAUUUUUAUGUGUUUUGACUUGGAAUAUGUACUUUGAACAUCGUUCUAUGCUCGGCAUCAGAGAAGCAAGAGUUCAUCAAGGGCACUGAAAGCUAGUAAAAUUAUGAAACUGCAACGUAGGAAAGACAUUGAUAGGGCCACUACAUAUCUGGCUAUAUCCAUGUUAGCAGAACAUGUAUGACAUAGGGAUAGGCCAUUGAGAUACUUGACACAUUCUGUUUUAGACAUGAGGACUUGGUCCUUGCGAUCAUAUGUUGAAUCUACUGCCAUUGGCUCACUGUCGCACAUGCUUGUGAGGUCGCUCCUACAAGCCGCACUCCGGAGAAUACAAUCGCGAUUCAUAUUCGCCGUGCGGGAAUGGCGCCGAAGUGGAAUGGUGGACAGGCUUUCAUUCCUAGGUGGGGAUGAUGAUACCAUGGGUGCCAUUAGGCGUCGCACGCGGCCCACAGCACUACGGUGGGUCUUCAGGGACACAGACAGCUUCGGGUGGUCUCUCAAGAUUUGACUUCUGAGUUAUUCAUUAUUACAUGUGGCAGAUCGAUGCCAGUAGUGUACUACUUGGACUUGACUAAAUAGCAAACAACGGAACUUUACUAUUUCGGCAUUGUUACAUUAUGAUAGUUGGGAGACUUUUAUUUCAUGCUAGUUGCUUCAUACUUAGGCUAAUUAUGCUAAGUAGAGAGAUCAUUGUUGUAGUAAGUUACAUUUUUAGCUUAGCCUUAUCUUUUUUUCUAGACUUUAUAGUCACUGACCAAUCUUUUGUAGCUAAUGGCCCUCGUGUGCAUUCACUGAAGUGAGUAAUUGCCUACUCGGGGAACUAUUUUAAUAGUUCUCACGCCUCCUGUUUUAAUAGUCAUGAAAAUCAGCGCAUGGGGAUGCUUAGCUACUAGCGAGGAGCGUACUUUGCCUAAGUGUUUAUCUUUCUUUUGUAGUUAGAGAUGAGAAGUUUUUGUAUUCCAUGUAUACCGAGACACACUAUUAAUAUCUACGCUAUAGCUACUUGUAUCUGGAAUUUCACUGAUCACUUGAUGUUUAUUUAGUGGAUUUACAAGUUUUAUCUUAUCCUGUUGUAGCAUUUAGACAUUUAUUAUGCUCUGAUCUCCUAGAGUCUUUAUUAUUACUUUUUAUUUUGUUGUUUUCAGACCCUUAUAUUUUUAGACGUAUGGCGGAUCUGGCGUGCCGGGCGCUUGCACCAGUUGUGGACGUUGCACCGAGAGCGCCGUCCCCCGCGCCCAGUUCUUCGCGUGCGGCGCCUGCGGCCGCACCGCAGGAGGAGGUUUUGGUGGCAUCACCUGUGCAGAGGCCCCCGGUUGGAGCAGCAUUCCCUACUUUGGUUGAGGGGGCGGAGCGAGACAGACUGAUGGAGCGCCUCAAUGAGUUCAGGAGGUGCAGCCCCCGAGUCUUCGACGGCGAGAAGGUCGACCACUGGAUCGUGGAGAAGUGGUUGAUGCAUAUGGAGAAGCUCUUCCGCGACACCUUCGUGGAGGAGAGGGACAGAGUUUGGCUCGCCACUCACCAUUUGGACGGCGAGGCCUACCGCUGGUGGUUGGAUCUCCAGGAGAACCCCCGCACAGACUUGGCAGCUAUUACUUGGACGAGGUUCAAGGGGCUUCUUCUGGCGCACUACUUCCCAACCAGCGUCAAGAGGAAGAUGGAGCAGGAUUUGCGCAGCUUGCGCCAGGGAGACAGGUGUAGCACACUGGACCUUUGCAAAUUGCGAGGUUCGAGUGUUCGAUUGGUAUUCCGAACUUUUCCACACUUGGUGGAGGGCCGUCGAUGGUAUACCGGCCUAAAAGUUCGAUCUCGAGAGUUUUGGCAGAGUCCUGAGAGUUUUUACUCUCGGGGACCGGUCCCUGAUAGGAGAGACCGGUCCCCCAGUGAACAGUGCUGCGUAGCCGGCGAGGCAACCGGUCCCUAGCAGUUGAGACCUGUCCCCGAGCGCGUUUGCGCGGGGAGAGACCGGUUCCCGAACGUUGGAUUUUCGGGGGCUGGCUGAGAGACCGGUCGCAGGUCGGGGAGACCGGUCCCUAUGGGCGAAAACUGCCCAGUCCGGGCUGAUGUAAAUUUGAGUUUUUGUGGGGCCUGGCUGGAUUUUGUUACCUUAGAGGCUAUAAGCAGCCUCUCCUCCCCUCUCACUCUCAUUUUUCUCUCCCUCAAGAGGAGAAGAAGAGGAAGAAGAGGAAGGGAAAGAGAGAGAUCUUCACAUCCUUCUCAUNNNNNNNNNNNNNNNNNNNNNNNNNNNNNNNNNNNNNNNNNNNNNNNNNNNNNNNNNNNNNNNNNNNNNNNNNNNNNNNNNNNNNNNNNNNNNNNNNNNNNNNNNNNNNNNNNNNNNNNNNNNNNNNNNNNNNNNNNNNNNNNNNNNNNNNNNNNNNNNNNNNNNNNNNNNNNNNNNNNNNNNNNNNNNNNNNNNNNNNNNNNNNNNNNNNNNNNNNNNNNNNNNNNNNNNNNNNNNNNNNNNNNNNNNNNNNNNNNNNNNNNNNNNNNNNNNNNNNNNNNNNNNNNNNNNNNNNNNNNNNNNNNNNNNNNNNNNNNNNNNNNNNNNNNNNNNNNNNNNNNNNNNNNNNNNNNNNNNNNNNNNNNNNNNNNNNNNNNNNNNNNNNNNNNNNNNNNNNNNNNNNNNNNNNNNNNNNNNNNNNNNNNNNNNNNNNNNNNNNNNNNNNNNNNNNNNNNNNNNNNNNNNNNNNNNNNNNNNNNNNNNNNNNNNNNNNNNNNNNNNNNNNNNNNNNNNNNNNNNNNNNNNNNNNNNNNNNNNNNNNNNNNNNNNNNNNNNNNNNNNNNNNNNNNNNNNNNNNNNNNNNNNNNNNNNNNNNNNNNNNNNNNNNNNNNNNNNNNNNNNNNNNNNNNNNNNNNNNNNNNNNNNNNNNNNNNNNNNNNNNNNNNNNNNNNNNNNNNNNNNNNNNNNNNNNNNNNNNNNNNNNNNNNNNNNNNNNNNNNNNNNNNNNNNNNNNNNNNNNNNNNNNNNNNNNNNNNNNNNNNNNNNNNNNNNNNNNNNNNNNNNNNNNNNNNNNNNNNNNNNNNNNNNNNNNNNNNNNNNNNNNNNNNNNNNNNNNNNNNNNNNNNNNNNNNNNNNNNNNNNNNNNNNNNNNNNNNNNNNNNNNNNNNNNNNNNNNNNNNNNNNNNNNNNNNNNNNNNNNNNNNNNNNNNNNNNNNNNNNNNNNNNNNNNNNNNNNNNNNNNNNNNNNNNNNNNNNNNNNNNNNNNNNNNNNNNNNNNNNNNNNNNNNNNNNNNNNNNNNNNNNNNNNNNNNNNNNNNNNNNNNNNNNNNNNNNNNNNNNNNNNNNNNNNNNNNNNNNNNNNNNNNNNNNNNNNNNNNNNNNNNNNNNNNNNNNNNNNNNNNNNNNNNNNNNNNNNNNNNNNNNNNNNNNNNNNNNNNNNNNNNNNNNNNNNNNNNNNNNNNNNNNNNNNNNNNNNNNNNNNNNNNNNNNNNNNNNNNNNNNNNNNNNNNNNNNNNNNNNNNNNNNNNNNNNNNNNNNNNNNNNNNNNNNNNNNNNNNNNNNNNNNNNNNNNNNNNNNNNNNNNNNNNNNNNNNNNNNNNNNNNNNNNNNNNNNNNNNNNNNNNNNNNNNNNNNNNNNNNNNNNNNNNNNNNNNNNNNNNNNNNNNNNNNNNNNNNNNNNNNNNNNNNNNNNNNNNNNNNNNNNNNNNNNNNNNNNNNNNNNNNNNNNNNNNNNNNNNNNNNNNNNNNNNNNNNNNNNNNNNNNNNNNNNNNNNNNNNNNNNNNNNNNNNNNNNNNNNNNNNNNNNNNNNNNNNNNNNNNNNNNNNNNNNNNNNNNNNNNNNNNNNNNNNNNNNNNNNNNNNNNNNNNNNNNNNNNNNNNNNNNNNNNNNNNNNNNNNNNNNNNNNNNNNNNNNNNNNNNNNNNNNNNNNNNNNNNNNNNNNNNNNNNNNNNNNNNNNNNNNNNNNNNNNNNNNNNNNNNNNNNNNNNNNNNNNNNNNNNNNNNNNNNNNNNNNNNNNNNNNNNNNNNNNNNNNNNNNNNNNNNNUUCCGGUUUGUGCAAUCCUCUAACCUCCAAACCUACCGGGAGGUGGUGGAUCGCGCGCUCAUCGUGGAGAGCGGCGCGACAGAGGUCCAGGAGCAGCGUGAGGCUAGGGACAAAGGUAAGGCCAAGAGGCCUGCGGCUGAGGGUGCGAGUCAGACGCAUUCUAGGAGGCCGCCGAAGCAUUUGAGGAGCCAGCAGCGAGAAUGCGGCUCAGCAGCGCAUCGAGGAGGAUCCGAUCGGCGCCGGCCUUCCCCUUGUGUGAUCUGCGGUGGUCCCCAUUACCCACCGCAGUGUCCACAGCGGGCGGGCACGUGUUUUUAGUGUGGCCAGGAGGGCCACGUGCGUACCGAGUGCCCGAGAGGUUCUUCACCAGCACCGUCGAGUGCAUCGGCACCGGCUCUACAAGCCGCCGGCCAGAGGACUCCAUCGGCACAGUAUCAGCCUGGGCGCCCACCCGUCCAGCGCCAGAGCGAGGGAUCUCGACAGGCCCCGAGUGGGCGCAUGUACGCCGCUCAGACCGAGGAGGUGGCAGCAGCCGAGGAUGUGGUUGUAGGUAUCAUUUUACUUGAUGGCAUUAGAGUUCGUGCUUUAUUUAAUACCGGUGUAUCGCAUUCAUUCAUAGAUCGGCUGUUUGCCGAGUUGCAUGGCAUCCCAUUGGUUCCUUUAUUGCUUAUGGGACAUGUUGUUGUACCCGACCACGUUCUGGAUAUUAGAGAGUAUAGCCCCAGUUGCCCUGUGCGGGUAGGAGAUUGGAUCAUGCCUAUAGAUUUGCUAGCUUUGCGCAAGCUGGGGGAUUUUGACGUGGUCUUGGGCAUGGAUUGGUUGACCAAGUAUUAUGCCACGAUUGAUUGUAAGAAUCGCACGGUUACCUUUAGAGAACCGGGGCAGACCGAGGUGGUAUUUAUUGGAUGCCGGAGUAACCUUUUUGCGAUGACGAUCAGCUCGUCUCGAGCUAGGCAGCUGAUCAGCAGAGGCUGUGUGGCCUAUUUGGCUAGUGUUGUGCUGAGGGGCGGGAGUGACACCCCUAGGAUUGAGGAUAUUCCGGUGGUGCGGGAGUUUCAGGAUGUGUUUCCAGCUGAGCUACCGGGUAUGCCUCCUGAUAGGGAGAUUGAGUUUGUGGUAGAUCUCGUCCCUGGGACUACCCCAAUCUCAAAGGCACCCUAUCGGAUGGCACCGGCAGAGCUGAGGGAGCUGAGGGCACAGUUGCAGGAUUUGCCAGAUAAAGGCUUCAUUCGACCGAGCGUUUCACCCUGGGGAGCACCCGUUCUGUUCGUCAAGGAAAAAGACGGAUCACUUCGCCUUUGUGUGGAUUAUCGUGAACUCAAUAAGGUCACGAUCAAGAACAAGUAUCCGUUGCCGAGAAUCGACGACUUGUUUGAUCAUCUUCAGGGAUCGUGUGUAUAUUCCAAGAUAGACUUACAGUCGGGAUACCACCAAUUGAAGAUCAAACCCGAGGAUGUAUCGAAGACGGCUUUUAGAACACGGUAUGGACAUUACGAGUUCACAGUUAUGCCGUUCGGGCUUACUAAUGCCCCAGCAGCUUUUAUGGAUCUAAUGAACCGUGUUUUCAAGCCUUAUCUAGACAGGUUCGUCGUGGUGUUCAUCGACGACAUUUUGGUCUACUCUCGAAGUGAUGCAGAUCACGAGGAGUAUUUGAGGAUUGUACUCCAAGUACUUCGGGAGAAGGAGCUUUAUGCCAAGUUGAAGAAAUGUGAAUUUUGGCUCCGAGAGGUAGCUUUCCUUGGACAUUUGAUUUCGGGAUCGGGUAUAGCCGUGGAUCCCAAGAAGAUUGAAGCAAUCAAGGAUUGGCGGAGACCGACGAGCGUCACGGAGAUACGGAGCUUCCUUGGAUUGGCCGGUUACUACCGGAGAUUUGUAGAGGGGUUUGCUAAGCUGUCUACUCCCCUCACGAGGCUCACGCACAAAGGAGUCAAGUUCAUUUGGAAUGACGCGUGCGAGCGAAGCUUCCAAGAGUUGAAGCAGAGAUUGACGACCGCCCCGAUCUUGACCCUACCAGUAGCUGGAGCAGGGUAUGUGGUUUANNNNNNNNNNNNNNNNNNNNNNNNNNNNNNNNNNNNNNNNNNNNNNNNNNNNNNNNNNNNNNNNNNNNNNNNNNNNNNNNNNNNNNNNNNNNNNNNNNNNAUUUCGUUUCGCGCCCAAUUUGCGCCGACACACUUAUUUCUCUUUGGAACUCAUUCCAACGCAUCACAAAUCCCUCGGGGAUGAUGUCCAACUAGCUCAAUCCUCACUUUGACCCUCUAGGUCAAGGUUGACAUCGCAACUCCAAGUUUCCAUAUGUUACAUAGUUGCUUCAUACUUAUGCUAAUUACGCUAAGUAGAGAUAUCAUGUUGUAGUAAGUUACAUUAUUUUUACUUACCUUUCGCUUUUCUACUGUUAAUGUCACUGACAUCUUUUGUAGCUUUGGGCCUUGUGGUGCAUUCACUGAAGUCAGUAAUUGCCCACUGGGAACUAUUUUUAAUAGUUCUCACGCCCCUGUUUUAUGGUUUACUUUUCAGAGCCUUCGGCACCGGCGGAGGCACGGGAUCGUAGCAAGGGGGUUGCUUAGCUAGCUAGCGAGGAGCGGUACUUUGCCUAGGUGGUUCACUCUUUCUUUUUGUAGUUGAGAAAGUGAGAGGUUUUUGUAUCCAUGUUUAGAGACCACCUAUGUAUCUACCUAUAGCACUUGUAUCUGGGAUUUCCUUGCAUUACUUUAUAUUUUAUUUAGUGGAUUUACAGUUUUAUCCUUAUCCCUUGUUGUAGCAUUUAGACAUUUAUUAUGCUCUGAUACUCCUAGAUGUCUUUUAUUAUUGCUUUUAUUAUUGUUGUUUUUAGACGCCUUAUAUGUUUUAGACGUACGGCGGGUCUGGGCACGUGCCGUGCGGGCUUCCGCUGGGUCCCCGGGCGUGACAUCCACAUUACUUGGUCGGGCGACAGGUUAGCACAGUUAUAUCUUAAUGAAGUGAUGAGAUUGCAUGGGGUCCCGAAGUCAAUCGUGUCAGAUCGAGACCCCCGAUUUACGUCACACUUUUGGAAAAGCCUGCAGGGAGCACUCGACAUACGACUCGAUUUCAGCACUGCGUUUCAUCCUCAAAUAGAUGGCCAAUAGGAGAGGACCAUACGGAUUUUGAAGGAUAUGUUGCGGGCGUGUACCAUUGAUUACAAGGGGAGUUGGUGUAAGCACCUGCGGAUGGCCGAGUUCGCCUACAACAAUAGUUACCAAGCAAGUAUAGGGAUGGCACCAUUCGAGGCUCUCUACGGGAGGAAGUGCCUAUCUCCUAUACACUGGAGUGACUUGGGCGAACGGGCGGUAUUAUGCCCGGAUGUCUUGCGAGAGGCAGAAGAAAAGGUCCGCCUUGCUCGCCGGAGAUUGCGCCGUAGACAAAAGAGUUACUCGGAUAAGCACUGUCGAGACUUGGAGUUCACAGUAGGAGACCGCGUCUUCUUGAAGGUUUCACCCAUGAGGGGUGUGAAGCGCUUUGGGGUUCGGGGAAAGUUGAGUUCCCGAUACAUUGGACCUUACGAGGUGCUAGAGCGCAUUGGUGCGGUAGCUUACAGGCUUGCGUUGCCACCAAAGCUUGCGGAUGUUCACAACGUAUUCCACGUCUCCAACCUCCGCAAGUAUAUUCAUGAUCCCAAGCAUGCUUUGCUGUAUGAUCCCCGGAAUUGCAAAAGAAUAUGUCCUAUGAAGAGUUUCCGGUGUUGCUUAUUGCUCGAGAAGUGCGAAAGUUGAGAAGUCGCGAGAUUCCCUACAUUAAGGUUCGGUGGAGCAAUCACGAUGAUCGCGAAGCCACGUGGGAACUUGAGGACAUGAUGAAAGCGCAUUAUCCUGAUCUCUUUGAGGAGUGAGUCGAGGUAUGAAUUUAUGUUUAAGUUGAGUUAGAUUCGAGGACGAAACUCCUUUUAAGGAAGGGAGGAUGUAAGAUAUCGAAUCCUCAUUUUAAUAAUCCACUUUUGGUCAAAGUAACCAAAGUGUGGCGAGAUGAAUACUUGGACAUACUCCACUUGACAUUCCAAAGGUGUUGGAAGGGUCAAAGUUGAGUUCUAAGAGAGUUAACUGAGUUUUAGCAUUGCUCGGCAUAAAACAGAAGUCGAACAAGUGCUAAAACUGCAGUUUGGGCAAUUGGUACCGGUACAACAUCAGGGUGGUACUGGUACCAUGUAUUAAACCAAGAGCAGCAACUCUCGGGUUGGCCUUUGCGUAAUCGUGUAACCGGUGACAAAAUCCCUAGUACCGGUACCACCAGUAGAAAACUGCAGAAUGCAGUAUGUUGUGGAUGGCAUUUGUUAAGGGGCUUUUAUGCAAUUGUGGCAGUCUAUAAAUAGACCCCACCUCCCUCUCAUCUGUACACAGCCAGGGAAUACCCCUCUCAUCUCUUUUUCUUCUCUUUAUCUCUCUAGAAGCUCUCUAGAGGGUUGAGGCUUGAGGAAGGAUUAGUGGAGAUUGAAGCGGGAAGUGAGAUCUUCGUUUUCCUCAUCAUCUUCCUCGCUAUCGAAGCGCAUUUUUUAGGUAAGCUUCGAAGAGCUUUGAUGGUAGAAUUCUAGAGUGCGAAUCUUUUUCUCUAGAAAUGGCUUUAGUAGGUGCCUUGGACACUAGAUAGAUGUUAAUCGCUUGAAUCGAGGCUUUUGCGGUCGAUUCUCGCAAGAUUAAAGAUCUAGGGUUCUGAAAGAGGGUUUUGAGAAAUAGAGAUCUAAACUGAGGAUUGAUCUCUUUUAUACCUAUUUGCUAGGUAGUCGAGCACGUCGGUGAACUCGGUUCGGUGAUCCGACCAGUUGGCGCGAAGAUAUUGACGAAAAGCCUAUUUUUUGCUUCGUUUGCCGCGGUCGAGAGCGAUAGGCAGCGGAAAAUUACGAAAGUUGGAGCUAGCUUCACGACAUCAUCAGAAGGUGGGGGGUGUCCAUCCCGAAGCAGUCGGGCUUCUUUCUAUGUCCGAGUAUUUCAUUAUUGUAGCAUAUGUUCAUAUCUUGUUAGUAUGCAUUAUAGGUUGUUUGCACUUCAAUUCCUUGCAUGUUUCCAUUGUAGAAAUCACUUAGUGAGUUGAGUACUUGAUUUAGUGGACACAUGAGGAUUGGGUCUUGACAUGGAAUCCUAUAGUGCCGAGGAACAAAAGAUGGACUUGGACAUGUAAAUAAACUCACAGAGUGGCAUUUGGACUAGUGUAGUAGAGACACUAUGACAUGAACUUAAGGUAGAGAAUGAUCUCCUAAGUAGUGGCAUGUAAACCAAAGAUUGACAUUUGGACUAGUGUAGUGAAACACUUACAGCUUGAUACAUGAACUUAGAAUAGAUAUUGAUUUCCUGAGUAGUAGCAUGUGAACUAGUGCAAGAGGCACUAACUAUCCUCGAGUGAGAGUGUCACGCCCCGCGACCACCCGCCUAUUUGGCCGGGUCGCGGCGUCGCCGACAGAUCGCCGAACGGACAGGGUUUCCCCUGUACUGCGGACAGAGUCUCCCCUGUACGUUCAAGGCAUAGCAAUCAAUACAAGUACAAUGAGUUCCAACCAGGAACACAUUUCAAUCAAGAUUGCAUAAUGGAAGGUAUCAAACAACAUAACACAUCCUAUGUUAUUACAUGCAUUCACAUUCAUACAUUUUACAUCCCAAAUACUUAUUACAUUUAACUUCCAAAUACAAUCCGAUUUAACAUGAUUAUUACAAUCUUAUUCCUUUUUUUUUCUUACAUCCCUAAGUAAAGGCCGACUCAGGGUACCGCUAUCUCUGGUCUCGGUGGUAAGGCGCUAACUAUGGAGCUACGCCCUCGCUUCGCGCCGCCGCGCCGCUCACGUGUGAACCUGUAAACACCCCAAAACCACGUGGGGUGAGAACCAACUCCAUGGUUCCCAGUGGGUACGGCCACCCAAGGGAAAAGCUCGACCAAUAGGUCCAAGGGAGGCAACUGCAAGUUAGUUCAAUAAACAGAUAGAUAUAUAUCUUUAUUAUGCAACUAAUAAAACCAUGCUUUGCCUCACGAAUGCAAUAAUGCCAUGCUAUAUGCGAAUCAUGCAACUAUACAAGUAGAAUAAAUGAUUUUACUUUGUAUCAUGCUAUCCAUAGCUUUUUCAUAAUUUAUACAUCUUAUCACUUUACAUCAUUGGUUAUUUGCUCCUAAGGUUUUCCUCUACCCUAGCCAAGCUAACCACCCGACUCGGUCUCGAGUCAAUCAACUGCGGAAUACCGCACCAAAACUAGGCUCGAGGUGAUGGACGUCUCACAUACACCUCAGCCCUAAAUCCUCUCAACUGGGAUACCAAACCCGUAACACAUAAUGCUAUACAUUCACUUGGCUUUGACCCAAUCUUACCGGUUAACCAUGUUAACCCCAAUGACUCACAACCCAAAAUCCCUUAAUAACGGGGGACUCGAACCUCCCUAGGGACCGUCUUCUGGGGGGACUUUACCACGCCCAGUGGUGACCAACUCCGGAGCGCACCGCCCGAGGGGGAGCUACCUCCCUCAAGCCAAGACUUAUCGUGAGUAUCGAUCAAUCCUCAACUUGAGGAUUCAUAGCCACUAGUCACAAUGCCAAUGUCACAAUAGGUUUCUACCUAUUUAAUCAUGCUACUCUAUGUCAAAUGGUCCAAUGCCACUCUUGGUUAAACUAUGUUUAACAACUAUAUCCUCUAUGCAUAUCAAUGUCUCUAUUGUCAAUGUUGCCUUU
rnacentral:lncRNA from 1 species